rnacentral:lncRNA from 1 species
ACCCCAUGGUGUGGAUGAAGCUGAUACAAUGCAAACUUCUAGGAUUGGAAGGCCCGUGCAUGAAUGGAUGCAUCUAUGCUUAGACGUGAUCUGGAUUUUAGUUGAUGAAGAGAAAUGUCGCAUUCCAUUCUNNNNNNNNNNNNNNNNNNNNNNNNNNNNNNNNNNNNNNNNNNNNNNNNNNNNNNNNNNNNNNNNNNNNNNNNNNNNNNNNNNNNNNNNNNNNNNNNNNNNNNNNNNNNNNNNNNNNNNNNNNNNNNNNNNNNNNNNNNNNNNNNNNNNNNAUGAGCUUGUUCGCAGCAACUUGCAGUUUCUGGAGAACAUUCCUGAUGAUGAUGCACUAAUUUGCAUUAUUAUGGAGAUCCAUAGGAGGAGGGACAUGGUGUGUAUGCACAUGCAAAUGUUGGAUCAACACCUUCACUGCCCAACAUUUGGAACUCAUCGGUUCUUGUCACAAUCCUACCCAAGCAUAGCUGGUGAAUCUGUUGCUAAUUUGCGUUAUUCUCCUAUUACUUAUCCUAGUGUUCUGGGAGAGCCACUGCAUGGAGAGGUAAUAUUACCUNNNNNNNNNNNNNNNNNNNNNNNNNNNNNNNNNNNNNNNNNNNNNNNNNNNNNNNNNNNNNNNNNNNNNNNNNNNNNNNNNNNNNNNNNNNNNNNNNNNNNNNNNNNNNNNNNNNNNNNNNNNNNNNNNNNNNNNNNNNNNNNNAGAGGUAAUAUUACCUUUUUUUCGUUAAUUAGCCGCAUCUUUCAUUUUAUGCCUACUUUUCCCAUGCUUGUAUGGAUUGUUAUAUUAUACAUGCAUCGAAGCCCAUGGCCAAGCUCAUGUUACGUCCAUUCCAGUCUAUAAGGCAUGCAUACAUCUUUAAAUUUAACUUUGACCGGCAGUUAGAUCAAUAAUAUACAAGUCAUAUGACCUAAAAAUCGUACCACUGGAAACUUCUUUCGAAUACAAAUUCAGUAGUAAUAUAAUUUUUGUGGCAUAUAAUCUACAUUUGUUGGUUAAAUUGAUGGUCAAACUUGUUUCAUGAAAUGCGUCUGUGCCUUAUAAACUGGAACGGAGGGAGCCUUAUAAACUGGAACGGAGGGAGUAAUGUUUACCAUUACCUCCAUGCGGUACUUUUCUGGAGAUUUUUUGAUUGCAAGCACAUAUUAUGGAAGGUUUUAAACUUACGCAAAUAAUUAGAUAGAAAAAUAAAUGAAAUGUCCUUGUGAAUACCCAAGAGAAUGAGGGAGAAAUAAAUUAAUGUAGAAGCACACUCUAUUCAACAACAUUUUUGGAAAAGCAUAAUUGUGUGAACACAUUCUGAGAUAGAUUCUACUAAUGCCAUUUUCACGUGGCUCUGUUAGAUAGUUUUAUGUAUAUUAGUGAUUCUCAUGUGGUAUGUUAGAUGUAUAUUAGUGUCUAAAGCUGGUAUUGUUCAAGUGCAAUGUUUUUAAAAUGGUUUAUGUUUAGUUACAAAGGGAUCACUAUGUUUUUUCUAUGGUUUAGUGGUUCAGUACUGCAAAUACAAGCAAAUACUAUUUAUUUGCGGGUGUCUUGCACAUUAUUGAUGCAAUGUUCAUCAUUAUGACUGGUCAUAAAUUAUUGAUGCAAUGUUCAUCAUUAUGACUGGUCAUAAAUUAUAUGCAAGAUGCAUGAAGUUAUACAUGAAACAAGUGAAAUGAAGCAACUAAAAACUGUUAGGCAACAAACUUGGCGGGACAUUGUAUAUAUAUGAUAUUGUUCUGGGCAGGAUACGAAAGCUUAUAUUGCAUUCUUGUUUAGGAUCUUGCAAACUCUAUUCCAAAGGGGGGUUUAGACUGGGAACGUGCUCUGCGUUGCUUGAGGCAUGCUCUCCGCACAACUCCAUCACCAGACUGGUGGAGACGUGUCCUUCUUGUUGCUCCUUGUUACAGAUCACAUUCUCAAACAUCAACACCAGGAGCUGUUUUCUCACCAGAUAUGAUUGGUGAGGCAGUUGCUGACAGGACAAUUGAACUACUGAAGUUAACUAACUCAGGUUAGCAUCUGGGAGCUUCACUGUUUGUCGAUUCGAGUACAGGUUCCUUCUCAAAUGGGUGGAAUCCAGGUGUACAUGGAUACUCACCCCUUUUACUAAAUGCCCUUUUUAGGCAUGCACCUUUUUUGUAAAGAAUAUAAAUCUGCUUGUUGGAUGUUCAUAUGGAGUUAUUAAUUAUUGCCUGCUGCCUAUGCACUCAUUACAGCUCUGUCAUACUAUUGCAGAAACUCAGUGCUGGCAAGAUUGGCUUUUGUUCGCAGAUAUCUUUUUCUUCCUAAUGAAAAGUGGCUGUAUUGAUUUUCUCGAUUUUGUGGACAAGCUUGCAUCUCGAGUAACAAAUGGUGAUCAACAGAUUCUAUGCAGUAACCAUGUCACAUGGUUGCUUGCACAGAUUAUCCGUAUUGAGAUUGUGACGAACACACUUAGUUCGGACCCAAGGAAGGUGAUAUAUUGUAUGAUGAUCUGGAUCUGUACAUAUUUUUUUUCCUUUUUUCUAGUUACUUAAAUUCAAUUCUUUAGUAUUUUCUACGAGAAAUGUAGGGGAGACAAUGACAGUACUAGAUUUUAUUAAACCUUACAAGAAGGUAUCUACACGGUCAACAUAGAGUGACCACAAGGGGUUGGGGGGUGGGGGAGGCAAUCAAGGGGGAAGUGGGUCAUGGCCAAUCAAAGAAGAUUAUGUGUACCUGAGUUGGUGUCCACAUAUAAACAGUUCAACGGCACUCCAACAUAUAAGGUGCUGAAGGGGCAGCUCCAGAAAAGACAAUCCCUGGUUUUCAGUUCUUCUGGGUUGCAGAGCACACAGUUCGAAUCCUCAGUGACAUUGAAUGUUAUGCCUAAGAAGCAUGCCAGUGGUGCUGGGUCUAUCAUUCUGGAGGAGCUAUGCAAAGGCCUUAAGCUUUUAAGUGCAUUUGCAGGUCCGAAUCCGCUUUAUAGGUGUGAGCCUGGAGGAAAAGGAAGAAUAGUCCCGUAGAUGGUGCAAAUGCCAUUGCUUUCCUUAGCUAAACAUGAUGGUCGAGGAGGAGCUGUUGGAGAUCGUACGUUCGUCAACGGCUGGAAAUUUGGGGGGGGGGGGAGUGCGCUUGCUUAUUUGAUGACUGCGUGUUGUAAAAAGGUUAUUCUGUUAUGGAGUAUUAAAUGCACUCUAUUUGGUUUACAGUCAAUUUGUUCUAUCACUAACAAACAGUUACAAAUAAUAACAGUGCAUGACUAACUUCACGUUUAAGAGCUGUAAAAUUUAAAAUGAUUACCAUUUUGUUAUAUUGGACAAUAUUUUUAUGCCUCCUUUUAUUAUUUGUCUUAGUUUCACAGUUACAUGUUUAUCGUAACUACAUAAGAUCGUUCUAAUUAUUUGCUGUUCUGUCAGGUUGAAACGACACGCAAGAUAAUUUCAUUCCACAAAGAAGACAAAGGCCUCGAUCCUAAUAACAUCAGUCCUCAAAGUAUUCUUCUUGAUUUCAUAAGUAGCAGCCAGACUUUGCGCAUUUGGUCUUUCAACACUUCAAUUAGAGAGCAUUUAAAUAGCGAUCAACUUCAAAAAGGCAAACAGAUAGAUGAGUGGUGGAAACAGAUGACGAAAGGUACUUGUGCCCUAGAUUUACCAUCAUGUUUUGCUUUGUAAAAUUUCUGGCUAAAUCAACAGUUCACUAAAAGGAAUAUAUGUAGAUAGGUCAGGAACUAAUUCAAUGCAGUGAAAUCCUUGUUGUUUGCAUUACAUAAUAGCACUAUAAUUGGGAAUGCAGGUGAUGCAUGUUAUUUCAUUGAGAGAUGCUUGACUGCAAACCAUUUUUACAACUUGCAAAUUUGUCUUCCUUCAUGUAUCUAUUGAUAAGCUAGAAUCAUUUUCCCCUUGAAAUAAUAGCUUCGGGAGAGAGAAUGAUAGAUUUUAUGAACUUGGAUGAACGAGCAAUGGGCAUGUUUUGGGUUCUCUCGUUCACCAUGGCACAACCAGCAUGUGAUGCAGUCAUGACCUGGUUUACAUCAGCUGGAGGGGCAGAAUUCAUGCAGGGACCCAAUAUGCAACCAAAUGAAAGAGUGACGAUGAUGCAUGAAACUUACCCUUUGUCAAUGUCAUUGCUUUCUGGGUUGUCUAUCAACUUGUGUUUGAAGCUUGCUUUCCAGCUUGAAGAGACUAUAUUUCUUGGCCAGGUAAAACUUUAAAAAUUUAAGCUGCUGCUAAUACCCUAGUUGCAUUUAUAUUUCUGUUAUGUAUUUAGUUUUAUAAAGCCCACCAUAACUUUGUUCAGACUAUAAGCUUUGCGGUUGUUAGUUUGAUAUACAUUAGUUGAUACGUACAUAGAAAAUAACUUAGUUCACAUAUGGUUUCACAUGAUCAAAACAAUUUCUGUGAAUAAUUCUUCUGCUCAUUUAAAUAACAUUUGCCGAAUAGCUCAUAUGUUACAGUUUUGCUGACAAUAUGUGAACUUGUGACUCAUCUGUUUUUAAAUCGUGACAUCAUUUGCAAUCUUAACUGGAAAUAUAUCUUUCUCGAAGUAUGCAUACAGUCACAAUUAUCUGUUCUUUUGGUAUUGCUAAUAUUCAUCUGUCUUUAGAUGCCAUACAGUGGAUAUUGCUACUUCAGUCUUAACUGUGUUCUUUGAUAGGCUGUUCCUAGCAUUGCUAUGGUGGAAACCUAUGUCAGGUUGCUGCUUAUAACACCGCAUUCAUUGUUCCGCCCACAUUUUACGGUAAGUUUUGCUACCUGUUAAUGUGAUCUGUAUUCUUCAUAUGGAAUUACUUUUUGUAACUGUACCUUAUAACCAUAAGGGUCCCCUGUUCUGAGUUCGUGCAAAUGAUGAUCGUAUGGAAAUUCUGAUACAUUCAUGCUAUUUAAACUUGGCAGACAUUAACCCAAAGAUGUCCAUCUAUUCUGAGCAAAGCUGGUGUGUCUUUGCUCCUACUUGAGAUACUGAAUUACAGAUUACUUCCUCUGUACAGGUAAUUCAUUACCGACUUUGGUCUUUAGUUUUUUCUUCUUCUUUUUCUUAAAAGGAAAUUACUCACUCCGUUCACAAAUAUAAGAUGUUCUGACUUUUUUCUGAUUUGGGUGUAUAUAGACCCGUUUUAGUGUAUUCACUCAUUUCAGUCCGUAUGUAGUCCAUACUGAAAUAUCCAAAACAUCUUAUAUUUGUGAACGGAGGGAGUAGCUUAUUGGGCGCAUCAAAGAAUCUUUUCACCUCAUUCACCUGAGCUGGGCGUCCUACAGCAGCUUCACUCGUGACGCCAGAUGCCAUCGGUCUCCCUCUACGCGGACGGCAUGAUCCUCUUCUGCCACCCCACUUUGAGUGACAUCACUGCCGUCAAGAGCAUCUUGCAGCUGUUUGGGCAUGCCUCCGGCCUUCAGGUCAACUUCGCGAAGAGCACGACCACCCUGACUCGCAACGAGGCGGAUGCGGCCGCGCACGUUGUGGAGCUGCUGGGCUGCCCCAUCGUUGAGCUGCCCAUUACUUACUUGGGUAUCCCCCUUACGCUACGACGGCUGUCCGCUGCCCAGCUACAGCCCAUGAUUGACAAGACCGCCGACAUGCUCCCCUGCUGGAAAGCGCAUCUCAUGAACAGGGCCGGGUGCAUUGCGCAUGUGAAGGCCAUCCUCAGCGCAGUUCCGAUUCACCAGCUUCUACCACUCCCCCCUCCCCAAGAAGACCCUCAAGGCACUCGUGAAGAUCCAACACGGCUUCCUCUGGGCUGGGCGUGCGGAGGCAAAUGGCGGGCACUGCCACGUCAGCUGGCAACGAGUGGCCCGGCCGAUCUCUCUUGGGGGUCUUGGCGUUUGCGACCUUGCAUGCUCCGGCCUCGCGUUGCGCACCCCGAUGGGUCUGGUUCAGCCGCAUGGACACCACUAGAGCAUGGGCAGGCCUAGACCUGCAGUUCUCCGCCGAGGAGCGCGCAUUCUUCUUCGCCUCCACCACUAUGCAACCGGGGAACGGUAGGGAGGCCCUUUUCUGGGAGGAUCGAUGGAUUAGCGGACGCUCUAUCCGUGAGAUCGCCCCGCUCCUAUACGCGUGCACCCCCAAGCGCCGGCGCAAGAUCAGGACGGUCGCAUAGGGGCUACAGUCCAACCGCUGGGCGCAUGACAUCCAGGGCAUGGUGGGCCUCCACGAGAUCGGGUAGUACCUUCAGCUUUGGCACAUGAUCAACGGCACAACCCUCUCUACGGAGCUGGAUCGCCUCACAAGGAGAUGGAGCGCAAACGGCGCCUACUCCGCCAAAUCUGCAUACAACGCCACCUUCGCCGGAUCCACUACUUGCCCCGCUUGGAAGCUCACAUGGAAGAACCGGGCACCUCCGCGCGUCUGCUUCUUCCAUUUGCUUGCCCACCUCGACCGAUGUUGGACCGCAGACCGGCUUGCCCGCCGAGGGCUGCAACACCCUGCGCGAUGCCCCCUCUGCGACCAAGCACCUGAGACCAUGCACCACCUCAUCCUUGCCUGCCCCUUUGCCAGACAGAUCUGGCAUGUAGCGCUGCACUGGCUGCGGAUCCCUUGCGCCCCACCGGGCAGCGAGCCCUCACUACUCAACUGGUGGCAAUCAGCAAGGCAAUCCGUCCCAAUGCCCAUGCGCAAAGGCCUGGGCACCAUGACCCUCCUCGUCCCAUGGAUGUUGUGGAAACAGCGCAACGACUGCGUUUUCAAUGGAGGACAACCAUCGGUGGACACCAUGCUCACGAAGAUUAAAGACGAGGCCGCUCUCUGGGCAAGCGCUGGUGCUCUAGGGCUUAGAGCCAUCACCCCCCAAACAUGGGAUGUUCACUGAUUUUUCUGUUUCGGAACCUGUAAUGGCCUCCUAGGAGGACUGUAACAACUCUCUCUCUCUUUUCAAUGCAAUGAAACGCAAAAUCUCUUGCGUUUUCUUGAAAAAAUGCCUUCUAUAUUCUGCAUAUAGAGAUUUAUCCUUCUAAACUGAUCUCAGCAUAAUAAUACAUGAAUUUCCUUUUGUUUCACAGUCCUUCAGAAAAUCCUCAGUCUGUGUCUUUUAUUGAUUAUAUCAUGGUAUGUUUCUUAUUUUCUUACACCAUUAUGGAUCUUUUCUAGGUAUCACGGAAAAAGCAAGGCAUUGAUGUAUGAUGUCACAAAGAUAAUAUCAAUGAUUAAGGGAAAACGUGGAGAGCAUCGCCUUUUUAGAUUAGCUGAAAAUUUGUGUAUGAACUUAAUUCUCUCACUGAGAGACUUCUUUUUGGUGAAAAAAGAGUUGAAGGUAAACACACUUUUCUUUGUAAAUUUGACUAUCACUAGUUUGUGGAGUGACUUCUAUGUUUAUGUAGGGACCAACUGAGUUUACUGAAACGCUUAACCGCAUAACCAUAAUAAGCCUUGCAAUCACCAUCAAGACGCGUGGAAUCGCCGAGGUUGAACACAUGGUUUAUCUUCAACCACUAUUGGAGCAAAUUAUGGCAACCAGUCAGCAUACAUGGUCAGAAAAGACUCUACGUUAUUUUCCUCCCCUUAUUCGUGACUUUUUAAUGGUUAGGGCGGAUAAGAGGGGACAAGCUAUCCAAGCAUGGCAGCAGGUAUCAUUCUUUUGGGACACAUGUUUGGCCAUUUAUAUCUGUAUGCAUCUACUGAUCACCAUCUUGGAUAGUUUAUUGCUCAUUUUUGUUGAGGAUUGAUAAGUUACGCUUCUGUUUGUUACAUCUUUUUUAGCUUGUAAUAACUGCUCUUCGUAUUUGUGGAUAGUGGGUUGAGAAUGUAUCAGUUGUCUGUGCACCAUUUAUGUACUAUUGGCAUUAGAAACACCAUUAAAUUUAUGCCUCCAGAAUGACAUUAUCACCUAUUCACACUUUGCUACUUUAUGGUUAAGUUGAAUAAAUAUAUAGUUUCUGUAACCUCAAAAUACAGUAUUUCCAUAUGCUUGUUCCGGCCAUGUGUAAGAGUAUAAUAUCUCCAAAGGUCUUGAAUUGGUUUCUUUAACUUGCUCGCAUAUGUUUUUGAGAUUAUUGUGCCGGGCACCUGGGCCGCAUUGUUCUUCAUCUUUAAUUUUGACAACACUCUCAUUUCAGGCAGAAACUACUGUUAUUAAUCAAUGCAACCAGCUACUGUCACCAUCCGCGGAGCCGAAUUAUGUCAUGACUUAUCUGAGCCAUAGUUUCCCUCAGCAUCGUCGAUAUCUAUGCGCUGGUGCUUGGAUGCUAAUGAAUGGGCAUCCUGAGAUCAACAGCGCAAAUCUUGUAUGAUUUUAUUUUUUCUGAUUACUUCCAUACGAGGGUUGUCUGUUACUCUAUAUAUGUGCUGCUUGAUCUUAAUGCAGGCUCGUGUCUUGAGAGAGUUUUCACCUGAAGAAGUUACGGCGAAUAUUUAUACAAUGGUUGAUGUUCUUCUGCAUCAUAUCCAGCUUGAGCUUCAACGGGGGCAUCUAGUGCAGGUGACACAAGAUAUCUGUUUUUUUUGUUACAAAAGUUGUCCCUUCGGCUGUUUGUUUUUGUGGUUUUCCUUUUCUAGUAGCUUGCGUCUAAAAUUUUCUGGUCGCUUAUUUUCUGCAGGAUUUACUUUCCAAAGCAAUCACGAAUCUUGCAUUCUUUGUCUGGACACAUGAGUUAGUUCCACUGGACAUUGUGCUGCUAGCUCUUAUUGACAGGGAUGAUGAUCCUUAUGCUUUACGUCUUGUGGUAAGUCCUCUUAGAAAAAUUAGGUUUGAAUUUCAUAUUCCUGUCACAUCAUUAGUUCCAUAACCAUUAUUUAGUUACCAAUUGACUGUUUCCCAGUUGUUGGAUAGCUGUGAACAUUCUACUAAAAACCAGUUCAACAGCUGUUCAUGGUCAAAUAUUAAAAGCAGCUAAUCUAAUAGAAUGGUUUUCGAGUUUAGGGUUGAUAAGUACAGUAGACUCUAGCGAGGGUUGAAAACCAGACACUUUUUGUAUUCAAUUUGCAGUUUUUAAAGCUUCCACGAGUUGUUUAUUGCAUGGAUAUGGUUACAUGUUACAGUUUUUGUAUUAGUCAUUGAUAAAAGAGUAACAGAGGGCAGCAUGUGGAUGCCUUUUGGUAACACAUUACUAUUAUGAAAGUGUCGUAGGAAUAGGCAGAGUACCCUGCUGUAUAUAGGAGGGCAGCACAAGGGUACUACCGUACGGGGGGCAGAGGAGAUCUGGCUGGCGGGCACAGGCUGUUGAGCUCCAGCUCUAUGGAGAGCGCGGAAUUUGUGGAGGAGCUCGGGAAUGAUGUGUGGGUGCAGAUGGCAUCAUAGGCUUUCAGGGACUCACAUAUGUCUGUAGAGUGGAGCUCUCGCGCCAUUGCCACUGUUUUCCACCAAAUCUUAGACACCUUUUUUUUCUCGAGAAAACGCAAAAGCCAUUGCGUUUCAUUGCAUUGAAAAGAGGGGGGGGGGGGAACAUCCUCCUAAGAGGCUAGUACAACGGUGUUACAAGUGGAUCAAUGAACGUCCCAAGAGUAUGGCAGGGUGACCCUAAGACCUUUGGCCCCUGCCUUAGCCCAACUCCUGGACUCAUCCUUGAUCGCAUCAGCGAGCUCAACUAGCAAUGGGGCUACUUGGUCAAAAACACACGCAUUCCUAUGCUUCCAGAUCAUCCAAGGCACAAGGAGUGCUACCGAGGCCAGCGCUUUGCGGAGCGGGGGUGGCGUGGCAUCGCGAGCCCGCAGCCACCAGUCCUGGAGCGUGGCGUCCAGGUCAGGCACCGGAGACGGGAGGCGCAACCAGGACAUGAUCCCGUGCCAGGUCUGCUUCGCGAAUGGGCAAGUGAGUAGCAGGUGCUGUAUCGUCUCCGGUUCUUGGUCGCAAAGGAGGCACCGAGGGUGGUGUGUGAGGCCAUGGCGGGCAAGGCGCUCAGCAGUCCAGCAGCGGUCCUGAUUGGCGAGCCAAUGGAAGAGCUUGACCUUCGACGGGGCCCAACCCUUCCAUAUCAGCUUCCACGACCAGCAAGUGAUAGAUCCGUGGAAGGUGGCUUGGUAACAAGACCGGGCUGUGUAGUUGCCGUUGGCAGUCCACUUCCAGGAUAGCUUGUUCGGCUCUGAGCCAUAUUUGGAGGUACUGCCCGAUCUCCUGUAGGCCAAGGGUGGCGUGGAUAUCCUGCGCCCAAGCGUUGCCGACAAUGCCCUCCGCCACCGUCCGAGAUUUCCUGCGAUUUUUGGGGAUGCACAUGUACAGUGAGGGCGCGUGCUCGCGGAUGGAUAGGCCGAGGAGCCAACGGUCCUCCCAGAAAAGUGCUGUCGUUCCGUCUCCAAACUGCAUGGUGGUAGAGGCGUGGAAAAGGCCGUGCUCCUUGGGGGUGAACUGCAGGUCCAGGCCAUGCCAGGCGCGGCUAGUGUCCGUCCGCGAUAACCAUAACCAUCUGAGCCUAAGAGCGAGCCCUGUGCGCUCGAGGUCGCGGACUCCCAGGCCGCCGUAGUCAAUUGGCCGGCAUACCCGGCGCCAGUUCACGUGACAGUGCCCACCGUGGGCGGCCUUGCGCCCGGCCCAGAGGAACCCGCGCUAAAUCUUCUCGAGCUGCUUCAGUGUUUUUUUCGGAGGUGCGAGGGCGAGCAUUUGGUGGAUGGGGAUGGCGCUGAGCACAGACUUGACGAGCGCCAGCCGCCCGACCUUGUUCAUGAGCCACGCCUUCCACGAUGGGAGGCGGCCGGUCACCUUGUCAACUAGUGGUUGCAUCUGGGCCGCGGAGGGGCGGCGCGUGGAGAGGGGGAUGCCCAGAUAUGUGAUGGGCAGGUCCGCCGCCUGGCAGCCAAGAAUCUCCAUCGAUUCGGCGGUCGACUCAUCUCCAUGCAAUGCCGUGGCAGAGCUCUUGCCGUAGUUCACGUGCAGGCCAGAGGCGAAACCGAAGACCCCUAAGAUGCCCUUCACAGCAAGGACCUCGUCGGUGGAGGCGUGACAGAACAACAUCACGUCAUCGGCGUAUAGCGAGAUAGCCGGGAUGUUGCGUCGAGGGUGGAGGCUCCGGAGAAUGCCGGUCUGGAGCGCCCGUUGCAUGAGGUGGCUGAGCGUGUCGACGACCAUGGCGAAUAGCUGCGGAGAUGUCGAGUCGCCCUGUCGCAACCCACGGCGGUGCCAGAUCGAGGGUCCCGGCACUCCAUUGAGCAGGACGCGGGUGCUGGCCGAAGAGAGGAGGAUGGCCAGCCACUCCCGGAACCUCACUCCGAACCCAUAUUGGCGCAAGAUCUCGAAGAGGAAGGGCCAGGAUAUGGAGUCGAAGGCCCGGGUAAGGUCGAGCUUGAGCAUGAUCCUCGGCGCACCCAGUUGGUGCAGAAGCUUGAGGGAUUGCCGGACUAGGAUGAAGUUGUCGUGGAGAGUGCGUCUGACGAUGAAUGCAUUCUGGUAGCGGCUCACCAGACCGUCGAGCAUCGGGGCCAGGCGCAAGGAGAGGACCUUCGCGAAGAGCUUAGCCGAAAUAUGUAUCAGGCAGAUCGGCCGAUAGUUGCUAAGUCUGUGGGCAUCAGCGCGCUUUGGCAGUAAGGUAAGCAGUGCCUGGUUGAGCUUCUGGAAUCCGCGCCCCUCAGCGCAUAGAGCUGCUCAAAGACCUCAAGCACGUCCUGCUUAAUGGUGCUCCAGCAUGCGCGCAAGAACUCCGCGGUGAAGCCGUCCGGCCCCGGCGCCUUGUGCGUGGGCAUGCGCCUCACAGCCUCCCAGAUCUCCUCAGGGCUGAACGGCGCCUCGAGGCUCGUCAGGUCAGCGGGCGCGAUGAGGUGCUCGAGGUCCAAUGUGUGGGCACGGUCGGGCGCUGUGCCUAACAACCCGUCAAAGUGAGCAAAGGCCGCCUGGGCCAUCUCCUCAUGCUCGCUGAGCAUCUGCCUGUCGACAAGCAGGCUGUACACUCUGUUCUUCUGCCGACGAUAUGUGCAUUGCUUGUGGAAGAAGCUCGUGUUCGCGUCGCCGUUCGAGAGGGCGGAAAGGCGAGCACGCUGUCGGGCGAUCGUGCGCUCAAGCGAGGCCAAGCCAAGAUAGGACAUCUUGAUUUGCUUGCGCAACCAGUCUUUCGGGGGGGCGGUGAGCAUGCGAGUCUCCAUCGCCUGGUCAAAGCGCAGGAUUAACUCGCGGGAGAUGGCGAGCUUGUCCCUGAUGUUGCCCGUGGACUUGGCGCUCCAGCUCGUGAGAGCGCGGCCCGUGGCCUGCAGGCGCCUGACCAGACGCCUGAAAGGGUCAGGGUCAGACACCGAGCCCCAUGCCGCGGCUACCGUGUCGUGGAAGCCCUCGAGACGCAUCCAAAACUCCUCGAAGUGGAAGCGUUUGUGAUCCGAUGGCAUGGGCGAGCAGUCCAGAAGCAGAGGACAGUGGUCAGAUACGACGGAUGCCAGGCAGCGGAGGUGGCACUCGCCAUGGCUAUCCUCCCAGUCUGCGGUGCAGAGCACCCGGUCAAGGCGCACGAGCGUAGGAGGGGAUUGCUCAUUGGACCACGUGAAGCGACGCCCAUUGAGAUAAACCUCCUUCAGAGCUAGGUCGUUGAUGACGCGGCGGAACCUACCCAUCAUGCGGUGGUUCACGUAGCCCGAGCUUUUGUCCGAUGCACGACAUAUCAAGUUGAAGUCCCCGCACAACAUCCACGGGCCUGGGCUGGUGGCGCGAAUGUCGCGCAGCUCCUGCAGGAACAACAACUUGUCCUGAUCACCUUCGCAGUCACCGCGUGCUGCGUGAACAGGAGGUCAGAAAGCGUGACAGCCCUAGUUUUCCAGGCGAGGAGGAUGCCGCCACGCGUGCCAUCGGCCGGGAGGUAUGUGGACCCAUCAAAUUCGGACCCCAGCGUUUCCAGCACAACAGACGACGAGAUCAAAGCCAUCUUAGUUUCUUGGUGACAUACAAUGGACGCGCGGGUGGUACAGACAAGCGAUCGAAUAGCGCAGCGCCUAGCGCGCGAGUUAAGGCCUCUAACAUUCCACACAACAAUCUGCAGGCCGUGAUCCAUGAGCAAGGGGUCGACGUGUGACGAGCGGCGCCGCUAACUCACGCAGGCGGCAGCAUCGUUGGGCACCGCAGUCAGACAAGCCGGGAUCUCCCUGUCGACAAGGGCCGCGAUAGCCUGCAGGACCGACAGUUGGAGCGGCGUGGCGAACAGGUCGUCGUAGGUCUUCAUCUCAGCGGCGGAGAUGGGCUGGUUGAUGCCGACGAUGCCGAGGGUGCGCAGAAUCUGCACUUGGGCUCGCCUCUCGGCCCUUGGCGGUGUUGCAGCAGCCGUGUGUGUGGCAGCGGAUCGUCCCCGCCGUGGACUGAAGUUCAGAGGGGGCCGCGAUCUCUUCCCCGGGGAUGGCAGGGUGGCAUUAAGUUGCUCCGUGGCUGCUAACAGGAACUGCCCCAGCGUCCAGGAGGAGGGACUUGAGGCUGGCCGGCUGCGCGGCCGUCGCAAGGUGAUCGGAGGCGAAGCAAAUCUGUUCGAUGCAGACACGCGCGGCGCGGCAUCAGGGGCGCCAUCAUGAUCGCAAUGUGCGGGCCGCUGCAGAAUGGUGAUCGGGGGUGGGUCGGGGGGCAAGUGUCCGCGCCAUUCGCUGCUGGAGAAAGCCCAAUGGUGGGGGGCCCAGGCGGGGCUGGCUCGGGAAAGGCCUGCUCGACAGGGGGUGUCCCUGUAGCGGGCUGACAGGUGGGCAGGGGCCCAGUAGCCAAUUCCGGCGUGGCGGCAGCGAUUUCCUGGUUUCCCGCGCGUGCCAAAGCGAUGCCCGCGCUGGCCCGCGGCGUCUGAUCCGAGACGUCAGGCGGGCCCCGCGCCGCAGGGAUGAUCGUGGCGCAGCUUUGGCCCGACCAAGCGGCAGGCGUGACUGGCAUGGUGGGGACGUCUUGCUGCGAAUCGGGGACUUGGCUGGUGAGCGCGAGCUCAACCGACGCAGAGGUGGUCCCGAUCGUAUCCACUUCCGGCACAAGGGGAGCGCGGGGGCGUGCGGUCCCGAGCACAUCCGCCUCGGUCGUGGUGGGGGCGCGCGGAUUUGAAACAGCAGGGGGAAUCUGGGCGUCGCCAGCCAACCGCGGCUAGCCAGCUGUCGCCGAAGCAGGAGCCGCUCUGACGCUGUCCGAGGGUUGCACAGCUAGGUGCGCGGUGGGCCCUCGACGAAGCUCCCUUUUGCAGGCUGAUGACGCGGUCCCUCGUUCCUUUGUUGACGCGCUGACGGAGGCGUGCGGGCCCCUGCGGCCUGGGCCAGGCCAGCAUGCCCAGCCUGGCAGGAUGAGAGCCUUUCGGCGGCGCCGCCACGCCAGGCCAGGAAGCCGCCGUGGCCGUACCAUCAGCGCGGCCGGGGCGGCGCACACGCCAGGCCGGCGCGUCGAUGGCCAUGCCAUCCGCGCGGCCGGCCGGAGCCUCUUCGGCGCGCGUCCUGGGGCUGGGCCUUGGCCAUGGCCCUGGCCGCGCCUCCUGCCCUCGCCUGCGUCGUCCCCGACAGGCCCUCCGGCCGCCUGAGGAUCGUUUGGCGCGGUCCUGAUCCGCUCCGCCAUGGUUAGCUCGAUGGUGAUGGGAUAGGACAGGGUCCUGAUGGCCGGAGCUUCCGAGGGCACGCGAGCCGGGAGCUGCUCGACGAUAGCCAGUACCACAGCGCACCGGAUGUCAGAGGGAUUGUGAGCGCGGCCGGAGAGGCGGAAGACGGCGAGGUCGUCGCGCGAACGCGUGCGGGGGUGCAGCCGUUCAAUCCAGCAACUCGAGCCCAACACGUGCUCGGCCGUGGAGAGAUGCCACGCGUGGGCGGGGAUGCCGCGAAGCUCCAGCUCCACGCGGUAUCCGAGGUCGUCGGCGGUGGCAUGUGCCAGCUUGCACCAUGGCCGCAGGGAGAGGGCAAAACGGGGCGAGCAGAGGAUGUGCUCGCCGUUGAGCCGGCGCAUGGUGGCCAAGGAUGAGAAGAUGAUGAGGAAGUCCUCCGGAUGAUGCGCGUGCACGGUGAAGUCGCCCUCGGCGAGGUCCAGCGAGCUCAGGAGCAGCUCGACCACCUCGGCCGAGGAGACCCACGGCCGAUUGCCCGUGAUGGUGGCCACCAUUGCGCGGGCAAGGACGAGCUCGGCGUUGUCCAUCUCCACCGUCUGUGCCACGAAUACCCACGCGGGGCCAUCAUUGGACAACGGGGCGGCCGGAGUCGGAAGGGGAGCGGGCGCCGGAGGGACGAUGCGGGGAUGCGCGACGGGGGGAGGGAUCCUGGCGACGACUCCACGAGAGGGGAGCGGCUGCACGGCCGCAGUCGCGCGCGGGGACUGCCUGGGGCAUCCGCGACGCGAGGCUGCACGGUCGCGUCCGUGCCCAGGGGCUGCCGAGCCGCGUCGGCAACACGACGGCCGCCGCAGGCGCGGGAGGCGUGGCCGAAGACGAGGCAGCGGCGGCACCGGACGUCGUUGGGACAGUCGCGCACAUGAUGCCGGUGGUCGAGGCAGCGGAAGCAGAGGCCGGCGACCUCCUCCGGGGACGGGCUGCGACGGCGCGGCGGAGAUGCCGGGCUGGGCGGGGCGUCAUGGCGCGGACGGCGGUGGUGAUGCCUGCGGCAGGGCUGCUGGAAGCCGUCAGCGUCGAGCACGGGGCCUCCCGACGCGCGGUGCACCUCCGAGCGGGGCCGAGGCGGUCUUUGACAGCAGGACGGGAGGCUGGCGCAGCGCGUUCGGAGGCGGUGACGGCGCGCCUGAGGACGGCGGCAGCCGGCGGGCCUGCGGGGGGCGGCGACGCGCGCGCGACGUCGCUGUACGACCUCGUCGAGGACUCUCCCUCCGAGCUGCUCUAGCGUUCCCCGUAGGAGACGCGCUCGCCGGAGGGGGUCGCUCGGCGGUUGACAGGGUCAGCUGCGGCGGAGGCGCCCAUCGCGCAGGGCCUAAGGAGGAGCGGGAGCAGGGCGGAGUGCUCAAAUCUUAGACACCUUCAUCGGGAGAUGGGAGGAGGUUAGACUGGGAUGGGGAAAGGGGAAAACUACUGAGGAUCUCUUUAUAUAUGCACUGGCUGUUUUCUUGUAAACAAUGUAAGCGCGGGAAGUCUCCUGUGGAAGGUUUGGCAAGGGGCUGUGGGAAGCACCUCUGGUGGCGCUUCUCCACUCCAGUGUAAAGCCGGCAGGUGUUUGUUGAGUUUGUGCUUCUAGAGGGUUAGAAACACCACAAGCUGAAUCAUAAGCCCAAACAAACAGAGUCUUUGAGUACCAACUAGUGCCUGAGCUGGCUAGUUUCUACUGUAAGUCACAACUAGAUUUUCGUCUGUGUAUACUAUGGUAAUUAGAAGGCAUUAUACUUGGACAGAUUUGAUGUUUUAAAACUGACUAGUUGCUUCACCAGUGCAUGCUAAAACGUGGACUUGCUUUGAUGAUAAAUUUACCAUUGCAGAUAAGUCUGCUUGAAAGACCGGAACUUCAACACAGAAUUAAAGCAUUCUGCAGUUCCCGUUCUCCUGAGCAUUGGCUAAAAAAUCAACCUCCAAAAAGAGCUGAGCUUCAGAAAGCUCUUGGUAACCAUCUUUCAUGGAAGGACCGGUAAGUGCAAUCUUUUAAUCGAUAUUCAAGUCCAGUGUUUUAGUUAAAUAUGCAAUUAUAUAUUUGGAAUUUGAGCAAUAUAUAACAUAUUCGUUGAACACAUGCGUAAAGCAGGUUCAUUUUUAACCUUAGUUGUCUUUUGAAUAGCACAAUACCAGCUAGCUAUUUCAUUGAUAAUUCGCUUGUUAAUCUGAUUGCCUGGUACAAUCUGGUCUAUUUGGAUCUGUAGAUAAAUUCGAGGGUACUGUGCUUAGUUUAUCUUUAGUCAGGGACGUUUCUGGGUAUGCCUGAUAAGUACUUAUCCAUUUAUUUCCCAGCCUUGAAUUGAACCAUCCCUGUUUUUAUCUGAAUCUCGCUGGUUUGGGAAGCCCUUGUCCUAUUUCCAAUAUAUGGCUACUAGUUUUAGACUUCCUGAACAUUCUUAAGGGUGGAUGAUUAUAUAUCUACUUUACCCGGUAAAAGAAACAUAUCUACUUAUUUCUGCAUUUGUUUUUGUUUGUAAAAUCAUCUUGAUGUUUUAAGUUGCGCCCACUUUUCAUGAUUCAACUUUGUAAGUAACUACUAAAGCAAGGUUUAGUGGUAGAAAAGCAAUACAUUGUAAUGAAAUUAAUCAAAGAUUAGUUUUUGAUCUUUUGACAAUUCUUCCAAUUUGCUGCUCGGGCCCAUGUCAAUAGUCUCAAUAUGUAGGGUGGAAACGGAUUGGAUGCUGACCAGAUGGUGCUCUUCCCACUUUUCCAUAUUUUCAAAACGAGUACAGAUGCAAAUACGUUUGUUGUCAAACACGAGGACAGCUCGGGUGCUACUCGAAUACAAAUAUCCUUAAACUUCUUUUUGCGAGGUUAAAUAUCCUAAAACUUUGACGACACACUAUAGGGCACUUGAUGUUGCUGUUGAUUGAUGACAUGAUGAACAGUAGCUCACUUGAUCUCUUCUUCAGUUGUCCAAGGCUUCCAGCGGCACAAUAUACUAUCAAGUCUUAGAGCUAGGCAGCAAGCUAGUUUGGCAUUUUUUAUCUGUAAAUGUGUCGGUCGUAAUUAAGAGCAUGGUAGAUUUUGUCCAGCUCUAUACACAUGCAUCUUGAUUCCUGAAGAGCAAUACCAUUACGUGAUUCAUCACUACUGUAUGGUCAUGUUAUUACGUGCGCGAUGGAAGCUGAAAGGAGUAGGAGCGUGCCUGUGUGGAGAAGACAGCGGAAGAGUCGCAUGUGUUAGGAAAGCAACUUAUCUGUAUUGAAGGCCCAAGGGGCAUAUAUAUAUUACACAUGACUUGAGGUGCAAGGAAAGUAAACAUAGACUAAUAAGGACUCCUAGACUAAUACUAAUAGCCUAAUAAAGACUCCUAGACUAAUACUAAUACUUCCUAACAGCCCCCCUCAAAUGCAAAGCGUAUGCAAUAGCAUUGCAUUUGAAGAAGUGUAAUACUAAAAAAAAUGACAAUCCAAAUCCGCGUCUUGAGAGUGUCGUCGUAGCAUGAAGAGUCUUCAAAACUUGUCGAGUCGCCGAAGGAAAUAUCGAAGAGAUGGCACAUCAGAGGUAGACACCGCAUCACUUGAAGAUACAAGAUAAGUAUCAAGAGAAGAUGGGUUGUCAAAAGAAGAUGGCACAUCAAGAGAAUAAAACAUUGUGCAGAAAAUCAUAGUCCACGACAACUGUCGGCGAAAGAAGCUCGGCGGAUAAGACACGAUGGAUGUAGAUCGACAAUGCAAAACAAGUCCAGAAAAUCCUAUAGAAAACAAGGGCAAAUAGGCCACAAAAGUUGCAUAGAAAGGAUCAGGACCAAAGAAAGACUGACGGACAAAGGUAUGGUGGACUCUCAUGACGUGAUAACACAAAACAUCGACGGAUUUGGUGGACGCAGCAGAAAAAUAUAGAAAGCUAGAAGCAUAGACUAAACUCAAGACUAGAUGCAAUAGCAGAGUAAAAAAAAUUCAGAGACCAAAACAGAGUAGCAGCAGGCCAAGCGAUGGUAAACGGCCAUGGGGAGCACGAGAUGCAGCACACAGCCGGCCAUGUAGAAAGGCAGCAGCUAAUCGAACGCAGCACCACGCAGCAAGAUUGCAAACAGCACAUGGAAGAAGCAGCAGCGGACAAGCAUGCAGGAACAGAGCAGCAGCCAGCCAGGAGGAGCACAUGCGGGUGGGGCAGCACCACGUAGCAGCAGGAACUGCUGCCCAUGCCGAAGGCAGAUGCAUGAGCAGUCACGAGAGCCGGAUGAGGCGGAUAGAGAGGCAGCCACUCGGCCCGUUCUAGAGACGUGGAGGCCGGCGUUGACCAUCGACAAGAUCCAAGCCGCCUCGAACUGGAGCCCGAUCUGGCGGCGGACAGCAGCAAGAUUGGCGGCCCCGUGGUGCGCGAAAGUCACGGGCUCGUAUGGGAGCGCGAGCAGGAGGACGCCGACGAGGGGGAUUGCAGAGCCGGCGCUGAUCUGCGCGAGGAUGAUGCGGCCUGAGUUCCUGAGCCUCCUGGUGAGGACGUCCCCCAUCUUGCCGCCGAAGAGCCCGCCCAGCGACGUGGCGACCUUGAACAGCGCGGACCAGGGGAACGAGCCCGUGAGUCCCUGCGCGACGAUGUGAGUCCCUGCGCGACGAUCACCUGAAACGACGGGAUCCGUAGCACGGCCUUGCCUGCAGCUCUUGCCGCACGGGCUUGGCCGCCCGGACUGGGGGCUUGCCGGCGGCCGUGAACGCGCGGAUAGGCGCGACGACGGAUGGGACUGCAGCAAAUCCAGCAGUGAUCGCCGGCGGGAGAGGACCUAGCGGCAGGAGAGGAGAUCGAGCGGGGAGGCCCGUGGGGAUCGAUCGGGAUGGAGAUCGAUCGAGAUGGAGAGAUUGGAUCGGGAGGGCGAGUUGCGGCGCCCGAAAAAAAUAACCUAAGCUCUAAUACCAUGUUAGGAAAGCAACUUAUCUGUAUUGAAGGCCCUAGGGGCAUAUAUAUAUUACACAUGACUUGAGGUGCAAGGAAAGUAAACAUAGACUAAUAAGGACUCCUAGACUAAUACUAAUACUUCCUAACAGCAUGGAGGGCGCUAGUGUGAAGAGGGUUAGUGCAAGUUGCUUGGCAAGGGAUGUGACUGGGGUGUCUGAUGCCAGUCUGGCAGUCUGCAUCCGUAUUGCUUUGGCACUUCACUUUACUUAUUGGGCUUUUCCUUGCUAAAUGGGCUGUGAUCUAAGGGGACAGCCACACAGGGGAGCUGGAUAGUGAUACAUUCGAUCUCGAAAUUUCAUAUCCUCGUAUUUUUCCAAUGCAUCAUCCGCAUUUAUAUCUGGAUAUUAAGUCCCCAUAUUGUCAGGAUCCAGAUUUGAUUCUGAUUCGAUGCAGAUAUUUAUUCCCACAUUAGCUUUCUCUGAUACCGACAUCAGAUAAUUUGUAUAUCCGGUGCCAGUUUCCACCCUUAUCAGUAUGUUGCUCCGAAUCAGAGGGGCUGAUGCACAUAUAGAAAAACACUACAAAGUUAGAAGGGGGUGCCCAUCCUCAAUCUUCUGGCUGAUACAUAUAUCUCUUUACUUUCUAUGUUUAUAAUACCUUGUAGGCUUGUACGAUGGCAUAUUAUGUUGAUUUGGAUAUAUUUGACUUCUUAAACCAUAUUUCUGUUGGUAUAUUUUGCCCUUUUGGGUUUCUGUGCAAAAGUUAUCGAAGCUUGAUUCACUAUAGUUGUGUUGUGAAUGCAGCUAUCCUACCUUUUUCGAUGACAUCGCUGCCCGCUUGCUUCCAGUCAUCCCACUGAUAAUUUAUAGGCUUAUUGAGAAUGAUGCUACAGAUAUCGCAGACAGGGUUCUCGCAUUCUAUUCUACCUUUCUCGCUUUCCACCCACUGAGAUUUACAUUUGUGCGGGAUAUUCUUGCAUACUUCUAUGGUCAUCUUCCAAGCAAGUUAAUUGUCCGGAUCCUCAACGUGCUGGGUGUUAGCACCAAGGUAAACCUCUGUUUACUCUUUUCUGGAAACCCUUCUAGCUGUCCACUUUUAUUCAUACUAAUGGUGAUCAUUUUACAGACUCCUUUCUCGGAAUCCUUUGCUCAAUAUUUAGGGUCUUCAAAUUCUUCUAUUUGCCCACCACCAGAAUAUUUUGCCAACCUUUUGCUAGGCCUUGUUAAUAAUGUCAUACCUCCUUUGAGUAGCAAGUCCAAAUCAAACCCAGCAGAUGCUUCUGGCGGACGCACAAAUUUCAGCAAGCCUCAUGCAUCUACGCAAGCUGGUGGAAAUAGUAACACCGAUGCUCAGAGGGCAUUUUAUCAAAAUCAGGAUCCUGGGUCAUACACACAGCUUGUUUUGGAAACAGCAGCUAUUGAGAUUCUCUCACUUUCUGUGCCAGCUUCUCAAAUAGUGUCCUCUCUAGUUCAAUUAAUAGCUCAUGUACAAGCAAUGCUUAUACAGUCUAAUACUGGUCAAGGAAUGUCUGCUGGUUUGGGCCAAAACUCUGGGCUGCCAACCUCUCCUUCAGGCGCGGGUGCCGAGUCUGCAGGUGCUAGCCGAGCAAACACUUCAGCAAGUGGAAUCAGUGCUAACUUUGUUUCUAGAAGUGGUUACUCUUGUCAGCAGUUGUCUGUUUUGAUGAUUCAAGCAUGUGGCUUCUUGCUGGCACAACUCCCACCAGAAUUUCACAUGCAACUUUACUCAGAAGCAGCUCGAAUCAUAAAAGAUUGUCGUUGGCUUUCUGAUAGUUCGAGGCCUGUGAAAGAGCUUAACUCAGCUGUUGGUUACGCACUUCUGGACCCAACAUGGGCUUCUCAAGACAGUACAUCGACAGCCAUAGGUACCGUAAGACAUUUCUGGUUUGCUGUGUUUUUACCCCCUUUCAGCCUAAACAUUUGGGCCCAUUCAGCUCAGUGUUACUUUAAUACACUUCUACCAUUUUGUGCUAUGGUUAUAUGUUUGUUCUGCCUUGAUUGCAGGUAACAUUGUGGCCCUUCUACACUCAUUUUUUAGCAAUCUUCCUCAAGAGUGGCUGGAAUCUUCACAUACUGUCAUCAAACAUCUCCGGCCAGUGACUUCAGUCGCAAUGUUGAGAAUUGCCUUCCGCAUAUUGGGCCCCUUAUUGCCUCGUCUAGCCUUUGCUCGACCUCUAUUCAUGAAGGUAUGCUUGGUUUUCCUUUGGUACGUCCUAGUUACUGAAAUAGUGUAUACAGCUUUUGGAACAAAUCUGUAUGAUUAUAUGUUGCACAUGUAAUCUCAAUAAUCAAAGCAAGAUCAUGUUCUACCACUUUGGCAUCUUCAUGCCUUCUAUUCUGUCUUCUGUUUUAGAAACUUCAAACUGAAAAAUAGCAUUGGUAACCUCUUUCCAAUGUACUUUUUGGCUAUUUUGAAGACUGCAAUCCUGUAGUAUUUUUUGGCUAUUCUGGAGUAGUAUUUUUUGGCUAUUUUGAAGACUGCAAUCAUGUAGGAAUGUUUUUCCUCUCUAUAUAUAUGUCUGGAACGGGGAAUGAAUUUAUAGGAUUACUAUGGUUAAUCGCACUCGAACUGUUCCUCUCAUGCAUUCACACACAAUUUUUAAAAGGGAUAGGCGUUAAUUGUGCGUUUAGCCACCGCCUUGCACUUUUCUGACCAAAGCGCACACUUAUGCGCAAUUAUGCACACAUUAAGCGCGAGGUGUUUUGCUAUAGCCUAGAGCCUAGGCUGCCUUUUUAAACUAUAGGCAUUCAUAUAGGCGCACGGUCGUAUAUCAUAGGCCCUACACGGCUACACUUGUCUGAUUUGCUUUGUUGUGUCUUCAACACAAUUGAGCUAUAAGUGUGUCCUUCCUCUCUGAAGGAAAUAAAUGAACGCAUGUUAUGAUUGUUCCCCAUGACCCAAUGUUUUCAUCCAUGGGCGGAGCUUCAUGCAGAUUGCAGGCCAAAGGUGGCCAGGGCCCAUAACAUCCCCUCUUGCUAUAUCGCUAAUUUUCAUGAUUUUCAUGCUAACAGGAACAGUAUUUCUCCCUGCUCCUCUGCUGGCUUCACCGGUGGUCCGAUACAUUGUUGUAUGAAGUAGAGUUUAUUUAUUUUCCUAUACUAAUUUUCUUGUGUUGUCACGAUCUGCAGACACUGGCUUUGCUGUUCAACGUGUUGGGGGAUGUGUUUGGGAAGAACUCUCAGGCCUCGCCUCAUGUGCCGGCAUCAGAAAUCGGAGACAUCAUCGACUUCCUGUAAGAUACUCCUAGUCUUCCCUGCUGAAAAUUCUCCAGCAUGCGACUAUACGUGCCUUCUCAUUCUGGGUUCAAUCGUAAAUCCGCUGUAUAGCUUAUCAUACGAGUUACCUCAUUUUCCGCCCACCAAAACAGGCAUCACGCUGUCAUGUACGAAGGUCAAGGCGGCCCUGUCCAGAGUACCAGCAAACCUAAAGUGGAGAUACUGACAUUGUGCGGGAAAGUGGUGGACAUGCUUAGGCCUGACGUGCAGCAUCUCCUCUCCCACCUGAAGACGGAUCCAACCUCGUCGAUCUACGCGGCGACCCAUCCAAAGCUAGUGCAGCAACACCCAUCAUAAGGUGGAUGACGUAGAAUAGUGUACACGCCUGAACUGCUGGGCCUCGGCUGAUCUCGCUGUACAGGCCUGAACGCCAAGCAGUCUUAACCGGUUAACUUGCUGCCAGACCGGAACCUGGAGUUUGUCACAACGGUCAGGGGCAGAUUUCUCUAUUGGAUCUGUGUUGUGUAACCCAUAUAUAUGUAGCAGUGGUGUAGAUUGCGAUGUUUAUGAUCUCCUGUAGAAGUUAACCUGUCUGUCAAAACAUAUGUACUGUCAGGCUCCGUGCAGCCCUUGUGAGUGGUGGUACCAGUGCCUCUUUUCCUUUGAUGCUGCAGUGCAGGACACGGCUCGUUUGGUCGAUGGUCACGGUCAGGCGUUGCCCUUCUGACACCGACCUGAGCCGAGUAAGGAGCGCAUUGCAUGCUUGCAAGGUCUGUCACGGAGCAGGCGCCAAGGACCGAUGACCCUUCUCGCCGGUGGGCAUCAGACGCUGGUGUACCGUGUUCUGAACCGUGGGCAUCGUCGGUGUCACAGUGUCCCGCAGUGUGCAUGACAGCGUCUCCUCCGUUACAUAGUCCGCACUAAUGUGUACUGCUGACCGCGAGCAAGUUCACCAGUGUCCGCUAUGCCUCGUAAACAUCAGUGGUUACUCCUCUAAAUUGUCAACAGUAUACCCUGGUUCCAAAUCCCGAUGUUCACAUGUUGAGUUACGCAUUUUGUGUGAAAAUUCAAAUGUUUCCGAGCCUCCCACGGUUCAUUCAGCCUGUUUCUUUUCCGAAGAUAGAUUUUUUUUUUUGUACUUUUCCGAAGAUAGAUGGUACUGCCGCGGUGAUUAGCAAGCAAGGUCCACGUACGUACCUACCAGGUAAUCCAUGGCCCGUCUUCUCCUGCUGCUAAUUUGAGGCCUCCUUUGGUUUGCCUUAAUUUUGUUCUAAAGGUAGGAAUUUCGUAGGAUUUUUUUUGAAGCCCUUUGAUUUGAGGGAAAAUCUAAGGAGAAGCGUCCCACCAUAGCUCUUUCAUGCGACGGCUUAGAUAGCCUCAUGCGCAUGUAAGAAUCUUCUACGUCAUGAUUACAUCAUCACAUUAAAUGUUUAUUUGAAUUUUAAAAAUGAUUUAUCUCACGGAUUAAUAAUUUGACUGGAGAUUCGUCUUCACCGUUAGGUUCGUCUCGAUGAGACCUUUAAAAUAAGAUCCCAUGUUGACAUAUUUUGUUGAUUUUUUUCGUCCUUCCUAGUUGCUACAUUUAUGUCAUCAUAGUUGUCAUCUUACAGAUGUGUAGUUAUCAUAAAAUUAUACAUAGUUAUCGGGAUAAUAAUUUUAUACUUUUUAAGUAUUGCAGUGUUAUGUGAAGCUAAAAAUAGUUAUUAAAGCACUAACAAUAAGCAAAUAAAUGCAUGAACCAGCACAAGUACAAUGAAUCAAGUUUUUUAGUGGGGUAUAUCGACAUUCAUAAACCCGGUUACCAAGUUGAUUUAAUGUGAUAACUAUGUGAUAAAUAAUGUGACAAAUAAGUGAUAGUAAUUUAGCAAGUACCGGCGAAAACAAAAGUUAUCGAAACAUAUCGACAUGGGAUCUAGUUUUGAAGAUCUCGUCGCGAUAAAGACAGUGGUGAAAACGAAUCAUUAGUUGAGAUAACGGUUUGAGAGAUAAAUCUUUUCUAAAAUGCAAAAUCAAAAGAAUAUGUAAUGAUGUCAUGUUGCAUGCAUGUAAAAAUGGAUGGAAGAGAGUCGCCGCAUGAAAAGACUAAUAUGCGGCGCCGUUCCCUAGUGAAGUCUUUGAUUUUUAGGAAUGGAUCUUAUUCCUAUGUAGGAUAGAAACCAAUCAUUUACAUUUUAAAAUAAAAAUAAAAACAAAUUUACUAAUUCUUAUCUAGAUGAGAAUUAACAAAGUCUUAUCUAACCCUCACACAUUAUUUGAGUAAUCAAAUAAAGUAUACAAAAUAAAAGACCUACACGAAUCUUCAUAAAAAUCAAGUGACCUAUAAGUUGGAUGUGACUUGAUUAAGUCUCAUCUAGAUGAGCGCUAGACACAUUCAAUAUUUAGCCUAGGCUCGAUGAAAAUAUUCCUAUCCUAUGCAUCAAAUAAUGACAUCACUUUCCCUAUGACUUCCUAUGGGUUUCCUAUUCACAUGAUACUCCUGAAACUUGGGGCAAUCUGGGGAUCUCGAUGUAUGUUCACGUCGACUACAUUUCCAUUCCACCGGUACAAACUUGGUGUAAAAAUCCACAAGUUUCAGGGCCACCCUCGGUUCAUUCGUUCAGCCUCUUUCCUGUAGAUAGAUAGACACCGCCGCGGUGAUUAGCAAGCAAGGCCGCUCCACGUACUCCCCUGGUAAUCGGUGGCCCGUCUUCUCUUGCUGCUAAUCCGUGCACCGCCUAGCACUCUACAUGGUCCGUCCACCCGUGCGUGUGAGGCCGGUCGAUGAGAGCAGAGCAGAGCAGAGGCCGGCUCACACGUACCGGGGCUCUGCUCGCCACGUGCGCGUGGCCCCUUUCCACUUCCGGCCGCACCUAUUAAUCCCCCGCUACGCGCCUCCGCUCCCACAUUAAGCCCAAACUCCUUCCCCCUCUCCUCUCCUGGGACUGACCGAUUCCCCCUCGAGACUCGAGCCAGCCGCCUUCUAUCCCAGCUAUCUCACUCACUGGUGCUCGUCCGGUUCGAUCGACAGAGAUGGGCAGGCAGCCGUGCUGCGAGAAGGUGGGCCUGAAGAAGGGCCCGUGGACGGCGGAGGAGGACCAGAAGCUCGUCGCCUUCCUCCUCUCCCACGGCCAUUGCUGCUGGAGGCUCGUCCCCAAGCUCGCAGGUAUUACACUCGUGUGCAUGCAUGGCGACGGUUCGGCCCGGCCGCUCUGCAAACGCAUCUGUUUGGCCUCAAAUCAGUCGUGAGUUCGUGGCUGAGCCUGAGCGCGUGCAUUCCUUGGCAGGGCUGCUGAGGUGCGGGAAGAGCUGCCGCCUGAGGUGGACCAACUACCUGCGGCCCGACCUCAAGCGGGGCCUCCUCUCCGACGACGAGGAGAGGCUCGUCAUCGACCUCCACUCGCAGCUCGGCAACAGGUGCGUCUGUCCUGCUCGAUCGACGACGGGGGGUACGCAUGUUCGCGUCGUGAAUUCUGUUUUGGUGUUUGACUGCGCCGGCCCCGGACAGCAGAUGGUCCAAGAUCGCGGCGCGGCUGCCGGGCAGGACGGACAACGAGAUCAAGAACCACUGGAACACCCACAUCAGGAAGAAGCUCAAGAAGAUGGGCCUCGACCCCGUCACGCACCAGCCCGUCGCCGCCCGCCCUCAGGACCCGCGGCGGCAGGACCCCCACUGCGACGGCAAGGCCUCGUCCCAGGAAUCGGCCGGCUCCGGCGCCGAGGAGGAGGCGCCGACGAGCGGAGAGCCGAAGCAGGGCGCCGCCUGCUCUGCCUCCGUGUCGCCGUCCCCCUGCUCCUCUUCGUCCGCCUCGGCCUCGGCCUCCGUCGCCACGCCCGGCGGCGCCGACGUCGACUGGCCCGACCCCCUCGACCUCUUCCAGGUCGACGCCAUCAUCGACAUGGACUGGGCCAGCAUCCUGUCCGGCAGCGGCGGCGGCGACAUUGGCGUCGAUCUCUUCGACCAGUGCUCCGACGUCGGCUUCGAUCAAGAGGUGUGGAUGUGAUCCUGACGCUAGCGUUUGAGGGUUAGAAUUAGAUUUGUGCCAGGAACACCGAAAACUCCUUUCACCUCUUUCUUCCUCUAGCUGUUUUUCUCUCACUCUCACUCUCACUCUCUACGUGCUCUGUUUUCUUUGGUAUCUUGGGAGAGAAUUUGUCCGUGUUCAUGUUCAUGUUCAUGUCCAUGCAUGCAUGCAUACUUGUUGAUAAGGAAUGAGAAAAAUGGCGAGUGUGGUUUGUGAGAAUCCGUGAGACCAAGAAAGUGUCAAGAAGCGGUUCACUUGAUCAUCAAUCACGGUAUGAUCUUCAGUUUGACACACACCGUGACACGCUCAUGCACACGCACAAAAGAACAAACAGCCCCACUCACCCCCUAUAAACAUAGUAUUUGAUUCUUUUUUUUUUUUUGAAGGGCAAACAUAUUUGAUUCUGAAAGCGAAAAGCCAAUCCUUUUGUCAAAGAAUUUUUUUUUGUUUUAUGAACAUGGUUGAAUAGUAUUUGUGGAUGCACGCGCCAAUGAUGGACUGCGGCAGAGACUCCCUGGAAUGAAAGCUCAGUACUUCCAGGACCAGUUUGGAAGUGUGAGGAAUGCUUUAGCACUAGUAGUGUAGUGGAGUAUUUAAUUUCAAGAUGUCUCUCGCUAAGGGCAUCUUGAAUAGUUUGUAGUUAGUUUGUUGAUAAAAUAUGUCAUGUCAUCCAUCAAUAUCUUAACAUACAACUAUUUUAAUAGAUAGUAUAUCUAGUUUGCUUAAUAGGAUGUGAGAUAAUAAAUAAGGUGCUCUCUCAUUCUACAUUGAAGCUUGUGCAAGGGUGUUGGUUAAUUUACAUACAAACUUGCUUUCUUUUCUCAUUUAGACCCUAUUUGUUUCAGAAGUUACAGGACUUUUUAUAGUCCUAACUAAAAAGUCCCUGGUCCCUACUCGUUUGUUUCCAUGGACUAAACAGGGACUAGAGGUCAUUAAAUGAUAUGUAAAAAGAUCAUGCUACCCCUAGUAAUGUACUAAAAGCUAUUAAAUGACAUGCUAAAAGUAGAUGCACUGUUGAAAAAAAUGCCAAAAAAAGUUCGAAAAAGACCCUCUCAUAGGGACUUCUUCCUUUAGUACCAAAUACCCCCUUUUAGUCCCUAAAAGUCCCUCCUGUUUGUUUCACAUGGGAGUAAAAGAGAUUUUUUUAGUUUCUACAUCAAAAAGUCCCUGAAAACAAACACCCACUUAUUGCACGACACAUCAUUAAAAAUUCUAUGUGUCAAAAUCUAUCAACAACUAUCUUACAACCAUUGAAGAUGACGUAAGUACUCCCUCCAUCCCAAAAUAAAUGACUCAAAAAUGACUCAACUUUAUACUAAAAUUAGUGUAAAGUUGAGUCACGUUUGAGUCAAUUAUUUUGGGACGGAGGAAGUAUAAUAUAACCAAACACCGAUUAAUUAGAUAAGGAAAGCUCCAUGCACAAAAGCAUCCAUGUGUAGAUAAUCCAAAAAGAAAAGAAAGACCAUUCAAGAAACAGUAUUCUAGAUAAAAGGCAACCCGGUAAAAAAAUUUAUGGUGGCAGCCUUGUAAACCUAAACAUAAUUCUCCUUGGUUUGACCGUUAGGCUCUAUUUGGAUUAAGUGAUUUUUUCACUAAAUAGUAAUCCCUUCGUCCAAUAAUAUAAGAUGUUUUUCAACAAUAUACUAGUGUGAAAAAGCGUCCUACAUUAUGGGGCUGAGGGAGUAAAUACCAGCUGAGAGCACAACAAAAGACCCCCAAUCCAAGCAGGCCUUCAGAUAGACAUUUUUUCUGCUCUAGAUACACGAGUCACCACGAAAUGGUUUGUUCACAUCUAAAUAAUUACAUAAAAUAAAACGUUCAUCAAAUGUUACAUUUGAGAACCCCUUAAACACCUUCUCAAAGGGUUUUCAAAAUUUCGAGAUAUAUCUAAUUAGCCAUUUUUUUUACUUAUUUUCGUAUUAAUAGAGCAGCACAUAGAUGUUUUCUAGUUACACAAGAAAAGGGGUCCCACAAACUAGAAAGUACUUAUAUCACAACUCACAAGUCAAGGCAAGGGCAACUCAUUGUAUUGUCACUUUUAGGCAUGCUUGUGCAAUAUUGAAUCUACAGUAUUCCAUAAUGGCUUAUUUCCCACAAUAAAAGGUUCAUUUCAUAUCUAGGAUGGAUCCCAAGUUCAGCCUUCAAAAUACUUGAUUGUUGGGAGAUACUCCAUUCUCGAGACGAUAUGCAUGCUUUUCUCUAAGUUGGGAUGAAAAUAUAUCUCGAAAUAGGCUUUCGCCCCGCUAUAUAUACAGCAACCACAUGAUACAACAUGAAACCACUGCUGGACCGAAACAGCACAUCCACGGCCCAAAAAGAAAAGAAAGAGAAAAUAAUACCAACACCGACGGCUUAACAAAAACAAUAAUGACCCGCAACCGCUGCGUCUCCUUCGAAAUAUUCCCACCACGAUCCAGGCAUCUUGAUCCAUCGCGUACCAAGCAACACCUUCACGAAGGAUAAUGACGACGACGACACUGCUGCCCGGACAGGUCCUAGGGUUUCCCCCGGUACGCUCCAAGGCGUGGGGAGGAGGCACACCCGACACCCUUCAGGAAGGAAGGGUGACACUCUCAAGCGUCACCGUGUCGGUGUCAAAAGACAAUGACUUCUCCCGACCCCCAAGCCACCACCCCCCGGACAAUCAGAGACGCACCACUAAGCAUGCCAUCCACCAACAAACGCCACCUCGGUCUUGCAAUCAUCAUCGUCGUCUCACCAUGGUCAAAGUAGCAAGGCCGGUCAGUCUGAGGCGAACCACCCGAAGACACGAUCUGAUAGGGGGACAACCAAACAGGAGGGGACUACCUCCACCGUCCAAGACGGUCGCCGUCCGGACACGACGACGAGAGCACACCGAGCCAUUGGAACCGAAGGGCAGCAGCAGCGCAGCCACCCGGAGGGCGUCCUCCACCGCCAUCGGUGUUGGAAAUAUGCCCUAGAGGCAAUAAUAAAUUAGUUAUUAUUAUAUUUCUUAGUUCAUGAUAAUCGUUUAUUAUCCAUGCUAUAAUUGUAUUGAUUGGAAACACAAUACUUGUGUGGAUACAUAGACAAAACACUGUCCCUAGUAAGCCUCUAGUUGACUAGCUCGUUGAUCAAAGAUGGUCAAGGUUUCCUGGCCAUAGGCAAGUGUUGUCACUUGAUAACGGGAUCACAUCAUUAGGAGAAUCAUGUGAUGGACUAGACCCAAACUAAUAGACGUAGCAUGUUGAUCGUGUCAUUUUGUUGCUACUGUUUUCUGCGUGUCAAGUAUUUGUUCCUAUGACCAUGAGAUCAUAUAACUCACGGACACCGGAGGAAUGCUUUGUGUGUAUCAAACGUCGCAACGUAACUGGGUGACUAUAAAGAUGCUCUACAGGUAUCUNNNNNNNNNNNNNNNNNNNNNNNNNNNNNNNNNNNNNNNNNNNNNNNNNNNNNNNNNNNNNNNNNNNNNNNNNNNNNNNNNNNNNNNNNNNNNNNNNNNNNNNNNNNNNNNNNNNNNNNNNNNNNNNNNNNNNNNNNNNNNNNNNNNNNNNNNNNNNNNNNNNNNNNNNNNNNNNNNNNNNNNNNNNNNNNNNNNNNNNNNNNNNNNNNNNNNNNNNNNNNNNNNNNNNNNNNNNNNNNNNNNNNNNNNNNNNNNNNNNNNNNNNNNNNNNNNNNNNNNNNNNNNNNNNNNNNNNNNNNNNNNNNNNNNNNNNNNNNNNNNNNNNNNNNNNNNNNNNNNNNNNNNNNNNNNNNNNNNNNNNNNNNNNNNNNNNNNNNNNNNNNNNNNNNNNNNNNNNNNNNNNNNNNNNNNNNNNNNNNNNNNNNNNNNNNNNNNNNNNNNNNNNNNNNNNNNNNNNNNNNNNNNNNNNNNNNNNNNNNNNNNNNNNNNNNNNNNNNNNNNNNNNNNNNNNNNNNNNNNNNNNNNNNNNNNNNNNNNNNNNNNNNNNNNNNNNNNNNNNNNNNNNNNNNNNNNNNNNNNNNNNNNNNNNNNNNNNNNNNNNNNNNNNNNNNNNNNNNNNNNNNNNNNNNNNNNNNNNNNNNNNNNNNNNNNNNNNNNNNNNNNNNNNNNNNNNNNNNNNNNNNNNNNNNNNNNNNNNNNNNNNNNNNNNNNNNNNNNNNNNNNNNNNNNNNNNNNNNNNNNNNNNNNNNNNNNNNNNNNNNNNNNNNNNNNNNNNNNNNNNNNNNNNNNNNNNNNNNNNNNNNNNNNNNNNNNNNNNNNNNNNNNNNNNNNNNNNNNNNNNNNNNNNNNNNNNNNNNNNNNNNNNNNNNNNNNNNNNNNNNNNNNNNNNNNNNNNNNNNNNNNNNNNNNNNNNNNNNNNNNNNNNNNNNNNNNNNNNNNNNNNNNNNNNNNNNNNNNNNNNNNNNNNNNNNNNNNNNNNNNNNNNNNNNNNNNNNNNNNNNNNNNNNNNNNNNNNNNNNNNNNNNNNNNNNNNNNNNNNNNNNNNNNNNNNNNNNNNNNNNNNNNNNNNNNNNNNNNNNNNNNNNNNNNNNNNNNNNNNNNNNNNNNNNNNNNNNNNNNNNNNNNNNNNNNNNNNNNNNNNNNNNNNNNNNNNNNNNNNNNNNNNNNNNNNNNNNNNNNNNNNNNNNNNNNNNNNNNNNNNNNNNNNNNNNNNNNNNNNNNNNNNNNNNNNNNNNNNNNNNNNNNNNNNNNNNNNNNNNNNNNNNNNNNNNNNNNNNNNNNNNNNNNNNNNNNNNNNNNNNNNNNNNNNNNNNNNNNNNNNNNNNNNNNNNNNNNNNNNNNNNNNNNNNNNNNNNNNNNNNNNNNNNNNNNNNNNNNNNNNNNNNNNNNNNNNNNNNNNNNNNNNNNNNNNNNNNNNNNNNNNNNNNNNNNNNNNNNNNNNNNNNNNNNNNNNNNNNNNNNNNNNNNNNNNNNNNNNNNNNNNNNNNNNNNNNNNNNNNNNNNNNNNNNNNNNNNNNNNNNNNNNNNNNNNNNNNNNNNNNNNNNNNNNNNNNNNNNNNNNNNNNNNNNNNNNNNNNNNNNNNNNNNNNNNNNNNNNNNNNNNNNNNNNNNNNNNNNNNNNNNNNNNNNNNNNNNNNNNNNNNNNNNNNNNNNNNNCGGCGGGGGGAGGGAGGAGGGGGAACCCUAGGGAACCCGCCUCGUUCCCUGCUCGCCCGAGACUCAGUGUUCUGUUUUACCUCGGAUGAAAAAAAUUAUUAAGAUUGUGACACAUGUAAUGAGCACCGCUCCUCUAAAUUUUUUUACUUCAAGGGAAUUAUUGGGGUAGAAUCUGUUUAACUCAUACGAUUUUUUUACACGAGUAGAUCAAACAAAUUUAGUUGUGCAAAGAAAUAUAUUUAGUUGAUAUCUUCAUCAAAAUAGGGGUUUCAUCGUGAAGUUUUUGUAUACAAUACUGGCACACCUAGGGGAGGGGGUUAUACUAGCUGCAACAAGCAUUGGUCGAACAAUCAAAAUAUUUCUUCUGUAAUCAAAAUAAAUAUUUAGAACACUUACUUUUGUAAGUCUGAUCGGUAAGUUAUUUUUCAUAGCAAGUCAUUGUCACACAACUAUACCUGGUCAUGGAAAACCCGGCUCGGUCGGCUCGACCCGACCUGGCCCGAAAAAACCCGAUCUGGCCUGAUUCGACCUUGCCCACGGGCCAGGCUCAGGCCUAGAUUUUAAGCCCAUUAGGCUUAUCGGGCCUGAGUUAUGCACCACGGGCUUUUUUAGGCCGGGCCCGGCCCGAGUUUUGCCAGGUAUACACACAACAUAGGCAAUGUCCGGUUUAUACCUUCCUGCUAGUGUAUUGUUGACUUUUUUACUUUGGAAGUGUGCGUACUAUACUAUACUUCGGCACUAGUAGUAUUUAACUUAAAGAUGUCUCUUGCUAAUAUAAACAACCACCGAUUAAAUAAUAAGAAAGGAAGAAGAAUGAUGAUUCAAGAAACAAUACUCUUGACAAAAGGCACCCUUGUAAACCUCUUUUUGGGUGGUUGCAACUUUGUAAAUUUUCUCUUCGGGAGGUCCCGAGAAACAUACUUCCAAUCAGCGGAAACAUAUUUCACCUCGAUUUGAACCAUAGGCUCUUUGGAUUCAACUAGCAAAAGGGCCCGUGCGUUGCAACGGAAGAAAAAAAUAUCACACGCUCUUAAUAUUUUUAUAAUUAUUUUAAUUUAUUAAAAUAAUAAGCUAAUUAACUAAUGUAGUUAGUCCUAUCCUAUUUUGUUGAGAAAUCAACCCGUCCAUUGUUAAUUCCACCAUGAUGGGAAAUUGACGGGACAAGCAAAGCAAAACAAAGAGGCUACGUGAAUUGAUCAAUGGACUGUUAUCUUAUUUCACUCAUGGGGUAAAGAAUGUGGGAUCAGAUGGCAAACUGAAGGUGGUGUUCCAUUCUUUCUCUACAACAAUACAAUCUUACAUUCAAUACAUUCAUUCAUCAGCAAACAAAUCCCCACAAAACAAAUUUUUUUGCCGGUGCUUGGCACACGGUUGGAGGCAUUGGGAGGGGAUCUCAUCAGAUGAUGAGUUCCUGCCGGAGGAGGGGAUACGAUGAGGGGAGCAAGGGUUAGGCGCCUCUAUCUGGCCAUAAGGAGUCGUCGUUGCCGCACCAUAACCCCGGAGUUCCCCGUGUGAGCCAUGAAGGCCCGCCUCCACCUGCAAGUACUUCGCUCCGCCACGCCUUAUCCGCGCGCCGCCGCUGUUCUGCAUCGAGCAGACGCAUCAUCCCCAGUCACUGUAGCUGUCGCGUUGAUUUGAUCCAGAAGCUCUGCUCGAGCGUCAAAACGGGGGCAGCAAGCGGGCAGAUGUACGGCCGCGGAGGCNNNNNNNNNNNNNNNNNNNNNNNNNNNNNNNNNNNNNNNNNNNNNNNNNNNNNNNNNNNNNNNNNNNNNNNNNNNNNNNNNNNNNNNNNNNNNNNNNNNNNNNNNNNNNNNNNNNNNNNNNNNNNNNNNNNNNNNNNNNNNNNNNNGGGUGGGUUGAGAUCGACAACAGUGGUGGUUGAGGUCGGCUGUGGCGGCGAAUGGUGUGGCAGCGGCCUGGGCACAGGCCAGGGUGGACCAGGGUCGACGCGAUGCACUCGAGCGCCGCAACGGGGGCAGUGAGCGGGGAGAGGUACGGCCGCGGAGGCNNNNNNNNNNNNNNNNNNNNNNNNNNNNNNNNNNNNNNNNNNNNNNNNNNNNNNNNNNNNNNNNNNNNNNNNNNNNNNNNNNNNNNNNNNNNNNNNNNNNNNNNNNNNNNNNNNNNNNNNNNNNNNNNNNNNNNNNNNNNGGGUGGGUUGAGAUCGGCAGCGGUGGCGGUUGAGGUCGGCCACGGCGGCGAAUGGUGUGGCGGCGGCGUGGGCACAUGCUAGGGUGGCCCAGGGUCGACGGGAGGAGGCGAUGCGUACAGGUAUAAUUUUUGCAGCGAAUUGUUUUUUUCCUUUUGCGUUACAGAUAAAUGAUGAAGCGCGGGUUAAAUAACAAAAAUUACAGGGGCUUUUUUAUAAAAAUACUGCGAUGGGUUUUCUGACGGAAGCAAUAACCGCCUUAUUAUUAUUAGGUAUAGAUGUAUUAUUAUUAUUGCUAAAUACCAGGGAAGACAACAAAAUUACCCCCAUCCAAUCUAAGCAUGCCUUUAAAUGUACAUUUUCGAUCUAGAUGUACGAAUCACCAACAAAUGCUGAAAUAGUGAAUAAUACAUAGACACUUUCUCAUUUACACAAGAAAAAUGGCCAAAAACUAGAAAGUACCUCCAUUGAUCACAAGUCAAGGCAAGGACAAACCAAAGGCUUGCCACGUUUAGGCUAGGCUCAUGAAAACUGAAUCUACCAUAUUCUAAAAUGGCCCGUUUCUCGAUUAGAGAAAGACUCAUUCCAUAUCUUGGAUGGAUACCAAGUUCGGCCUUCAAAGGACUUGAUUGGUUGGGAGAUACUUCCUCCAUUCAAAAAUAGAACACAUAGCAACAAUACGGAUACCAAGGAGGCGUUAAGAGCAUUUACAACCAUUACCUAUAAUUUGAUCCUUCAAAUGUUCGUGGACGCGUCCGGUCUAUGAUCAUACAUGUCUGUUUUGAUCCCUUAUUUGUUGGUCCGUGUAGCAGUAGUCCUCAUUUCUUUUUCGUUUGUCUGGUCACUUGCAUAUGAUUGAUGGAGAUGAAGAGAGAGGGAAAAAAUAAAUAAAGGAAGAGAAAUGUGGUCCGGAGUGGGGCCGCGUCCUACGUGGCAGACUGACCGAGCACGUCCUGGCGCGUCCACGAGCCCUCAUAUCCUCCUUAUAUUUUUUCCUUAGACAUGUGCCAAUGCAAGUCUCUUAGUGCGGUUUCAUAAGCAUUUUGCUUAUGUGGCAUUGUAUUUAAUGAAAAAAGAUAGUGGGGUUGUAUCUUAGCUAAGCAUGCACCAAUGUAUUGUCUCUUAACACGUAAUCAUAUGCGUAAUAAAACAUAAAAACAACUAGUAAAAUGCAUUGUAUCUUAUGUGUUGUAUCUACAUUUAAUGAUGUGUGGCUCAUGCAUGCAUGUGAUUGGGUUAGCACUUUUUUUUGCCUAUGGCCACGUGUCAAGGUUGUAUAUUACUACCUCCGUCACGGUUUAGAAGGCGUGUUUAGAAAUUCUCUGGAGCCUAGGUGGUUAUUGAUUGGCUGUGAGAUGAGCUAAAAAAUAACAUUCACACUACGCAUGCAUAUAGAAAUAGUACAACGAAGUACUACUUAGCUGCUAGGAGUAAAUGCAACGCGCUUUAAACCUUGUUCAUUAUGGAAAUGUACAUAAGUUUAACUGUGCCUUCUAUGUUGGAAAUAUGCCCUAGAGGCAAUGAUAAAAUAGUUAUUAUUAUAUUUCCUGUUUCAAGAUAAUCGUUUAUUAUCCAUGCUAUAAUUGUAUUGAAUGAAAACAUAAAUGCAUGUGUGGAUAUAUAGACAAAACAAUAUCCCUAGUAAUCCUCUAGUUAACUAGCCAGUUGAUCAAGGAUGGUUAAGGUUUUCUGACCAUAUGCAAGUGUUGUCACUUGAUGACUGGAUCACAUCAUUAGGAGAAUGAUGUGAUGGACAAGACCCAAACUAUAAACGUAGCAUGUGAUUGUGUCAUUUUGUUGCUAUUGUUUUUUGUGUGUCAAGUAUUCAUUCCUAUGACCAUGAGAUCAUGUAACUCACUGACACCGGAGGAAUACCUUGUGUGUAUCAAAUGUCGCAACGUUACUGGGUGACUAUAAAGGUGCUCUACAGGUAUCUCCGAAGGUGUCCGUUGAGUUAGCAUGGAUCAAGACUGGGAUUUGUCACUCCGUGUGACGGAGAGGUAUCUCGGGGCCCACUCGGUAAUACAACAUCACAUAUAAGCCUUGCAAGCAAUGUGUCUAAUGUGUUAGUCACGGGAUCUUGUAUUACGGAACAAGUAAAGAGAUUUACCGGUAACGAGAUUGAAAUAGGUAUAGGGAUACCGAUGAUCAAAUCUCGGGCAAGUAACAUACCGAAUGACAAAGGGAAUGGUAUACGAGAUUAUAUGAAUCCUUGGCAUAGAGGUUCAACCGAUAAGAUCUUCAUAGAAUAUGUAGGAUCUAAUAUGGACAUCCAGGUCCCGCUGUUGGAUAUUGACCGGGGAGUGUCUCAGGUCAUGUCUGCAUUGUUCUUGAACCCGCAGGGUCUGCACACUUACGGUUCGGUGACGUUUCGGUAUAGUUGAGUUAUAGGUGUUGGUGACCGAAGGUUGUUUGGAGUCCCGGAUGAGAUUACAGACAUCACGAGGCUUUCCGGAAUGGUCCGGAAACGAAGAUUGAUAUAUAGGAUUGUUUUAUUUGGCCUCCGGAAAGAUUUCGGGCAUUACCGACACUGUACCGGGAGUGAUGAAUGGGUUAUGGGUUUUUACCGGGAGAGGCCCACCCACCAGGGAGAGAACCUAAUAGCCCAUGGGUGGCGCAUCGGCCCUUAGUGGGCUGGUGAGGCCAGCCCAAGUGGACUAUUUCGGCUAAGGGAAAAAAUCAAGGAGAAAAAAAAGAGGGAGGUGGGAAGGAAGGAAGGGACUUCUCCUUCCCCAAACCGAAUUGGAGUUGGAGUCCCUCCUCUCCCACUUCGGCCAACGCCCUAGGGCCCCCCUUGAGCCCCAAGGCUAGCCCCUCCCCUCCUCCUAUAUAUACUAGAUGUUUUAGGGUUUUUGAGACACAACUUUGCCACGUGCAACCCUAAACCUCUACUUCAUAGUUCUUUCUUUAGAUUGGUUUUCUGCGGAGUUUGGGCGGAGCCCUGCAGGAAUAGAUAAUCACCAUCACCGGCGCGCAGUCACGCAGCUAGAGAACUCAUCUACUUCCCCGUAUCUCUUGCUGGAUCAAGAAGUCGGAGAUCGUCAUCGAGCUGUACGUCUGCUGAACACGGAGGUGCCAUCCGUUCGGUGCUAGAUCGGGACGGAUCGUGGGACGAUGGUGAUUUGAAUCACGAAGCUGUUCCACUACAUCAACCGCGUUUCUUAACGCUUUUUGCUUAGCGAUCUACAAGGGUAUGUGGAUCCGAUCUCCCUCUCGUAGAUGAACAUCACCAUGAUAGGUCUUCGUGUGCGUAGGAAAUCUUUUGUUUCCCAUGCAACGUUCCCCAAAAGUGGCAUCAUGAGCUAGGUUCAUGCGUAGAUGUAAUCUCGAUUAGAACACAAAAGUUUUUGUGGGUGUUGAUGUUCGAUUUGCUGCCCUCCUUAGUCUUUUCUCGAUUCGGCGGUAUUGUUGGAUUGAAGCGUCCGGACCAACAUUACUCGUACGCUUACGAGAGACCGGUUUCAUCGACUAACAUGCAACUUGUUGCAUAAAGAUGACUGGCGGGUGCCUGUUUCUUCAACUUCCGUUGAAUUGGAUUUGACCGACGCGGUCCUUGGAGAGAGGUUAAAUAGCAAUUUGCACAUCUCCGUUGUGGUUUUGCGUAAGUAAGAUGCGAUCAUACUAGAUACCCAUAGCAGCCACGUAAAACAUGCAACAACAAAUUAGAGGACGUCUAACUUGUUUUUGCAGGGUAUGCAUGUGAUGUGAUAUGGCCAAAGACAUGAUGUGAUAUAUAGGAUGUAUGAGAUGAUCAUGUUGUAAUAGUUAAAUAUCGACUUGCACGUCGAUGCUACGACAACCGACAUGAGCCAUAGGGUUGUCUUUAGACUAACGUUUGUGUUUGCAGAUGCGUUUAAUAUAUUGCUAGGUUGUAGCUUUAGUAGUAAUAGCAUAGAUAGCAUGACAACCUCGAUGGCGGCACGAUGAUGGAGAUCAUGGUGUGGCGCCGGUGACGAUGAAGAUCAUGUCGGUGCUUUGGUGAUGGAGAUCAAGAAGCAAAAGAUCAUGGCCAUAUCAUGUCACUUAUGAAUUGCAUGUGAUGUUAAUCCUUUUGUGCACAUUAUCUUGCUUAGAACGACGGUAGCAUUAUAAGGUGACCCCUCACUAAAUUUCAACAUAAAAUUGUGUUCUCCCCGACUAUGCACCGUUGCGACAGUUCGUCGUUUCGAGACACCACGUGAUGAUCGGGUGUGAUAGACUCAACGUUCAGAUACAACGGGUGCAAAACAGUUGCACACGCGAAACACCCAGGUUAAACUUGACGAGCCUAGCAUGUGCAGACAUGGCCUCGGAACACAAGAGACCGAAAGGUCGAGCAUGAAUCGUAUAGUUGAUAUGAUUAGCAUAGAGAUGUUUACCACUGAAACUACACUGAACUCACGUGAUGAUCGGACUUGAGUUAGUGAAUUUGGAUCAUGCCACACUCAAGUAACUAGAGGGAUGUCUAUUUGAGUGGGAGUUUAUUAGUAAUUUGAUGAGCUGAACUCUAAUUGUCUUGAACAUAGUCUAAGUCUACUUUACAAUAUUUUAUGUUCUAGAUCAAUGGCUCACGCAGUAGCGACCCUGAAUUUCAAUAUGUUCCUAGAGAAAGCUAAGCUGAAAGAUGAUGGUAGCAACUUUGUAGACCGGGCUCGUAAUUUAAGGCUCAUCCUACAAGCUGGGAAAAAGAAUUAUGUCCUUGAUGCAGCGCUAGGAGAUGAACCACCCGUUACGUCUGAUCAAGAUGUUUUGAACGCUUGGCAAGCACGUAAGGAGGACUACUCAGUAGUUCAAUGUGCAGUCUUGUAUGGCUUAGAACCAGGACUUCAACGACGCUUUGAACGUCAUGGAGCAUAUGAGAUGUUCCAGGAGUUGAAGUUUAUCUUUCAGAAGAAUGCACGGAUCGGGAGGUAUGAGACCUCCGAUAAAUUCUAUGCUUGCAAAAUGGAGGAGAAUUCGUCUAUGAGUGAACAUGUGCUCAAAAUGUCUGGGUACUCAAACCGUCUAGCUGAGCUGGGAUUUGAACUUCCGCAAGAGGCUAUCACCGACAGAAUUCUUCAAUCACUACCACCUAGCUACAAGAGCUUUGUGUUGAACUAUAACAUGCAAGGGAUGAACAAGUCACCCGACGAGUUAUUCGCGAUGCUGAAAGUCGCAGAGUCAGAACUCCGGAAAGAACAUCAAGUGUUGAUGGUCAAUAAGACCACUGGUUUCAAGAGAAACGACAAAGGCAAGAAGUAUAACUCCAAGAAGAGCGGCAAAACUGUUGCCACUCCGACGAAGAAACCCAAGGUUGGACCUAAGCCAGAAACAGAGCUAUUAUUGCAGGGGGAUGGGUCACUAAAAGUGCAACUGCCCCAAGUAUUUGGCUAAUAAGAAGGUGGCCAACGCCAAACCAGGUAUAUGUGAUAUACAUGUUAUUGAUGUGUACCUAACCAACUCUCGUAGUAGUUCCUGUGCAUUUGAUACCGGUUCUGUUGCUCAUAUUUACAACUCGAAGCAGGAACUGCGGAAUAAACGAAGGCUGGCAAAGGAUGAAGUGACGAUGCGCGUGGGAAAUGGUUCCAAGGUUUAUGAAAUCGCCGUCGGCACAGCAUCACUUCAGUUACCAUCGUUGAUGAAACCACGCUAAGAGACUUGCAUUGGCACAUGCCUAACAUACAACCUUGGCACGUGGCCAUAUGCAAAAAAGAGAUGCUAACCCAAUCACAUGCAUGCAUGAGCCACAAAUCAUUAAAUUUAGAUACAACACAUAAGAUAUAAUGCCUUGUACUAGUUGUUUCUUAUGUCUUAUUACACAUAUGAUUACGUGCUAAGAGACGAUGCAUUGACACAAGCCUUGAUAUGAGUGUUCGCGGAUAGCCCAGACGUAUAGGGAUGAUAUGAGGGAUGGAGUUGGGUCAAUUUUUUUUCUUCUCUUUCCUGUCCGGUCACUAACUGACCGCGUGCGUGGAUGUUUGAGGAGGAUUUAAAGAGUCUAGUUGUAGAUUCUUAUGACUUUAUGCAUUGACACAUAAAGUCACUAGCUAUAAAUGCUCAUGUAUGCAUUGGUUCGUCACAACUUCAUUUUGAUACACACUGUGAUACACAUUCAGAUGACAUGCUCUAUUAUGAAAAUAAUCGACUACUCCACUCUGAAGAGACCAAGUACAAUAUAUACACAUGCACACCAUCAAACGUGGUAUACUCGUACAAUCACUAGUAGAAAAUGGGUCUUUCAGCCGGAGCACAAAAUACCAUUAGCCCUGGUUCAAAUUAAAACCGAGACCAAUGCCAGGCAUUGGUCCCGGCUUAGUUUGCCAGGGCAUUGGUCCCGGUUCGGUUCACCUCAUUAGUCCCGUUCCGGGGCAAAAACUGGGACUAAAGAUCCAGCGACUGCCACGUGACGUGCCGUGGAGCAUUAGUCCCGGUUUGUGGCCAGAACCGGUACUAAAUGGUAGGUUAUUAGUCCCGGUUUUAGACAAAAACCGGGACUAAAGUGCUGCCUAUAUAUACCCUCGCCUCUGCCACCCCCCCUCUGUUUUUUGGGUGUUGAGGUGUGCAUGCCAUGCUCUUGCCACCCUUUUAGUUCAUGCACAUGAGUUGUUCGUUGAGAUGCCUGAGCCACACUACUUAAGCUUUCUCUUCUCCAAGCUCCAUUUUCCUCAACACUUGUAUAGGUUUGGCCGUGCACCAACUACACAAGUGUUCUAAAAAGUUAGCUACUUCAUCCUUUCAUCUCUCACUACUAGUUUAGCUCAUUUCAAAUGAUCUAGAAGUAGAGUGGUUUGUGGGUUUUAGUGUAGGAGUGUAUGUGGGAGUUAUUUUGUUUUCGAUGCAAAAUUUGAGGUCAAAUUAACUUCUUAGAGUCUGCACAUGUGUAGGGUGCCAUCCCGUGCCCGUCCUCAUCGUUGUCGAUUGCCCGCGCGAUCUCGUCGCGAGCACCACCUUGGUGAGCCUCUUGUUCUUGUCUUCUUUUUAAAAGAAAUUUUUUUCUUACUUGUAUGUUUUAGAUAGAUACUUGUAUAAAUUACUUACUUUCAUUAUUUUUUGUUAUUAUAUAGUGCGAUGGUUUUGGUAUCUGCCUCCGUCGGCUCUCGUCCUGUCUAUGAUUCGGAUGUGGUAUAUAUAUUAUCUUUUAUAACUAUUUGUUUUAUUUAGUGUUUAUGACAAUUAUGACGACCAACCUGACAUAUAUUUUUUAAUCUAGGAGGUAUGUGAACCGGAAAUUCCAACCCACAUAGAAAUUCUGGUCGAGAAGUUAAAUUUGGUUGAAAAGGAAAACAAUUACUUGAAGAAAAAAUUGAAAAUAAUUGAGGAGAAGAAUAUGGAUCUAGAGUUGCAUGUUGCCGGUGUCGUCGAUGAUCGCAAGAUGAAGAUGGAUGCGAUGCAGUUGAAGAUGGAUGCAAUGCGCUUGAAGAUGGAUGAAAUGCGCUUGAAGAUUAGGAAUAUUAGAAAAUAUGCCAUUGAUAAAGAGGCUUGGUAUCAUUAUGCUGUUGGGUCAAUUGUUACCUUACUUGCGAUUUUGAUCGCAUUUUUGUUGCAUUUAAAUGUUUUACAUAGUUGUAUGUUAUUUUAUGAGAGAACUUUAUGUAUUUAUUUUUGCAAUAAUAACAUUUAAUCACUAGUGUCCUUUGGUUUUAAUGUGAUGAUGAACUUGUAUUAAUUUGGUCAUUUCUCUAUUCAUGAUGUUCUGCAAUGGUUUUUUGAUAUACUUAAUUUCAUAAUACAGAUAAACCGCCAAUGGAUGUACGGUGACUAAUGCCCGAGUCACACUUAAGUUCACACAGAAUGGUAUCCUCGACCGAGGUUAGCAACCUUAUCAUUUUCAUUUGUAAUUGAUACAAAAAUAUUGCAUGUGUUAAUGUACGGUGGUCAUUUCACUAUUCAUGUAUGAUGCGAGAUCGAUGCACGGAAGUGAUGGAUGUACGACGAACGACGCGGUUCUGGAUUUAUUGCAGGCGUGCAUAAAUUUAUCGAUGUGGCUCAAGCAAACAAAGUGGAUAAUUUUAUGCCUUGUCCAUGUGUCGGUUGUCGAAACGUGAAGGAGUACUCUAGCUCGAAAACCAUUCAUCUCCACUUGCUUCAGAGAGGUUUCAUGCCCACAUAUUAUUGUUGGACCAUGCACGGAGAAAGAGGAGUUAGGAUGGAAGACAAUGAAGAAGAAGAUGAUGAUGACAACUAUCCUAUGUUCACUGAAGAAUAUAGUGAUACUACAAUGAAAGACAAUGAAGAAGAAGGAGGUGAAGAACAACCGACAUCAGAUGAGCCCGUUGAUGGUAUUAGUCGGGUCAUUUCUGGUGCAAAGAGAGAAUGCGAUACAGAAAAGGAGAAGCUGAAAUUGGAGUCCAUGCUAAAGGAUCAUAAAAAGUUGUUGUGCCCAAAUUGCAAAGGUGGCAGCACAAAGCUCGGUACCACACUGGAACUAUUGAAAUGGAAGGCAGAAACUGGUUUAUGUGACAAGGGAUUUGAGAAGUUACUAAAAAUAUUGAAGCCGAAGCUUCCAAAGGAUGAAGAAUUGCCCGAGACUACGUACGAAGCAAAGAAGGCUAUCUGCCCUCUUGGAUUAGAUGUGCAGAAGAUACAUGCAUGCAUUAAUGACUGCAUCCUGUACCACGGUGAGAAGUACGAGAAUAUGGAUAAAUGCGUGGUACGCACUGCAUGUUGGUACAAGAUCAGACAGGAUGACCGUGGUGAUGUUGAGGGCGAUGACGAGCCCCCCAGGAAGAAAGUUCCUGCUAAGGUUAUGUGGUAUGCUCCUAUAAUACCACGGUUGAAACGCCUGUUCAGAAACAAUGAGCAUGCCAAGUUGAUGCGAUGGCACAAAGACGAGCGUAAGAAAGACGGGAAAAAGUUGAGACACCUCGCAUAUGGGUCGCAAUGGAUGAAAAUCAAGAGGGAGUUGCCGGACUUUGCAGAUGACCCAAGGAACUUAUGGAUUGGUCUAAGUACAGACGGCAUGAAUCCUUUUGGGGAGCAGAGAUGUAGUCACAACACCUGGCCCGUGACUCUAUGUAUCUACAACCUUCCUCUUUGGUUGUGCAUGAAGCGGAAGUUCAUUAUGAUGCCAGUGCUCAUCCAAGAACCGAAGCUACCCGGCAAUGACAUUGAUGUGUACCUAAGGCCAUUAGUUGAUAAACUUUUGCAGUUGUGGGCCAAACCAGGUGUACGUGUGUGGGAUGAGCACAAACAAUAGGAAUUUGACCUACGAGCAUUGUUGUUCGUAACCAUCAAUGAUUGGUCUGCUCUUAGUAACAUUUCAGGACAGUCAAACAAGGGAUACAAUGCAUGCACACACUGUUUAGAUAAUACUAAAGGUACAUAUUUGGAAAAAUCUAAGAAGGUUGUCUACUUGGGGUGUCGUCAAUUUCUUCCGACCAAUCACCCCGUAAGAAAGAAAGGCAAGUAUUUCAACGGUGAGGCAGGUCACCGGAAGAAGCCUAACCUCCCUACUGGUGAUGAGUUAUUGGCUAUGGUCAAGGAUUUGGAUCAAAUAGUAAUCUUUGGAAAGGGUCCUGGCGGUCAAUCUAUUCCGAAAGACGACGUUACCGGACACGUGCCCAUGUGGAAAAAGAAAUCUUUAUUUUGGGAGCUACCCUAUUGGAAACACCUAGAGGUCCGGUCUUCAAUCGACGUGAUGCACGUGAGAAAGAAUCUUUGCAUGAACGUGCUAGGCUUCCUGGGCGUGUAUGGGAAGACAAAAAAUACAACAGAAGCACGAGAGGAGCAUCAACUUAUGAAAGACCCAUACGACGAGAAGACUGAUAAAGUGCGUCAAUACUUAAGCAGCUACGCUCUUAACAAAGCAGAGAAGGAAAUAUUUUUUGAAUGCGUGAGCAGUAUCAAGGUCUCCACUCGCUUCUCGUCUAAUAUAAAGGAAAUAAUAAAUAUGGGAGAUAAAAAAUUCUAGAACCUGAAGUCUCAUGAUUGCCACGUGAUUAUGACGCAGUUGCUUCCGGUUGCAUUGAGGGGGCUUCUACCGGAAAAUGUUCGAUUACCCAUUGUAAAGCUAUGUGCAUUCCUCAAUGCAAUAUCUCAGAAGGUAAUCGAUCGAGAACAUUUGGAAAGGCUGUAGAAGGAUGUGGUCCAAUGUCUUGUUAGUUUUGAGUUGGUGUUUCCUCCGUCCUUCUUCAAUGUUAUGACGCAUCUCCUGGUUCACCUAGUCGACGAGAUUUCCAUUCUCGAUCCUGUAUUUCUACACAAUAUGUUCCCCUUCGAGAGGUUCAUGGGAGUCUUAAAGAAAUAUGUUCAUAACCAUGCUAGGCCAGAAGGAAGCAUCUCCAAGGGCUACGGAACAGAGGAGGUCAUUGGGUUCUGUGUAGACUUUCUUCCUGACCUUAAGCCGAUUGGUGUUCCUGAAUCACGGCAUGAGGGGAGACUGAGUGGAAAAGGCAUACUAGGAAAGAAAGCAGUGAUAUGUAGGGACGAACAUUCUUUCACUCAAGCACACUACACAGUUCUAAAAAGUUCCACCUUCGUGGCUUCGUAUAUCGAGGAGCACAAGAAUUUUGUACGCUCCGAGUUCCGAGGGAAGGCUAUCUCGUGGAUUGAAGAAAAACACAUGGAUACUUUCGGCAGUUGGUUGCGAGCACGUCUCAUGAAUGACAACACUGUUGGAGAUCAACUCUACUUGUUGGCCGCGUCACCUUCUUCGACUGUAUUACAUUUCCGAGGGUACGAGAUAAACAGGAAUACAUUUUACACGAACGCCCAAGAUAAAAAGAGCACCAACCAAAAUAGUGGUGUCCGUUAUGAUGCGAGAGACGAGAAUGGGAAAAAGGACACCUACUAUGGUUACAUAGAGGAGAUAUGGGAACUUGACUACGGACCUACUUUUAAGGUCCCUUUGUUUCGGUGUAGUUGGGUGAACAUGAAUGGAGAAGGGGUAAAGGUAGACUAGUUUUACGGAAUGACAACACUUGAUCUCAAGAAUCUUGGUUACAGAGACGAGCCAUUCGUCCUAGCCAAUGAUGUGGCUCAGGUUUUCUACGUGAAAGACAUGUCCUCCAGACAGAAAAAAGAAAAAAAAAGCAAAUGAAUACAUCGGACGAUGAGCCAAAGCGUCACAUAGUUCUUUCAUAGAAAAGAAACAUCGUGGGGAUCGAGGACAAGACAGACAUGUCAGCAGAUUAAAAUAAGUUUGAUGAAAUUCCGCCUUUCAUAGUGAGAAUUGACCCAAGCAUCACGUUAAAUAAUAAAGAUGCUCCAUGGUUAUGGCCAAAGCGAUCAUAGGCAAGGGAUCGAAAUAUAAAUCUAUGUAAUGUAUUAAACUUUAUGUGAUGUGUACUAAUGAUAAUUCGAAAGAGAUUGUCCGUUUUGUACACGAAGUGCAUCUAGUUUUUGUCGUAACCCUCUCAACUNNNNAGCACAUGCUAUGUGGGUGAAAUGAUGAUACCAUGCCAACUUUCAACAUUUUCAGAGUUCAUUUGUGGUGCUUUUCAAUUUCAGGGUCAAUUAGCUCAAAAAAAGUAAAUGCACGAAAAAUACCAAAUGAAGUAAGAAAUUAUUGAAAAUUUGUGAUGUGCCUUUGAAUGGUGCAUUCUGAAGACACAAAAGUAUGGAGUUCAAAUAAGUUCAAAAAAUGAAAUCCCUUUGUAACAGAUGAGUUCUCGUUCGAAACCGUGAUACUUCGAAAGAGAUUUUGUCUGUUUUGUACACGAAUUGCAUCCAGUUUUUGUCGUAACCCUCUCAACUUUUUAGCACAUGCUAUGUGGAUGAAAUGAUGAUACCAUGCCAACUUUCAACAUUUUCAGAGUUCAUUUGUAGUGCUUUUCAAUUUCAGGGUCAAUUAGCUCAAAAAAAUAAGAAAUGCAUGAAAAAUACCAAAUGAAGUCAGAAAUUGUUGAAAAUUUGUGAUGUGCCUUUGAAUGAUGCAUUUUUAACACACAAACAGUAUGGAGUUCAAAUACGUCCAAAAAAAUGAAAUCCUUUGUAAAAGAUGAGGUCUCGUUCGAAACCGUGAUACUCCGAAAGAGAUUGUCCGUUUUGUACACGAAGUGCAUCCAGUUUUUGUCGUAACCAUCUCAACUUUUUAGCACAUGCUAUGUGGGUGAAAUGAUGAUACCAUGCCAACUUUCAAUAUUUUGGGAGUUCAUUUGUAGUGCUUUUCAAUUUCAGGGUCAAUUACCUCAAAAAUAAAUAAGUAAAUGCACGAAAAAUACCAAAUGAAGUCAGAAAUUGUUGAAAAUUUGUGAUGUGCCUUUGAAUAGUGCAUUUUGAACACACAUAAAGUAUGGAGUUGAAAUAAGUUCAAAAAAUGAAAUCCCAUUGUAACAAAUGAGUUCUCGUUCAAAACUGUGAUACUUCGAAAGAGAUUGUCCGUUUAGUACACGAAGUGCAUCCAGUUUUUGUUGUAACCAUCUCAACUUUAUAGCACAUGCUAUGUGGGUGAAAUGAUGAUACCAUGUCAACUUUCAACAUUUUCAUAGUUCAUUUGUAGUGCUUUUCAAUUUUAGGAUCAAUUAGCUUAAAAAAAAUAAGUAAAUGCACGGAAAAUACCAAAUGAAGUCGGAAAUUGUUGAAAAUUUGUGAUGUGCCUUUGAAUGGUGCAUUUUGAACACACAAAAAGUAUGGAGUUCAAAUAAGUUCAAAAAAAUGAAAUCCCUUUGUAAUAGAUGAGCUCUCGUUCGAAACCCUCAUACUUCAAAAAAGAUUGUCCGUUUUGUACACGAAGUGCAUCCAGUUUUUGUCGUAACCCUUUCAACUUUUUAGCACAUGCUAUGUGGGUGAAAUGAUGAUACCAUGACAACUUUCAACAUUUUCAGAAUUCAUUUGUAGUGUUUUUCAAUUUCAGGGUCAAUUAGCUAAAAAAAGUAAAUGCGUGAAAAAUACCAAAUGAAGUCACAAAUUGUUGAAAAUUUGUGAUAUGCCUUUGAAUGGUGCAUUUUGAACACACAAAAAGUAUGGAGUUCAAAUAAGUUCAAAAAAUGAAUCCCUUUGUAACAGAUGAGUUCUCGUUUGAAACCGUGAUACUUCGAAAGAGAUUGUCUGUUUUGUACACGAAGUGCAUCCAGUUUUUGUCGUAACCCUCUCAACUUUUUAGCACAUGUUAUGUGAUUGAAAUUAUGAUAUCAUGCCAACUUUCAGUAUUUUCAAAGUUCAUUUGUAGUGAUUUUCAAUUUCACGGUCAAUUAGCUCAAAAAAAGUAAAAGCAUGAAAAAUACCAAAUGAAGUCAAAAAUUGUUAAAAAUUUAUGAUGUCAACUAAAAAGAAUCAACUAAAAAGAAUGAACUAAAAUUAUCAAAGUGUUUUAUUUGUUAAAAAGAAUGAAGUAGAACAUUAACUAAAAACACAAGAAAAAUAUCAACUCAAAAGAAUCUUCAUAAAGUUUUUUUGUUAAAAUCUUAAAUAGAAACUAAAAUAAAAGAGAAAAAAAAUUAAUAGCAAAAAAUUAAAAUAUAAUUUGGGACUAAAAAUUAACUAAGUAAAAAAAAUGCCGCCUAUUGGGCCAUCACGGCGUGCAUACGACUAGAAACCUUACCCGACAGGUGGGCCAAGAUGCAGGCCCACGGGCCGAGUAGGCCCAACAGAAACGAGAGGAGAGUUAGGCCCAUAAGCCUGCAAUAGAGAGGAUCUCAAAUGAGCUGGCGCGACAGUGCUUAUAAAGCACCGCGAGCGCUCCUCGCUCGGCGAGGUGGGACUAAAGAUUGCCCUGCGCCGCGCCGGAGCUAGCCCAGGUCUUUAGUCCCGGUUUGGGGCUCGAACCGGGACUAAAGACCCCCUUUAGUACCGGGUGGAGCCACGACCCGGGACUAAAGGCCCGUGCUUCCCGCCUUUUGGGUUGCCGAAAAAGGGUCUUUAGUCCCGGGUCAUGGCUCCACCCGGGACUAAAGGGUGUCUUUAGUCCCGGUUCGAGCCCCGAACCGGGACUAAAGAUCUUACUAUAUAUACAGCCCCGAUGAAAAUCCAAAUCCAAACGCCCUUUUCGUUAUCUUCUUCCUCUCGCUCGCCUGCAGGAACUGCUCGACGAACUGACACCCCUGACGAACUGCUCGACGCCGCGAGGUUGCGUGCCGUCGCCCUACCGUCCUCCGCACCGGCGCCGGACCUCCUCGCGCGCCCUCCUCCCCUUCGUCGACGCCCUACCGUCCUUCUCGUCGGCGCCGUACCUCCUCGCACGCCCUCCUCCCCGCCUCUGUCGUCCUCCUCGAUCCAACAUACCCUCCCGUCGGUGAGCUGAUCUCAUCUUCUCUCGGUCGAUCGUCGAUCGACAUGCUUAUGCUUAAUUGUUUUGUAUAUAGAUGCUUAGUGUUUUGUAGAUUAUUGCUUAAUUUUGCUAUUGUAUAUGCUUAAGUGUUAUUUGUAGAAUAUUUGGUGAAUUUAGGGUUAGGUAGGUUAGUGUUAAAUAGGUUAUUUGUGUUAUUUGUAGGUCACAAUUAGUGUUAAUUAAUAGGUUAUUGUUAGUUUAGGGUUAAUUACGCAAGUUUCUUUUAUGUUAAGUAAGUUAGUUUAGGCCUUUUAGUUUAGGUCAUAGUUAGUGUUAAAUAUUGCAAAAGUUUGAUGAACUUCAUCAUUUGCAAAAGUUUGUUAUAUAUAGAUUCUCUUAGUCCUUUAACAAUUAAUGGAUUUAUCAAGAAUGCCACAUUAUGUAUGUGCACAAGUUGAUUCAUUUCUUUUGAUCUCAUCUAUGUAACGUAGCUAGCUAGCUAGCUUCUAUAUGUCACGUUGUCUGUCAAAGUAUUGAAGAAACCCAUUGGCUUCAUUAUUAACUGGUAGUAACAAACGCAUGACGCUAUGAAGCUCUCGAAAGUUGUUUUAGAACGGAGUUCCUGAUAGAAUAAUUUAUUUUUUGGUACGAAGUUCAGCAAAGUCCUGCCAAAUAGCGACAUUCGGAUGACUCUUUUUGAAUUGUGUACCAAAAAGCUAAUUGUCCUAUUCGGAAUUCCGUUACAAAACAACUUUGUAAAGCUUCAUAGCAUCAUGAGCCUAUUUCUACUACGUAAUGAUGAAGUUAUUGUUUUCUUGAAUCCUUUGACAGUAGACAAUGUGACAUAUAGAAGGGUAGAUGAGAUCAGGAAAAAUAUGGAUAAUUUUCUACACAUCCAGAAUAUCGCCAUUUUGUUAAAUCCCUUAAAGGUUAAGAGAAUCCGUUAGACAUAUUUUAGAGUAUAGAUUCACUCAUUUUGCUCUGUAUGUAAAGUUUAGAAAAGUUUAUUAAAUAGUAGGAAUUUAAAUAGUAGGACAUACGAUGCCCGACCCACGUCCUCGUCAUCGACUCGAUGGCGACCACCUGCUUGAUAGGCGCCAGCAUGUGCGGGAUUGGGCUCCGCCGGGCUGGCACUGGGAGUAAUAACCUUCCCGGCACGCAGCUUGAUGAGGAACCGGGCUCCCGUCGUCGACUCGGAGCUUCUUUGGUGGCGGGGGCCACUGUCGGUGCCUAGGUUGCCGUCCCCCGAGGAGGAGGUACAUCGCCGUGUCACGGAGGAGGACGAGCACGUCCGUCGCUACAUGAAGGUGUUGGAUGCCAGGUUCUCCAGUACCUGGCAGGUUCUUCAGGGAUCUCACCCGAGCUAUGAUCCGGUGAUGGUCCCUGCUCUUUGGGUGUCCACCGCCCGCACCUCAGUACAGCGACGGCUCUUUGUUGGUUGAUCAGUUAUAUAUUAUUCGAUAUAUUACUGUAUUCCAGAGAUGUAUUAUUUAUGUAUUCCAGAUUAUAUAUUUGAUAAUAUUAAGUGGAUUAUUCGAUGAUGCAUUAAUUAAGUGGGUUAUUCGAUGUAUAUAAGAAGGAGUUUUAGUUGUUAGUUAAUUUAGUUUUUUUAUGUUUAAUUAAUUUGUAGAUACUAUGGAUCCAAUACACGACACAGACGAAUAUCACGAAGACGUGAUGCAUGGUGUCAUCCGUGGGGAUGAUAUUUUAGUUGGCGAUAUCGAUGUCACCAAUCAGUUUCUGAAUGAGUCCGGCGAGGGAGAUGAGUCUCUCAACACAUGAGGUAGAAGCUCCGGUGAGGUAGACGCCCACGCCUCGGGCGAGGGAGGAAUCCGCGGUUCCAAUGAGGAAGAAGCCGACGCGGGAGAAGCCGACCGCUCCGUCGAGGUGCAUAUAUAUAUACAUAUAUAUAUAUAUANUAUAUAUAUAUAUAUAUUAAUAAAUUAAUCCUCUGCUAUAUACAUAUAUUAAUGCUCUUUCUUUUAGCCCUCCGGAUCGAGCAAAACUUCAGUACGGACGAAAUGAGGCCCAACCAAGAAGCUGGAUGACGGUGAGAGAUACAUGAUCAAAAUAGUCUCAAAUGCCGGGCAACCAAUUGCUCCCACAGAGGUAAAGCAGAAGUUUGUGAAGGCAUGCGGAGUUGUUGUUAGGGACCACGUCCCUAUCACCACUCGAGAAUGGAUUAAGCCAAGGGAAGAAGGGGUUUCAUAUGUCGGCACAACAGCCAAAGAAAACCUUUGGAGAAAGCUCAUGCUUCAUUUCACCCUGCCGGCGCCAGAGGUGGAUCCAGAUGAGGAGGAGCCAAAUGAGGAGGAAAUGAAGAGGCGAAAAGAGGCCCUAGAGAAAAAAGUCAAGGAGUGGGCUCUUAAGAAGAUGGCCGAUCUAUUCAGGGGAUGGAAAAAAGAUUGCACCAGGAAUUUAUCUUGAAAGAUAAGACUCCAGAUUUCAAUCACGGCUAUGAGAAGAUAAAAGACUACUCGGCCGAAUUUGUGGCAUACAAGAAAUCGGAGGACACCUUGAAAAAGUAUGCAACAAAUAAGAUGAAUGCAGGUAAGAAGAAGUACCACCAUAUUAUGGGGCCUCGUGGCUAUGAGGGUAACAUGGCUAAGUGGGAAGCACUUGAGGCAUCAUUUCUGGAAACAAAUAUCACUCUAGAGCCCUUAAGAUGGCUCGAACGGGGAAGAAACUGGUUUUACGGGCAUGGGGGCUUGUUGGACGAAGAAGGGAAGGCAAUAUAUAACCAAAGACACAAAGAUAAUCCCCUACCCAUCGAGGACAUUAGACGUGCAAUACAUGAUGUUGAAGAGGGACGGUUCUUAUCCGAUAGAGAGAACAACGAGCUCACACGCGCCCUUGGGAAUAAGGAACACAAAGGGCGAGCACGAGGCUUACCAGGCUUCCCGCCAUGGAUGCUUGCGUUUUUCGAGGAAAGGAAGAGAUUUCCCGAUAGAAGCCAUCAGAGGAGAAAGGAAAAGGAGGCACGUGAUAAAGCGACUGAGGCAGAGCGGGUGCAUAAUCUAGAAGAAGCAGUAAAGUGACUGCAGCAGGAUCAAAUCGAUAGACAGGAAGGUAGCGGCCAAUCUCAGCGGCUCAUGAUAGAAGCUGCAUCGAAUUGUAAAAGAAGUGUCGCUUCCACGCAGCCCCAGGAUGAUGGUGAUGAUACACUGACGACGGAUCCUCCUCAUCGCUACCCAGUGGAUGAUAUCACAGAGAGCACACCUUGUGAGCUAAAGGUGAAAGUUACUAAAUUAAGGUUGACGGUGGUGGUCGGCAUGGCCAUACCAAUUGGACAUAAUCCAACUUGGCAUUGCUCUCCGGUUCCAGAAGGGUGCGCUGUUGUCGCGGUGGAUGAAGUGAUGAAAGAUUAUGAGGAGCUGAAGCUCGACCACCCUGCAGGUGAAGAUAGGGAUUUGACUCAACUUGAAGUCAAAAAACAAACCGUUGUAAGGCCAAAGGAGGACAUCUUGCUUCCAAAUUGGACGCCAAGGCCACUGACUCCUCAUAGCAGCAAUCCUUCUUCGCCUCCACCUCACCAGUAUCCAGCACAACCGUAGUCUUCGCCGCCUCACCAGUCUCUAGUGCAGCCAUCUCCACCGCCGCAUCAGCCGUCUCCACCGCCCCGUCAGUCCUCCGUCCACUGAGGAUCAGAGCAAAAAGCGGAAACGUACCACCGCUAAUAGUGGCGGUAGAAAGGGGUUCCGAUCACCGAAACAUAAUUUGUCGCCCCUCCCAAAACUACCUCAUAAGGAUAUGGAGAAGGGACCUUGGGACUAUACUCGAGAGGACAAUAUUAAGAGGGCAGACGCCCAACAUCAACAAUGGAAGAUUGACACGGCUAACAAGAAGAAGCCGAAAGAGCCAAAGUCCCCGGUCACCUCAGAAGAUCACACCGCAUGCGUGAAAAUGCUGAAAACCCUUGCAGAUCCCCUGCCACCGUUGCCAGCAGACUAUGAACGCUCUAUUCUCAAGUCAGCUCAGGCAAAAAAGCAGCGGUUGAAGAGUAGUACGUCCAGCGGGAAAUCAGUUGCCCAGCUCGGACAACAGAAAAACCAAUCGUGCCCCUGCUCAAAGUGUAUUCCGAUACAAAGGUGUGCUCGAGCGGAGCUACGGUCGAGUAGGGGAAUGAUGAAACAGCUGGUAUCGAUCCGGAGUUUGUUGCAAUAUAUGGAGAAGCGACCAAGGCUCAACGCAUGUCUAUUGAUGAGUACUUAAACCAUUUGCAGGAAUUCGCUGACAUAACAUACGUGUACCGGUACGGGGCUCGUCUCGUCAAACCUGAGUUAGUCAACGAGCUACCAAAAAAAUGCGAAGAUUGCAUGACUGGUACAUGCAAGCAUGUGCUUCACAGGAAAACUGGAUCUACCUUGCAUAUAAAGACGAGUAUUUCGGGACCGAACGAGGCGUGCUAAUGAUUGAAUUCGACGAAUUAUUUCAGUUAUACCAACAAGACGCCCUCGACAAACCUAUCAUCACUACCUAUUAUUUGUAAGUAUUAUUAAUUUAUGUCAUUAAGUCUUACUGAGCUCAUUCUUGCAUGUAUAAUCUUACUCAUCACUAUAUUAAUUUUGCAGAAUGAAGAUUCUGGAAUGCAAAAGAGGACAAAUCUAUGACAUUGGGUUCAUUGACCCAUAUUACAUUCAUCACCAAAGUCUCGCAACGAAUCCCCGCAACACUGAGAAUAACUUGGUACAAGGGUUAAGGUUUUCCGGUACCAAAAGGGAAAUACUAUUUCCUUACAACUUUAAGUGAGUGUUACUACACACAUUCUAUUUUCGCUUACUCGAUGUUAUUAUAAGUAUAUAAUUGACUCGUUAUGCGUGCGCAGGUUCCACUUUAUUUUGUUAAUCAUUGUACCUGACGAGGGACAAGUAAUAGUCAUGGACCCGAAACGCACACCCAUCCCUCAAUGGGAAACAUGCAGGAAUGUCUCGAGAGGUAAUUUCAAUCAUUAUAGUACUAUAUCGACAACUUCUCGUUCAUUUCCUGAUAUCAAGGAAUUAAUAUCGAACUCCUUUAUUCAUUUCCUUUUCUUGGCAGGGCUUGGCAACGGUUCACCGCCAAGGCUCGGGGUGUUUGGAAGUCAGAGCUUAUAUUUAAACAAAUAGAUGUAAGUAACUACUAGCUAGAUCCACACAUCUCUUUAUUCUAGUUUCAAUACCAUUAUAAUUCUUCAUUAUGUAUUUGAUUGAACUCUGUUCUCGUAAAGUUCUUGAUGCAGGAACAUGGGAACAAUUUAUGUGGAUACUAUGUUUGCGAGGUCAUUCGCGAGACGACCCAUGAGACGGGCAAAACCCGGGACAUAAAAAAAAUUGAAGUACGAUAAACAAUACUCACAACUUUAUUUUAUUACCGUGAAUUGUGUUCGUUUUCAUUGAUAUAUAUAUUGAACCCUUCUUUAAAUUAGAUCGAACGGUUGCGGGACGGUCUUCUAUCACAGGAACGUGUACAAGCAAUUCAAGAGGAAAUUGCCGGAUUCUUAAAUGCAGAGGUCCUAGAUGUCAAAGGAGAAUACUAUUGCCCGUCGAUGCAAUUGAUAUGAAAUGAUAUAGUGUAAAAAAGAUGUAUAUAUGUGCAUGUAACUCGUGUCUACAUUUUGUAAUAUGUUUAACAAAGCACGAGCAUGAGAUGGUGUAAUAUAUUCGUGACGAUGAUGUGCAAUAUAGUUGUUCCUUUAUUGAUGUGUAUGCAUCAUCCAAUUUAGUGCGAAACAAGAAUUAAAAAGUGCCCAAAACAAAUAAAUGGGAAAAUAGGGGGCAACAAAAUAGUCCCAUCCAAUUUAGUGCAAAACCCUAAACCCUAAAAAGUGCUAAAAAAGAAGCGAAGAAAUAGCCCCAGUUUGUAAUAGGAACCAUGACUAAUACCCCUCCCCCCUCGCUCCCAGCCCCGCCACGUGGAAGAUCAUUAGCCCAGGUUCGGGGCCGAGCCGGGGCUACCAUUAGUCCCGUUGUUUAGUCCCGGUUCGUGAACCGGGACUAUAGGCCCUUUUUCUACUAGUGAAUGUAUCAGUGAAGUAUUAUGUCCCAUCAAAAUAAUUAUGUGCUUUCUCGCGAAACACAUUUUGAUGAGCUCUUUUAUGGUACCUUAAAUUGGAUACAUGCCGUCCAUUGACAAAGAUCCAAAGGUAGGUAUUUUCUUGUACCGGUGAAACUGGAUCAGCAGUAUCGGUAGUACCGUGUAUCUCUCGUCCAUCGGUAUACGUGAUCAGCUCGCGAGAUAGAUCCACCCUUUGUUUGAUCGGCGAUUCUCUGCAUUUUGGCAGACGCCUCCUAGCGCUCACCUUCUCUUGGACAGCACAUCCCGGACCGCUUCCCCUUGUUCGCCGUGCGCCUCAUCCCGACGGCCUGCGGCCAUGAGGGUCUCUGCCGCCCGUAUGGUUGAGCGCCCCAACAUCACGUUUACUGUGCUUCGUGAUUAACAGCGACAACGCAUGCCAAACCACCAUGCGUUGCGGGUGAGCUCCCCGCUCACCCAGGCAUGACUCAAUCUGCUCAUCGGUGUGCACCAUGCAUUCCAACAUAUUGGCCCACACCCACUAGAGCAAUCCCCUUUGCGAACAUUCAAAGCUUUCACCGUCAGGUUUUUUUGAACCAGAAGUGUGUGUACUACCUCUAACAAUGAAGGGCGGGAUCAUACAUAUACUGCUUCCUCGCUAGUAGCAGUAUAGGGUACCGUAAAAACUCUCUUUUUAUUAACUAUGAGUACUUCAUCUCCUCCCACCAACCAACUAUUGAUUGGUUCUCACAUGUUCGCUUGUUAAUGCGAACUUAGCAUAAGGCUGGGUGUAGUGAGUAGUAUCAUGCAUAUGAUACUAGUGUAUGAUACCACAUCCGUAAUGCAUAGUAUCAUAUGAUAGGUCAUUUAUUGCCAUGCAAGAGACAUAGUAACACAUCAUUUAGUAUGAUACGGUAUCUAUGAUACUCAACCCUCUCUUUCUUCAUUUAAUUCUAUGCCACCUCAUCAAAAUUGUCUAGUUGGCAUGCAUGAUACUACCUAUGAAAUUUUAUUACGGACAGCCUAAGUGAGAUGAUUAGGUCUAAUAUGAUGAAACCAACUCAUUAAAGCUUAACUCCUAAACUUGGUAUUAAUGCUGAAUUAUUUUAGACUUUUCGGCGAUGUUUGUUUAAUAAAAAAAGAUAUUUUUUAUUAACUACGAGACCUCUAUGAUGAGUUUCAGUCUAAAGAUGUUAUACCGAUUUAGUAUCUUAAAAAUGCUGAUAGAGACAUAGUGUAUAUGUGAUGCAUCUACAGGAAUAAGUUUAUGUUCGUGUAUGUAAACAUCUGUCAACAUACCGUGAUAACGAAAAAUACAAACAGAAGAAAACAUGUUUGCCUUUAGUUAUGUUGUCUUUCGUAAGACACAACAUCAAGAUAAAAUGAACAUUUCCAUUAUGUAAGAGCAACUCCAACCGAGCGACCCAUAUGGUCCGUUUGGAUCAUCCCGACCGAAAACUUGGCUUAACCGGGCGACCCAAACGGACGUGUGUGUCCGCCUGAUGUCCGUUUGUUGUCCGUUUCGAUCCAAACUGAACGCAAAAAUGUGUCACAAAUGGGUCCGCGGCGGACAAAAGUGGGCGCUCCCGUCGUCCGCUCCUCCCCUCUCAUGUCUGUCCUGGUCCCACUUAUCAACCACCCGCACUUCCUCCGCAACCGCCGUGUCGCAUUUCCUCCAAAACCACAGUGACGAAGACACCGACGUAGGCCGCCACGGAGGUCACCCACGAGGCCACCGGCGCAGGCCAGCGCGAUGCUCGCCGUCAUGCUUGAAGGCCGGGCGCCAGAUGUGGCGUGCGACGUUGUAGAUGGCGCCCUCGUGAACUCGAGGAACCCGCACAGGAUGAGUAGCUCCUCCUCGUGUGUCCAUAGCCGUUAGAACAACCCCCCCGAGUCCUCCACCGCAGCCGCGGCACUCGCCCCUUGCGGGCCUAUGGUGGAGGCGGCGAAACCGGACCGGCUGGUUCGGGGAAGGCAGUGGCAGCGAGCGUUGGGGGAGGCAGGGCCGGACAGUCGGGAAGCGGGGCCUCCUCGUCAGCGACCGGGUGGGAACGUUGGAGGCGUCGCUGUCGGUGCCCUUGUCAUCUUCGUCGGAGCAGCGGGAGGGCAUGACGGAGGCGUGGUCGUCAGCCAUGGUGGCGGUGCCGUGGUGGGAGGGGGAACGCGGUGGCAUAGAAGGAAAGCUUUGUGCAUGGCACGACCGCGGAGGAGCGCGGCGGCGCGAGAGGAAAGUUGCGUUUUUCAUGCCGACAACCCUACUUAUCCGUUUUUUUGCAUCUUGUGCGUUGGAUUCGUCUACCGAUCACAGUGUUUGUUUCAUGUGUGUUAGACGAAUGGACGACCCAAACGAACAAAAUCUAUAUGCGUUUGGGUCAGUGAGUUACUUAGAUGCACGGUUCCCUGCCGAUAUAUCGGCGUCAACCUUUUCCGAUCCGGUGCCGUCAGCGGUCAGCCGGUAGGUGCCCGGUCGCCGGCGCCGUGCAGAGUCCGGGGGAGGGACACCACCACCGUAUCGGCCCGCCGGCUUGCUCGGAUCACUUGGCACGCACGCACGCGCGCGCGCCGGACCGACAGACAUGCCCGACGGGAGGGCGAUGUGCCGGGUGUGGUGGGCUUCGGAAAAAGCUGACGUGCCGCCGCGUUCCAUCGGCGUCGGUCGGUCUCUCUCCGCUGCACAAAGCUAGAGUAGCUACCUGCCCCCACAUCUGCUGAUCGUUGCAGCAGCACUGCAUGCACCCCCGUUGCGCCAGUGUUUUUUCCCUGCCGUCGGGCGUCAGUCGUCACCGUGCCCUCAGCAUGGCGUAAUCACCAUCUGACCUCCUCGCGUCCAUGUUGUUUUGCGUAGGAAGCUACUAGGCUCGUGUCAGUGAAUGAUCCAUAUAUUCAUUGUGAUCAGAACGAUUUGGUUCUUAUUGUUGACCGACAUUCAGUUUCAAGCUUAUAUGUAAGCGUGUGGCGUUGCGUGACCGGUAACUCUUUUUUUUCAGACAGCUGAAAUCAUGGAUUGCAUCGUCCGAUCAUCCAUGUAGUACAUCGCAAAUAAUGUGCGACGUGAGGAGAUGAGGCCGUGAGCCCCAUGUUUAUGUACUAGCACCACCCUGCUUUUCUUUUCUUGAACAGGACAAUGCACCUGCCAGCUUGCAGCUUGGUGCGGAGGCGAGGCACGUGUCACGCCGAGGGCCUCAGCUCAGCACCCGGUGGAGCCUGACGGCAACACAUGACACAACCGCUCUACGACACUUUUGAGCAGACCCAUCUAUACGGUUGGUUGUAAUGGGUAGUGUCAUAUACUAGUAUCACACAUGUGAUAUUAGUCUAUGAUAUCACAUCCGUAAUGUAUAAUACUCUCUCUGUUCGCUUUUAUAAGACGUUUUAGACAUUCAGACACUGCCUAAAUUAGUGCAAAGCAAGCUGUCUGAAACAUCUUAUAAAAACGAACGUAGGGAGUAUCAUAUGUUAGUAUCAUAGGAUAAUUUAUUUAUUACCAUACAGAUACAUAAAUAGCACAUCAUGUAAUAUGAUACAGUAGUGUCAUGAUAUGAUACUCAAUCUUUUUUUCAUUUAAUUCAAUGUCAUCUCAUCGAAAUUGUCUAGUUGGCAUACAUACCUAUGAUACUAUCAUUACGGCGAACCUAUCAGAAUAUGUGCAUCUUCAUACUAACUGGCCAAUGGGAGCUUGACAGUUCAAGCAAUACUGCAUGCCCCUGAACCUGGCACCACUAAUUGGAGAUGCACGCGUGUACUCCUUGGGGAUAUACGUUUGCACGUCGUCGAUGUCGAUGAUCUGUAAAGAAAAGCAGCAGGCCACAUCAUUCACGUCUCGAGCGCCCUGCAAAGGAUUGGCACGAUGCGGAGCCAGCCAGGCAGAAUGUGGAUGAUGUUGAUCGAAUCGAUCGACAACUUAUGAUGCUCCAAAAUACGCCACACAUGCAGUCGCGGCAAGGGCGAUCGAGUGUGUGUCAGGCGUCCCGCCGGCGACGAGCGGCCGGCAUAGCCCCAGGUGGCUGGCGGCGGCCGAAGCGGCGGUCCUCCACCGCGCGCGUUCUCUCUCUCCCAUGGCCGGGGGGCUCACGCGCACACUGUCACUGCACAUCACAGCACAGACGGAAAAGGGCCGGCUUUUCACUACGGGCAUGCAGAAAUAAAGCGUCGCGGUGGCAUGUGUCAAAUGCGGCAAUGAUGCGACAACGAACUCGGAUCUAAUCCUGGGCCACACCGCAUCGCAGGCCUCUCUGCCGCCCUUUUCCCCCCUUUUGUUUCUUUCUGCUGCUGUUUCUGUUAGUAGCAAGAAUGCAAGAUGAUGCGUCAAUGGAGAGGAUGGAUUAUAUUGGUGGAAGAAAGAGAGGGAGCAAGGUUUUUGGGUGGAACCGUGCGCUGUGGUUGCCUGCGCCCAAAGGUGGCUGCCGUCUCUCAUGGGGCGGUGCUCGCUCAUCCUUAAUUUUGCCAUGCCAGUCCGACCGGUGGCCGCCGGCGGGUACCGGGCCCCGUCCCACCCAACGACGCCUCCUCUAGCUUAGAUAGUGUUAACUAAUCGCCGGUAUGAUUAGACCACCGACGAGUUCAGUCAACUGCAUGCCUUUACUUUCCAUAUUAGUUUUAUGUUGAGUUAAGGAUAACUUCGGACGGUGUUUUUGUCCGUUUUUUAUUCGUUUGUGUCCGUAAGGCGGACACGAACGCCCGCUUCCAUAAAUGGUUCGGCGCAGGCGCGCAACGCUGGCUGGUCCAUUUUUACCCGCAUGCGAAAAAAUAAUAUAUAAGUGCAUAAUUAAAUAUUAAAGGCCAACCACGAAGGCCGGCGAGAGGCCACACAUCUGAAUUACAGUAAUUAAACAAAAAUAAAAUAAAACUACGAAGGCAACCCUAGGCGGUGGCGUCGUCCUCGUCGGAGCCAGUGUGGUCGACCAGCGUAGGCGCAGGGCCGGCCACGGGGAACGCCGUGUUCCAAAGCGUAGUUGUGUGCGCCUUCGUCGUCUGUCCCGCCGGCUCGGGUUGUGCUGGUGGCGGUGGCAGCGCAGCAGCAGGGGCACGCUCCUCCUCCUUCAACUCCCGUCAUUCCUCCUCCGCCUCCUUCUCCAGCUCCAUCAGUCGAAGGCCUUCGACGCGCUCCGCCCGCAGGUGCUGCACCCUCUAGUGCUCGAGGUAGGCUAGCUCCUGCUGCGGUGUCGUGUCCAGCCAGAUGGAUGGCGCACUGACAAACUCGCUGACGACGCCUGUCCACUGAUAGACCUCCCGCGGCUCCGUGGGCUCGGGCUUCAGCGGAGGUGGCACGACGCAAUCGCCGGCGGCCGGCAGCGCGAUGUCCUCUGCGAGCUGCUGCCGGUACGCCGCCUCCUCGUCGGCCCUGCGCCACGCUUCCUCCUCGCUGUCGCGUAGAACAGCUGCCAGCGCCGCCUUGUAGGCGGCUUCAGCCUCCUAGUCCUCGUAGCUGACAACAGGCGGGGCGACGGUGGGCCUUCUGGCUGCACUUCGCGCAUGCCACGACGGCGCUGCUCCUUGUGCUCCACCGCGAACCACAACUCCCAGUUGGGGGAGUCGGUCGCGUACGCAAGGUCUCGUCGUUGCUCCGUCGUCAGCAGACGCCAACGGCGGCUCACCUCUUUCGCAUGCACCCACGCCGACCGCGGCACGAUCGACACCGGGAUCUUCUCCGGAUCCAGAUGCCAGCCGUGCGGCAACGUGACGUCGGGGUAAGGGAGCGGCACGCGGUGCUCCGAGUGCCACCGCGCUUGGUGCACCAAGACGCUCACGCGCUGGCGAGGCCGACGGGAAGACGGCGGCGGGGAGAUGGCGCGGGGGUAGAGCGGGGCCUUGCCCUUGUUUGGGAAGCCGCCGGCCAUGGUGCUAGGGUUUUGGUCCCCGAGGAGGUGGCGGGAUGGGGACGGACAGGUUCUGGAAGCAGAUGGCGGAGCCCACCGCACGCUCGGAUUAAAAAAGGCCGACUACGAACGCUAACGCGUGGGCUUGAGGAUAGUGGGCGUCAUAAAUAAUGUUGACCGCGGUGGUUGAGAGCGGACACCGAGAGGGCGCGCGCGUCGGCUCCACGUCCGCGCCGACGCAUUUCAGUCCCAAAUUUGGGCCGGAAAUGGGUUGAUGCAUUAGGCCAUCCUUUUUGUCCGCGCCGACCCAAACGUACGGCGGCGGACGAAAUGGGUCGCUCCAUUGGAGUUGCUCUAAGCUCUUUAAAAUUCAACUAAAUUUAUAGUUGAAACAAGCUAUUGCAAGAUCAAGCGGCCGGAUAACUACAAAGUAGUGGCAAAACCCUCAUUCAGAAGCCCAGGGCCACCUCAUCUUUUUGUAUUGUCUGACCAUGUAUUAUGUUUGAUGGUUGCUUUAUAUAUAAAGCGAAACAAAAACCUGUUUUGAUAGUAUUGCUAAAAGCCUCCUAGAAGCUGAUAUUUUUUUUCUAUAAACUUGACGAGGCUUAAGUAAGAUUGACCAAGUAUAUGUUAAAAACACACAUCUAAUAAUACUAAAUAAAUGUAAUAUGAAAACAUAUUUCAUGUUGAAUAUGAUGAUAUUGAUAUGGUAUUGUGCAAGCUGAUCUUGUCCAAUAAACUAAACCAAACUUUAAAAAAUACUAUGGCUUAAGACAAGUACAAUAUACUAAUAUACAAAGUAAAAAGAAACGAAGGAAAUACCCAUGCCAAAGAAAGAAGAGGCAAGAAUACAAAAUUAAUAACAAACUAGUAGCAAUAAUUUUGACCAAACAACCUCACUAUGUAUAUGCAUGUUGUUAGAGCAUCUACAACCGAACGCCUCAAAGCCCCCUUAUACGCUUGGAAGGAGGGCCUGGUCACCAACCGGUAAAAAGAGGGACCUAGACGGGCUCCUCAUACCAGCCCUAACGUCCAGACUGACCAGCACCCCUCAUAUCAGGUCCAAAUCUAGGGCGGAUAUGGGAGGCCCGGGCGCGUUCACCACGUCGGACCAGAUGGGCCGACCCUACCGCAAAUUGCACCAAAUCCCCCCCCCCCCACCUAGCAUAUUUGACUUGUUCCUCUCCACUCUUCUCCAUGCUCCCCGCCACCAUACGUAGCCAUCAGCACCGGCAACACUAUCACAAUAGUCCUCCCAUCCUUUCUUGCCAUCCUGGACAUCGUCGCUGGUCCGGAUGCCACCGAUGUACGUUCGACAACCCUCGGACAACACCUUGCCCUCUAAGUGUUCAAAACAUUGUCUGACCAGUUUUUUAUGAUUGUUUCGUAGGCAAAAUGAUGGAUUCAAAUGGUUCAUCGCAUGAGGAGUACAAACCAACAAAGCUUGAUAAAAUGAUUCAAAAUGAGUUUUUUGAUUCCUCGGAUUUAGACAAAGAAGCUGAAAUGAUCAUGAGCAUGACACUAGUAGAAAACAGGGAUUUGGUCCAGGCGAGAUAAGAGCUUUAAUCCCGGUUCUGUCACGAACCAGGACCAAUGGGUGCAUCAGUCCCGGUUCGUGAAGCCAGGGCGCCGGCUGGGCUAGGGUCUUGGUUCGUCUGACCCCUUUGGUCUCGGUUCCAGACACAAACGGGGACCAAUGGUCCUCGCUCCUAGCGCAACACCUUUAGUCUCGGUUGGGGGAUGGAACCGAGACUAAAGGUCAGUCUUCUGUCCCGGUUCUGGCCACCAACCGGGACCAAAGAUAUGCCUAUAUAUACCCUCGCCCUGCCCACCCUCUCCUCUGUUUUUUGGUCGUGUGGGAGGUGUGCAUGCCCUGCUCUGUUCACCGUUCUAUGCAUGCACAUGAGGUGUUCGAUGAAAUGCCCGAGCCACACUUAAGCUUUCUCCUCUCCAAGAUCCAUUUUCCUCAAGAUUUUCUAGGUUUGGCGAUGCACCAACUACACAAGUGUUCUAAAAGGUUAGCUACUUCAUCCUUUCAUCUCUCACUGCUAGUUUAGCUUAUUUCGAAUGCUCUAGAAGUAGAGUGGUUUGUGAGUUUUAGUGUAGGAGUGUAUGUGGGAGUUCUUUUGAUUUAGCUCAAAUUAACUUCUUAUAGUGCACAUGUGUAGGUGUCGUCCCGUGCCCGUCCUCAUCGUCGUCGAUCGCCCGCGCCGAUCUCAUCGCCGGCACCACCGUGGUGAGCCUCUUGUUCUUAUCUUCUUUUUAAAAGAAAAAAAUUCUUACUUGUAUGAUUUAGAUAGAUACUUGUAUAGUUUUCUUACUUUCAUUAUUGUUUGCUAUUAUAUAGCGCGAUGGUUUUGGUAUCCGCCCACGUCGGCCCUCGUCCGGCCUAUGAUUCAGACGUGGUAUAUUUUUUAUAACUAUUUGUUUCAUUUAGUGUUUAUAUAAAUUAUGCCUACCAAUGUGACAUGGAUGUUUUUAUCUAGGAGGUAUGUGAACCGGAAAUUCGAACCGACCCUCUUGUCGAGAGGCUAAAUUUAGUUGAAAAAGAAAAUAAUUACUUGAAGAAAAAAUUGAAAAUAAUUUAUAAAAAUAAAAUGGAAUUGGAGUUGCAUGUGGCCAAUGUUGUCGAUGAUCACAAGGUCAAGAUGGAUGCAAUGCGGUUGAAGAUGGAUACAAUGCGCUUGAAGAUGGAUGCAAUGCUCUUGAAGAUUAAGAAUAUUAGAAAAUAUGUCAUUGAUAAAGAGACUUGGUAUCAUUAUGCUGUUGGGUCAGUUGUUACUUUAGUUGCGAUUUUGAUCACAUUUGUUCUUGCAUUUAAAUAUUUUACAUAGUUGUAUGUUGUUUCAUGAGAACUAUAUAUGAACUUUAUGUAUUUACUUUUGCAGUAAUAACAUUUGAUCACUACUGUAUUUUGGUUUUAAUGUGAUGAUGAACUUGUAUUAAUUUGGUCAUUUAUCUAUUCAUGAUGUUCUGCAAUGGUUUUUGAUAUACUUAAUUUCAUAAUACAGAUGAACCGCCAACGGAUGUAUGGUGACCGACACACUUCAGAGUACAUUAUGGGCCUGCGUAAUUUUCUCGGCGUGGCCGAGGCAACCAAGUAGAAUGGUUUUAUGUAUUGUCCAUGUGUUAACUAUGAGAAUACGAAGGAUUACUCUUCCUCGAAAACCCUUCAUGUCCACCUUCUUGAGAAGGGUUUCAUGCCCCACUAUUAUGUUUGGACCAAGCAUGGAGAAAUAGGGGUUAUGAUGGAAGACAAUGAAGAAGAAGAGGUUGAUGACAACUAUCCGGAUCCUAUGUUCCCUGAAUACGGUGAUACUGCAACGGGGAAAGCUGAAGAUCAAGAGGCACCAGACGAUGUGCCCGAUGAUGAUCUUUGUCGGGUCAUUGUUGAUGCACAGAGAGAAUGCGAAAGUGAAAAGGAGAAGUUGAAGUUCGAGCGCAGGUUAGAGGAUCACAAAAAAGGGGUGUACCCAAAUUGCGAAGAUGACAACACAAAGCUCGGUACCACACUAGAAUUGCUGCAAUGGAAGGCAGAGAAUGGUUUGUCCGAGAAGGGAUUUGGGAAGCGACUGAAAAUAAGGAAGAAGAAGCUUCCAAAGGAUAACGAAUUGCGUGACAGUACGUACGAAGCAAAGAAGGUUCUCUGUCCUCUAGGAUUGGAGGUGCAUAAGAUACAUGCAUGCCUUAAUGACUGCAUCAUCUACAACGAUGAGUACGAGGAUUUGAACGCAUGCCCAAUAUGUGGGGCAUUGGGGUAUAAUAUCAGACAGAUGACACUGAUGAUGUUGAGGGCGAGCGCCCGAGGAAGAGGGGUCUUGCAAAGGUGAUGUGGUAUGCUCCUAUAAUACCACGGUUGAAUCGUUUGUUCAGAAACAAAGAUCAUGCCAAGUUGAUGCGAUGGCACAAGUAAGACCAUAAGAAAGACAAGAAGUUCAGAGCACCCGCUGAUGGGUCACAGUGGAGAAAACUCGAGAGAAGGUGGGGGGACUUUGCACGUGACUCAAGGUACGUAUGGUUUGGUUUAAGUGCAGAUGUCAUUAAUCCUUUUGGGGAGCAUAGCAGCAAUCAUAGCACCUGGCCCGUGACUCUAUGUAUCUAUAACCUUCCUCCUUGGUUGUGCAUGAAGCGGAAGUUCAUUAUGAUGCCAGUGCUCAUCCAAGGCCCUAAGAAACCUGGCAACGACAUUGAUGUGUACCUACGGCCAUUAGUUGAAGAAAUUUUACACCUAUGGAAUGGGAAAGGUGUACGUGUGUGGGAUGAGCACAAACAACAUGAAUUUGACCUACAUGAGUUGCUGUUUGUAACCAUAAAUGAUUGGCAUGCUCUCAAUAACCUUUCAGGACAGACAAACAAGGGAUACCACGCAUGCACGCAUUGUUUAGAUGACAUCGAAAGUAUGUAUUUGGACAAAUGCAGGAAGAGUGUGUACCUGGGACAUCGUUGAUUUCUUCCGACCAACCAUAAAUGUCGAAAGAAAGGCAAGCAUUUCAAAGGUAAGGCAGAUCACCGGAAGAAGCCCGCCCUCCGUACUGGUGAUCACAUACUUGAUAUGGUCAAUGAUUUACAUGUAAUCUUUGGAAAGGGUCCUGUUGGACAAUCUGUUCCGAAUGACGCUGAGGGACGCGCACCCAUGUGGAAGAAGAAAUCUACAUUUUGGGACCUACCCUAUUGGAAAGACCUAGAGGUCCGCCUCUACAAUCGACGUGAUGCACGUGACGAAGAAUGCUUGCGUGGACCUGCUAGGCUUCUUGGGCAUGUAUCGGAAGACAAAAGAUACACCGGAGGCACGGGAGGACCAACAACAUUUGCACGAAAAAGACGGCAUGCAUUCAAAGCAGUAUGAAGGUCCUGCCAGCUACGCUCUUACCAAAGAAGAGAAGGAAAUCUUCUUUGAAUGCCUGCUCAGUAUGAAGGUUCCGUUUGGAUUCUCAUCCAUUAUAAAGGGAAUAAUAAAUAUGACAGAGAAAAGGUUCCAGAACCUAAAGUCUCAUGACUGCCAUGUGAUUAUGACGCAACUGCUUCCGGUUGCAUUGAGGGGGCUUCUACCGGAAAAUGUUCGAUUAGCCAUUGUGAAGCUAUGUGCAUUCCUCAAUGCAAUCUCUCAGAAGGUAAUCAAUCCAGAAAUCAUACCAAGGUUAAAGAUUGAUUUGGUGCAAUGUCUUGUCAGUUUCGAGCUGGCGUUUCCACCAUCCUUCUUCAAUAUCAUGAUGCACGUCCUAGUUCAUCUAGUCGACGAGAUUGGCAUUGGGCCAUGUAUUUCUACACAAUAUGUUCCCCUUUGAGAGGUUCAUGGGAGUCUUAAAGAAAUAUGUUCAUAACCGUGCUAGGCUAGAAGGAAGCAUCUCCACGGGCCAUCAAACAGAGGAGGUCAUUGGGUUUUGUGUUGAUUUCAUUCAUGACCUUAAGAAGAUUGGUCUCCCUCAAUCGCGGUAUGAGGGGAGACUGACCGGAAAAGGCACGCUAGGAGCGAACUCAAUAAUAUGUAUGGACGGGCAUUCUUGGGUUCAAGCAUACCACACACUUCUACAAAAUUCUACCUUGGUGAACCCGUAUGUCAAUGAACACAAGAAUAUUCCGUGCUCCAAACACCCAGAGCAGUGUGACGACUCGAUUAUAUGUCAACACAUUAGGACUUUCGGCAGUUGGUUGCAAACACAUCUCAUGGUUGACAACAAUGUUGAAGGUGAGCUAUACUCAGUGGCUAGGGGACCAUCUUUGACUGUAUUGACUUACAAAGGGUAUGAGAUAAAUGGGAAUACAUUUUACACAAUUGCCCAAGAUCAAAAGAAGACCAACCAAGAGGGGAAAGGACACAUAUUAUGGUUACAUAGUGGACAUAUGGGAACUUGACUAUGGACAUGAUUUUAAGGUCCCUUUGUUUGGCUGCAAAUGGGUCAAGCUGUCAGGAGGCCGAGUACAGGUAGACCCAUAGUAUGGAACAAUAGUGGGUCUGAACAAUCUUGGGUACAUAGACGAACCAUCCGUCCUAGACAAUGAUGUGGCGUAGGUUUUCUAUGUGAAGGACAUGUCUACCAAAACGAGAAAAAGAAAAUAUAAGGAAGCGAAUACAUCAUACGAUGAGCCAAAGCUCCACAUAGUUCUUUUAGGAAAAAUAGACAUCGUGGUAGUGAAGGGCAAGAUAGACAUGUCUGAAGAUUAUGAAAAGUUUCAUGAAAUUCCUCCCUUCAAAGUGAAGGUUGACCAAAGCAUCGUGUUAAGCGAUGAAGAUUAUCCAUGGUUACGGCGCAAUAAGCAAGGGACGCACGCGAAGAAAAAGUGAAGAAUUUCUCUCCACAACUAUUCUGAUGAUGGCUCUAAUGAUGGAUUUGAUUACACAUAGAAAUGAAAUCUCUUUGUGGUAGAUGAGUUUUCGUCCGGAACCUUGAUACUUCGAAAGAGAUUGUCCAUUUUAUACACGAAGUGCAUCCAGUUUUUAUCGUAACCCUCAACUUUUUAGAACAUGAUAUGUGGGUGAAAUGAUGAUACCAUGCCAACUUUCAACCUUUUCAGAGUUCAUUUGUAGUUCUUUUCAACUUCAGGGUCAUUUAUCUCAAAACAAAUCAGUAAAUGCCUGAAAAAUACAAAAUGAAGUCAGAAAGGGUUGAAAAUUGAUGAUGUGGCUUUGAAUGGUGCAUGUUGAACGCACAAAAAGUCUAGAGAUGAAAUAAGUUCAAAAAAAUGAAAUCCCUUUGUAACACAUGAGUUUUCGUCCGAAACCCUGAUACUUCGAAAGAGAUUGUACAUUUUGUACAUGAACUGCAUCCAGUUUUUGCCGUAACCCUCUCAACUUUUAGCACAUGCUAUGUGGGUGAAAUGAUGAUACCAUGCCAACUUUCAAACUUUUUAGAGUUCAUUUGUAGUGCUUUUCAAUUCCAGGGUCAUUUAGCUCAAAAAAAUAGUAAAUGCAUGAAAAAUACCAAAUGAAGUCAGAAAGGGUUGAAAAUUUAUGAUGUGGCUUUGAAUGGUGAAUGUUGAAUGGAAAAAUAGUGUGGAGUUGAAAUAAGUUAAAAAAAUGAAAUCCCUUUGUAACAGAUGAGUUUUCAUCCGAUAUCGUGAUAAUUCGAAAGAGAUUGUCCAUUUUGUACACGAAGUGCAUCCAGUUUUUGCCGUAACCCUCUCAACUUUUUAGCACAUGCUAUGUGGUUGAAAUGAUGAUACCAUGCCAACUUUCAACCUUUUUAGAGUUCAUUUGUAGCGCUUUUCAAUUUCAGGGUCAUUUAGCUAAACAAUGAGUAAAUGCAUGAAAAAUACCAAAUGAAGUCAAAAAGGGUUGAAAAUUGAUGAUGUGGCUUUGAAUGGUUUAUGUUGAACGCACAAAAAGUCUGGAGUUGAAAUAAGUUCAAAAAAAUGAAAUCCCUUUGUAACAAAUGAGUUUUCGUCCAAAGCCCUCAUACUUCGAAAGAGAUUGUCCAUUUUGUGCACGAAGUGUAUCCAGUUUUUGAUGUAAUCCUCUCAACAUUUUAGCACAUUCUUUGUGGGUGAAAUGAUGAUACCAUGCCAACUUUCAACCUUUUCAGAGUUCACUUGUAGUACUUCUCAAUUUCAGGGUCAUUUAGCUCAAAUAAUAAACUAAUAGCAAAACGAGUGAACUAAAAAGAAUCAAAAUAAUAUUAACUCAAAUUAUCAAAGUAUUGAUUUGUUAAAAAGAAUGAACUAAAAAGAACCAAAAAAAUAUUAACUAAAAUUAUCAAAGUAUUUAUUUGUUAAAAAGAAUGAACUAAAAAGAAUCAACUAAAAUAACAGAAAAAAAAUCUUUAAUAGCAAAUUAAAAUAACAGGAAAAAAUAUUUAAUAGCAAAGAACUCAAAUUUAAACUAUUCAAAUUUGAAAGCUAUUGGCACUAAGAGAAAGUUUAUAAUUUUUGUGACCUAAAGCAAAAAGAAUCACUCAAAAACUCUAAGUAUUUAGGUGGUUGCUACCACAAACCGGGCUAAAAAGUAUUAAAGUAAAAAAAAAUUAAAAAAUGCCGCCUACUGGGCCACCACAUCAUGCAUAUGACUAGAAACCCUACACGCUAGUUGCGUGAGGAUGUAGGCCCGCAGCAGGCCCAGUAGGCCCACACGCAGAUAGAGUGCGUUUAAGCCCGUAGGCAUGCAUAAGAGAGGAGCUCGAGAGGGUUGACGUAGCCGCGCUUAUAAACUAGCCUCGAUGCCUCUCAGCUAGCGAGGUGGUACUAAACAUCCACCCACUCGAUGCCGUGCCAGCUGCACGCCUUUAGUUCUGGUUGGUGGCUACAACUGGGACUAAAGGCAUGCGGUUCCUGCCCUUUGCGCUGCUGAAAAUGAGCUUUAGUCCCGGUUGGUGGCUGCAACCGGGACUAAAGGCCCCCCUUUAGUCCCGGUUCCAGCCACGAACCGGGACUAAGGUUCCCAGUAUAUAUACUUCUUCUUCUCCUUGUGCGAGCCACCGCUCGAGACAUGAUUAGAUCAACGUCGCCAGGCUGCCCAAUUUCUCCGAUGAUCCGCACCACCGCUCGCUUAGCCUCCCCUCCGGUGCACGCUGAUACGUCUCAAACGUAUCUAUAAUUUUUGAUGGUUUCAUGUUGUUAUCUUGUCAACUUUGGAUGUUUUAUAUACCUUUUAUAUCUUUUUGGGACUAACUUAUUAAUUCAGUGCCAAGUGCCAAUUCCUGUUUUUUCUGUGUUUUUUACUCUUUUCAUAUGUGAUUUUGGAACGGAGUCCAAACGGAAUAAAAUCCCCGAAAUAAAUUUUUCCAGAACAGAAGAAUAUCGAGGGACUUGAGGGCCAAGGCAGGAGGCCCAUAGGGAGCCCACAAGCCCUGUUGCCGCGGCCAGGGGGGCCGCGGCAACCAGGCUUGUGGCUCAUUGGCGCUCCCCUGCCCUAGCUCUUUGGCCUAUAAAUUCCCUAAAAUCCCAGAAAAAAUCAGGGCAUCCAUGAAAACACUUGUCCGCCGCCGCAAGCUUCCGUUUCCGCGAGAUCUCAUCUGGGGACCCUUCCCGGUGCCCUGCCGGAGGGGACUUUGGAGCUGGAGGGCUUCUACAUCAACAUCAUCGCCCCUCCAAUGACUCGUGAGUAGUCCACUUCAGACCUACGUGUCCGUAGUUAGUAGCUAGAUGGCUUCUUCUCUCUCUUGGAUCUUCAAUACAAAGUUCUCCAUGAUCUUCAUGGAGAUCUAUCCGAUGUAAUNNNNNNNNNNNNNNNNNNNNNNNNNNNNNNNNNNNNNNNNNNNNNNNNNNNNNNNNNNNNNNNNNNNNNNNNNNNNNNNNNNNNNNNNNNNNNNNNNNNNNNNNNNNNNNNNNNNNNNNNNNNNNNNNNNNNNNNNNNNNNNNNNNNNNNNNNNNNNNNNNNNNNNNNNNNNNNNNNNNNNNNNNNNNNNNNNNNNNNNNNNNNNNNNNNNNNNNNNNNNNNNNNNNNNNNNNNNNNNNNNNNNNNNNNNNNNNNNNNNNNNNNNNNNNNNNNNNNNNNNNNNNNNNNNNNNNNNNNNNNNNNNNNNNNNNNNNNNNNNNNNNNNNNNNNNNNNNNNNNNNNNNNNNNNNNNNNNNNNNNNNNNNNNNNNNNAUCGUGUUGUUGCCAUCAAGGGUAACAAGAUGGGCUUUCAUCAUAGAUUUGAGAUUGUCCAUCUACAUCAUGUCAUCUUGCUUAAGGCGUUACUCUGUUCUUAUGAACUCAAUACACUAGAUGCAUGCUGGAUAGCGGUCGACGUGUGGAGUAAUAGUAGUAGAUGCAGAAAGUAUCGGUCUACUUGUUUUGGACGUGAUGCCUAUAGGAUCAUUGCCAUAGAUAACGUCACGACUUUGCGCGGUUCUAUCAAUUGCUCGACAGUAAUUCGUUCACCCACCAUCUACUUGCUUUCAUGAGAGAAGCCACUAGUGAACACUACGACCCCCGGGUCUAUUCACAACUAUCGUCUCCACCUUAACUUUUACUUGGUUUGUUUACUUUUACUUUCAGUUCUCACUUUGCAAACAAUCUAUAAGGGAUUGACAACCCCUUCAUAGAGUUGGGUGCAAGCUCUUUGUGUUUGUGCAGGUACUUGUGACUUGACGCGAUCCUCCUACUGGGUUGAUACCUUGGUUCUCAAACUGAGGGAAAUACUUACCGCCGCUGUGCUACAUCACCCUUUCCUCUUCAAGGGAACACCAACGCAAGGCUCCAAGGCCGAGGGGGAAUCCUGUGCAUAUUUUCCAAGGAAGUCCCUAUAGGCGUAGCCUGUAGCAGAAGGAUUCCUGGCGUCGUUGCCAGGGAGGGUCUGUUGUCGCAGUAGCAGAAGGAUUUCUGGCACCGUUGCCGGGGAGGAUCUCUUGCCGAGGAAGAUCAAGACAAGAAUAAUCUCCCGUCAACACGCCUAUUUCUGGCGCCGUUGCCGGGGAGAGAUCAAGUCAAGAUCUAUCCAAGUAGGUGUCACAAACUCAUCUCUUGCAUUUACCUUUUUUGCCAGUUCCCUCUCGUUUUCCUCUCCCCCACUUCACAUUUGCCGUUUUCAUUUGCCUACCCCCCUUGCCGUUUUCAUUUUCCUUUUUGCCUUUCUCCCUUGCCGUUUUCAUUUGCCUUUUGCCGUUCUCUUUUGCCCGUUUCACCCGCUUACUUCCUGCUCGUUUGUGUGUGGGAUAGUCCAUCAAUGGCUAGACCCACCACUCCAAACGAUACCCCUUAGAACGAAGUUCUCAAUUUCAAGCAGAAUGAGGAAGAAAAUUUAAUGGACGCUUGGUAUAGGAUUUGCAAUGCUCAAAGUAGAUCUACUCGUAAGCAAUCCACUACCGUUCUUCUUCGCAGUUUUUAUGUUGGAAUCUCUCCUUGGAAUAGGUAUAUUCUUGAUACCAUCGUAGGCGGGAAUUUUUUGGGGAGCCAUACUGUUGACUCUUAUGGAGCUAUCAUGAAUUUGGUAGGUUCACCCCCGCUCAUGGUUAAUGGAACUACCUUGACCUUGGAACACGUGAUGCAAAGGCUUGACGCCAUUGAAAACAAAAUUGCCACAGUUGAAAUUAUUGAGGGUUUGGAUAGAAAGAUCCACAAUCGAAUUACUCAGUGCGGAUCUAAAGUGGGAAUGGUUUUGAAAAAUUUAAGGGAGAAGAAACUUAUAGUUAAUGACUCCUCUAGAAUUGGCAAACUAGAAGAUGUCAUAACGAACUUGGGUUCUGCUUUUGCCGUUGUCACUCUCAAAAAGAUCGUCAAGUCUGUUUUUGUUCCUAAAGCUAGUGGUGAGUCAUCCAAUAAAGAUAAAAAUCUUAAGAUGAUAAAUGAUCACGCUACUUAUUGUUUGAGCACCAAAGAUGACUAUACGUGAUUCCAUCACCUUUUGCCUAGAUAAGGGCGUUAAACAAUAGCGCUUGUUGGGAGGCAAACCAACGAAUCUAUCCUUUUUCUUUUUGUUUUGUGUUUUCCACACUUUCAUAAUUCUGUUAUGAUUGUGUUUUUUGUGUUUCUUUUGCGUUUGUGCCAAGUAAAACCGUUAUGAUUAGUCUUGGGGAUGAUCGUUUGGUCAUGGUGGAAAAGACAAAAACUUUCUUCUCACGAAAAGAAUUUUCAUUUUUUUUGUAAGAGCUAUUGAGUUGAUUCGUUUUGGUGCUGAUUGCUACGCAAAUUCUUCAGACUGUCGUAAUUUUUCAGAAAUUUUGAAGUAACAGAAGUAUACGAAGUAUACAGAUUGCUACAGACUGGUGUUGUUAACAGAUUCUGUUUUUGUUGAGUUGGUUGCUUAUUUUGAUGAAACUAUGGAUAGUAUCGGGGGGUAUUCUCCAUGGAAGAUUGAAAAUACAGUAACCCAACAUCAACAUAAGUAGAAUUUAAGUUUGCUACAGUACCUAAGGAAGUGGUGGUUUGCUUUCUUAUACUAAUGUUAUCACGAGUUUCUGUUUAAGUUUCAUGUUGUGAAGUUUUCAAGUUUUGGGUGAAGUUCUUAUGGACAAAGAGAUAAAGAGUGGCAAGAGCUCAAGCUUGGGGAUGCCCAAGGAACCCCAAGAUGAUUCAAGGAUGCCGUAAAAGCCUAAGCUUGGGGAUGCCCCGGGAAGGCAUCCCCUCUUUCGUCUUCAAUCCAUCGGUAACGUCACUUGGGGCUAUAUUUUUAUUCACCACAUGUUAUGUGUUUUGCUUGGAGCGUCUUGUAUCGUAGGAGUCUUUUAUUUUGGUUGUGUCACAAUCUUCCUUGCUGCACACCUAGAGAGAGAGACAUGCACUCACCGUGAUUUUGUCGAGCUUCACUUAUAUCCUUUGGUUAGACAAUUUAGCUCACAUGUGUUUCACUUAUAUCUUUUGAGCUAGUUGAUUUUGCUCUGUGUGCUUCACUUCUAUAUUUUAGAGCACGUAAGCACGUGGCUUGUUAGUUUAUCUAUGCUAUGAAAGUAGUCUCAAAAGGGGUAGUUAUCCAAAGGGAUAUGAAAACUUCCACCUUCAUGUGCAUUGAAUAGUUAGAGAAGUUUGAUUCAUCUCAAUUAGUUCUGAGUUGUGGUUGUGGUAAUAUUGAAGUUAUACUAGUAAGGUGUUGUGGAUCUAGAAAUACUAGUGUUGAAGUUAGUGAUUCCCGUAGCAUGCACGUAUGGUGAACCGCUAUGUGAUGAAGUCUGAGCAUGAUUAGUCUAUUGAUUGUCAUCCUUUGUGUGGCGGUCGGGAUCGCGCGAUGGUUUAUACCUACCAACCCUUCCCCUAGGAGUAUGCGUUGAAUGCUUUGUUUCGAUUACUACUAAAACUUUUGCAACAAGUAUAUGAGUUCUGCAUGACUAAUGUUGAGUCCAUGGUUUAGAUGCACUUUCGCUUUCCACCAUCACUAUCUUCUUUAGUGCCGUGCAACUUUCGCCGGUGCAUAAAACACACCAUUAGCCUCCCUCAAAAUAGCCACCAUACCUACCUACUAUGGAUUUUUCAAAGCCAUUCUGAGAUAUAUUGCCAUGAAACUACCACCAUGACAUGUGCCACCACUUCUACAUUGCCAUUGCAUGAUCAUAAGAUAGCUAGCAUGAUGUUUCCAUUUGAUGUCUAUGCCAUGCUAGGUCAUUGUCACGGUACACUACCGAAGGCAUUCCAUAUAGAGUCAUCAUUGCUCUAAGUUUUGAGUUGUAAGUGUGAUGAUCAUCAUUGAUGGAGCAUUGUCCCAUGUGAGGAAAUAAAAGAGGCCAGCGAAGCCCAUUUACAAAAAUAGGCCAAAGAUGCCCACCAAAAUAAAAAAAUAAAAAAUAAAUAAAAAAGAGAGGCCAAAGAGCCCACCAAAAAAUGAGAGAAAAAGAGAGAAGGGACAAUGCUACUAUCUUUCCACACUUGUGCAUAUUAAGCACCAUGAUCUUCAUGAUUGAGAGUCUCUCGUUUUGUCACUACCAUAUAGCUAGUGGGAAAUUUUCAUUAUAUAACUUGGCUUGUAUAUUCCAAUGAUAGGCUUCUUCAAAAUUGCCUUAGGUCUUCGUGAGCAAGCAAGUUGGAUGCACACCCACUAGUUUUCUUUAAGAGCUUUCACAUACUCUUAGCUCUAGUGCAUCAUUAGUAUGGCAAUCCCUACUCAUUCACGUUGAUAUCUAUUGAUGAGCAUCUCCAUAGCUCAUUGAUAUGCCUAGUUAAUGUGACCAUCUUCUCCUUGUUUGCCUUGCAACCUCCACCACACUCCAUUCCACUUAUAGUGCUAAAACCAUGGCUCACGCUCAUGUAUUGCGUGAGAGUUGAAAAGGUUUGAGAAAGUAACGGUGUGAAAACAAUUACUUUGCCAAUACCGAGGUUGUGCAUGAUUUAAAUUCGUUGUGCAAGGAUGAUAGAGCAUAGCCAGACUAUAUGAUUUUGUAGGGAUAACUUUCUUUUGGCCUUGUUAUUUUGAGAGUUCAUGAUUACCUUGCUAGUUUCCUUGAAGUAUUAUUGUCUCCACGUCAAUAGCAAACUAUUGUUUUGAAUCUAAUGGAUCUGAACAUUCACGUCACAUAAGAGGAGUUACAAAGGACAUCUAUGCUAGGUAGCAUGAAAGCAUCAAAAAUUCAUUCUUUAUCACUUCCCUACUCGAGGACGAGCAGGAGUUAAGCUUGGGGAUGCUUGAUACGUCUGAAACGUAUCUAUAAUUUUUGAUGGUUUCAUGCUGUUAUCUUGUCAACUUUGGAAGUUUUAUAUACCUUUUAUAUCUUUUUUGGGACUAACUUAUUAAUUCAGUGCCAAGUGCCAGUUCCUGUUUUUUCUGUGUUUUUGACUCUUUUCAGAUCUGAUUUUGGAACGGAGUCGAAACGGAAUAAAAUCCCUGAAAUAAAUUUUUCCAGAACAGAAGAAGAUCGGGGGACUUGAGGGCCAAGGCAGGAGGCCCACAGGAAGCCCACAAGCCCUGUUGUUGCGGCCAGGGGGGCCCGUGGCAACCAGGCUUGUGGCCUCCCUGGCGCUCCCCUGCCCUAGCUCUUUGUCCUAUAAAUUCCCUAAAAUCCCAGAAAAAAUAAGGGCAUCCACGAAAACACUUUUCCACCGUCGCAAGCUUCCGUUUCCGCGAGAUCUCAUCUGGAGACCCUUCCCGGUGCGCUGCCGGAGGGGACUUUGGAGCUGGAGGGCUUCUACAUCAACAUCAUCACCCCUCCAUUGACUCGUGAAUAGUCCACUUGAGACCUACGGGUCCGUAGUUACUAGCUAGAUGGCUUCUNNNNNNNNNNNNNNNNNNNNNNNNNNNNNNNNNNNNNNNNNNNNNNNNNNNNNNNNNNNNNNNNNNNNNNNNNNNNNNNNNNNNNNNNNNNNNNNNNNNNNNNNNNNNNNNNNNNNNNNNNNNNNNNNNNNNNNNNNNNNNNNNNNNNNNNNNNNNNNNNNNNNNNNNNNNNNNNNNNNNNNNNNNNNNNNNNNNNNNNNNNNNNNNNNNNNNNNNNNNNNNNNNNNNNNNNNNNNNNNNNNNNNNNNNNNNNNNNNNNNNNNNNNNNNNNNNNNNNNNNNNNNNNNNNNNNNNNNNAUUUCUUAUAUGCAUGAUUUGAUAUCCUUGUAAGUCUCUCCGAGUCUUGGGUUUUGUUUGGCCAACUAGAUCUAUGAUUCUUGCGAUGGGAGAAGUGCUUGGUUUUGGGUUCAUACCCUCCGGUGACCUUUCCCAGUGACAGAAAGGGCAGCAAGGCACGAAUCGUGUUGUUGCCAUNNNNNNNNNNNNNNNNNNNNNNNNNNNNNNNNNNNNNNNNNNNNNNNNNNNNNNNNNNNNNNNNNNNNNNNNNNNNNNNNNNNNNNNNNNNNNNNNNNNNNNNNNNNNNNNNNNNNNNNNNNNNNNNNNNNNNNNNNNNNNNNNNNNNNNNNNNNNNNNNNNNNNNNNNNNNNNNNNNNNNNNNNNNNNNNNNNNNNNNNNNNNNNNNNNNNNNNNNNNNNNNNNNNNNNNNNNNNNNNNNNNNNNNNNNNNNNNNNNNNNNNNNNNNNNNNNNNNNNNNNNNNNNNNNNNNNNNNNNNNNNNNNNNNNNNNNNNNNNNNNNNNNNNNNNNNNNNNNNNNNNNNNNNNNNNNNNNNNNNNNNNNNNNNNNNNNNNNNNNNNNNNNNNNNNNNNNNNNNNNNNNNNNNNNNNNNNNNNNNNNNNNNNNNNNNNNNNNNNNNNNNNNNNNNNNNNNNNNNNNNNNNNNNNNNNNNNNNNNNNNNNNNNNNNNNNNNNNNNNNNNNNNNNNNNNNNNNNNNNNNNNNNNNNNNNNNNNNNNNNNNNNNNNNNNNNNNNNNNNNNNNNNNNNNNNNNNNNNNNNNNNNNNNNNNNNNNNNNNNNNNNNNNNNNNNNNNNNNNNNNNNNNNNNNNNNNNNNNNNNNNNNNNNNNNNNNNNNNNNNNNNNNNNNNNNNNNNNNNNNNNNNNNNNNNNNNNNNNNNNNNNNNNNNNNNNNNNNNNNNNNNNNNNNNNNNNNNNNNNNNNNNNNNNNNNNNNNNNNNNNNNNNNNNNNNNNNNNNNNNNNNNNNNNNNNNNNNNNNNNNNNNNNNNNNNNNNNNNNNNNNNNNNNNNNNNNNNNNNNNNNNNNNNNNNNNNNNNNNNNNNNNNNNNNNNNNNNNNNNNNNNNNNNNNNNNNNNNNNNNNNNNNNNNNNNNNNNNNNNNNNNNNNNNNNNNNNNNNNNNNNNNNNNNNNNNNNNNNNNNNNNNNNNNNNNNNNNNNNNNNNCGGUCCGCUCGCCCGACCAACUAUCGAGGCCACCCAAACCCUAGAAGAAAGAGCGCCGCUGUCGAUCUACCCCCUCCCCGAUAACUUUGACAUGUGGGGGACGUCAUACAUGCAUGAGAGAGAGGCGGUAUGCUCGCCCGACCAACUAUCGAGGCCACCCAAACCCUAGAAGAAAGAGAGUCGUUGUCGAUCUACCCCCUACCCGAUAACUUCGACAUGAGGGGGACGUCAGACAUGCAUGAGAGAGAGGCGGUCCGCUCGCCCGACAAACUAUCUAGGCCACCCAAACCCUAGAAGAAAGAUCAUCAUUGUCGAUCUACCCCCGGCCAACCAUCUCAGCGGCAUGAAGAUCCUUCCUUGGAAGCUGCCACACAAGCUACCCCACCAUCUCAACGGAGAAGCAGCGUGGCUUCCACGGAGCUCAUUCAGCCUGAUUUCAUGGCUCCUCGCUACCCAGUGGACAGUAUCACGGAGGCUGAACAUUGUGUGCUAAUGGCGAAAUUCCAGAACCUGGCCUUGAAGGCGACGCUCGGCUCUGUUCUACCUCUUCGAGUUGAGGGAACCUUCCAUUGCCGUCUGAUUCCACAUGGCUAUGCUAUUGUGACAGUGGAUGAAAUAAUGGAGGGAUUUGAGGAGCUGGAGCUUGACUACCCUACAGGUGAAGGGGAGAUUCAUCUGGAAAAUGCUUUAAGGUAUACAUGUCUAUGGAGAAAUGAGUACAUCAAGCUUCCAAACUGGACGCCUUAGCAGACUGAUCAGCGGACUCCGCCUCCUCCUCCUCCGACGCGUGAGCGCACUCCGCCGCCUCCUCCUCCGCCUCCUUCGGCGCAUAAGCGCACUCCACCCCCUCCAGCGCGUGAGCGCACUCCGCCUCCUUCGGCGCGUGAGCGCACUCCGCCUCCUCCAGUGCGUCAGCAAUGACGGAAGAGAGACGCCGCUGCUCCGGCGGCUAGCAGUACAAUAGGCGGGAAUAAAUUCAAAUUUGGUCCACGCCUCAAGGCUCCUCCAAGGUUACCAUAUGAGAUGACUAAGGAGGAAAACGCGGAAAUCAUGGAUGCCCAUAAUAAGGCCCAUUUAGCACCAAAACGUCCACCUCCAGAGGAAACAAUAGAUCCGGUGAAAGUGAAGCGCACUCUGGAUGCCCUUAAGCGACAGCCACAACUUCUGCCGCAAUCCAACUAUGACCAAUGUAUUAAAAAGACAUAUGCUAAAGCGUGGCAGUCGUGAAGCAAUCGUGCUCCCCGCUCAAGGUAUCUAGCAAUAUCGCUAAUCAUCGUACGCUACUGUCCUGUACCAAUCUUGGUGAUUACGUGGUCGUUGAAGUACAGUUUUAAACGGCUGAGGUAGUAGAUACCUUUAGAUAGGAGCACGGGAAGCCUCUCGUCAGACUUGAUCAACUCCCUCGUCUAACAAUGAUGUUGCAAAGAUUGCAUCAGUAUUACUUGGAAAGCUGCAGAAGUCUACGAAAGAUAGUAUGAUGGUGAGAAUAGAAGAGGAGCACGACUUUAUUGGAGUCGACCUGAUGCCUGUUGAAUAUGUGGAAUUAUUUCAAUUUUUCGAUCAAAAGCCCUCGACAAACAACUCGUGACUUUCUACUGUCUGUAAGUAUUACUUGUGUAAUGAAGUCUCUAGCUCAACUCGUUCAUUGCAUGUAUAUAUAAUUGUCCUCACUAUAUUAUGUAGAUUGAAGAUCAUAGAAUGCAAAGAAGGACAAAUCUAUGACAUUGGGUUCAUUAGCCCAAAUACAGUAAAUGAAUGGUCGGUAGAAAAAAGAGUUAAAGAUACCGAGGAAAACUUGCUAAAAGUGUUCCUACAUCAAAACAAAAAGGAAAUACUCUUUCCUUAAACUUCAAGUGAGUGUUACUCUCUUAUGCAUAUUCGGUUUUGCUUACUCGAGGUUAAGUACUGUAAUUGAUGAGUUACGCGUGCGCAGGUUCCACUUUAUUCUGCUAUACACUAAGCUUGACGGGGGAUUAGUAACUGUCUUAGACUCAAGACGUAAAGAUCCCAAGGAUUAUGCGGACAUGACUACAAUGCUCUAGAAGUAAGUUCAAUCAAUAUAGGGACCAUGUGGCCAACUUUCAUUCAUUUCCUAAUAUCAAGUAAUCAUUUUCUUUGCCUAGCAGGGUUUGGAAAAAGUUCAGCGGAAUGGUUCCGGGUGUGAAGAACGAGUUGCGACUUACACACCCCAGAGUAAGUGGUACUAGCUAGUUCCGCGCAUCUCUCACUGAUUCUAGUUUCAAUACCAUUAUGAUGCUUGAUUAUUAGUUUGAUUGAACUAUAUUCUCAUAAAGUGUUUGUGGCAGGCCCCUGAGAAUAUUUUAUGUGGGUACUAUGUUUGCGAGUUCAUUCGCAACUAGACCCUUGAGCGGGGCAUAACUCCACAACAAUUAGAAGUACGCAAACAAUAUACACAAUUUAUUUUAUUACCAUCAAUUGUGUUGAGUUUCAUUUAUAUGUACGUAUUUACCCCCAGAUCUGGCAGAUGCGGGAUGAACUCCUACCACAUGAUCGCAUACGAGAAAUUCAAGAGGAAUUGGUGGGGGUUCUUUCUUGACCACGUCAUAAAUAAAAAGGGAGAAUACCAUACGGAAAUUCAAUGGGAGUUUGGCGCUUGAUGAUGUGAGGGAUAUUAUAUCGUACAUGUGUAGUAGCAUCAGAUAGAUAUAUGAAAACUUGUUGUUCGACCAAGCAUGGAGAAAGAGAGGUCACUUCUCUCUAUAUAUAUGUUCAUGAUCACGAUGUUGUGUAAUUAAUGGUUUCUUCAUUAGCUUACUAGCUAGCGUCGAGUUCUCUCUAUAUGUAGUAGCUACCAUCGACCAAGUACGAAGAAAGAGAGGUCACUUCUCUCUAUAUGUAGUAGCUAGCUAACACAAUACGAAACCCCUAAAACCUACCCCCCUUUAGAAAGAAACCCAGUGCAUGCGAGCUGCUAACACGUGGUUGCCUAUUGGUCCCGGUUAGUGUUACCAACCGGGAGUAAAGGUCCUCCUGCCUGGGCGCCCCACGACGGCCACGUGGAGCUCCUUUAGUCCUGGUUCAUAAGCCAACUAGGACUAAAAGUAAUGGGCAUCAGUCCCGAUCGUUUUGUGCCGGUUGCAGAACCAGGACUAAUGGCCCUUUGGAACCAGGACAGAUGCCCUGUUUUCUACUAGUGUGAGCAUCCAACAUGAAAUGGACCGAGAGCUGGAGCGCACUCUCAACUUCAAGGGCUCGAUCAAAGGGAGAUGAGUUCUAAACCGGGAUAGGAUCUCUAGAGCAUGGCUAGUCUACAGUUUUUAUUUCUUCUCUUUGUGGAAUAAGUCUUUAGUGUUUAGUUUGAGUCUUUUGCUUUGUGUCUCCCCCGAUGUAUUCGAGCUUGCGAGCUAUAUAAUAAUGAGUAUCUUAGUCAAGGGAUUUGUUUUGUGCCGUGAUCAAAAGUAUUAAAAGAACGAUAGCAUGAAAGAUCAUGAGAUGAUCUUAUGGAAAGUGAUAGCUUCACAUAUAAAAAGUAUGAUGAUUGAAACUUGUUGAGAAUAGACCAACAUAGACCCCAGUCAUUGUUGCAAUUAAUAAGAAGUAAUAAGGAAAGAGAGGUUCACAUAUAAACAUAUCAUCUUAGACACUUUUUACAAUUGUGAGCACUCACCAAACUAUUACAUGCUUAGAAGUAGAUGUUGGACAAGGAAGACAACAUAAUGAAUUGUGUUUGCUUGGUUCCAAACAAUGUUAUAUGUCUAGAGAUCCCUUAGCAUGUGACGAUUGCUUCCACCUCAUAUUAGCCAAAACUCCCACACCAAGUAGAGAUACUACUUGUGCAUCCAUAAACCUUCAACCCAGUUUUGCCAUGAGAGUCCACCAUACCUACCUAUGGAUUGAAUAAGAUCCCACAAGUAAGUUGUCAUUGGUGCAAGCAAUAAAAAUUGCUCUCUAAUAUGUAUGAUCUAUUAGUGUGUGGAAAAUAAGCUUUGUACGAACCUGUGAUGAGGAAGACAUAAAAGCGACAGACUGCAUAAUAAAGUUCAUUAUCACAGGAGGCAAUAUAAAGUGACAUUCCUCCGCACUAAGAGGACACGCAUCCAAACCUCAAAAGCGCAUGACAACCUCUGCUUCCCUCUGCGAAGGGCCUAUCUUGUACCUUUACUUUUUGCCCUUGAAAGAGUCAUGGCAAUCUUCACCAAUUCCUUAUUUUGCCUUUAUCUUGGCUAACGUCACAAGCUAGGGAAAGAUCUAUAUUCAUAUAUCAACUUGGAGAUGAGUACUUAUGCUUUAUUAUUGUUGACUUUACCCUUGAGGUAAAUGGUUGGGAGGCAAAACUAUAAGCCCCUAUCUUUCUCUGUGUCCAACUGAAACUUUGAUACCAUGAGUACCACGUGAGUUGUAACAAUUGUGGAAAACAAAAGAGAUGAUUGAGCAUGUGGGUUUGCUUUACAAGCUCUUAUUUGACUCUUUCUGAUGUUAUGAUAAAUUGCAACUGCUUCAAUGACUAUGGACUGUUGUUGGCUACUUCUCGGUAAGGUUUUUGCUUCAUACUUUGCUUUGUGAAGGAAUUGUUACUUUCCCAUAAGAAUCUUUAUGGUGUAUUGCUGUUCUAUGUGUGAUCAUGAUGCCCUCAUGUCCGUAUUAUGUUUUAUCGACACCUUCAUCCCUAAACAUGUGUACAUUUUUAUGGAUCUUGGUUUUCGCUGGAGGACAAGCGAGGUCUAAGCUUGGGGGAGUUGAUACGUCCAUUUUGCAUCAUGCUUUCAUGUUGAUACUUAUCGCUUUAUGGACUGUUAUAUUACUUUGUGGUACUAUACUUAUGCCUUUUCUCUCUUAUUUUGCAAGGUUUAUUUGAAGAGGGAGAAUACCGGCAGCUGGAAUUCUGGACUGGAAAAGGAGCAAAUCCUAGUCCACUAUUCUGCGCAACUCCAAAUGCCCUGAAAAUCAACGUGGAAUUUUUCGGGAAUAUAUAAAAAAUACUGGGCGAAAGAAGUGCCAGAGGGGAGCUGCCAGGGGCCCACAAGCCUGGUAGCCGCCACCUACCCCCUGGCGGUGGCUACAGGGCUUGUGGGCACCCUGGUGGCCCACUGCCCCCCCCUCUUUUGCUAUAUGAAGGGCUUCGUCCAGGAAAAAAUAAAGUUGGAGCUUUUUCAUGGAUUCUCCGUCGCCACGAGGCGGAACUUGAGUAGAACCAAUCUAGAGCUCCGGCAGGAUGAUCCUGCCGAGGAAACUUCCCUCCCGGAUGGGGAAAUCAUCGCCAUCGUCAUCACCAACACUCCUCUCGUUGGAGGCGAGUCAUCUCCAUCAACAUCUUCAUCAGCACCAUCUCCUCUCCAAACCCUAGUUCAUCUCUUGUAACCAAUCUCCGUCUCGCGACUCCGAUUGGUACUUGUAAGGUUGCUAGUAGUGUUGAUUACUCUUUGUAGUUGAUGUUAGUUGGAUUACUUGGUGGAAGAGUUUAUGUUCAGAUCCUUGAUGAUACUCAUUACACCUCUGAUCAUUAUUAUGAUUAUGCUUUGUGAGUAGUUACUUUUGUUCCAGAGGACAUGGGAUAAGUCAUGCUGAUAAUAGUCAUGUGAACUUGGUAUUCGUUCGGUAUUUUGAUAUGUUGUAUGUUGUCUUUUCCUCUAGUGGUGUUAUGUGAACGUCAACUACAUAACACUUCACCAUAUUUGGGCCUAGAGGAAGGCAUUGGGGAGUAGUCAGUAGAUGAUGGGUUGCUAGAGUGACAGAAGCUUAAACCCCAGUCUAUGCGUUGCUUCGUAAGGGGCUGAUUUGGAUCCACUAGUUUAAUGCUAUGGUUAGACGUUGUCUUAAUUCUUCUUUCGUAGUUGUGGAUCCUUGCGAGAGGGGUUAAUCAUAAGUGGGAUGCUUGUCCAAGUAAGGGCAGUACCCAAGCGCCGGUCCACCCACAUAUCAAACUAUCAAAGUAACGAACGCGAAUCACAUGAACAUGAUGAAACUAGCAUGACAGAAAUUCCCGUGUGUCCUCGUGAGCGUUUUUCCUCCUAUAAUACUUUGUUCAGGCUUGUCCCCUGCUACAAAAGGGUUGGUCCACUUUUCUGCACCGUUGCUACUACUUGUUACUUGUUACUUUUCACUUGCUACGUUUCACCUCACUUCACCAUCACUUGUUACCGCUACUUUCAGUGCUUGCAGUUAUUACCUUGCUGAAAAUUGUUUAUCAGAGCCUUCUGGUCCUCAUUGGGUUCGACACUCUUACUUAUCGAAAGGACUACGAUUGAUCCCGUAUACUUGUGGGUCAUCAAAGUCCAAACAAAACGAAAUUUUACAGUGAUAUUUUGGACCAGAAGGGACUCUAGAAGCAUCGGGAGGAGGCCAGAAGACAUGAGAGAACUACAAGCUCAUAGGGCCCGCGCCCUUGGGGCAGGCCGUCCGGGCUUGUGGGUCCCUCGUGGGUCCAUUUUACCUAAUUCCACUUCUAUGAAUUCCCCUAAAUCCCCUAAACACCAAAAGGAGACCCGAAAGAAUUUUUUCGCCGCCACAAGUCUUUGUUCUUCCGAGAUCCCAUCAGGAGGCCUUCGCCGGUAUUCUAUCGAAGGGGGAUAGAUCGCAAAGGCCAUCUUCAUCAAUCUUGCUAUCUCCAUGGUGAUGUGUGAGUAGUCCACGACAUACCUACAGUCCAUAGUGAUUAGCUAGAUGACUCUCUCUUUGAUCUUUGAUACGUCUCAAACGUAUCUAUAAUUUUUGAUGGUUUCAUGCUGUUAUCUUGUCAUCUUUGGAUGUUUUAUGUACCUUUUAUUUCUUUUUUGGGACUAACUUAUUAAUUCAGUGCCAAGUGCCAGUUCCUGUUUUUUCUAUGUUUUUGACUCUUUUCAGAUCUGAUUUUGGAACGGAGUCCAAACGGAUUAAAAUCCCCGAAAUAUUUUUUCCGAGAACGGAAGAAGAUCAGGGGACUUGAGGGCCAAGGCAGGAGAGCCACAGGGGGCCCACAAGCCCUGUAGCCUCCACCAGGGGGCGGUGGCUACCAGGCUUGUAGCCUUCCUGACACCCCCUUGACCUAGCUCCUUCGCCUAUAUAUUCCUUAAAAUAUAGAAAAAAUAGGGGAAUCCACAAAACACUUUUCCGCCGCCGCAACCUUCCGUUUCCACCCUUCCCGGUGCCCUACCGGAGGGGACUUUGGAGUUGGAGGGCUUCUACAUCAACAUCAUCGCCCCUCCAAUGACUUGUGAGUAGUUCACUCGAGACCUACAGGUCCUUAGUUAGUAGCUAGAUGGCUUCUUCUCUCUCUUGGAUCUUCGAUACAAAGUUCUCCAUGAUCUUCAUGGAGAUCUAUCCGAUGUAAUUCUCUUUGGCGGUGUGUUUGUCGAGAUCCGAUGAAUUGUGGAUUUGUGAUCAGAUUAUCUAUGAUAUAUAUUUGAGUCUUUGCUGAUUUCUUAUAUGCAUGNNNNNNNNNNNNNNNNNNNNNNNNNNNNNNNNNNNNNNNNNNNNNNNNNNNNNNNNNNNNNNNNNNNNNNNNNNNNNNNNNNNNNNNNNNNNNNNNNNNNUUCUAUCAAUUGCUCGACAGUAAUUCGUUCACCCACCGUCUACUUGCUUUCAUGAGAGAAGCCACUAGUGAACACUACGGCCCCCGGGUCUAUUUACACCUAUCGUUUCAACUUUCGCUUUUACUUUGCUUGGUUUCUUUUUUCUUUCAGUUCUCACUUGGCAAACAAUCUAUAAGGGAUUUACAACCCCUUCAUAGCGUUGGGUGCAAGAUCUUUGUGUUUGUGCAGGUACUUGUGACAAUCCUUCACUAGACGAUACCUUGGUUCUCAAAACUGAGGGAAAUACUUACCGCCGCUGUGCUACAUCACCCUUUCCGCUUCGAGGGAACACCAACGCAAGGCUCCAAGGCCACGGGGGAAUCCUUUGCAUAUUUGCCAAGGAAGUCCCUAAAGGCGUAGCCGUAGCAUAAAGAUUCCUGGUGCCGCUGCUGAGGAGUAUCAAGACAAGAAUAGUCUCCUGUCAGCACGCUUGUUUCUGGCGCCGUUGGAAGGUCUUUCGUUGCAGUAGCAUAAGUAUUUCUGGCGCUGUUGCCGGAGAAGGAGAGAUCUAUCCAAGUAGGUCUCACGAACUCAUCUCUUGCAUUUACCUUUUUUGCCAGUUGCCUCUCGUUUUCCGCUCGCCCACUUCACAUUUGCCGUUUUCAUUUGCCUUUUUCCUUUGCCUUUUUGUUUGCUUUUUUCGUUUUCCCUUUUCUUUCACUUGCCUUUCCUUUGCUUGUGUGCUAUGUGCCCUCAAUAUGCUUGCAUCUUUGCUUGCUGAAAAUCUAGUGAUAUGGAUUCUCAUCCACUUGCUAAUCUCUUUAAGAGAUCCAAUUAUGUUGAUCCAAUUGCUAGUAAGUUGAGUGCACUUGACUUGCUCUAUGGAGUUUUGCUUGAGAUGCGUGAAUCUGAAAAUUGUGAUGAAGAAAUUUAUGAAGUGAUUCACGAGGGCUACUUGGAUGAAAAGCAUGAUUGCAAUGGUUUCACUAUAAAUUCUAUUAGUGACAAUCAUGCUAAAAAUAUGCAAAACCCUAAGCUUGGGGAUGCUAGUUUUUCUAUGACCACUACUUAUUGCAAUAAUCAUGAUUGGGGUGAUGAUCUUUCUUAUGAUCUUGAAAAUUUGUUUAAACCUCAUGAUGAAUAUGGUAUUUGCAAUAAUAUUGAAAGUGGGUUUGGAGAAGUUAUGACUUUAGUUGAUGAUAAUCCCACUAUUUUUGAAGAGCGUCAACUUUGCAUGCAUGUGGAUCAUGAAAAGAAUAUCCUAUGUGAUAGUUACAUUGUUGAAUUCGAAUAUGAUCCCACAUGUAAUUGCUAUGAGAGAGGAAAAUAUUUUGGUAGAAACUUUCAUGUUACCAAAUUACCUCUCGUUAUGUGGAGAUUACUAUUGUCUCUUUCUUCUUCCUUGCAUAUGGCAACUAUUGGUUGUCUUGACAAUCUGUUUUCCUAUAAAAUGCCUAUGCAUAGGAAGUAUGUUAGACUUAGAUGUGAUUUUCACAUGCUUUAUGAUGCUUUCGUUGUGCUUCAAUUCUUGUCUUUUGUGUGAGCAUCAUUGAUUUAUCAAUGCCUAGCUAAGGGCGUUAAACAAUAGCGCUUGUUGGGAGGCAACCCAAUGAAUUUAUCUUUUUAUUUCUGUUUUGUGUUUUCCACACUUUCAUAAUUCUGUUAUGAUUGUGUUUUUUUUGUUUCUUUUUGCGUUUGUGCCAAGCAAAACCGUUAUGAUUAGUCUUGGGGAUGAUCGUUUGGUCAUGCUCGAAAAGACAUAAACUUUCUUCUCACGAAAAGAAUUUUCAUUUUUUUUCUUCUGUAAGAGCUUUUGAGUUGAUUCUUUUUGCUGCUCAUUGCUACGCAAAUUCUUCAGACUGUUGUAAUUGUUCAGAAUUGUUGAAGUACCAGAAGUAUACAAAGUAUACAGAUUGCUACAGACUAGUCUGCUGUUAACAGAUUCUGUUUUUGUUGUGUUGGUUGCUUAUUUUGAUGAAACUAUGGAUAGUAUCGGGGGGGUAUUAGCCAUGGAAGAUUGAAAAUACAGUAACCCAACAUCAACAUAAGUAGAAUUUAAGUUUGCUACAGUACCUAAGGAAGUGGUGGUUUUCUUUCUUAUACUAAUGUUAUCACGAGUUUUUGUUUAAGUUUCGUGUUGUGAAGUUUUCAAGUUUUGGGUGAAGUUCUUAUGGACAAAAAGAUAAAGAGUGGCAAGAGAUCAAGCUUGGGGAUGCCCAAGGCACCCCAAGAUGAUUCAAGUAUGCCGUAAAAGCCUAAGCUUGGGGAUGCCCCGGGAAGGCAUCCCCUCUUUCGUCUUUAAUCCAUCGGUAACGUUACUUGGGGCUAUAUUUUUAUUCACCACAUGUUAUGUGUUUUGCUUGGAGCAUCUUGUAUCAUAGGAGUCUUUUUUUUGUUGUGUCACAAUCAUCCUUGCUGCACACCUAGAGAGAGACAUGCACUUACCGUGAUUUUUUCGAGCUUCACUUAUAUCCUUUGGUAGACAAUUCAACUCACAUGUGCUUCACUUAUAUCUUUUGAGCUAGUUGAUUUUGCUCUAUGUGCUCCACUUAUAUAUUUUAGAGCAUGGCGGCGCGUGGCUUGGUAGUUGAUCUAUGCUAUGAAAGUAGUCUCAAAAGGGGUAGUUACCCAAAGGGAUAUGAAAACUUCCACCUUCAUGUGCAUUGAAUAGUUAGAGAAGUUUGAUUCAUCUCAAUUAGUUUUGAGAUGUGGUUGUGGUAAUAUUGAAGUUAUGCUAGUAAGGUGUUGCGGAUCUAGAAAUACUUGUGUUGAAGUUAGUGAUUCCCGUAGCAUGCACGUAUGGUGAACCGCUAUGUGAUGAAGUUUGAGCAUGAUUAGUCUAUUGAUUGUCAUCCUUUGUGUGGCGGUCGGGAUCGCGCGAUGGUUUAUACCUACCAACCCUUCCCCUAGGAGUAUGCGUUGAAUGCUUUGUUUCGAUUACUACUAAAACUUUUGAAACAAGUAUAUGAGUUCUUCAUGACUAAUGUUGAGUCCAUGGUUUAGAUGCACUUUCACCUUCCACCAUCACUAUCUUCUUAGUGUCGUGCAACUUUCGCCGGUGCACAAAACCCACCAUUCACUACAAGAAAUAUGUCAACUAACGACCUUUUCUUAGUGACGCUGGAUGGAAUGGUCAUAAAUCCAUGACCAUUUGACACCGUUUGGUCGUAAUCUGUCUGGAGGGGUCCUAGCCCCAAAAACCAACGACCAUUUUCAUCAGAAAGGUCAUCACUUGCUUACUGGAAAAGGUCAUAAAGCGGACAACACCUAGCACUGCCUUAUUUCUAGGUGAUAAUGACCAAUAUGAAUGGUCGUUACUAAAUAGUUCGAAUGCACUAGGCUGGUUACGCAGCCACCUCAGCGGCCUCGCUUACUUGUCACUGAGGUAGGACCCAUUUGACAGGCAGGUGAGGGGGCGAAAAAACAUGCGCGAGCCUCGCUUAAUUCCCGUGGGACUCUAACCCACGACCGAGUGGUUCCGCUAAGUGUUUGCUACCGCUGGGAUAGAGAGGGACUGUUGCUUAGGUAUCGGUAUUUGGGGGUAUAUUAUAUUAAAUCGCGGGUCUCUCGUAUCAUUGACAAGUGGGACCGACGGGGACGGCCAACACUUGGCCAAUUUCCGACGAGCAAAUCUAGAUCUCGGGGGCGGCGGCGACCGACGGGGACGGGGCGGCGGCGAUUGACGGGGGCGGUGACCAGCGGUAGUGGUGCUGACGCCACGGCCACCUCACCCAUCGUCAAUGGUGGUGGUGCCGACGCCACGGCCACCUCGGCCACGACGACCUCGCCCGGCUUGUGGUGGUGCCGCUCGCCUCAGCCACCUCGCCCACUGGUAGUGUUGGUGGUGCCGCUCGCCUCGGACAGCGACCUCGCCCACACAUGGGGGACUCGCCGCCGCCGAGCAUGAGGGACUCACCGCCGAGCAUGGUGGACUUGCUGCUGCUGCCGGACAAAAGCUAGAUUAGAAAAGGAGUUAGAAGAUUUUCGAAAGAACAUAUGAAAGGAGUUGAUGAAUUCAUGCAAUUUGUUCGGCAAAUUUUUCCAAGGAUGCUGUCAUUGUUUGCCCAUGCUGUAAUUGCCUCAAACGUUCGAGAAAAGCUCAAGGAGUAGUGGAAGAUCAUCUUCUUCUUAAUGGGAUGGCCAGCACAUAUGAUAGAUGGAUGUAUCAUGGAGAACCUUUAGCCGGACAACCUCAACAUAUUGAAGCUGAUACACAAGCCCCUCAUAUGAUGGGUGGUGGUGAUGCUGGCAUUAAUUUUAUGGAAAAUAUUUUGCGAGAGAAUGAUGGUUUGGAUGAAGAGGAUGGGCAUGAAGAUGAUAUGAUUCCUGACCUAUUGAAGGAUCUGUACGAUGCUGAAGAUCGUGCUGAUGGGCAGAAGUCGAUGUUUGCUGUGGUGUUGGAGGAGGCUAAGCGCGCAGCUCAUGAAGGGGCUAAAUUUUCAAGAUUUACCUUCACCGUGAAGUUACUCCACAUCAAGUCUUUCUACCGGAUUAGCAAUGCUGCAUUCAAUGCAAUACUCCAUCGUUUGACCUUGCAAUUCCCUGAUAGCUGUGUUCCCAGGUCUUAUGAUGAAGCAUUGAGCAUAAUCCGCACGCUAGGGCUAGGUUAUGUUUCAAUACAUGUGUGCCCAAAUAACUGUGUCUUGUUUCGGAAGGAUUUUGCGAAGCAUGACAACUGUCCAAAAUCCAAUGCCUCAAGGUGGAAAGAUGCUGAUGGGAAGAAGUCAAUAUCAGAGAAGGUACUGAGGCACUUUGCGUUGAUACCAAGGUUGCAGCGGAUGUUUAUCUCGAAGAAAUCAUCGUUGGGGGUACAAUGGCACAAGCUUCAGUGGCAACCUAUGCACAAUGAGCUGAGCCAUCCAGUGGACGGAGAGGCAUGGAAAGAAUUUGAUAGUGAACAUGGAGAUUUUUCUGCAGAUCCAAGGAAUAUAAAACUCGGCAUUGCCACAGAUGGCUUUAAUCCGUUUGGGAACAUGAACACGUCUUAUAGCAUGUGGCCCGUUUUUGUGGUGCCGUACAACCUUCCACCAUGGGCAUGCAUGGAUCAGUCCAACUUCAUGAUGUCACUGCUUAUCCCGGGUCCAGAGUCUCCAGGAAAGGAUUUUGAUGUCUUCAUGGAGCCCCUCGUAGAAGAACUCCCCCAGCUCUGGACUGGUUUACGUACAUACGAUGCCUCUAGUCCGGAAGAAAAGUUCCAUCUACGUGCUGCAGUCAUAUGGUCCAUCCAUGAUUUCCCGGCACUGCACACUCUGUCUGGGAGGAUCACAGCGGGUUAUCAGGCAUGUGUCCAUUGUGACAAAGACCCUUGCUCAAAGAGAAUAAGGAGCAAGAUCUGCUAUAUUGGGCACCGCCGCUUUCUUCCCCGAAACCAUCACUGGAGAAGAAGCAAAGAUUUUAAUGGUGAGAAUGGAACCCGUGACAAGCCAGCUAAAUUCACUAAGGAAGAGCUGGAGCAGCAACUUGGGAAGGUGAAGGAUGUGAGACGAGGAAAGCUUGCAAAGAAAGGAAAGCGUGCGGAAGGUCAAUGUUGGGACCGGAGGUCUUGUUUGUGGGUCCUGCCAUACUGGGCUGCUCUGAAAUUAAGGCAUAAUCUCGAUGUAAUGCACAUUGAGAAAAACAUAUGUGAGAAUCUGCUAGGGACGUUUCUGAACAUUGAAGGGAAGACAAAGGACACGGUUAGUUCUAGGCUUGAUUUGUAGGACAUGGGCAUAAGCGAAGAUUUGCAUCUACAACAUGAUGAAGCUGAAGAUACAUUUGAAAUGCCACGAGCAUGGUAUACAAUGAGUAAAGAACAAAAGCUAGCAUUCUGUGAAUUCAUAAGAGCGGUGAGAUUUCCAGAUGGUUAUGCUUCUAACCUAGCAAAGUGUGUUACUUCUGACGGAUUCAAGCUUUCAGUACUGAAAACCCAUGAUUGUCACAUCCUCCUCCAAAGGAUUUUACCGACUGGCCUCUGUGGAAUCAUGGACAAUGAUAUAUAUGAAGCGGUUGCUGAGCUGGGAAAUUUCUUUAGAGAACUGUGCUGCAAAACACUCAGGUUAACUGUUCUGGAAAGACUUGAAAAAGAAAUCCCAAUUAUUCUUUGCAAGCUUNNNNNNNNNNNNNNNNNNNNNNNNNNNNNNNNNNNNNNNNNNNNNNNNNNNNNNNNNNNNNNNNNNNNNNNNNNNNNNNNNNNNNNNNNNNNNNNNNNNNCUAUGAACAAAAAAAUCAUCAUAUGAACAAAAACCAUCACCGGGGACUCCUCCGGCGAUCGUCGGCCGGGACUCAUGAAUUGACCUACGUCUAGCUAUAUUUUGGAUGGCAUUUUCACAAACAUACGUAUUCCCUCAAAAUCAUACAUGCAUGCAUCCAUCUACAAAUUAAACAAAAAAUAAAAACAUGUAUACACCAAUAUCCAUAUAUAUGUAACACUACAUAUUAUCAUAUAGUCUAUCCAAAUUAUCCAUACAACACCCAUACAUAUAUAACAUUUUCAUAUACAUAUAUAAAUCAUAUCCAUACUAGAACAAAAAAUAGCAAAAACAAAAAGGAAAUNNNNNNNNNNNNNNNNNNNNNNNNNNNNNNNNNNNNNNNNNNNNNNNNNNNNNNNNNNNNNNNNNNNNNNNNNNNNNNNNNNNNNNNNNNNNNNNNNNNNNNNNNNNNNNNNNNNNNNNNNNNNNNNNNNNNNNNNNNNNNNAAACAAAAAGGAAAUAGCUAGCGUCGGCCGGCCAUAUAUACCUCCCGGUGGUGUUGAGGUGUUGGUGUUGGCCGGCGGCGAGGUCAUGUUGGACGGUGUGAAGGUGGUGGCGGUGUUGGCCGGCGUCGAGAGGAAGGUGCCGACAGCGACGACGAUGCACUCGGCAUGGCGGCGAGGACGCGUGGGCGCUAGCGGAGCAAACGAGGGCCGUCGAGACGAAGGGGGCGUGCGGGCACCGGAGGGGAUGCGUUGGCCUCACCGACCGACAAAGGGGGCUCAGGGGUGCUACUGCGACAACANNNNNNNNNNNNNNNNNNNNNNNNNNNNNNNNNNNNNNNNNNNNNNNNNNNNNNNNNNNNNNNNNNNNNNNNNNNNNNNNNNNNNNNNNNNNNNNNNNNNCCACUGUGCUGGAAAGAUAGCUCCAAGUAACGUUACCGAUGGAUUGAAGACGAAAGAGGGGAUGCCUUCCCGGGGCAUCCCCAAGCUUAGGCUUUUUGGUGUCCUUGAAUUUGGCUUGGGAUGCCUUGGGCAUCCCCAAGCUUGAGCUCUUUCCACUCUUUAUCCCAUUGUUCAUGAGAACAUCACCCAAAACUUGAAAACUUCACAACACAAAACUUAAACAGAAACUCGUGAUAUCAUUAGCAUAAGAAAACAAACCACCACCUCUUUAGGUACUGUAGAAAACUUGAUUUCUAUUUAUGUUGGUGUUAUAUUACUGUAUUCUAACUUUUCCAUGGCUAGUACCCCCGAUACUAUCCAUAGUUUCAUCAAAAUAAGCAAUCAACACAACAAAAAAGAAUCUGUCAAAAAACAGACGAGUCUGUAGCAAUCUGUAUACUUCGUAUACUUAUGGUAUCUCAAAAAUUCUGAAAAAUUAUGACAAUUGGGGCAAUUGGCAUAUCAACCAGUAGAAAAAAUAAUCAACUUGAAAGCUCUUUUUGGAUAGGAAUUAAAAAUAAUUUCGUGAGCGCAAAGUUUCUGUCUUUUUCAGCAAGAUCAAACAACCAUCACCAAAACUAGUCAUAAAGGUUUUACUUGUCACAAACACAAAAAGAAACACAAAGAACACAAUCAUAACAAAAUUAUGAUGGUGUGGACACAACAAAACAGAAAGCAAAAAGCAAAGAUAAAUUCAUUGGGUUGCCUCCCAACAAGCGUUAUUGUUUAACGCCCUUAGCUAGGCAUAAGGCGAUAGAAUCACGUAUCGUCGUCUUUGGUGCUCAAACCAUAAGUAGCCCUCAUCAUGGAUUCAUAAGGCAAUCUUAUUUUCUUUCUAGGAAAAUGUUCCAUGCCCUUCUUUAAUGGAAAUUGAAAUCUAAUAUUCCCUUCCUUCAUAUCGAUGACAUCACCAAUAGUCCUUAGGAAAGGUCUACCAAGAAUGAUAGGACAUGUCGGAUUGCAAUCAAUAUCAAGCACAAUGAAAUCUACGGGUACAUAGUUCCUAUUUGCAAUAAUAAGAACAUCAUUGAUCCUUCCCAUAGUUUUCUUAAUAGUAGAAUCCGCAAGAUGCAAAUUAAGAGAGCACUCGUCAAUCUCAUUGAAGCCUAGAACAUCACAUAAAGACUUUGGAAUAGCGGAAACACUAGCACCCAAAUCACACAAAGCAUUGAAUUCAUAGUUUUUAAUCUUGAUUUUGAUAGUAGGUUCCCACUCAUCAUGAAGUUUUCUAGGAAUAGAAACUUCCAACUCAAGUUUCUCUUCAAGAGAUUUCAUCAUAACAUCGACGAUAUGAUCGGUAAAGGCCUUGUUUUGGCUAUAAACGUGUGGAGAGUUUAGCAUGGAUUGCAUCAAGGAAAUACAUUCAAUCAGAGAGCAACUAUAAUAAUUGAAUUCCUUGAAAUCCAAAGUAGUAGUUUCAUUACUACUCAUAGUUAUGAUAUCCUCUACUCCACUUUCAAUGCUUUUAGCAUCAAGAUAGAUAGACUCCGAAUCAUUGGGGCGUCUCUCAACCAAAGUGAAUUCAUAUCGAGCCCCAUCAUCAUUAGGUUUGACAUUAGAAAACAAGGAUUCAAUAGGAGUCACACCAGGCACUUUAAGAUCUUCGUGAUUCUCAUCACGAGAACACACCUUUUAAGCCAUUCAUGUCUAGCACGAAUUUGGGCGGUUCUUUCUUUACUCUCAUUCAUGGAAACACGCAUAGCUUUCAAAGUUUCAUCCAUAUUGAUCUUGGGAGGAGCACAUCUCAAUUUCAAAGCAUCAAUAUCAAGAGACAUUCUAUCAACGGUCCUAGCCAAUUCAUCAAUUUUGAGCAGUUUUUCUUCUAUGGACGCAUUGAAAAUCUUUUGCGAGUUGAUAAACUCUUUAAUAUUACUCUCUACAUCAGAGGGUAAUUUACUGUAAUUUCCAUGAGCAUUAUUGUAGGAAUUGCCAAAGUUAUUAGAGGAAUUACUAGGAAAAGGCCUAGGAAUAAAGUUUCCUCUAUAAGCAUUGUUGUUGCCAAAAUUAUUCCUACCAACAAAAUUAACAUCCAAGCUCUCAUUGCUACUCUCAAUCAAGGAAGACAAGGGCAUAUCAUUUGGAUCUAAAGGAGCACCUUUACUAGCAAACAAUUUCAUUAACUCACCCAUCUUAGCACUCAGAGAGUUAAUUUCUUCUAUAGCAUGCACUUUUUUACUAGUAGGUGACCUUUCAGUGUGCCAUUGAUAAUAGUUUGUCAUGAUAUUGUCUAGGAGUUUUGUGGCUUCUCCUAAUGUGAUUUCCAUGAAAGUUCCACCGGAGGCGGAAUCCAAGAUAUUUCUAGAAGCAAAAUUCAAACCAGCAUAGAAGAUUUGUAUAAUCAUCCAAAGACUCAAGCCAUGAGCGGGACAAUUUCUAAUCAUCAAUUUCAUUCUCUCCCAAGAUUGUGCAACAUGUUCAUGAUCUAGUUGCUUAAAAUUCAUGAUAUCAUUACGGAGAGAGAUAAUCUUAGCCGGUGGAAAAUACUUGGAUAUAUAAGCAUCUUUACACUUGUUCCAAGAAUCAAUGCUAUUUUUGGCUAAAGAUGAAAACCAAGUUUUUGCUCGAUCUCGCAAUAAGAACGGAAAUAACUUCAAUUUAAUCACAUCAUUAUCCACAUCUUUCUUCUUUUGCAUAUCACAUAACUCAAUGAAGGUAUUAAGAUGGGAUGCGACAUCUUCACUAGGAAGGCCGGAAAAUUGCUCUUUCAUAUCAAGAUUCAGCAAAGCAGCAUUGAUUUCAUAUGAUUCCACACUAGUGGUGGGAGCAAUCGGAGUACUACAAAAAUCAUUAUUAUUAGUAUUCGAGAAGUCACAAAGUUUGGUGUUUUCAGUCAUGGUGACUUCAACAAGCAGACAAGCACACAAGCGAACAGAAAGAAGCGAAAGAAAAGGGAGAACAAAAAAGGCAAAUAUUUUUGUAAAUUUUUGUUUUUCAGAAGUUGGGGAGAGGAAAACGAGAGGCAAAAAAAGUAAAUGCAAGAGAUGAGUUUGCGACAGUUACUUGGAUAAGCUUCACUCAGAAUAGUCGCCGGCGCUAGAAAUUGACACGUUGAAGGAAGACUAUUCUUGACUUGAUCCUCCCCGGCAACGGCGCCAGAAAUUGGCACGUUGACGGGAGACUAUUCUUGACUUGAUCCUCCCCGGCAACGACGCCAGCAAUUCUUCUUGCUACCUCUUGAGCUUGCGUUGAUUUUUCCCUUGAAGAGGAAAGGGUGAUGCAGCACAAUAGCAGUAAGUAUUUCCCUCAAUUUGAGAACCAAGGUAUCAAUCCAGUAGGAGUAUCAAGGAUAGUCUCCAAAGUACCUGCGCAAAAACAAACAAACUUGCACCCAACGCUAUAAAGAGGUUGUCAAUCCCUUCACGAUUGAUUGCAAGGUGAGAUCUGAAGGCGGAAAGUGCAACAAAGUGAAAGUGUAGAGCUAAAAAUAUGAAGUGAAGUAGACCCGGGGGCCAUAGUGUUCACUAGAGGCUUCUCUCAUGAUAGCAAAUAUUACGGUGGGUGAACGAAUUACUGCCGAGCAAUUGAUAGAAUCACGCAAAGUCAUGAUGAUAUCUAAGACAAUGAUCAUACAUAUAGGCAUCACGUCCGAGACAAGUAGAUCGAUACUGUCUGCAUCUACUACUAUUACUCCACACAUCGACCGCUAUCCAUCAUGCAUCUAGUGUAUUGAGUUCAUAACAAACAGAGUAACGCCUUAAGCAAGAUGACAUGAUGUAGAGGGAUAAAUUCAUGCAAUAGAUAUAAACCCCAUCUUUUUACCCUUGAUGGCAACAACACGAUGCGUGCCUCGCUACCCCUUUUGUCACUGGGUGAGGACACCGCACGGUAUGAACCCAAGACCAAGCACUUCUCCCAUUGCAAGAAUUAUAGAUCAAGGUGGCCAAACGAAACCCACAACUCGAAGAGAAUUACAAGGAUACGAAAUCAUGCAUACAAGAGAUCAGAGGAAACUCAAAUAAUAUUCAUAGAUAAUCUGAUCAUAAAUCCACAAUUCAUCGGAUCUCGACAAACACACCGCAAAAGAAGAUUACAUCGGAUAGAUCUCCAUGAAGAUCAUGGAGAACUUUGUAUUGAAGAUCCAAGAGAGAGAAGAAGCCAUCUAGCUACUANNNNNNNNNNNNNNNNNNNNNNNNNNNNNNNNNNNNNNNNNNNNNNNNNNNGAUUACAUCGGAUAGAUCUCCAUGAAGAUCAUGGAGAACUUUGUAUUGAAGAUCCAAGAGAGAGAAGAAGCCAUCUAGCUACUAGCUAUGGACCCGAAGGUCUGUGGUAAACUACUCACGCAUCAUCGGAGAGGCAAUGGUGUUGAUGAAGAAGCCCUCCGUGUCUGAAUCCCCCAUUUUGCAGGGCACCAGAACGGUCCCCAGAUGGGAUCUUGCGGAGACAGAAACUUACGGCGGCGGAAAAGUAUUUUCGUGGCUCUCUUCCAUGGUUUCAGUUUUUUAGGGAAUUUAUAGGCGGAAGAAGUAGGGUAAAGGAGCCAGCGGGGGGCACAAGCCUGCUAGGUGCGCCCCCCUCCCAGGCCGCGCCUAGGGGGCUUGUGGCCUCCCCCGGAGUCCUUUGCCUUGGUUCUCAAGUUCCCUGCGUAUCUUCUGUUACGGAAAAAAUCAUUCCGAAGAUUUUAUUCCGUUUGGACUCCGUUUAAUAUUCUUAUGUGAAAAGGGUCAAAAACACGGAAAAAACAGGAACUGACACUUGGCACUGAGUUAAUAGGUUAGUCCCAAAUAAGAUAUAAAAUGCAUACAAAACAUCCAAAGUUGACAAGAUAAUAACAUGGAAACAUAAAAAAAUAUAUAUACGUUGGAGACAUAUCAAGCUGCGACCCACAAUCAAAGAAAAAAAAAGCUACAUUAGUAUUCUAGAAAAGCUACAACGGUGAUGCACGAGAGCUGCAACCCGUGGUGCUGCGAGCACCAGUGACCGGAGGAAACAACUACAACCGACGACGCGAAAGCAUCAAUCGACUUCUGGAAAAGAUGCAACCAACAAUGAGAAAGCUUCAACCCGCUUGCGAAAAAGCUUCAACGAGAAAUGGUGACUUGUGGCGAGGGCAGCCUCUGCUACAAGCGGCGAGCUUGACAACGAUGGCGAGCGACAACAACAUGAGCUAUAAGAAUAACGACUAUACGUGGCCAUAUCUCGGCCCGGGCCGGGCCUAAAAAACCCAUGAUACAAAACCCAGGCCCGAGCCCGGCCCGGCCCGACCGUCGGGCCUAAUUUUUGAGCCCAGGCCCGGCCCAACCCGACGUAGGUGUAAAAUCAGAUUUCAUGGGUUCGGNNNNNNNNNNNNNNNNNNNNNNNNNNNNNNNNNNNNNNNNNNNNNNNNNNNNNNNNNNNNNNNNNNNNNNNNNNNNNNNNNNNNNNNNNNNNNNNNNNNNCCAAAGGUGUUCGUUGAGUUAGUAUAGAUCGAGACUGGGAUUUGUCACUCCGUGUGACGGAGAGGUAUCUCGGGGCCCACUCGGUAAUACAACAUCACACACAAGCCUUGCAAGCAAUGUAACUUAAUGUAAGUUGCGGGAUCUUGUAUUAUGGAACGAGUAAAGAGACUUGCCGGUAAACGAGAUUGAAAUAGGUAUGCGGAUACUAACGAUCGAAUCUCGGGCAAGUAACAUACCGAAGGACAAAGGGAAUGACAUACGGGAUUAUAUGAAUCCUUGGCACUGAGGUUCAAACGAUAAGAUCUUUGUAGAAUAUGUAGGAUCCAAUAUGGGCAUCCAGGUCCCGCUAUUGGAUAUUGACCAAGGAGUCUCUCGGGUCAUGUCUACAUAGUUCUCGAACCCGCAGGGUCUGCACACUUAAGGUUCGACGUUGUUUUAUGCGUAUUUGAGUUAUAUGGUUGGUUACCGAAUGUUGUUCGGAGUCCCGGAUGAGAUCACGGACGUCACGAGGGUUUCCGGAAUGGUCCGAAAACGAAGAUUGAUAUAUAGGAUGACCUCAUUUGGUUACCGGAAGGUUUUCGUGCAUUACCGGAAAAGUUUCGGGCUCAUCGGUAGUGUACCGGGAGUGCCGGGAGGGGUGCCGGGGACCAUCGGGAGGGGUGUCACGCCCCAAGGGGUCUCAUGGGCUAUGGGAAGAGAUAAACCAGCCCCUAGUGGGCUGGAAUAAGUUCCCACUAAGGCCCAUAAGGUUUGAGAAGGAAAAAAACACAAGGUGGAAAGAGUUUCCAAGUGGGAAGGUGGAAUCCUACUCCAAGUAGGAUUGGAGUAGGACUCCUCCACCUCCAAUUUCGGCCAAACCUUUAGGUUUUGAGGCUGCCUCCUCCCCUCCCUCCCACCUAUAUAUACGGAGGUUUUAGGGCUGAUUUGAGACGACUUUUCCACGGCAGCCCGACCACAUACCUCCACGGUUUUUCCUCUAGAUCGCGUUUCUGCGGAGCUCGGGCGGAGCCCUGCUGAGACAAGGUCAUCACCAACCUCCGGAGCGCCGUCACGCUGCCGGAGAACUCUUCUACCUCUCCGUCUCUCUUGCUGGAUCAAGAAGGCCGAGAUCAUCGCCGAGCUAUACGUGUGCUGAACGCGGAGGUGCCGUCCGUUCGGUACUAGAUCGUGGGACUGAUCGCGGGAUUGUUCGCGGGGCGGAUCGAGGGACGUGAGGACGUUCCACUACAUCAACCGCGUUCACUAACGCUUCUGCUGUAUGAUCUACAAGGGUACGUAGAUCACACAUCCCCUCUCGCAGAUGGACAUCACCAUGAUAGGUCUUCGUGNNNNNNNNNNNNNNNNNNNNNNNNNNNNNNNNNNNNNNNNNNNNNNNNNNNNNNNNNNNNNNNNNNNNNNNNNNNNNNNNNNNNNNNNNNNNNNNNNNNNNNNNNNNNNNNNNNNNNNNNNNNNNNNNNNNNNNNNNNNNNNNNNNNNNNNNNNNNNNNNNNNNNNNNNNNNNNNNNNNNNNNNNNNNNNNNNNNNNNNNNNNNNNNNNNNNNNNNNNNNNNNNNNNNNNNNNNNNNNNNNNNNNNNNNNNNNNNNNNNNNNNNNNNNNNNNNNNNNNNNNNNNNNNNNNNNNNNNNCCACCGCCGCUACCCUAAUGCAGCCCAAAAGCUCAACCGGGCAUGGACAAGCUCGUGAAGCUCCCAUCAUCACGCUGCAGCGAUGCGAUGUCAAUGCUGUCAUCCCCGUCGUGAGCCGCGCCCCAGACUAACUAGAGGCGACAAGGCAGGCCCGACCAGACCCAGAUCGGGGCCGGGGGGUCCAGAUCUGGACCUGAAGGUCCGGAUCGCUGCCACCGCUACCCAGCCACCAACAGCAGCACCACCNNNNNNNNNNNNNNNNNNNNNNNNNNNNNNNNNNNNNNNNNNNNNNNNNNNNNNNNNNNNNNNNNNNNNNNNNNNNNNNNNNNNNNNNNNNNNNNNNNNNNNNNNNNNNNNNNNNNNNNNNNNNNNNNNNNNNNNNNNNNNNNNNNNNNNNNNNNNNNNNNNNNNNNNNNNNNNNNNNNNNNNNNNNNNNNNNNNNNNNNNNNNNNNNNNNNNNNNNNNNNNNNNNNNNNNNNNNNNNCCCGAGCCAGGAGGGGAAAGGCCGGAGUCCCGCCGCCAUCGGGGCCGCCCAACCAAGGGCCGACGCGGCGCACCGGCGACGGCAGGAGGAGGGAGGGAAGGGAGGGGCGAGCGGGCAGGAGGGUGGGGGGCGCGGGCGUGGCAGGGGAGGAGUUGGAGAGGGGGCGCGGUACCGGGGCCCCUGGGGCGACGGAGUGGGAGGGGAGGAGGGGGAGAGGGGGAGGGGGCGGGGCAGGCCGCCGGCGGCGGGGGGGGGGGGGGGGGGGGGGGGGGAGCCCAGGNAGUGGGAGGGGAGGAGGGGGAGAGGGGGAGGGGGCGGGGCAGGCCGCCGGCGGCGGNNNNNNNNNNNNNNNNNNNNNNNNNNNNNNNNNNNNNNNNNNNNNNNNNNNNNNNNNNNNNNNNNNNNNNNNNNNNNNNNNNNNNNNNNNNNNNNNNNNNCCUCCUAGGCGGUGUGUUUGUCGAGAUCCGAUGAAUUGUGGAUUUAUGAUCAGAUUAUCUAUGAAUUAUAUUUGUGUCUUUGCUGAUUUCUUAUAUGCAUGAUUUGAUAUCCUUGUAAGUCUCUCCGAGUCUUGGAUAUUGUUUGGCUACCUAGAUCUAUGAUUCUUGCAAUGGGAGAAGUGCUUGGUUUUGGGUUCAUACCGUGCGGUGACCUUUCCCAGUGACAGAAAGGGCAGCAAGGCACGCAUCGUGUUGUUGCCAUCAAGGGUAACAAGAUGGGCUUUCAUCAUAGAUUUGAGAUUGUCCAUCUACAUCAUGUCAUCUUGCUUAAGGCGUUACUCUGUUCUUAUGAACUCAAUACACUAGAUGCAUGCUGGAUAGCGGUCGACGUGAAGAGUAAUAGUAGUAGAUGCAGAAAGUAUCGGUCUACUUGUUCUGGACGUGAUGCCUAUAGAUAUGAUCAUUGCCAUAGAUAACGUCACGACUUUGCGCGGUUCUAUCAAUUGCUCGACAGUAAUUCGUUCACCCACCGUCUACUUGCUUUCAUGAGAGAAGCCACUAGUGAACACUACGGCCCCCGGGUCUAUUCACAACUAUCGUCCCCAACUUUACUUUGCUUUGUUUACCUUUUUGCUUUCGGUUCUCACUUUGCAAACAAUCUAUAAGGGAUUGACAACCCCUUCAUAGCGUUGGGUGCAAGCUCUUUGUGUUUGUGCAGGUACUUGUGACUUGAGGCGAUCCUCCUACUGGAUUGAUACCUUGGUUCUCAAACAGAGGGAAAUACUUACCGCCGCUGUGCUACAUCACCCUUUCCUCUUCAAGGGAACACCAACGCAAGGCUCCAAGGCCGAGGGGGAAUCCUGUGCAUAUUUUCCAAGGAAGUCCCUAUAGGCGUAGCCUGUAGCAGAAGGAUUCCUGGCGUCGUUGCCAGGGAGGGUCUGUUGUCGCAGUAGCAGAAGGAUUUCUGGCACCGUUGCCGGGGAGGAUCUCUUGCCGAGGAAGAUCAAGACAAGAAUAAUCUCCCGUCAACACGCCUAUUUCUGGCGCCGUUGCCGGGGAGAGAUCAAGUCAAGAUCUAUCCAAGUAGGUGUCACAAACUCAUCUCUUGCAUUUACCUUUUUUGCCAGUUCCCUCUCGUUUUCCUCUCCCCCACUUCACAUUUGCCGUUUUCAUUUGCCUACCCCCCUUGCCGUUUUCAUUUUCCUUUUUGCCUUUCUCCCUUGCCGUUUUCAUUUGCCUUUUGCCGUUCUCUUUUGCCCGUUUCACCCGCUUACUUCCUGCUCGUUUGUGUGUGGGAUAGUCCAUCAAUGGCUAGACCCACCACUCCAAACGAUACCCCUUAGAACGAAGUUCUCAAUUUCAAGCAGAAUGAGGAAGAAAAUUUAAUGGACGCUUGGUAUAGGAUUUGCAAUGCUCAAAGUAGAUCUACUCGUAAGCAAUCCACUACCGUUCUUCUUCGCAGUUUUUAUGUUGGAAUCUCUCCUUGGAAUAGGUAUAUUCUUGAUACCAUCGUAGGCGGGAAUUUUUUGGGGAGCCAUACUGUUGACUCUUAUGGAGCUAUCAUGAAUUUGGUAGGUUCACCCCCGCUCAUGGUUAAUGGAACUACCUUGACCUUGGAACACGUGAUGCAAAGGCUUGACGCCAUUGAAAACAAAAUUGCCACAGUUGAAAUUAUUGAGGGUUUGGAUAGAAAGAUCCACAAUCGAAUUACUCAGUGCGGAUCUAAAGUGGGAAUGGUUUUGAAAAAUUUAAGGGAGAAGAAACUUAUAGUUAAUGACUCCUCUAGAAUUGGCAAACUAGAAGAUGUCAUAACGAACUUGGGUUCUGCUUUUGCCGUUGUCACUCUCAAAAAGAUCGUCAAGUCUGUUUUUGUUCCUAAAGCUAGUGGUGAGUCAUCCAAUAAAGAUAAAAAUCUUAAGAUGAUAAAUGAUCACGCUACUUAUUGUUUGAGCACCAAAGAUGACUAUACGUGAUUCCAUCACCUUUUGCCUAGAUAAGGGCGUUAAACAAUAGCGCUUGUUGGGAGGCAAACCAACGAAUCUAUCCUUUUUCUUUUUGUUUUGUGUUUUCCACACUUUCAUAAUUCUGUUAUGAUUGUGUUUUUUGUGUUUCUUUUGCGUUUGUGCCAAGUAAAACCGUUAUGAUUAGUCUUGGGGAUGAUCGUUUGGUCAUGGUGGAAAAGACAAAAACUUUCUUCUCACGAAAAGAAUUUUCAUUUUUUUUGUAAGAGCUAUUGAGUUGAUUCGUUUUGGUGCUGAUUGCUACGCAAAUUCUUCAGACUGUCGUAAUUUUUCAGAAAUUUUGAAGUAACAGAAGUAUACGAAGUAUACAGAUUGCUACCUUUCCAGCACAUUGGGAUCCUAAGCUUNNNNNNNNNNNNNNNNNNNNNNNNNNNNNNNNNNNNNNNNNNNNNNNNNNNNNNNNNNNNNNNNNNNNNNNNNNNNNNNNNNNNNNNNNNNNNNNNNNNNUAGUGUAUUAAGUCCAUAAGAACAGAGUAACGCCUUAAGCAAGAUGACAUGAUGUAGAGGGAUAAUCUCAAACCAAUGAUAAAAACCCCAUCUUUUUAUCCUUGAUUGUAACUACUUGAUGUGUGCCUUGCUGCCCCUACUGUCACUGGGAAAGGUCACCACAUGGUAGAACCCAAAACCAAGCACUUCUCCCAUUGCAAGAAUCAUAGAUCUAGUUGGCCAAACAAAACCCAAGACUCGGAGAGACUUACAAGGAUAUCAAAUCAUGCAUAUAAGAAAUCAGCAAAGACUCAAAUAUAUAUCAUAGAUAAUCUGAUCACAAAUCCACAAUUCAUCGGAUCUCAACAAACACACUGCCAAAGAAGAUUACAUCGGAUAGAUCUCCAUGAAGAUCAUGGAGAACUUUGUAUUGAAGAUCCAAAAGAGAGAGGAAGCCAUCUAGCUACUAACUACGGACCCGUAGGUCUGAAGUGAACUACUCACGAGUCAUUGGAGGGGCGAUGAUGAUGAUGAAGAAGCCCUCCAAUUCCAAAGCCCCCUCCGGCAGGGCGUCGGGAAGGGUGUCCAGAUGAGAUCUCAUGGAAACGGAAGCUUGCGGCGGCGGAAAAGUAUUUUUGAGGCUCCCCCGAUUUUUUGCUAAAUAUUUGGGAAUAUAUAGGCCAAGGAUCUAGGUCAGGGGGCGGCCAGGGAGGCCACAAGCCCUGACACCGCCGCCUCCCCCUCGUGGCGGAGUGGGGGCUUGUGGGCUCCCUGGAGCCCACCUGGCUUGGCCCAAAGGCCCCCUGAUAUUCUUCUGUUCGGGAAAAAAUCAUUUUGGGGUUUUUAUUCUAUUUGGACUCCGUUCCAAAAUCAGAUCUGAAAAGAGUCAAAAACAUAGAAAAAACAGGAACUAGCACUUGGCACUGAAUUAAUAAGUUAGUCCCAAAAAAGAUAUAAAAGGUACAUAAAACAUCCAAAGAAGACAAGAUAACAGCGUGAAACCAUCAAAAAUUAUAGAUACGUUUGAGACGUAUCACACCCACAUAUCAAACUAUCAAAGUAACGAACACGAAUUAUAUGAACAUGAUGAAACUAGCAUGACAGAAGUUCCCAUGUGUCCUCGGGAGUGUUUUUCCUCUUAUAAGACUUUGUUCAGGCUUGUCCCUUGCUACAAAAGGGACUGGGCCACUUGCUGCACCGUUGCUACUACUUGUUACUUGUUACUCUUCGCUUGCUACGUUUCACCUCACUACACCAUCACUUGCUACCGCUACUUUUAGUGCUUGCAGUUAUUACCUUGCUGAAAACCUUUUAUCAGAGCCUUCUCCUCCUCGUUGGGUUCGACACUCUUACUUAUCGAAAGGACUACGAUUGAUCCCCUAUACUUGUGGGUCAUCAUUACCUGACUGAGAUAUAACAUCACAUUAAAUGGAACCAUCCCGGAUUCAUUGGCACCGCCCCAUGGGCUACGGCAAGGAGAUCCUUUAUCACCCUUCCUUUUAUUGCUGAUGGUCUUGGUGCUAUUCGCAAGCAAGUUUUUACCACGUCGAUGAUCCCACCAGUAAAAGGGUGUCUACGUAACCCGGUAUUUCUCAUCUCCUAUUCAUCAAUGACACCCUCCUUUUUUUCAAGGACAACAUUGGGGAAGCGCAACCAUCAAGGGUGCUCUGGCUUCUUAUGCUAGUGCGAGUGGGCAAAGAAUUAAUCCCGCCAUGUGCUCUAUUCUUUUUGGUCAAUAUUGUCGAGCAGUGGAUCAGGAUGAGGUUAGACAAGUGUUGGAGGUUCAGAGGCCCUGUUUUGGCCUUUGAGGAGAAGUACCUUGGGCUCACUGUUGCACUUGUAGUUUCUCACCGGCAUUCAGUAGAUAGGAUACCUUUUAUAGUUGGAAUAAACGACGCAGUCGCCUCGUAGUUUCAAUCAGAAGACUGUUUCUUCAGGCGUUAGUUAGAGCGUCAGGCGCGGCUGUUAGCUUGCGCGACACGCACAUCACUCGCACGAUCCGAGCGUCGUGGGAUGGCACAGCCGGUCUGCUCGGGUGUGGGUUGAUCCGUUAUUUGUAAUCUCAGUUUAAAUAAUGGAAUAGAAUCAGAGAAAAGUUGUACCAAUUCACAACACAAACCUGCAUCUUCCUUCUUGUUUCAUCGUCAGAGAGGAGAGCGAGAGUUUCAGAGGUUGAGCUCGCCGGAGCUCCUGGUUCCAACAAGCGGCAUCAGAGGCGCGUCGAUCCUUGGGAGCCAUGACCGGCACGACAUCUCCGGGAGGCACUCCGACGACUGUUGGUGCCGCGGCGGCGCGAGGCACAGCUGGUAGGAGCGGCAACGACGACGCCCACUCCCUGACCCCAGACCGCGGUCGUAGCCGUGGUCGCAGCCGCAGCCGCAGGCGAGGCAAGGAGAUCGUCGUGCACGAGCGCAUGAUCCAGGAGCGUCUCAUCCCAGGCGGUACCACGAUGUGGCCGAUGCUCACGCCGACGAACUACUUCAAGUGGUCUAUGCUGAUGCAAAUCAACAUGGAAGCGAACCUGAUGUGGAAUGCUGUCGAGGGAGACCCCUCCGGCGUCCCCAACGACAAGGCGACAUUGGUGGCUAUCGUGUGAUCCGUCCCACCGGAGAUGGUGGGAGCGAUCAUGGUGAAGAAGACGGCGAAGGAGGCAUGUGACACGAUCAAGACCAUGCGCAUGGGUGUUGCGCGCGUCCGCGAGGCCACGACACAACGACUUCGCUCCGAGUUCGAGGCGAUCACAUUCCGCGACGGCGAGACGCUCGACGCGUUCGGCAUGUGGAUCACUUCGCUCGUCAACAACCUGCGCUCACUCGGCGACACCAUGGAUGAGGUGAGAGUGGUCCAGAAGUUCCUGCGCGUCGUCCCGUCUCGUUACAUGCAGAUUGCCCUCGCCAUUGAAACGAUGCUCGACCUGAACACGCUCUCCGUUGAGGAGCUCAUCGGACGCGUGCGCUCCAUAGAGGAACAUUACCUUACCAACGACCAGGGUGGAGGCAGUGGGGCACAACUGCUGAUGACGGAGGGGCAGUGGCACGCGUGCAAGAACCAACACGGCCAGGGCCAGAACGGUGGCCAGGGUGGCGGCAACGGCUCCGGCGGACCAGGCGGGUCCGACGGGCAAGGCAGGCCCCCAAAUCAUCGUCGCGGCAAGCAGCAAAACCGUCAAGGCGGAGGCCAGGGAAGCGAUGGAAGCGGCGGGCGUGAUGGCGCGUCGAACGGAGAGCAAGAUAUGUCCUAGGUCAAGUGUUACAACUGUAACAAACUUGGGCAUUUCUCCAAGCACUGCACCGAGCCACGACGGGAGCGCAAGGAGCACGCAAACCUGGCGUGUGGCGAAGGGGAGGACACGGAGACGUCUCUCCUCCUAGCUACGGUCAGCUCUCUCUCCACGAUCCGAGAACGCCCGGUCGAGCAUGUCCCCCUCAACGAGGAACGCUCCUAGACGCACACAACCCCCAUCAACGAUCGCUGCGAUAUGUCCUGGUACCUCGACACCGGUGCAAGCAAUCACAUGUCCGGGUGUCGGGAGAUCUUCUCUGAUCUCGACAUCGGCGUACGCGGGUCAGUGCGGCUCGGCGACAACAACGACGUACAGAUCGAGGGAAGGGGCACCAUCCUCUUCGAGUGCCGAAACGGCGAACAUCUGACCUUGUCGGAGGUGUACUUUAUACCUCGACUCCGCGGGAACAUCAUCAGUCUGGGUCAGAUGGACGAACUUGGUUGCGAGAUCAACAUCCGCUGCGGGCUGCUGCGCCUCCGCGACCAGGAAGGUCGCCUCAUCUCUCACGUUCAGAGGAACGACGGUCGGCUGUAUGUGCUCCACCUGAUGGCGGGGUGCCCCGUCUGCCUCCUAGCGCGUGGCAUGGAUGAGGCAUGGCUGUGGCACGGACGCUAGGCCACCUGAACUUCCGCACGCUACGUAAUCUGGGUCGCCUGAACAUGGCAAAUGGCAUCCCCGGCAUCGACUGCGUCAACCAGGUCUGCGACGGAUGCGCUCUAGGCAAGCAACAUCGACUGUCGUUUCCCCAGAACACGACGUACCGAGUGGAGCGCGCUCUGGAGCUUGUUCACAGUGAUCUCUGUGGGCCGAUCAAGCCGGCCACAGCGGGAGGUAACCGGUACUUCCUCCUAAUUAUUGAUGAUUUCUCAUGAUACAUGUGGCUUGAGGUGCUGCAAACCAAGGACGAGGCAUUUGAUCGCUUCAAAAGGAUCAAGGCACGAGUUGAAGCUGAGUCCAACUGCAAUCUUCCGGCGUUCCGAUCGGAUCUCGGCGACGAGUUCAACUCGAUCGCCUUCCGCAAGUACUGCGACGACGGAGGCAUCAAGCACUGCACCACCGCGCCGUACACGCCCCAGCAGAACGGGGUGGUCGAACGGCGCAACCAGACAGUGGUCGAGAUGGCGCGUUGCUUGCUGGAAGCCAUGGACGUGCCGACGAUGUUUUGGGGAGAGGCGGUGAAGACUGCGGUGUAUCUCCUCAACCGUGCGCCCACGCGAAGCCUCGACGGACUGACGCCGUAUGAGGCCUAGCACAAGCGGAAGCCGAUGAUGCACCAUCUUCGGGUAUUUGGAUGCGUGGCACACGUAAAGCGACUCGGCCCCGACAUCGACAAAUUGGCCAAUCGUUCAACGCUCAUGGUCUUCAUCGGGUACAAGGAGGGAGCCAAGGCCUACAGGGUUUAUGAUCCGGCAUGCAAGCGGGUAAUCAUAUCCCGUGACGUCACCUUCGAGGAACAAAGGAGGUGGACUGGACGAUCGCGGCCAACGGAGGAGCCGCGCCUCCUGUUGAACACCUCGUGGUCACCUACGACAACGAAGAACACGACCUGCAUUCCUCGCCGGUACGCACCAGCACUCGAGCGGCUCCUACUACACCCAUCAAUGCUGGUCCCUCGUCCUCCAAGGCAGCAGGGUCGCCCCUCGUGACAACAACAGGGGCGUCACUUGUCUCUGUUGAGGAUGGCUGGGCCACGCCACCGGGCGACGACAACGAGCGCCAUGACCUCGAUCACACUCCAGCCCACUACCGCAAGAUGAAGCACGUACUCGCAGAGCUGGAUGCGGCUGCAAGGGAAGAACAAGUUGCGUUGUGUCUGAUGGCUACAGAGGAGCCAGAAAGCAUGGAGGAGGCGCUCGACAAGGCGCACUGAAAGUGCACCAUGAACGCUGAGCUCACAGCGAUCCGUGACAACGGAACGUGGGAACCUGUUGCACUCCCGCACGGCCACAGAGCCAUAGGGCUUAAGUGGGUAUACAAGAUCAAGCGGGACACCGCUGGCAAUACGGUGAAGUACAAGGGAAGGCUGGUGGCGAAGGGGUACGCGCAGCGGCAAGGCGUGGAGUACGAUGAAGUUUUUGCUCCGGUGGCACGCAUGGAAACGGUGCGUCUGCUACUAGCACUCGUGGAACAUCGAGGGUGGCAAGUUCAUCACAUGGACGUGAAGUCCGGUUUCCUCAACGGUGACCUUCGAGAAGAAGUGUACGUGCACCAGCCGCCUGGAUUCGUCAUCGGCGGCGAUGAAGGGAAGGUUCUACGCCUUCGGAAGGCGUUGUAUGGCCUGAAGCAGGCACCAAGGACCUGGAAUGCUAAGCUCGACGCACCACUCGUGUCACUUGGCUUCGAGCGUAGCCCCCUUGAGCAUGCCGUGUACAGGAAGGGCACGGGGGCGUCAACUCUGCUCGUCAGGGGUCUAUGUCGAUGAUUUGAUCAUCACCGGCGUCGACAACAAAGAAAUUGCAGCAUUCAAGGAGCAGAUGAAAGAGCUUUUCGACAUGAGUGAUCUCGGGCUUCUGUGCUACUACCUCGGCAUAGAAGUGCAGCAGAAGACCGACGCUAUCACCAUCUGCCAGAGCGCAUACGCGACCAAGAUCCUUGAUGCUGCAGGGAUGAGAGGAUGCAACCCUGUAGAUACUCCAAUGCAGAGUCGACUGAAGAUUGGCGAGACAGGCGCCGACGAGCCCGUGGACACCACACGAUACAGGAGCAUCGUCGGGAGCCUGCGGUAUCUCUGCAACACAAGACCAGAUAUUUCGUCCUCUGUUGGCAUAGUAAGCAAGUACCUGGAGGCACCAGCUGCGGCGCACUGGGUUGCUAUCAAACAGAUACUACGCUACGUCAGUAGCACGCUGAACCAUGGCUGCUGCUACAAGGUAGGAGGUGCAGCAGCGUCGGAGGUGAUCGGCUACAACGACAGCAAUCACGCCGGUGACAAUGAUGAUGUGCGGAGCACGACGGGGGUGAUCUUCUUCCUUAACUCCAGCCCGAUCACGUGGACUUCACACAAGCAGAAGGUGGUCGCCAUCUCGUCUUGUGAGGCUGAGUACAUGGCGGCUGCAACCGCAGCCUGCCAGGGUGUGUGGCUGUGUAGACUCCUCAGAGAGCUUACCGGCGACACUCCGACAAAGGCAAAGCUGCGCGUCGACAACAAGUCGGCGAUUGCUCUCAGUAAAAACCCGGUGCACCACGACAAAAACUCGUGUGAUCUUCUUCCUUAACUCCAGCCCGAUCACGUGGACUUCACACAAGCAGAAGGUGGUCGCCAUCUCGCCUUGUGAAGCUGAGUACAUGGUGGCUGCAACCGCAUCCUGCCAGGGUGUGUGGCUGUGUAGACUCCUCAGAGAGCUUACCGGCGACACUCCGAUAAAGGUGAAGCUGCGCGUCGACAACAAGUCGGCGAUUGCUCUCAGCAAAAACCCGGUGCACCACGACAAAAGCAAACACAUUGACAUUCGAUAUCAUUUCAUUCGUGAGUGCAUCAAAGACGACAAGGUGGAAGUCGACCACGUCGGCACUGACGGACAACUUGCCGAUUUCCUCACCAAGGCACUGGGCCGGAUCAAGUUCAUUGAAAUGCGGCAGAAGACUGGCGUCGGAAUGGUGAGCUUCGGGCUCCGGAAUUAGGAGGUGAAAUGUUGCACUUGUAGUUCCUCCCCCGGGUUUCAGUAGAUAAGAUAGCUUUUCUGUUGGAAUAAGCGACGCAGUCGCCUCGUAGUUUCAGUUAGAAGACCAUUCUUCAUGCGUUAUGUAACGACCCGGACACACCCGCUGGUGGUCGUUACUCCUCGUGGGAUCUAGACUGGCCCCANNNNNNNNNNNNNNNNNNNNNNNNNNNNNNNNNNNNNNNNNNNNNNNNNNNNNNNNNNNNNNNNNNNNNNNNNNNNNNNNNNNNNNNNNNNNNNNNNNNNNNNNNNNNNNNNNNNNNNNNNNNNNNNNNNNNNNNNNNNNNNNNNNNNNNNNNNNNNNNNNNNNNNNNNNNNNNNNNNNNNNNNNNNNNNNNNNNNNNNNNNNNNNNNNNNNNNNNNNNNNNNNNNNNNNNNNNNNNNNNNNNNNNNNNNNNNNNNNNNNNNNNNNNNNNNNNNNNNNNNNNNNNNNNNNNNNNNNNNNNNNNNNNNNNNNNNNNNNNNNNNNNNNNNNUAGAACUACUCCAAGAUGAGCACGCUUAACCUGGGAGUUCUAUUUGAAUGGGCUCCCAGAAAAGAAGGAAUUCCUUAUUGAUAUGAGUAGUCUAUCAUCCCUAAUAAGCCAGGCUAUCACACGUUAGUUAGAGCGUCAGGCGCUGCAGUUAGCUUGCGCGGCACGCACAUCACUCGCACGAUCCGAGCGUCGUGGGAUGGCACGGCCGGUUUCCUCGGGUGUGGGUUUAUCCGGUCUUUGUAAUCUCAGUUAUUUGGAAUAGAAUCAGAGAAAAGUUGUACCAGUUCACAACACAAACCUGCAUCUUCCUCCUUGUUUCAUCGUCAGAGAGGAGAGCGAGAGUUUCAGAGGUUGAGCUCGCCGGAGCUCCUGGUUCCAACACUCACACCCCUGAGUGAUAAUCUAUCCAAAGGGAAAUUCAAAAAUAUACAACAAUGGUUUUCUAAGAGGAUUCUCGAGCGGGAUGAUGGCUUCAUGGCGCAGAGCGGUCGUGAAAUUUUAAUCAAGUCAUUUUGCUUGAGGCUAUUCCAACAUAUAACAUAUAUUAUGAGUGCCUUUAAACUCCCUAGGUCCAUUUUUCAUGACCUGACGAGAAUGGCCUCAAGCUUAUGCCAAGGGGAGCAAGGGAAGUGAAAGAUCCAUUGGAUAGUGUGGGAACAUAUGAUAAAUCCAACACUUGUGUCCAUCGACAAGUUCUUCUGCAACCUAGACUGGGAGACAUUUUCCCCUCCCACACACUAAUGAAAGCAUCAACAACAAGCUCGGAUCACUACCCAUUGAUCCUGGUAAACAUUGCUCCCCCUUGUCGCAAGGCCAUGUUUUGUUUUGAGAAUUUCUGGCCGCGCUUUCCGCAUUUUCAUGAAAAAAUUGUGAGGGCAUGGGCAAGGCCAAUGAAUCACGAUUCCCCAUUCGCAUGUAUCAAGAUCAAGUUCCAGAGGAAAACUACACAUCUAAAAAUUUGGGGGAAGCAAUUGCUCAGUGAGGCUAAACAACAAUUGCACUUGGCUUCUGAAAUCGUGUUACAGCUGGAUGUUGCUCAUGAGAAGAGGACACUGACGACAUCGGAGUUCAAUCUCACAAAACUUCUAAAGUAGAAAAUGAUGGGGCUCGGAAGCGACAAGCAUCGAGGAUGACCUGGCUGAAGGCUGGAGGUGCGAGGACGUCGUUCUUCCAGGCCAAAAUCUGCUCCAGACAUCACAAUAACUUCAUCCAAUGCUUGCACAAUGGGAACUUGCAAGUGACUACCCAAGAAGACAAGGUCGGGGUAGUACGCGAGCACUUCCAAAACUUGCUUGGGGAGGGUAGACACCACGACACCUCGAUCAAAUGGGACGAGCUGGACAUGCCAUUGCUCAGAAGAAAUGGCCUUGACAACCCCUUCAUCAAGGCCGAGGCAUGGGUGGCGGUGUGCGCGUUGCCCAUAGAGAAGGCGCUGGGGCCUGACAGAUUCACACACAUGUUCUAUCAGAUCUAGUGGCACACGAUCAAGGAGGAUGUCAUGGUCGUGUUCAACAAAUUAUAUCACAUGGCCGAGGGGGACUUCGCGUCGAUAAACAAGGUCAUGAUCGCUCUAUUGCCAAAAACGAUAUUGUUCAGUUGGGCGAUUUCAGGCCAAUUAGCCUCGUCCACUCCGUCGCCAAGCUAAUCACCAAAGUACUCUCAGUGCGGUUGGGGGUGUGAUUGAUCAGCUCAUCUCGCCGGUGCAGAGCACCUUCCAAAAGCACAGGGGUAUCCACAACAGUUACAUGUUAGCACCAUCAAGCUCCUACAUAGAAAGAACAAGCCGAUUAAUGAAAUUAGACAUAGCAAAAGCGUUCGACAACAUUUCAUGGGAGUAUCUGUUGGAGUUGCUACAGCGGCUGACCUUUUCGGUGCGCUGGCUUGACUAGAUUGCGCUCCUCUAUCCUGUGCAACCUCCUCCUGCCUCCUAAACAGUGUAGAGGGCGCGACCAUGAAGCACCGGAGAGGACUGCCGCAAAGUGACCCGCUUUCGCCGCUGCUUUUCAUCCUGGCUAUUGAUCCCUUGCACCGACUCCUUGAGGCUGCAACGUGGCUCGGCUCCAUGCAACCACUAACGGCUGGGGCGGCCCGGCUACACGUCAGUCUAUACACGGAUGACACGGUCAUCUUUGCCAAUUCAAUGCGCGAGGAGGUCGACACGAUUGUUGAGCUGUUUGCAGGUUUUGGAAACACCUCCGGGCUGCACCUGAACCACGGGAAAUCGAUCGUCAUGACGAUUCGCUACACUGGCAUUGGGUUGGAUCAUGUAUGUACUACAAAACUUUGGAGGCCAUAUCGUCCAGUUCCCUAUCCGGUACUUAGGUAUUGAUAGUUGUGAUCUGUGUUGGGUUUUUCCAUAAAGAGGAACGGGUAAUGCAACACAGUGUAGAUAAGUAUUUCCCUUAGUAAGAACCAAGGUUAUUGAACCAAUAGGAGUAACACGCAACCCUCAUCUCGAGUGUGAGCACACAAAGAAGCAAACACUUGCAUCCAACACAACCAAGAGGCUUGUCAAUCCCUUUGGACUCAUUAUUUGCAAGAAAAUGAAGUGUGUAGAUGAUAGUUUAUAAUUGCAAAAUAAAUAAAAGGUAAAUAAAGGCAGCGAGGUAAUUGUAGCAUUUGUAAAUAUAUAACUUAAUAGACCCGCGGGCCAUAGUUUUCCCUAGUGGCGUCUGAUGACGAGGUGAUGUAUAUGCUUCUCGCCCCUCGUUGGACCCCAAGUGGAAGGUGGACAUGUAGUCAGCAACAAAUUUCCCUUACACGGAGACUGUAAGGUUUAUUGAACCAAGAGGACUCCUAGGCUCAACAAGUACGUGUCUUCCACCCCGGCGCUAGCAGAAGACGUGGACAUGCACACACAACAAAUAACUUUGCUCCCAACGAGUACAAAGAGGUUGUUAAUUGAUACGUCUCUAACGUAUCUAUAAUUUUUGAUGGUUCCAUGCUAUUAUCAUGUCAACUUUGGAUGUUUUAUAUGCAUGAAUAUGCUAUUUUUGGGACAAACCUAUUAACUCAGUGCCAAGUGCCAGUUUCUGUUUUUUCCGUGUUUUUGACCUUUUUCAGAGAAGAAUAUUAAACGGAGUCCAAACGGAAUAAAACCUGCGGGAUGAUUUUUACCAUAACGAAAGAUACGAGGGGACUUGAGAACCAAGGCAGGAGACCUCGUGGGAGAUCACAAGCCCCCUAGCCACGACCUAGGGCGGUGGCCGCGCAUGGCAGGCUUGUGGGCCCCACAUGGCUCCUUUGCCCUACCUCUUUCGCCUAUAAAUUCUCUAAAAUCCCGAAACCAAAGGAGAGAGCCACGAAAAUACUUUUCCGCCGCCGCAAGCUUCUGUCUCCGCAAGAUCCCAUCUGGGGACCGUUCUGGUGCCCUACCGGAGAGGGAUUCGGACACAGAGGGCUUCUUCAUUAACACCAUUGCCUCUCCGAUGAUGCGUGAGUAGUUCACCACAAACCUUCGGGUCCAUAGCUAGUAGCUAGAUGGCUUCUUCUCUCUCUUGGAUCUUCAAUACAAAGUUCUCCAUGAUCUUCAUGGAGAUCUAUCUGAUGUAACUUUCUUUUGCGGUGUGUUUGUCGAGAUCCGAUGAAUUGUGGAUUUAUGAUCAGAUUAUCUAUGAAUAUUAUUUGAGUCUCCUUUGAUCUCUUAUAUGCAUGAUUUCGUAUCCUUGUAAUUCUCUUCGAGUUAUGGGUUUCGUUUGGCCAACUUGAUCUAUAAUUCUUGCAAUCUGAGAAGUGCUUGGUUUUGGGUUCAUACCGUGUUGUGUCCUCACCCAGUGACACAAAGUGUAGCGAGGCACACAUCGUGUUGUUGCCAUCAAGGGUAAAAAGAUGGGGUUUAUAUCAUAUUGCAUGAAUUUAUCCUUCUACAUCAUGUCAUCUUGCUUAAGGCGUUACUCCGUUUGUUAUGAAGUUAAUACACUAGAUGCAUGCUGGAUAGCGGUCGAUUUGUGGAGUAAUAGUAGUAGAUGCAGACAGUAUCGGUCUACUUGUCUCGGACGUGAUGCCUAUAUGUAUGAUCAUUGCCUUAGAUAUCGUCAUGACUUUGCGCGACUCUAUGAAUUGCUCGACAGUAAUUCGUUUACCCACCGUAAUACUUGUUGUCAUGAGAGAAGCCUCUAGUGAACACUAUGCCCCCCGGGUCUACUUCACAUCAUAUAUUCAGAUCUACAAAAAUACCUAAAAUACUUUGUUUCACUUUUCACCUUCAGAUCUCACCUUGCAAGUAAUCGUGAAGGGAUUGACAACCCCUUUAUAGCGUUGGGUGCAAGUUUGUUUGUUUUUGUGCAGGUACAUUGGUGCCUCAUCUUGAUACUCCUACUGGAUUGAUACCUUGGUUCUCAAACUGAGGGAAAUACUUAUCGCUACUUUGAUGCAUCACCCUUUCCUCUUCAAGGGAAAAAUCAACGCAAGCUCAAGAGGUAGCAAGAAGGAUUAAGUGAAGCAUACCAAGUAACUAUCACAAACUCAUCUCUUGCAUUUACAUUAUUUGCCUUUUGCCUCUCGUUUUCCUCUCCCCGACUUCUGAAGAAAAAACAAAAUUUACAAAAAUAUUUGCCUUUUUCGUUCGCCCUUUCUUUCGCUUGCUUUCUGUUCACUUGUGUGCUUGUCUGCUUGCUAAGUCACCAUGUCUAAAAACACCAAAUUGUGUGACUUCUCAAAUACUAAUAACAAUGAUUUUAUUAGUACUCCGAUUGCUCCCGCCACUAGUGGGGAAUCAUAUGAAAUUAAUGCUGCCUUGCUGAAUCUUGUUAUGAAAGAGCAAUUUUCCGGCCUUCCUAGUGAAGAUGCCGCAUCCCAUCUUAAUACCUUCAUUGAGUUAUGCGAUAUGCAAAAGAAGAAAUAUGUGGACAAUGAUAUAAUUAAAUUGAAGCUAUUUCCGUUCUCGUUACGAGAUCGAGCAAAAACUUGGUUUUUAUCUUUACCCAAAAAUAGUAUUGAUUCCUGGAACAAGUGUAAAGAUGCCUUUAUUUCCAAGUAUUUUCCACCGGCUAAGAUUAUUUCUCUCCGUAAUGAUAUCAUGAAUUUUAAGCAACUACAUCAUGAACAUGUUGCACAAUCUUGGGAGAGAAUGAAAUUGAUGAUUAGAAAUUGUCCCGCUCAUGGCCUGAGUCUUUGGAUGAUUAUACAAAUUUUGUAUUCUGGUUUGAAUUUUGCUUCUAGAAAUAUCUUGGAUUCCGCCUCUGGUGGAACUUUUAUGGAAAUCACACUAGGAGAAGCCACAAAACUCCUAGACAAUAUCAUGACAAACUCUUCUCAAUGGCACACUGAAAGGUCACUUACUAGUAAAAAAGUGCAUGCUAUAGAAGAAAUUAACUCUUUGAGUGCUAAGAUGGAUGAGUAAUGAAAUUGUUUGCUAGAAAAGGUGCUCCUCUAGAUCCAAAUGAUAUGCCUUUGUCUUCCUUGAUUGAGAAUUGCAAUGAAAGUUUGGAUGUUAAUUUUGUUGGUAGGAAUAAUUUUGGCAACAACAAUGCUUAUAGAGGUAACUUUAAUCCUAGGCCUUUUCCUAGUAAUUCCUCUAAUAACUUUGGCAAUUGCUACAACAAUGCUCAUGGAAAUUAUAAUAAAUUACCCUAUGAUCUUGAGAGUAAUAUUAAAGAGUUUAUCAACUCGCAAAAGAUUUUCAAUGCGUCCAUAGAAGAAAAACUGCUCAAAAUUGAUGACUUGGCUAGGACCGUUGAUAGAAUGUCUAUUGAUAUUGAUGCUUUUAAAUUGAGAUGUGCUCCUCCCUAGAUUAAUAUGGAUGAAACUUUUAAAGCUAUGCUUGUUUCCAUGAAUGAGAGUAAAGGAAGAACAACCCAAAUUCGUGCUAGACAUGAAUGGCUUAAAAAGGCAUGUUCUCGUGAUGAGAAUCACUGAUAUGUCCAUUUUGCAUCAUGCUUUUAUGUUGAUAUUUAUCGCUUUAUGGGUUGUUAUUACACUUCACGGUACAAUACUUAUGCCUUUUCUCUCUUAUUUUGCAAGGUUUACAUGAAGAGGGAGAAUGCUGGCAGCUGGAAUUCUGGCCUGAAAAAGGAGCAAGUUUGAGAUACCUAUUCUGCGCAGCUCCAAAAGCCGUGAAAAUAAACGAGGAUUUAUUUUGGAAUUUAUAAAAAAUACUGGGCCAAAGAAGUACCAGAGGGGAGCCACCAGGAGGCCACAAGCCUGCUAGGCGUGGCCUACCCCCUGGCCGCGCCUAGGGGGCUUGUGGGCUCCCAGUUGGCCCUCUGCCCCCCCUCUUUUGCUAUAAGGAGGGUUUCGUUCCAGAAAAAAUCAAGAGGAGGCUUUCGGGAGCAAUCGCCGCCGCCACGAGGCGGAACUUGAGCAGAACCAAUCUAGAGCUUCGGCAGGGUCGUCCUGCCGGGGAAACUUCCCUCCCGGAGGGGGAAAUCGUCGCCAUCGUCAUCACCAACACUCCUCUCGUCGGAGGGGACUCAUCAUCAUCAACAUCUUCAUCAGCACCAUCUCAUCUCGAAAGCCUAGUUCAUCUCUUGUAACCAAUCUCCAUCUCGCGACUCCGAUUGGUACUUGUAAGGUUGCUAGUAGUGUUAAUUACUCUUUGUAGUUGAUGCUAGUUGGAUUACUCGGUGGAAGAUUAUAUGUUCAGAUCCUUGAUGCUAUUCAAUACCUCUCUGGUCAUGAAUAUUAUUAUGCUUUGUGAGUAGUCACUUUUGCUCGUGAGGACAUGGGAUAAGUCUUUCUAUAAGUAGUCAUGUGAAUUUGGUAUUCGUUUGAUAUUUUGAUGAGUUGUAUGUUGUCUCUCCUCUAGUGGUGUUAUGUGAACGUCGACUACAUACCACUUCACCAUUAUUUGGGCCUAGAGGAAGGCAUCGGGAAGUAGUAAGUAGAUGAUGGGUUGCUAGAGUGACAGAAGCUUAAACCCUAGUUUAUGCGUUGCUUCGUAAGGGGCUGAUUUGGAUCCAUCAGUUUAAUGCUAUGGUUAGACUUUGUCUUAAUUCUUAUUUCAUAGUUGCGGAUGCUUGCGAGAGGGGUUAAUCAUAAGUGGGAGGUUUUUCCAAGUAAGGGAAGCACCCAAGCACUGGUCCACCCACAUAUCAAACUAUCAAAGCAGCGAACGCGAAUCAUAUGAACAUGAUGAAAACUAGCUUGACAGAAAUUCCCAUGUGUCCUCGGGAGUGCUUUACCUCCUAUAAGAGUUUGUCCAGGCUUGUACCUUGCUACAAAAGGGAUUGGGACACUUUGCUGCACCUUUUUUACUUUUGCUACUUGCUACUUGCUACGAAUCAUCUCAUCACACAACUAUCUGUUACCGAUAAUUUCAGUGCUUGCAGAGAAUACCUUGCUGAAAACCACUUGUCAGAUCCUUCUGCUCCUCGUUGGGUUCGACACUCUUACUUAUCGAAAGGACUACGAUAGAUCCCCUAUACUUGUGGGUCAUCAAGACUCUUUUAUGGCGCCGUUGCCGGGGAUUGAAGCGCCCUUGGUAAGUGGAAUUUGGUAAGGAAACAUUUAUAUAGUGUGCUGAAAUUUAUUGUCACUUGUCACUAUGGAAACUAAUCCUUUGAGGAGUUUGUUCGGGGUAUCUUCACCUCAAACGGAAGCACAAGGAGUUUCUCCUCAACCUUCUGCACCUACUAAAAAUAUUUGCUAUGAAUUUCCUUCGGGUAUGCUUGAGAAACCGCUGGCUAAUACUUUUAGAGGAGAUGGAACAUCACAUCCAGACUUGCAUCUAAUCUAUGUAGAUGAAGUUUGUGGUUUAUUUAAGCUUGCAGGUUUGCCCGAGGAUGAGGUCAAGAAGAAGGUCUUUCCCUUAUCUUUUAGGGAUAAAGCAUUGACACGGUAUAGGCUAUGUGAUGAUACGGGGUCAUGGAACUACAACCGGUUGAAAUUGGAAUUUCAUCAAAAGUUUUAUCCUACGCAUCUAGUACAUCGUGAUCGGAAUUAUAUUUAUAAUUUUUGGCCUCGUGACAGAGAAAACAUCGCUCAAGCUUGGGGGAGGCUUAAAUCAAUUUUAUAUUCAUGCCCUAACCAUGAGCUCUUGAGAGAAAUUAUCAUUCAGAACUUCUAUGCUCGGCUUUCUCAUGAUGAUCGCACCAUGCUUGACACUUCUUGUACCGGUUCUUUUAUGAAGAGAGAUAUUGACUUCAAAUGGAAUUUGUUGGAAAGAAUUAAACGCAACUCUAAAGAUUGGGAGUUUGAUUAUGGUAAGGAGUCAUGUAUGAAUUUCAAGUUUGAUUGCGUUAAACCCUUUGUCGAAACAAAUACUUUUUGUGAUUUUAGCGCUAAAUAUGGACUUGACUCUGAGAUAGUAGCUUCAUUGUGUUAAUCCUUUGCUGCUCAUAUUGAUCUCCCUAAAGAGAAGUGGUUUAAAUAUCAUCCUCACUUAGAAGUCAAUGUAGUUAAACCCAAUCCAGUUGAAGAUAAAGUCAUCGCUUAUAAUGAUCCUAUUGUUCCCAGUGCUUACAUUGAGAAACCACCUUUCCCUGUUAGGAUAAAGGUUCAUUCUAAAGUUUCAACUGCGAUACGUAGGGGCUACAUUAGAACACCUACACCCCCUGAGCAAAUUAGAAUUGAACCUAGCAUUGCUAUUAUCAAAGAUCUCCUAUCCGACAAUGUUGAUGGCCAUGAUAUUCACUUCUGUGAAGAUGCUGCUAGAAUUGCUAAAUCACAUGCUAGAGAAAAACAUAGGCCUGUUAUUGGCACGCCUGUUGUUUCUGUUAAGAUAGGAGAUCAUUGUUAUCAUGGUUUAUGUGACGUCGGUGCUAGUGUUAGUGCAGUACCUCAAUCCUUAUAUGAUGAAAUUAAAGACGAGAUUGCACCUGUGGAGAUGGAACCUAUUGAUGUCAAUAUUCAGCUUGCCAAUAGAGAUACUAUCUGCCCUUUGGGAAUUGUUAGAGAUGUUGAAGUCUUGUGUGGUAAAACGAAGUAUCCUGCUGAUUUUCUCGUUCUUGCUACCACACAAGAUAGAUUUUGUCCCAUCAUAUUUGGCAGACCCUUCCUCAAUACCGUCAAUGCUCAUAUUGACUAUGAGAAGCAAACUGUCACUGUUGGCUUUGAAGGUGUGUCACAUGAGUUCAAUUUCUCCAAGUUUGGUAGACAACCUCAUGAAAAAGAGUUGCCUAGUAAGGAUGAAAUUAUUGCCCUAGCUUCUAUUGUCAUGCCUCAUACUGAUCCUUUAGAGCAAUACUUGCUUGAGCAUGAAAAUGAUAUGCAUAUGGAUGAAAGGGAUGAGAUAGAUAGAGUUAUCUUUGAACAAUAUCCUAUCCUUAAGAAUAAUUUGCCUGUUGAACUGCUUGGAGAUCCACCCCCACCAAAGGGUGAUCCUGUGUUCGAGCUCAAACAGUUGUGUGAUACUCUUAAGUAUGCUUAUCUUGAUGAAAAAGAGAUAUAUCCUGUUAUAAUUAGUGCUAGCCUCUCAGAGCAUGAAGAAAAGAAGUUACUAAAAACUCUGAGGAAGCACCGUGCUGCUAUUGGAUAUACUCUUGAUGAUCUUAAGGGCAUUAGUCCCACUCUAUGCCAGCACAAGAUUAAAACCGAUCCUGAUUCCAAACCAGUUGCCGAUCAUCAACGGAGAUUAAAUCCUAAGAUGAAAGAGGUAGUAAGAAAAGAAGUACUAAAGCUCCUAGAAGCAGGUAUUAUCUAUCAUGUUGCUCAUAGUGAUUGGGUGAGUCCGGUGCAUUGCGUCCCUAAGAAGGGAGGUAUUACCGUUGUCCCUAAUGAUAAAGAUGAAUUGAUCCCACAGAGGAUUAUUACUGGCUAUAGGAUGGUGAUUGAUUUUAGGAAAUUGAAUAAAGCCACUAGGAAAGAUCAUUACCCUUUGCCUUUUAUCGACCAAAUGCUAGAAAGACUAUCUAAACACACACACUUCUGCUUUCUAGAUGGUUAUUCUGGUUUCUCCCAAAUACCCGUUGCACAAUCUGAUCAGGAGAAAACCACUUUCACCUGCCCUUUUGGUACCUUUGCUUACAGACGUAUGCCUUUUGGCUUAUGUAAUGCACCUGCUACCUUUCAAAGAUGUAUGAUGGCUAUAUUCUCUGACUUUUGUGAAAAGAUUGUUGAGGUUUUCAUGGAUGACUUUUCCGUUUACGGGUUUUCUUUUGAUGAUUGCCUCAGCAACCUUGAUCGAGUUUUGCAGAGAUGUAAAGACACCAACCUUGUCUUGAAUUGGGAGAAGUGCCACUUUAUGGUUAAUGAAGGCAUUGUUUUAGGACAUAAAAUUUCUGAAAGAGGUAUUGAAGUCGAUAAGGCUAAGGUUGAUGCGAUCAAAAAAUGCCUUGCCCUACAGAUAUCAAAGGUAUAAGAAGUUUCCUUGGUCAUGCUGGUUUCUGUAGAAGGUUCAUUAAUGUCACAGCCCUAGCUUUCAUUUGUUUGCCAAGCAUUCAUGCAUGCAUUAUAAAAACUUUGAUGUUUAAAUAGGAAGUGAUCAAAGCCCCAAAUGUUUUGAUCAAUUGACAAGAAGGCAAUAAAAUUUAAUACCUUAAAUGGAACCAGAAAAAUGUUCCAAAAACUUGGCAAAAUAGUGACAUAAGGUAAAAUUGUCAAACCAAAAUUCUAGGUCACAGGAACUUUUUAAAAAGGAUUUUUGAGUUGACUAAAUAGCUAUUUGGAAUGGAAUUAUUUUGGUUCCUUCUAUUUUAAAGUUUCAAAAAUGUUGAAACUUUUAUGUGGCAUUGGACAUUAUUGUCUCUGUCACCUAAUAACAUUUUUUGGGUUUUAUAUUUGGUCAAACUAUUUAUUUUAAAUCCUAAAAGUAAAUGCCAGAAAGAAAUAAAAGAGAAAUGAAAAAAAAACAGAAAAACUUACCUGUCGCCACCCUCCUGGCCUAGCCCACCAGAGGGGGAUCUCCCUGUCGUCUUCCUCCUCGUGCCAGAAGGCAGAGGAGAAGGAAGGCACGACGCCCUCGCCACCUCCUGCUCGCGUGGAGUUCCCUCCUGCCUCCACCGCGCCAGCGCACGAGCCCGCUCCUUCCCUUAUCCUCUCCACCCCCUGCUCUCUAUCUCUCCUCUCUUUUCUGUCUCGAGGUCUUCUCGCCGCCAUUGCCGCCCGCCCGAGCUCGUCGCUAGCUCCACCCCGGCCACCCCUCGCCUCCCUGAAGAGCUCCACUCCUCCGCCUCGACGAGCUGCAUCCCUCCAUCAUCUCCUCCGAGCACCCGAGCCCCCGUAGCGUCGCCAUCGUCGCCGUUCUUCCUCCGGCCAGUGGAUCUUGCCGCCGUCGAAUCGCCGGCCAGAGAGCCCCUCCAACCUCGCCGACGCCAUAAAUGGAGCCCCCGUGAGCCGCUGAUUCUUUCCCCUCUCCUCCCAUGCUCUGCCGUGCCCCGUAGGUCAUUUCCCCACCGUGGCCGAACUCCGGCGACCGCCCCGCUCGUCGUCGGCACCUCUCCUGGCCACCCUAGCCCCAGUCGAUGCUCCCGUUAGAUCGGGCGCAUCGCCAGCAUCCCGCAGCCGUCAACCUCGUUUGUUUUGGACCUCGGUAGCACAAGAUAGCACAACUCCGGCGAGCCCUCCACCGCGGCUCAGUCGCCGGCGACCUCUCUACGGUAGCCGUCGACGUGGCCAACCCUUAGCGCUAACUAAUCCUCCCCGAGUCGCUGCCACAGGGCCCCACGCCUGGUCAAACCUCAAUUAGGGGCUGGUCAGCGCGGGGUUAGCCUCUAGGUCACUGACUAGUGGACCCCACUGGUCAGGUUGACCUGGACCCGGCUGGUUGACCUGCUGACGCAGGGAUGACAUCAGCCUGACGCAGUAAUAGUUUCUGAUUUAAUUUAAUUCCAGAAAAUUGCUGAAACUUGUAAAAAUCAUAGAAAUUAAAAUAUAACUCUGAUGGAAAUAAUUUAUAUAUGAAAAAGUAUCAGAAAAAUGCAAGGAAUCCAUUGGUGGCAUUUAUACACAUGUUUGUACAUCUUAACCUUGCUGAAUAUGACAAAUUCACAAUAGGCUUAUAAAUGAUAUAAUUGGAUUUUGAAAAUGACUUAAUAGAUCAAAUAAACUUCUUUCAACCUAUGAUCACUUGCAUUAGAUGAAAUCAGCAUCAUGAUAACUUGACAAGCUCAUGCAUCAUUGUGAAGCAUUUGUCGUGAUUAAUUUCUUUCGUUUGAUCUGUCAAUAGACCUUGCGAGAUGUAGUUAUCACCGGCAUCGAAGAAUAGCUGAGUUCUUUCGGUCAACAGGCAAGCAAAACCCCUUUGAACAUUCCGACAAAAUCCUAUUCUCUCGCUCCUGCUCUCAUUUCUAUGCAUUAGGACAAAAUGAUUCAAUUGAUAGUUGUAUUAUGAUAGCUGCACCUAUUCCUUUGCAUGACCUGAUUUUGAUCACAGUAAAUAGCUAAACCAAUGCAACCUAGCAUACCUGGUAGAUGCUUGAGCCAUAUGUGCUUUACCCUGUUACGCUUGCUAUGCUUAGGUUGAGUUUGGUCCGAGCAUCAGAAUGAUGUAAUGGAAUGAUCAUGUCCUAUUGAUGAGAGUUAAAGAUGUGAAACUGUUCUGGUAAAGGUAGCGAUGAGAGGCCAUGUAGGAGUACAUGGUGGGUUGUCUCAUUACCGCCGCAUUUAGGACCCGAGAUCUUGUGUUGGUGUUCCAAGACUAGCUACUAUCGCACAUUGGGUUCCGGUAACUCGACCCCUCUCGGCCUAUUAACUACUCUGUUCUCAGUCCAGAAGUCGCAGUAGUUCGAAAUGUUCAUAGGUUGUGGCACGGCCUGCUAAGUGGAUGAACGGCCCAGUCGGGACCGACUUGGGGCCCUUCUCACAUCGUCUGAGGCCAUGUUGGAAACCUCGGCCGGACUUCCAUUAUGGGUUCCAACUCAGAUAGGCGACUGUCUUGGGCGUGAGUCUUAGUAGGUUAACGUCCGUGGCCAACUCCCUCGCUGGGCUUCCGCUUGAAGGUUGCCGAGGUGCUGGUUUUUAUGUGCACUUGGCGAUAAGUGGCGGAAGCAUGUGUGACGAAGUACACCCCUGCAGGGUAUCUAUCUAUUCGAAUAGCCGCGUCCUCGGUUAUGGACUGCUUGGAUACUUACAUGGUUCAUAGAUAACUUUAAUGGUUACUCUAAAAUGGUCCAGAUAAGUGUGAGUGCUAUGGAUGGCUUUCUCGUAGGAUGACGAGAGAGGAUUCAUGGUGGUGUAUUGAUGUGGUGGUUAUGUGGACUCGUGUGCGCUCUCUCGUAAGGAGACGAGAGAGAUAAUAAAACUUUGUUGUAGAAUAGGUUAGCCAAAGGUCAAAGCUGGCUUCUCUGCAAUAAACCCCACAAAUUCCGUUCAUUGAUACUUGAUGCAUAUGUAGUUAGCACUGAUGUAAGACUUGCUGAGUACCUUCGUACUCACUGUUGCUUAUUCACAUUUUUUGCAGAAUAGACGCUGCUCUCUCUACGUUAUCUCUUGACGUUAACAUCGAUGGUUUAGUUUGGGAACCCAGACAGUGAUCUGGCUCCUAUGGUAGGGUCGUUGUAGCUUUUAGGCUCUUCCAACCGCUUUUAGUAGAUGUCUGUACCCAGACAUGUAACUUUCGCUUGAUGCUUGUAUGCUCUAAAUGUUGGGUCAUGUGACCCCUUUAAUUUGUAACAUUAAACUAUGUUGGCUCUUCGGAGUCUAUUAAAUAAAUGAUGUGUUGUAGAGUUAUGUUGUGAUGCCAUGUUGUAUCUACACAUAUCGUGCAUAUUGUGUAUAUGUUUGCAAUGCAUUGGUAUGUGUGGGAUUCGACACCUAGUUGUGUGCCUUAAGUAGUACUCCAUACCGGGAAAUGCCUCUUUGUGCUUCCACCGAGCCUUGGUAGCUUGCUACUGCUCCGGACACAUUGAUUGACCGGCAUGUAUCCUUCUUGGUUGCUGUGUCUGUCCCCACGAGGAAAUGUCACGCGUUGUAAUGGAGUCCCUGUAGCUUGCUACGACUCGUCUACACUCGCUGAUGACCGACACCUGCCUUGCUGGGUUAUGUAUGCAUGUCCCUGUACGGAUGUGCCACUUGGGUUCAUAACUAGCCAUGUCGACCCAGGUUCUUUGACAUAUGAUUGCUGGCAACAUAGUCAUAUACGUGAGCCAAAAGACGCAAACGGUCCCGGCCAAGGUAAGGUGGCAACCGGGGUGAUUACCGUGCGUGAGGCCACAAAGUGAUAUGAUGUGUACAUGCUGGAGUUGUAUGGCUUAGGAUCGGGGUCCCGACAGCGUUGGUAUCAGAGCCUGACUGCCUGUAGGAUUACCAAGCCAGAAUGGUCGAUGUUGAGUCUAGAAAAUCUAUAGUUAUAUAAGGGAAUUGAUUGUGGAAGGGAACGUAAGGCUCUUUUUACUCUUUCCUCAAGUCACUCUAUUCUGAGUCACCUUUUCUUUUCUACGGGGAUUAAGGACUAGGUUUUCUUAUCUGUCUACUAGGAGGACGAGUUACUGAACCAUGGACUUAUAGGAUGGUUUUUGUGUGUCAUUCCUGCUUUCAACAGAUUUGUGAGAAGAGAUGCCUUUGUUCUUGCUGCACCUCGAAUCCAUAAUGUUGAGUAGUUAUGUUGCCCAGAUCUCUUGAAGGAUGCCUCAUAUUUCAUGCCUAUACAGCCGUUAUGCUGUCCGAUUUUCUCUGGGAUUGUGGUAUUUAGUGUUCUUUGUCUCUGAACCCUGGAUUGUCUCAACAGGAUGUCGCGAGUAACACGGAGUUCUGCUGGCCGUGAUCAGAACCAUGGAGAUGGUAGGGAUGGAGAAGAUUCUCUUAAUCCGCCUUUGUUGACAGAGGUUAUGCUAGAAAUUGAGAGGAAUAAGCAUGCCACCAACCGUCUGUUGGAGCACAUAGAGCGGAAUACAUCCUAUCCGUGCAAUGAGCUAGUAUCCAUCAGAGACUUCAUCAAAUUGAACCCACCCACCUUCCAUCAUUCCAUUGAGCCACUAGAUGCAGAUGAUUGGCUCCGAAGUAUCAAUAACAAGCUGCGUUAUGCAAACGUGGCUGAAGGAGACAAGGUUACCUAUGCCACGUAUCACCUCGAAGGUUCUGCUAGUCUAUGAUGGGAGAGCUUUGAGGUUAUGCGUCCUUCAGGCCAAGUUACUUCAUGGAAGGAGUUCUGUGAAGCUUUUCAUGAACAUCAUAUUCCGCAGGCCCUGAUAGAUCGUAAGCAAGAAGAGUUUUGCAGUUUGACUCAAGACAAGUUGGAUGUAAAUGCUUAUAGUCGUGAGUUUGGACGCCUUGCGCGUUAUGCACCAGAAAAGGUAUCCACGGAUGCCAAGAAGCAAGCUAGGUUCAGGAAAGGUCUUAACCCAAAGCUUCGUCAUGAUCUCAGUUUGCAUGAGUUCAUCAGUUUUGAGGUCCUUGUGAACAAAGCCAUCCAAGCAGAAACAAGCAGAAUGACCUACGAGGAAUCUUGCAAGCACAACCGUGAUGUUGGAUCAUCUUCAACUUCUAUAUCCCAGAAGCCUAGGAUAUGGAUCCCGAAUGAUGUUAUCACUCCAAGAUAUGUACCAAGGCCAACCUAUGUGGCGCCUCGUCUACCGAUGCCAAGUGUUCCCCGGGAUAAUCUCAUCAAUCAAGCGUUCAACCCAGACCCCCGUCCUAUUUUUGGAUCGUGCUUCAAGUGUAGCAAUCCAGGACACUAUUCAAGGGAUUGUCCUCUGCGUGGUUUUGUUCCACCUCCUUCAGGAAUGGGUGUUGUUCGUUGCAAGUCACCAACCAAGAAGUUCAAGGAAAGGUCAGUUGCUCUAACUCGUGUAUGUGUGCACCAUGUAUAUGCAGGAGAAGCUCAAGAUGAUGAUGAUGUCGUGCUUAAGACGCUCCUUGUUAAUUCCCAUCCAGCUUCAGUUCUUUUUGACUCUGGAGCAUCUCAUUCCUUCAUCUCCGAACGUUAUGCCUCCUUGCAUAACAUUGCUUUCAUAGAUAUGCCCACCCCAUUAGUAAUUCAGGCUCCAGGUUCCAAAUGGCAAACUAAUGCAGUAAGUCAUGGGAACCAAAUCCUUAUUGAUGGUCUAGUAUUCCUUGCUUCUUUGAUACCUCUCAAGACUUCAGACAUCAAUAUCAUUUUGGGUAUGGACUGGUUGACAGCUCAUCAUGCCAAAAUUGAUUGUUUCUCUAGAUCUGUUCAGCUCACCCAUACCUCUGGCGAGUUAGUAAAUGUCUCAUCUGGGGUUACAAAACGCCAGAUAUAUGCCCUCAAUGCUAAUCCUCUUCCAGACCUUGAAAACAUCCCAGUAGUCCGUGAUUUUCCGAAUGUCUUUCCAGAGGAACUGCCAGGUGUCCCACCUGACAGAGAAGUAGAGUUUGUCAUAGAACUUGUCCCAGGAACUGCUCCAAUUGCUAGAAGACCCUAUAAGAUGUCUCCUCAAGAAUUAGCUGAGCUUAAAACCCAACUUGAUGAAUCCUUGAAGAAAGGUUUCAUCCGUCCUAGAUCUUCCCCUUGGGCUUGCCCUGUCCUCUUCGUCAAGAAGGAGGAUGGUACGGAACGGAUGGUUGUAGAUUACCGACCAGUUAAUCUGGUCACGAUAAAGAACAAAUAUCCGCUCCCCAGGAUCAAUGAUCUGUAUGAUCAGCUCGCUGGAUCUGCAGUCUUUUCAAAGAUGGAUUUGAGAUUAGGUUAUCAUCAAAUCAAAAUUAGGAACGGGUACAUUCCUAAGACGACCUUUGUCACUCGUUAUGGCCAAUACGAGUACACCGUCAUGUCCUUCGGUCUAACCAAUGCCCCAGCCACUUUCUCCCGCUUAAUGAAUUCGAUCUUCAUGGAGUACUUGGAUAAAUUCGUCGUGGUUUACCUCGAUGAUAUUCUGAUUUACUCGAAGAACGAAGAAGAACAUGCUGAGCAUCUUAGGCUGGUAUUGAUGAAACUUCGAGAGCACCGCCUUUACGCCAAAUUCUCCAAGUGUGAAUUCUGGUUACCAAAAGUGACCUAUCUAGGUCACAUAAUCUCAGCAAAAGGUAUUGCUGUCAAUCCCGAGAGAGUUCAGGCCGUUCUUGAUUGGACUCCACCUGAAUCGGUGAAGCAAGUUAGGAGUUUUCUUGGCUUAGCAAGCUAUUGCCGCCGCUUCGUCGAGAAUUUCUCCAAAAUUGCCAAACCUCUAACUGAACUUCUCAAGAAAGAUAAGAAGUUCGAAUGGACCCCACGGUGCCAGGAAAGUUUUCACGAGUUGAAAAGACGACUGACUACUGCCUCGGUACUUGUGCCCCCAGAUUUCUCAAAGGACUUUAUUAUCUACUGUGAUGCCUCGCGACAAGGACUUGGAUGCAUUCUUAUGCAAGAUCGUCAUGUGAUUGCAUACACAUCUCGACAGUUGCGUCCACAUGAGGAGAAUUAUCCAACACAUGAUCUGGAACUUGCCGCUGUAAUCUAUGCACUGUUAACCUGGCGACAUUACCUCCUGGGUAAUCGUUGCGAAAUAUACACCGAUCACCAGAGUCUCAAGUAUAUAUUCACCCAACCGGAUUUGAAUCUCAGGCAAAGACGGUGGGUUGAGUUGAUUACGGAUUACGAUUUAGGAAUAUCUUACACCCGAGGCAAAGCCAAUGUCAUGGCUGAUGCACUAAGUCGUAAAUCCUAUUGUAACAACCUCAUGUUGCUACAAAAUCAACCACUUCUCCAUGAGGAAUUUCGUAAGCUUAAUCUUCACCUUGUUCCUCAAGGAUUCCUUUCUACCUUGGUGUCGAAACCGACUCUUGAGGAUCAGAUCAUAGCAGCCCAGAAACAUGAUACGGGAAUUUCCCGGAUCAAGAGCAACAUCGCCAAAGGAGUUGCUGGUCGUUUCUUGGUAAAUGAUAAAGGUGUUGUAUUCUUUGAUAAUCAUUUGGUGGUUCCUAAGAAGCAACAACUUCGUGAUUUGAUUCUUAAGGAAGCUCAUGAAUCGCCUCUCACGAUUCAUCCCGGUAGCACUAAAAUGUAUCAGGACCUACGCCAGAGGUUCUGGUGGACCCGGAUGAAGAGAGAAAUCGCUCAAUUCAUUGCGAACUGUGACGUUUGUCGUCGCGUUAAAGGCAAAGCAUCAAAGGCCUGCUGGCACCCUUCAACCCAUGGCUAUUCCCGAGUGGAAGUGGGACAAGGUUACUAUGGAUUUUAUCACUGGUUUUCCAAAGACCAAGAAAGGGAAUGAUGCCAUCUUUGUCGUCAUUGAUCGCCUUUCGAAAGUUGCUCACUUCCUUCCAGUCCGAGAAAGUAUAACUGCUAGCCAGCUAGCAGACCUAUAUAUUUCUCGAAUAGUUUCUCUUUAUGGUGUUCCUCUAGAAAUCAAUUCAGAUCGUGGAAGUCUUGGGCAAUCCCCUUGGCUUUUGCAAGCUUGGGGGAGUUUCCCUGGUAUCGUAUCACCUUUAUAUCUUUUGCUUUUACCUUUGUUUUAGUUCUUUAUUUUUCAGUUUUACUUUCUUCUCUUAGUGGGAUAAGUAUUUAGUGUUUAGUUUGAGUCUUUUGCCUUGUGUCUUCCCUGAUGUAUUCGAGCUUGCGAGCUAUAUAAUAAAGAGUAUCUUAGUCAAGGGCUUUGUUUUUUGGUGUGAUCAAAAGUAUGAAAAGAACGAUAGCAUGAAAGAUCAUGAGACGAUCUUAUGGAAAGUGAUAGCUUCACAUAUAACAAGUAUGAUGAUUGAAACUUGUUGAGAAUAGACCAACAUAGACCCGAGUCAUUAUUGCAAUUAAUAAGAAGUAAUAAGGAAAGCGAGGUUCACAUAUAAAUAUAUCAUCUUAGACACUUUUUACAAUUGUGAGCACUCACCAAACUAUUACAUGCUUAGAAGUAGAUGUUGGACAAGGAAGACAACAUAAUGAAUUGUGUUUGCUUGAUUCCAAACAAUGUUAUAUGAUUAGAGAUCCCUUAGCAUGUGACGAUUGCUUCCACCUCAUAGUAGCCAAAACUCCCGCACCAAGUAGAGAUACUACUUGUGCAUCCAUAAACCUUCAACCAGUCUUGCCAUGAGUGUCCACCAUACCUACCUAUGGAUUGAAUAAGAUCCCUCAAGUAAGUUGUCAUCGGUGCAAGCAAUAAAAAUUGCUCUCUAAUAUGUAUGAUCUAUCAGUGUGUGGAAAAUAAGCUUUAUACGAACCUGUGAUGAGGAAGACAUAAAAGCGACAAACUGCAUAAUAAAGUUCUUUAUCACAGGAGGCAAUAUAAAGUGACGUUCCUCCGCAGUAAGAGGACACGCAUCCAUACCUCAAAAGCGCAUGACAACCUCUGCUUCCGUCUGUGAAUGGCCUAUCUUGUACCUUUACUUUUGUCCUUGUGAAAGUCAUGGUGAUCAACACCAAUUCCCUAUUCUGUCUUCAUCUUGGUGAAUGUCAUAUGCUAGGGAAAGAUCUAUAUUCAUAUAUCAACUUGGAGAUGAGUACUUAUGCUUUGUUAUUGUUGACUUUACCCUUGAGGUAAAUGGUUGGGAGGCAAAAUUAUAAGCCCCUAUCUUUCUCUGUGUCCAACUGAAACUUUGAUACCAUGAGUACCACGUGAGUUGUAAUAAUUGUGGAAAACAAAAGAGAUGAUUGAGUAUGUGUAUUUGCUUUACAAGCUCUUAUUUGACUCUUUCUGAUGUUACGAUAAAUUGCAAUUGCUUCAAUGACUAUGGACUGUUGUUGGCUACUUCUCGGUAAUAUUUUUGAUUCAUACUUUGCUUUGUGAAGGAAUUGUUACUUUCCCAUAAGAAUAUUUAUGAUGUAUUGCUGUUCUAUGUGUGAUCAUGAUGCCCUCAUGUCCGUAUUAUGUUUUAUCGACACCUUCAUCCCUAAACAUGUGGACAUGUUUAUGGAUCUUCGUUUUCGCUUGAGGACAAGCAAGGUCUAAGCUUGGGGGAGAUGAUACGUCCAUUUUGCAUCAUGCUUUCAUGUUGAUAUUUAUCGCUUUAUGGACUGUUAUUAUACUUUGUGGUACCAUACUUAUGACUUUUCUCUCUUAUUUUGCAAGGUUUAUUUGAAGAGGGAGAAUACCGACAGCUGGAAUUCUAGACUAGAAAAGGAGCAAGUAUGAGUCCUCUAUUCUGGGCAACUCCAAAUGCCAUGAAAAUCAACGUGGAAUUUUUUGGGAAUAUAUAAAAAAUACUAGGCGAAAGAAGUGCCAGAGGGGAGCUGCCAAGGGCCCACAAGCCUGGUGGCUGCGGCCUGCCCCCUGGCCGUGGCAAAAGGGCUUGUGGGCACCCUGGUGGCCCACUGGCCCCCCUCUUAUGCUAUAUGAAGGGUUUCGUUCGGAAAAAAUCAGGGCGGAGCUUUUUCGUGGAUUCUCCGCCGCCACGAGGCGGAACUUGAGCAGAACCAAUCUAGAGCUUUCUGCAGGACGAUCCUGCCGGGGAAACUUCCCUCCCGGAGGGGGAAAUCAUCACCAUCGUCAUCACCAACACUCCUCUCAUCGGAGGGGACUCGUCUCCAUCAACAUCUUCAUCAGCACCAUCUCAUCUCCAAACCCUAGUUCAUCACUUGUAACCAAUCUCCGUCUCGCAACUCCGAUUGGUACUUGUAAGGUUGCUAGUAGUGUUGAUUACUCUUUGUAGUUGAUGCUAGUUGGAUUACUUGGUGGAAGAGUUUAUGUUCAGAUCCUUGAUGCUACUCAUUACACCUCUGAUCAUGAUUAUGAUUAUGCUUUGUGAGUAGUUACUUUUGUUCCUGAGGACAUGGGAUAAGUCAUGCUAAUAAUAAUCAUGUGAAUUUGGUAUUCGUUCGGUAUUUUGAUAUGUUGUAUGUUGUUUUUCCUCUAGUGGUGUUAUGUGACCGUCGACUACAUAACACUUCACCAUUAUUUGGGCCUAGAGGAAGGCAUUGGGGAGUAGUAAGUAGAUGAUGGGUUGCUAGAGUGACAGAAGCUUAAACCCCAGUCUAUGUGUUGCUUCGUAAGGGGAUGAUUUGGAUCCACUAGUUUAAUGCUAUGGUUAGACGUUGUCUUAAUUAUUCUUUCAUAGUUGCGGAUGCUUGCGAGAGGGGUUAAUCAUAAGUGGGAUGCUUGUCCAAGUAAGGGAAGUACCCAAGCGCCGGUCCACCCACAUAUCAAACUAUCAAAGUAACGAACGAGAAUCAUAUGAACAUGAUGAAAGUAGCAUGACAGAAUUCCCGUGUGUCCUCGGGAGCGUUUUUCCUCCUAUUAGACUUUUUUCAGGCUUGUCCCUUGCUACAAAAGGGAUUGGGCCACUUUGCUGCACCAUUGCACUACUUGUUACUUGUUACUUUUCACCUGCUACGUUUCACCUCACUACACCAUCACUUGUUACCGCUACUUUCAGUGCUUGCAGUUAUUACCUUGCUGAAAACCGUUUAUCAGAGCCUUCUACUCCUCGUUGGGUUCGACACUCUUACUUAUCAAAAGGACUACGAUUGAUCCCCUAUACUUGUGGGUCAUCAGUACUUAAAGCUCAGAAUGACUUGCUCAAUGAGUUGAAUGACAACUCUGUCAGAGUCGUCACUAGAGGCGGUAGAAUGACCCAGGAACCUUUGUAUCCUGAGGGUCAUCCUAAGAGAAUUGAACAGGAUUCUCAAGGAGUUAGCACUGAUGUACCUAGUCAUGCUAGGAAGAAGAAGAAAGAUGAUAGGAAAUUGCACGCUAGCAACCCUAUUGCUGUUACACCCGAGAAUCCAAACGAUGUCUCGGUCUCUGAUGCUGAAACACAAUCUGGUGAUGAACAUGAGCCUAAUGAUAAUAUCAAUAGUGAUGUUCAUGUUGAUGCUCAACCUAGCAAUGAUAAGGAUGUGGAGAUUGAACCUGUUGAUCUUGAUAACCCACAACCUAAGACUAGGAGAUACGAUAAGAACGACUUUGCUGCUAGGAAGCAUGGUAAAGAAAGGGAACCAUGGGUUCAGAAAUCCAUGCCCUUUCCUCCCAAACCAUCCAAGAAAAAGGAUGAUGAGGAUUUUGAGCGCUUUGUUGAAAUGAUUAGACUUGUCUUUCUGCAAAUGCGUUUGAUAGAUAUGCUCAAAAUGUCUCCGUAUGCUAAGUACAUGAAAGAUAUUGUGACUAAUAAGAGGAGGAUACCUGAGGUUGAGAUUUCCACCAUGCUUGCUAAUUAUACCUUCAAGGGUGGAACUCUUAAGAAACUAGGUGAUCCCGGAGUGCCCACUAUACCUUGCUCCAUUAAAGGCAACUACGUUAGAACUGCUUUAUGCGACCUUGGAGCCGGUGUUAGUGUUAUGCCUCUUUCUCUUUAUCGUAGACUUGAACUAGAUAAGUUGAGACCCACUGAAUCUCUGUGCAAAUGUCCGACAAAUCAACUGCUUUCCCUAUCGGCAUUUGCGAGGAUGUGCCUGUUGUGGUUGCGAGUGUUACUAUCUUAACGGACUUUGUUAUUCUGGAUAUUCCCAAGGAUGAUGCCAUGGAGGUCAUCCUUGGAAGACCCUUUUUAAACACUACAGGGGCUGUUAUAGAUUGCAACAAAGGCAAUGUCACUUUCCAUGUCAACGGUAAUGAGCAUACGAUGCACUUCCCGAAGAAACAAUAUCGAGUACAUUGCAUCAAUGCUAUCGAAAAAACUUCAUCGAUUCUUAUUGGGAGCUUUGAAUGCCCUAUACCUCCUGUCAAGAUGAAGUAUGAUUUUCUUGUUGGGGAAAUUCACAUCCCCAUUGAGGUAACCUAGUGAUUAUUCGAAAAUUCUCCGUUUCCUUUUACGAUUCGAAAAAGUUUGUCAAGGAGACUUGAUCAACCUCAUUGACGGAUUUCUUUCGAUGACCAUGAGAUAGAUGAACCGAGGAGUCACAAACAUGUGUUCCAAGCUUUCACCUUCGGUUGCUUAGAAGAAAAAUGAUAUAUUUUGUUUAGUUUUCCCCGUUUUCUACUUUUAGCGCCCCGUAGAAAAGUACCCCAAAAAUAAAAGUUCUCCGAAUGCCGUGAAAAUCAAGUAUGAUUUUUUCUGGAAUUUUUGAAAAAUACUGAGACGAAGAGCUAGUCUGGGGGCUGCACCAGUGGGCCACAAGCCCUGGAGUCGCGGGCACCCCCUGGCCGCGCCACCCAGGCUUGUGGGGCCCACGUGCACCCCCUCCACUCAUUCUAGCUCCCUUCUGCUUCUCCUACCUCCAGAAAAAAUCGUUUCGCAGAUCAAACCCGUGUUCUUGCUCUUCUUGCUCGGAUUUUCGAUCUCCUUGUGCGAAGCACCAUUCACCAAACUGUUUUGGGGAAAUUGCUCCUUGGUAAGUGACUCCUCCAUUGGUCCAAUUAGUUUUUGCUCUAGUGCCUUAUACUUCGCGUAUUUUUCCUGCCUUGGUGACCCUGUUCUUGAGCUUUGCAUGCUAAUUUUAGCUGGUCCCAAGUAGUUUUGAUGCGUAAUAUGGCCUCUAGGCACUUGUGGGAGUAGUUGCUAUGAGUUUCGUUGGGCCUUGUUCACUUUCCCUUAGAAUCACUAAAAAUUUGGGAAAUUUUCAGAGGUAGAAAAGGGAAAAGAUGUGGAGAUUCUUAAGAGGCUCUUCAAGCCGUGACCCCAAGGAUGAUGGAAGUGAGAAGAAGAAACGCAAGUAUCCGGUCCCUCGAGUUGCAGAAGUUUGAGCGUGCGAGUGGCCAAGCGAUGUGUUCUUACGCGCCGCCGGACUUUAUGAGGACUUUUACUACUUGGUGGAGAAUGCAGGCGUUACCUCCUUCGUUGAAGAUAAGUGUCCGCAAUACCUCCUCCUCACUAAUAUCUUCGUGCAAAGCUUUGACUUCUAUCCAAGGAAGAAUCUUCCUAUGGUUGAGUUCAAAUUAUAUGAUAUCCCCCCAGCGCAUGUCACUUCAGGAUUUUUGCAAUGUUUGCAAAUUACCUUAUGUUGGGGAUAUUCAUGAACCUCGUCCACGGGACUUGGAGGCUUUCAUAGAUACUAUUGCAGUAGGAGAGGAGAGAGGAGUGUCUUGCGCUAGAGCUGUUAGCAUACAUUUUCCAAUGCUUCGAUACUUCUCAUUAUUUGUGGGAAAAUGUUCGAUUGGCCGUGGGAAAGCUGGGUCCCUUAGCUCCCUAGAUCUUGCGGUCUUGAGCGAAGCCCUUUAUAAUGAUAAAACUUAUAGCUUAGGCGCUAUAGUAGCUCAACGGUUGAACACGAACCGUUCUAAAGGCGUUGUCUAUGGAGGUAUCUAUGCUACUCGUCUUGCUAGACAUUUUGAGAUACCUAUUAGACUGGACGAGGAAGAAGAGAUUCUUCUUCCCGAGAGAUAUCUAGAUUACGAUAGCAUGGUUUGCCAUGACUUUCUUGAUAGAGAUAUAAAUAGAAGGAUGAUUUAUAACCUGGUAUUUAGUCAGGGUACUCGUGAGACUAUUACUUUGCCUGCUCCUUCUUUGUUCAAUCUUCAUACAUGCAGGUACAUUAUUAUGCCCUCGGACAUCUACGCAUAUUGGGGCAUAGCCCAACCACAUGUACCCGUGCCUGAGCCACCAGUCGAGUAUCAGACGCCAGUUUAUCAGUGGGAGCCAGAGGAGCUCACACAACAGUGGCAUCCUCAGUCCACUCUGGAGUACCCCGGAGCUGGUUAUUUCCCUCCUUGGGAGUAUACCAACUUAGGCCAAAAGCCUAAGCUUGGGGGAGUACAUGUUUCUCACCGACUUUAUAUUCUUGCUUAUGCUUUGACUUUGUUAGUCGGUGUUCACACUUUGCCAUUGUAUCAUCCAUACUAGAUUAUUUUCUUUUUUUCUCGUUUUCUUUUCGUGUGUUUGUCUAGUUUGAGGAAAACCCAAAAAUAUUUUCCGUUCUUCUUUUGCUUGUUUGGAGCUUUCCCGUGUAAAUAGUUUUGUUUUUCUUUGGGUCAAGGUAGAAGACCAUGGUUACAAUGUUUAGUGGCUCUCGCAUGCAUAUCUGUUUAUGUGUCAAAGAGCCAUAUUACUUUGUCUUCUCCUUUGUGUUUGCUUGUAGGUUCCAGCUUAGUCCAAUGCACGAGCACUCUUAUUAUUGUUCACAUCAUUCGUCCGUGCAAGUGAAAGGCAAUAAUGACGAUAUAUGAUGAAGUGAGUGAGCCUGGAAAAGCUGGUAUGAACUCGAUCUAUUUUGUUUUUGUAAAUAUGACUAGCUCAUUGUUCCUAGUUCAGCUUUGUUGUGAGAGAAACAUGUUUGCAAUGACAACUUAGAGAUCAUAGUUUCUGAUGCCAUGCUUAAUUAGCUAGGAGCUUAUAAUGGUUUGUCUUGGAUGCCGACAUGAAUUUUGAGAUAACUAUGAUGUAGUAUGAUAGGAUGGUAUCCUCCUUUGAAUGAUUCAAGCGGCUUGACUUGGCGCAUGUUUACGCAUGUAGUUGAAACAAAAUCAACAUAGCCUCUAUGAUAUUCAUGUUCAUGGUGAUUUAUGUCCUACUCAUGCUUGCACUCAAUGUUGGUUAAUCUCAAUGCAUUUUGAUGACUGUUGUCGCUCUCUAGCUGGUCGCUUCCCAGUCUUUUGCUAGCCUUCACUUGUACUAAGCGGGAAUACUGCUUGUGCAUCCACCUCCAUAAACCCAAAGUUGUUCCAUAUGAGUCCACCAUACCUACCUAUAUGCGGUAUCUACCUGCCGUUCCAAGUAAAUUUGCAUGUGCCACUCUCUAAAUCUUCAAGAAAUAAUUUGUUUUGCAUGCCUGAACCGCUCAUGUGGUGACAGGGGGCUAUGAGUAUCUUCCAUGCUAGGCGUGUUAUCCUCGAUAUGUGUUUAUUCACUAUCAUUCACGAGAAAGGGGCCGGUAAUUGGAAUGCCCAGUUCCAUUCUCAAAUCGAAAAGGUAAUUGCAAACAAAACUCCCCCUGGAUUGAUGUUGGUAUGGACGGCACCCGAGGAUUCGGCUAGUCGUGGAGUGUGAUUGAUCGGUGGUGGGGGAGUCAAAACUUUACUUUUCUGUUUGGGAACCGCCUAUAGCAUGUGUAGCGUGGAAGAUGGUGAGAACUCUUGGUCAUUGCGUUGACAAUGAAAGCAUGCCACCCCAAAUUAUUAUCUCUGUUUUAAAAGCUUGAGCUCUGCCACCUCUGCAAAUCAAUGCUUACCUUUGCGAAGGGCCUGUCUAUUUAUGUUCCUGUUGAGUCAUCCUCUUCUUAUAAAAGCACCAAUUAGAGAGCACCUCUGUCAUUUUUAUGCUUUGCUUUUAACUGUUAUUGAGUAUGACUAUGACUGGAUCUUCUUUGCCAUGAAUUACAAUGUUUAGUCAGCCCUUGGUCUUUGAAGGUGCUCUGCAUUUAUGUUUUGCGGUCUCAGAAAGAGCUAGCGAGAUACCAUCUGUUCGUACUGCUUCAUGAUUGUUUUGAUUGAAGUGUUGACAUUUGAGACUUAUAAUUAUUGCUCGCUAGUUGAUUAUGCCAUUGAUAUGAGUUUACCGUGAGACCUAGAUGUCAUUUGCUUAUGUGGUUAGCUUGUGAUCUUGCUAAAAUUCUGGAUAUAAGUUAGAUAUAGUUGCAACAACAAGAUCAAACAGAGUUCGUAAAAGUUUUUCUUUUGUCUCUUUCAGUUUGUCAACUGAAUUGCUUGAGGACAAGCAAGGUUUUAAGCUUAGGGGAGUUGAUACGUCUCCAUCGUGUCUACUUUUCCAAACUCUUUUGCCCUUGUUUUGGACUCUAAUUGGCAUGAUAUGAAUGGAACUAACCCGGACAAACGCUGUUUUCAGUAGAAUUGCCAUGGUGUUGUUUUUGCGCAGAAAUAAAAGUUCUCGGAAUGACGUGGAAAUUUACGGAGAAUUUUUGUGGAAUAUAUAAAAAUUACUGGCGCCAGAAUCAACGGAGGAAGUGGAGCGUGGAGCCCACAAGCCCACUAGGCGCGGGCCCCCUGGCCGCGCCUGGCAGGCUUGUGGGGCCCACGAUGCUCCACCGCCUCCAAUAUCAGGUCUAUUUAGUCCCUUUCGUUCGAAAAAAAUCAGGGAGAAGAGUUCAUCGCGUUUUACGAUACGGAGGCCCCACCACCUCAUGUUAUUCAUGUGGAGGGCAGAUCUGGAGUCCGUUCUGGGCUCCGGAGAGGGGAGAUUGUCGCCAUCGUCAUCAUCAACCUUCCUUCAUCGACAAUUCCAUGAUGCUCUUCACCGUUCGUGAGUAAUAUCAUCGUAGGCUUGCUGGACGGUGAUGGGUUGGAUGAGAUCUAUCAUGUGAUCGAGUUAGUUUUGACGGGGAUUGAUCCCUAGUAUCCACUAUGUUCUCAGAUUGAUGUUGCUACUACUUUGACAAUAGCCGAAACCACUCCCGGAGAUGACCAUAGUAUGAGGAGUUCAUGUAUUCACCAAGUGUUAAUGCGUUGCUCCGGUUCUUUAUUAAAAAGAGAACCUUAAUAUCCNUUCUUUUCCCUAAGCACGUAUGACUACAUACGGAAUACAUGCCUAGAUUACAUUGACGAACUGGAGCUAGUUACAUAUCUCUCCGUGUUAUAACUGUUGCAUGAUGAAUAACAUCCGGCAUAAUCAUCCAUCACCGAUCCAAUGCCUACGAGUUUUUCCUACUGGUCCUUGCUAUGCUACUUUGCUGCUACUGCUGUCACUNNNNNNNNNNNNNNNNNNNNNNNNNNNNNNNNNNNNNNNNNNNNNNNNNNNNNNNNNNNNNNNNNNNNNNNNNNNNNNNNNNNNNNNNNNNNNNNNNNNNNNNNNNNNNNNNNNNNNNNNNNNNNNNNNNNNNNNNNNNNNNNNNNNNNNNNNNNNNNNNNNNNNNNNNNNNNNNNNNNNNNNNNNNNNNNNNNNNNNNNNNUGCUGCUACUGGUUCUUUUGCUACUGCUGCUAUCAUUCUACCUUGCUACUGAUACUUUGUUGCGGACACUAAAUCUUUCACGUGUGGUUGAAUUGACAACUCAACUGCUAAUACUUGAGAAUAUUCUUUCGCUUCCCCUUGAGUCGAAUCAAUAAAUUUGGGUUGAAUACUCUACCCUCGAAAACUGUUGCGAUCCCCUAUACUGGUGGGUUAUCAAGACUAUUUUCUGGCGCCGUUGCUGGGGAAGCACAGCUAUAUUCUCUAAGUCACUUGGGAUUUACGUCUGCUGGUCACUAUGAGGAACUUGAAAGAUCCAAGAACUAAAGUCUUGCCCUCAACUACGAGGACAGGUACGGAAUUACCAUCUAGCUCUGCACUUGAUUCACCUUCAGUUAUGAGUAAGUUUGCGACACCACCUCCUGCUAGAAAUCUUGAUAUGUCGCCUGUGCUUGAUGAUGCUACUUCUGCUGCCCAUGAUGCUUAUGAUGAUGCUAUGGUUGAUACUGCUUUGCCACUAGGUGCAUUCCUUGAUGCACAAAUUGCUAGAGUUGCUGCUAGAUGUGAUGAUACUUCUAAAACUGCUGAUACUAUUGAAUUAGAACCUGCUAUUUUGCCUGCUAGAACUAGCUCUCCUAGAUAUGAAUUGCCUGAUAUGCGUGAGGGUUAUGUUAUGGAGGGAGAGAUAGCUGAGGACUUUCUUGCUUGUAAGGAUAGCUAUGAUGUUGAGAAAUUACUACGCAAAUGGAAAGAAAAAUCUCUGAACGCUAGGAUGAAAUACGACUUGAAAUUUGCCACUUCGCCUAUCUUUGUGACCGAUAAGGAUUACGAAUUCUCUGUCGACCCUGAGUUAAUCACUCUGGUCGAAUCUGAUCCUUUUGACGGUUAUGAAUCUGAAACGGUUGUAGNNNNNNNNNNNNNNNNNNNNNNNNNNNNNNNNNNNNNNNNNNNNNNNNNNNNNNNNNNNNNNNNNNNNNNNNNNNNNNNNNNNNNNNNNNNNNNNNNNNNNNNNNNNNNNNNNNNNNNNNNNNNNNNNNNNNNNNNNNNNNNNNNNNNNNNNNNNNGCACGAUAUAGCCACCUUAUUCACUAGUGAGGAAAAGAUCCGCCACUACUUUAUCCUUAAGUUGUUUCCUUUCUUGCUAAAGGAUGAUGCUAAGACUUGGUUCACUUCUCUUGCUCCUGGUUGUGUGCGUAGCCCCCAGGAUAUGGUCUACUACUCUACCCUCGAAAACUGUUGCGAUCCCCUAUACUUGUGGGUUAUCAGGUGGCAUGAUAAAAGGAUACAAAAACAUGAGUUCAAUGUAGAUGAUUAUGUCUUGCUAUAUAAUUCUUGUUUAAGACUUAUUGCAGGCAAGCUUCUCUCUAAAUGGGAAGGUCCUUACAUUGUUGAGGAAGUAUAUCGUUCCGGUGCCAUCAAGAUCAACAACACGGAAGGUAAUUUUCUGUGAGCGGUAAAUGGGCAAAGAAUCAAGCAUUUUAUCUUAGGUACUCCCAUAAAUGUUGAAAGCAAUAUUAUCAAUACCAUAACUCCGCGGGAGUACAUAAGGGAUAUUUAUCAACCUGUUUUAGACUCUGAAAACGAAGAGGUAUGCGAUUUGGUAAGUAAACCGACUCCAAAACUUUCCCAGUAUGAUUUUUUCUCCGUUUUGGAAUUUUUAGAAAAAUAGAAAAAUUUAAAAAGUAGUCCGGAAAGCGCACGAGGAGGCGACAAGUCUGCCAGGCGCGAGCCACCCCCCUAGCCGCGCAUGGGGGGGCUUGUGACCACCUCGUGUGCCUCCCAGACUCCGUUUUCUUGCGGAGUACUCCUUCUGGUCGGGAAAUAAUAAUUAUAUAUUCUCCCUAAAGGUCUAACCCUCGUAUCACGCAAAUUUUCCUUCGUUUUCGUUUCGAGCCUGUUUCUGCCGCAGAUUUAGAGCAAGAUGUCGUCUCAGGAAUCUGUAGGGGAGAACGAUCUCCCUCAAGUCUAUGAAGAAGUAAAUGCUGAUCUGAAAAGAAUGGAGGUCAUGGAGGCAAAGGAAAGGCUACUUAAAGAAACUAAGGGCAAAAGUAAGGAGAAGAAUCCGGCGUUGGACGAAGGGCAAUCUGUGCUCAACAAGGAAGAAGCUGAGGAAGAGGACUUUCUUCAACCAUACCUCCACCUUUUACCUCCAUCCUUGAUCGAGCUCUUGAGGUUAUGUGAAAUAACUCGUGUUCGUAAUACUUAUCUCACUCGUGAAGUUGUUUUGCUGGAGAAACAUAUCACAGAGCUCCAAGGUAUAAAUCAAAGAAUGAUGGCCCUCUUGGAAUCAAAAGACAAAACAACUCCACCACCAUCACCUCCAAAGGAAGACAACUAAGCACGGGUAUGGGCAAUCCCCUUGGCUUGUGCCAAGCUUGGGGGAGUUGCCCCGAUAUCGUAUCACCAUCACAUCUUUUGCCCUUACCUUUUCUUAGUUCGAUCGUUUUUGGUUUUAUCUUUCUCUAGUAGAAUAAAGUUCCUAGUGUUUUAGGUUUGAGUUUUGCUUUGUGUCACCCCCAAUGUAUUCGAGUUCGUGAGUCAUAUAAUAAAGAGUGUUUUAGUUAAGGGCCUUGCCUCAUGCCAUGAUCAAAAGAAUGAUGAAAGAACAAAAGCAUGAAAGAUGAUGUAAUGAUCUUAUGGGAAGUGAUGGCUUCACAUAUAAAAAGAAUAUUGAUUGAAACUUGUUGUGGGUGGACAAACGUAGACCUUGGUCAUUGCUGCAAUUAAUAGGAAGUGAUAAAGAAGGAGAGGUUCACAUAUAAAUAUAUCAUCUUUGACACCGUCUAUGAUUGUGAACACUCACUAAACUAUUGCAUGCUUAGAAGUAGAUGUUGGACAAGGAAGACAACAUAAUGAAUUAUGUUUGCUUGGUUCCGAACAAUGUUAUAUGACUAGAGAUCCCUUAGCAUGUGACGCUUGCUUCCACCUCAUAUGAGCCAAAACUUCUGCACUAAGUAGAGAUACUACUUGUAUAUCCACAAACCUUCAACCCAGUUUUACCAUGAGAGUCCACCAUACCUACCUAUGGAUUGAAUAAGAUCCCUCAAGUAAGUUGUCAUCGGUGCAAGCAAUAAAAAUUGCUCCCUAAAUAUGUAAGAUCUAUUAGUGUGUGGAAAAUAAGCUUUGUACGAAUCUGUGAUGAGGGAGACAUAAAAGCGACAGACUGCAUAAUAAAGUUCUUUAUCACACGAGGCAAUAUAAAGUGACGUUCCUUCACACUAAGAGGUCACACAUCCAAACCUCAAAAGCGCAUGACAACCUCUGCUUCCCUCUGCGAAGGGCCUAUCUUGUACCUUUACUUUUUGCCCUUGAAAGAGUCAUGGUGAUCUACACCAAUUCCUUAUUUCGCCUUUAUCUUGGCUAACGUCAUAUGCUAGGGAAAGAUCUAUAUUCAUAUGUCAACUUGGAAGUAAGUAUUCAUGAAUUAUUAUUGUUGACAUUACCCUUGAGGUAAAUAGUUGGGAGGCGAAACUAUAAGCCCCUAUCUUUCUCUGUGUCCGACUGAAACUUUGAUCUCAUGAGUACCACGUGAGUUGUAGCAAUUGUAGAAGACGAAAGGAUGAUUGAGUAUGUGGAUUUGCCUUACAAGCUCUUAUUUGACUCUUUCUGAUGUUAUGAUAAAUUGCAACUACUUCAAUGACUAAAGGCUAUUGGUUGUUAAUUCUCAAUAAGGUUCUUGAUCCAUACUUUACUUUGUGAAGGAAUUAUCACUUUAGCAUGAGAGAUUAUAUGAUGAUAUUGCUGUUCUAAUUAUGGUCAUGAUGCGUGCAUGUCCGUAUUUUGUUUCGUCGACACCUCUCUCUCUAAACAUGUGGGCAUAUUUAUUGAUCUCGGUUUCCGCUUGAGGGCAAGCAAAGUCUAAGCUUGGGGGAGUUGAUACGUCCAUUUUGCAUCAUGCUUUUAUGUUGAUAUUUAUCGCUUUAUGGGUUGUUGUUACACUUCACGGUACAAUACUUAUGCCUUUUCUCUCUUAUUUUGCAAGGUUUACUUGAAGAGGGAGAAUGCCGGCAGCUAGAAUUCUGGCCUAAAAAAGGAGCAAGUUUGAGAUACCUAUUCUGCGCAACUCCAAAAGCCGUGAAAAUCAACGAGGAUUUAUUUUGGAAUUUAUAAAAAAUACUGGGCCAAAGAAGUACCAGAGGGGAGCCACCAGGAGGCCACAAGCCUGCUAGGCGUGGCCUAUCCCCCGGCCGCGCCUAGGGGGCUUGUGGGCUGCCAGUUGGCCCUCUGCCCCCCUCUUUUGCUAUAAGGAGGGUUUCAUUCCAGAAAAAAUCAAGAGGAGGCUUUCGGGAGGAAUCGCCGCCGCCACGAGGCGGAACUUGAGCAGAACCAAUCUAGAGCUCCGACAGGGACGUCGUGCUGGGGAAACUUCCCUCCCAAAGGGGGAAAUCGUCGCCAUCGUCAUCACCAACACUCCUCUCGUCGGAGGGGACUCAUCACCAUCAACAUCUUCAUCAACACCAUCUCAUCUCCAAACCCUAGUUCAUCUCUUGUAACCAAUCUCCGUCUUGCGACUCCGAUUGGUACCUGUAAGGUUACUCGAACGCGAGUCAUUUGAACAUGAUGAAAACUAGCUUGACAUAAAUUUCCAUGUGUCCUCGGGAGCGCUUUACCUCCUAUAAGAGUUUGUCCAGGCUUGUCCCUUGCUACAAAAGGGUUUGGGACACUUUGCUGCACCUUUGUUACUUUUGCUACUUGCUACUUGCUACGAAUCAUCUCAUCACACAACUAUCUGUUACCUAUAAUUUCAGUGCUUGCAGGGAAUACCUUGCUGAAAACCACUUGUCAGAUCCUUCUGCUCCUCGUUGGGUUCGACACUCUUACUAAUUGAAAGGACUACGAUAGAUCCCCUAUACUUGUGGGUCAUCAAUCACGAGGAUCUUAAAGUGCUUGGUGUGACUCCUAUUGAAUCCUUGUUUUCUAAUGUCAAUCCUAAUGUUGAUGGGGCUGGAUAUGAAUCCACUUUGGUUGAGAAACACCCCAAUGAUUCGGAGUCUAUUUAUCUUGAUGCUAAAAACACUAGAAGUGGAGUAGAGGAUAUCAAAACUUUGAGUAGUGAUGAAAUUACUACUUUGGAUUUCAAGGAAUUGAAUUAUGAUAGUUGCUCUUUGAUUGAAUUUAUUUCCUUGAUGCAAUCCAUGCUAAACUCUUCACAUGCUUAUAACCAAAAUAAGGCUUUUACUGAUCAUAUCGUUGAUGCUAUGAUGAAAUCUCUUGUAGAGAAACUUGAGUUGGAAAUAUCUAUUCCUAGAAAACUUCAUGAUGAAUAGGAACCUACUAUCAAAAUCAAUAUGAAAAAUUAUGAAUGCAAUGCUUUGUGUGAUUUGGGUGGUAGUGUUUCCGCUAUUCCAAAGUCCUUAUGUGAUGUUCUAGGCUUCAAUGAGAUUGAUGAGUGCUCGCUUAAUUUGCAUCUUGCGGAUUCUACUAUUAAGAAACCUAUGGGAAGGAUCAAUGAUGUUAUUAUUAUUUCAAAUAGGAACUAUGUGCCCGUAGAUUUCAUUGUGCUUGAUAUUGAUUGCAAUCCGACAUGCCCCAUCAUUUUUGGUAGACCUUUCCUUAGGACUAUUGGUGUUGUUAUCGAUAUGAAGGAAGGGAAUAUUAGAUUUCAAUUUCCAUUAAAGAAGGGCAUGGAACACUUUCCUAGAAACAAAAUAAGAUUACCUUAUGAAUCCAUGAUGAUAGCUACUUAUGGUUUGAGCACCAAAGAUGACGAUACUUGAUUCUAUCGCCUUAUGCCUAGCUAAGGGCGUUAAAUGAUAGCGCUUGUCGGGAGGCAACCCAAUGAAUUUAUUUUUGCUUUUUUACUUUCUGUUUUGUUGUGUCCACACCAUCAUAAUUCUGUUAUGAUUGUUUUUUUUAUGUUUUAGUUAGUGUUUGUGCCAAGUAGAACCUUUAUGAUUAGUUUUGGUGAUAGUUGUUUGAUCAUGCUGAAAAAGACAGAAACUUUGCGCUCACCAAAAUUAUUUUUAAUUCCUAUCCAGAAAGAGAUUUUGAGUUGAUUUAUUUUGAUGCUGAUUUAUAUGCGAAUUGCCCUAAUUGUCAUAAUUUUUCAGAAUUUUUGGGAUACCAGAGGUAUACGAAGUAUACAGAUUGCUACAGACUGGUCUGUUUUUGACAGAUUCUGUUUUUGUUGUGUUGAUUGCUUAUUUUGAUGAAACUAUGGUUAGUAUCGGGGGGUACUAGCCAUGGAAAAGUAAGAAUACAGUAAUAUAACAUCAAUCUAAAUGGAAUUCAAGUUUACUAUAGUACCUAAAGAGUUGGUGAUUUGUUUUCUUAUGCUAAUGAUAUCACGAGUUUCUGUUUAAGUUUUGUGUUGUGAAGUUUUCAAGUUUUGGGCGAUGUCCUUAUGGACAAUGGAACAAAGAGUGGAAAGAGCUUAAGCUUGGGGAUACCCAAGACAUCCCAAGCCAAAUUCAAGGACACCAAAAAGCCUAAGCUUGGGGAUGCCCCGGGAAGGCAUCCCCUCUUUCGUCUUCAAUCCAUCGUAACGUUACUUGGAGCUAUAUUUUUAUUCACCACAUGAUAUGUGUUUUGCUUGGAGCGUCGUGUAUUAUAGGAGUCUUUGCUUUUUGUUUUGUGACAAUCAUCCUUUAUGCACACCUUUUUGCAAGGGACAUGCACUCAUCGUGAAUUUGCUAGAAUGCUCAAUGAGCUUCACUUAUAUCUUUUGAGUUAGGCAAUUUAGCACGCAUGUGCUUCACUUAUAUCUUUUGAGCUAGAUAAUUUUGCUCUAGUGCUUCACUUAAAUAUUUUUAGAGCACGACGGUGUCAUAUUUUGUAGAAAUAAAAACUCUCGAUCUUCACUUAUAUCUUUUUGAGAGUGCUCUCUCUAAGUAACUUGGUAAUUGGCGUGUGCUAUGAAAUUAGUCCUAAAUAUGAUAGGCAUCCAAAGAGGAUAUAAUAAAAACUUCCAUAUUCAAGUGCAUUGAUUAGUAAGAGAAGUUUGAUUCCUCACAAUUAGUUUUGAGAUAUGGAUAUGGUAAUAUUAGAGUCAUGUUAGUAGGGUGUUGUGAAUCUAGAAAUACUUGUGUUGAGGUUAGUGAUUCCCGUAGCAUGCACGUAUGGUGAACCGCUAUGUUAGGAAGUCGGAGCAUAAUUGAUUUAUUGAUUGUCAUCCUUUGUGUGGCGGUCGGGAUCGCGCGAUGGUUAACACCUACCAACCCUUCCCCUAGGAGUAUGUGUUUAGCACUUUGUUUUGAUUACUAAUAAAACUUUCGCAAUAAGUAUAUGAGUUCUUCAUGACUAAUGUGAGUCCAUGGUAUAGAUGCACUCUCACCUUCCACCAUUGCUAGCCUCUCUAGUGUCGCGCAACUUCCGCCGGUGCACAAACCCACCAUAUACCUUCCUCAAAACAGCCACCAUACCUACCUAUUAUGGCAUUUUCAUAGCCAUUCUGAGAUAUAUUGCCAUGCAACUCCCAUCGUUCCGUCUCAUGACAUAUGCCGUCACUUUCAUAUUGCCAUUGCAUGAUCGUAAGCUAGCUAGCGAGAUGUUUCAACGUCAUACGCCAAGCUAGAUCGUUGCACAUCCUGGUACACUGCCGGAGGCAUUUCAUAUAGAGUCAUCAUUGUUCUAAGUAUUGAGUUGUAAGUAAAUAAAAGUGUGAUGAUCAUCAUUAUUAGAGCUUUGUCCCAUUUGAGAAAUUUUUUAAAAAAGAGGCCAAAGAUGCCCACCAAAAAAAUGAAAAGAAGAGGCCAAAGAGCCCAAACAAAAAAAUGAUGAGAGAAAAAGAGAGAAGGGACAAUGCUACUAUCUUUUUCCACACUCGUGCUUAAAAAUAGCACCAUGUUCUUCAUGAUAGAGAGUCUCUUGUUUUGUCACUUCCAUAUACUAGAGGGAAUUUUCAUUAUAUAACUUGGCUUGUAUAUUCGAAUGACGAGCUUCCUCAAAAUAGCCCUAGGUCUUCGUGAGCAAGCAAGUUGGGUGCACGCCCACUAGUUUUCUUUUUGAGCUUCCAUACACUUAUAGCUUUAGUGCAUCUGUUGCAUGGCAAUGCCUACUCAUUCACAUUGAUAUCUAUUGAUGAGCAUCUCCAUAGCCCAUUGAUACACCGAGUCGAUGUGACCAUCUCCUCCUUUUUGCCUCACAACCUCCACCACACUCUAUUCCACCUAUAGUGCUAUAUCCAUGGCCCGCGCUCAUGUAUUGCGUGCGAGUUGAAAAAGUUUGAGAAAGUAAGAGUGCGAAAACAAUUACUUGGCCAAAACCAGGGUUGUGCAUGAUUUAAAUUCGUUGUGUGGGGAUGAUGGAGCAUAGCUAGACUAUAUGAUUUUGUAGGGAUAAUUUUCUUUGGCCUUGUUAUUUCAAAAGUUCAUGAUUACUUUGCUAGUAUGCUUGAAGUAUUAUUGUUUUCAUGUCAAUAGUAAACUAUUGUUUUGAAUCUUACGGAUCUAAACAUUCAUGCCACAAGAAAGAAGUUACAAAGAACAAAUAUGUUAGGUAGCAUUCCACAUCAAAAAUUCGGUCUUUAUCACUUCCCUACUCAAGGACGAGUACGAGUUAAGCUUGGGGAUGCUUGAUACAUCUCCAACGUAUCUAUAAUUUUUGAUGGUUCCAUGCUAUUAUCAUGUCAACUUUGGAUGCUUUAUAUCCAUGAAUAUGCUAUUUUUGGGACUAACCUAUUAACUAAGUGCCAAGUGCCAGUUUUUGUUUUUUCGUGUUUUUGACCUUUUCAUAGAAGAAUAUUAAACGGAGUCCAAACGGAAUAAAACCUGCGGGAUGAUUUUUUCUAGAACAGAAGAUAUGUAGGGGACUUGAGAACCAAGGCACGAGACCUCGUGGGAGAUCACAAGCCCCCUAGCCGCGACCUAGGGGGGUGGCCGCGCCUGGCAAGCUUGUGGGCCCCACGUGGCUCCUUUGCCCUACCUCUUUCGCCUAUAAAUUCUCUAAAAUCCCGAAACCAAAGGAGAUAGCCACGAAAAUACUUUUCCGCCACCGCAAGCUUCUGUCUCCGCAAGAUCCCAUCUGGGAACCGUUCUGCUGCCUUGCCGGAGGGGGAUUCGGACACGGAGGGCUUCUUCAUCAACACCAUUGCCUCUCCGAUGAUCCAUGAGUAGUUCACCACAGACCUUCGGAUCCAUAGCUAGUAGCUAGAUGGCUUCUUCUCUCCAUUGGAUCUUCAAUACAAAGUUCUCCAUGAUCUUCAUGGAGAUGUAUCCGAUGUAACUUUCUUUUGCGGUGUGUUUGUCGAGAUCCGAUGAAUUGUGGAUUUAUGAUCAGAUUAUCUAUGANNNNNNNNNNNNNNNNNNNNNNNNNNNNNNNNNNNNNNNNNNNNNNNNNNNNNNNNNNNNNNNNNNNNNNNNNNNNNNNNNNNNNNNNNNNNNNNNNNNNNNNNNNNNNNNNNNNNNNNNNNNNNNNNNNNNNNNNNNNNNNNNNNNNNNNNNNNNNNNNNNNNNNNNNNNNNNNNNNNNNNNNNNNNNNNNNNNNNNNNNNNNNNNNNNNNNNNNNNNNNNNNNNNNNNNNNNNNNNNNNNNNNNNNNNNNNNNNNNNNNNNNNNNNNNNNNNNNNNNNNNNNNNNNNNNNNNNNNNNNNNNNNNNNNNNNNNNNNNNNNNNNNNNNNNNNNNNNNNNNNNNNNNNNNNNNNNNNNNNNNNNNNNNNNNNNNNNNNNNNNNNNNNNNNNNNNNNNNNAGUGACAGCAGUAGCGGCAAAGUAACGUAGCAAGGACCAGUAGUAAAAGACUCAUAGGCAUUGGAUCGGUGAUGGAUGAUUAUGCCGGAUGUGAUUCAUCAUGUAACAACUAUAACACGGAGAUAUAUGUAACUAGCUCCCGUUCGUCAAUCUAAUGUAGGCAUGUAUUCCGUAUGUACUCAUACGUGCUUAGGGNNNNNNNNNNNNNNNNNNNNNNNNNNNNNNNNNNNNNNNNNNNNNNNNNNNNNNNNNNNNNNNNNNNNNNNNNNNNNNNNNNNNNNNNNNNNNNNNNNNNAAGGCGGAAAGUGCAAUGAAGUAAAAGAGUAAGGCUGAAAAUAUGGUGUGAAGUAGACCCGGGGGCCAUAGUGUUCACUAGAGGCUUCUCUCAAAAUAGAAAAUAAUACAGUGGGUGAACAAAUUACUGUCGAGCAAUUGAUAGAACCGCGCAAAGUCAUGAAGAUAUCUAAGGCAAUGAUCAUACAUAUAGGCAUCACGUCCGAGACAAGUAGACUGAUACUUUCCGCAUCUACUACUAUUACUCCACACAUCGACCGCUAUCCAGCAUGCAUCUAGUGUAUUGAGUUCAUGACGAACAGAGUAACGCCUUAAGCAAGAUGACAUGAUGUAUAGGGAUAAACUCAAACCAAUGAUGAAAACCCCAUCUUUUUACCCUUGAUGGCAACAACAUGAUGCGUACCUCGCUACCCCUUCUAUCACUGGGUGAGGUUACCGCACGGUAUGAACCCAANACCAAGCACUUCUCCCAUUGCAAGAAUCAUGGAUCAAGUUGGCCAAACAAAACCCACAACUCGAAGAGAAUUACAAGAAUAUGAAAUCAUGCAUAUAAGAGAUCAGAAGAAACUCAAAUAAGAUUCAUAGAUAAUCUGAUCAUAAAUCCACAGUUCAUCAGAUCUCAACAAACACACCGCAAAGAAGAUUACAUCNGAUAGAUCUCCAUGAAAAUCAUGGAGAACUUUGNNNNNNNNNNNNNNNNNNNNNNNNNNNNNNNNNNNNNNNNNNNNNNNNNNNNNNNNNNNNNNNNNNNNNNNNNNNNNNNNNNNNNNNNNNNNNNNNNNNNUACAUGCAAUUCAUAAGUGACAUGAUAUGGCCAUCAUCAUGUGCUUCUUGAUCUCCAUCACCAAAGUACCGACACGAUCUUCUUGUCACCGGCGCCACACCAUGAUCUCCAUCAACGUGUCGCCAUUGGGGUUGUCGUGCUACUUAUGCUAUUAUUACUAAAGCUACGUCCUAGCAAUAUAGUAAACGCAUUUGCAAACACAAACAUUAGUUUAAAGACAACCCUAUGGCUCCUGCCGGUUGCCGUACCAUCGACGUACAAGUCGAUAUUAACUAUUACAACAUGAUCAUCUCAUACAUCCAAUAUAUCUCAUCACGUCAUUGGCCAUAUCAUAUCACAAGCAUACCCUGCAAAAACAAGUUAGACGUCCUCUAAUUGUUGUUGCAUGUUUUACGUGGCUGCUAUGGGUAUCUAGUAGAUCGCAUCUUACUUACGCAAAAACCACAACGGAGAUGUGCAAAAUGCUAUUUAACCUCUCCAAGGACCGCCUUGAUCAAAACCAAUUCAACUAAAGUUGAAGAAACUAACACCCGCCAGUCAUCUCUAUGCAACGAGGUUGGAUGUCAAGCGAUGAAACCAGUCUUUCGUAAGCGUACGAAUAAUGUCGGUUCGGGCCGCUUCAAUCCAACAAUACCGUCGAAUCGAGAAAAGACUAAGGAGGGCAGCAAAUCGAACAUCACCGUCCACAAAACCCUUUGUGUUCUACUCGAGAUUACACCUACGCAUGAACCUAGCUCAUGAUGCCACUGUUGGGGAACGUUGCAUGGGAAUCAAAAAAUUUCCUACGCACACGAAGACCUAUCAUGGUGAUGUCCAUCUACGAGAGGAGAUUUGGAUCUACCUACCCUUGUAGAUCGCACAGCAGGAAGGGUUAAGAAACGCGGUUGAUGUAGUGGAACAUCCUCACGUCCCUCGAUCCGCCCCGCGAACCGUCCCACGAACCGUCCCGCAAUCCGUCCCACGAUCCUCUUCGAUCUAGUGCCGAACGGAUGACACCUCCUCGUUUAGCACACGUACAGCUCGAUGAUGAUAUCGGCCUUCUUGAUCCAGCAAGCAAGACGGAGAAGUAGAUGAGUUCUCCGGCAGUGUGACGAUGCUCCGGUGGUGGUGAAGGAUCUACUCCUGCAGGGCUCCGCCCGAGCUCCGUAGAAAUACGAUCUAGAGGCAAAACUAUGGUGUCUAGAUCCGAGUUGCACGUGGCAAAGUUGUCUCGAAUCAGCCCUAAAUCACCAGUAUAUAUAGGAGGGAGGGGGAGGGGCUUGCCUUGAGGGCCAAGCCCCCAAGGUGCACCGGCCAAGAGGAGGAGUAGGACUCCUACUCCAAUCCUACUCAAAAUAGGAUUGGAAAGUGGAGUCCUUCCCUUCCUUCUAAUUUUUUUUCUUUCUUUGGUUUGCUCUCUAUGGUGCAUAGGCCUUAUUGGUCUGUCCCACCAGCCCACUAAGGNNNNNNNNNNNNNNNNNNNNNNNNNNNNNNNNNNNNNNNNNNNNNNNNNNNNNNNNNNNNNNNNNNNNNNNNNNNNNNNNNNNNNNNNNNNNNNNNNNNNGGGAAAACUAAACUAAAUCUAUCAUUUUUCUUCUAAGCAACCGAAGGUGAAAGCUUGGAAUAGAGGUUUGUGACUCCUCGAUUCAUCCUUCUGAUGGUCAUCGAAAGAAAUCCGUUAAUGGGGUUGAUCAAGCCUCCUCGACAAGAUUUUUUCGAAUCGCAAAAGAAGACGGAGAAUUUUUGAAUAGUCACUAGGUCACCUCAAUGGGGAUGUGUAUUUACCCAACAAGCAAAUCAUACUUCAUCUUGACACGAGGAAUAGGGCAUUCAAAGCUCCCAAUAAGAAUCAAUGAAGUUUUUUCGAUAGCAUUGAUGCAAUGUACUUUAUAUUGUUUCUUUGGAAAGUGCACUAUAUGCUCAUUACCGUUGACAUGGAAAGUGACAUUGCCUUUGUUGCAAUCUAUAAUAGCCCCUGCAGUGUUUAAAAAGGGUUUUCCGAGGAUGACAGCCAUGGCAUCGUUCUCGGGAAUAUCCAAGAUAACAAAGUCUGUUAAGAUAGUGGUGUUAGCAACCAGAACAGGCACAUCCUCGCAAAUGCCGAUAGGGAAAGGAGUUGAUUUGUCGGCCAUUUGCAGAGAGAUUUCAGUGGGUGUGAACUUAUCUAGUUCAAGUCUACGAUAAAUAGAGAGAGGCAUAACACUAACACCGGCUCCAAGGUCGCAUAACGCAGUUCUAACGUAGUUGCCUUUAAUGGAGCAAGGUAUAGUGGGCACACCGGGAUCACCUAGUUUCUUAGGAGUUCCACCCUUGAAAGUGUAAUUAGCAAGCAUGGCGGAGAUCUCAAGAUCAGGUAUCCUCCUCUUAUUAGUCACAAUAUCUUUCAUGUACUUGGCAUACAGAGACAUUUUGAGCAUAUCUGUCAAAUGCAUCUGCAGAAAGACAGGUCUGAUCAUUUCAACGAAGCGCUCAAAAUCCUCAUCAUCCUUUUUCUUGGAAGGUUUGGGAGGAAAGGGCAUGGGUUUAUGAACCCAUGGCUCCCUUUCUUUACCAUGCUUCCUAGCAGUGAAGUCAUUCUUAUCGUAUCUCUGAUUCUUAGGCUGUGGGUUAUCAAGAUCAACACUAGGUUCAAUCUCCACAUCCUUUUCAUUGCUAGGCUGAGCAUCUUCAUGAACAUCACUAUUGAUAUUAUCAUUAGGCUCAUGUUCAUCACCAGAUUGUGUUUCAGCAUUAGAGACAGAGGCUUCGUUUGGACUCUCAGGUGUAGCAGCAACAGGGUUGCUAGCGUGCAGGUUCCUAUCAUCUUUCUUCUUUUUUCUAGGAUGACUAGGUGCAUCAGUGCUAACUCCUUGAGAAUCUUGUUCAACUCUCUUCGGAUGACCCUCAGGAUAUAGAGGUUCCUGGGUCAUUCUACCGCCUCUAGUGACGACUCUGACAGAAUUGUCAUUCAACUCAUUGAGCAAGUCAUUCUGAGCUUUAAGUACUUGUUCUACUUGAGUAGUAACCAUAGAGGCAUGUUUACUCAGAAGCUUGAGAUCAUUGACAUUUCUGUCCAUACAAGCACUUAAAUGACUAAGCAUACGAGCAUUCUUUUCCAAUUGUCUGCUAACAUAAUCAUUGAAACUCUGUUGUUUGGCAACGAAGUUAUCAAAUUCAUCCAAGCAUAAGCUAGCAGGUUUAUCAAAAGGAAUAUCACUCUCAUCAAACCUACGCAGAGAAUUUACUUCUACUACCUGUAUCGGGUUAUCGAGACCAUGGAUCUCUUCGAUAGGUGGUAGAUUUUUGACAUCUUCAGAUUUAAUGCCUUUCUCCCGCAUAGAUUUCUUGGCUUCUUGCAUAUCUUCAGGACAGAGGAAUAGAAUACCUCUUCUGGCUUAGGAGGUGGUUCGGGAAUAGUACAAGCAUUCUCAUUGCACAAGAUGUUAUUCAAUAGAAUCUCAGCUUGUUCUACGGUUCGUUCCCUAAAAACACAACCGGCACAACUAUCUAGGUGGUCUUUUGAAGCAUCGGUAAGUCCAUUAUAGAAGAUAUCAAGUAUUUCAUUCUUCUCAAGAGGGUGAUCAGGCAAAGCAUUCAGUAGCUGGAUAAGCCUCCCCAAGCUUGUGGGAGACUCCCUUCUUCAGCUUGAGCAAAGUUGUAUAUUUCCUGCAAGGCAGCUUGCUUCUUAUGGGCAGGGAAAUAUUUUUCAGAGAAGUAGUAGACCAUAUCCUGGGGGCUACGCACACAUCAAGGAGCAAGAGAAGUGAACCAGGUCUUAGCAUCGUCCUUUAGCAAGAAAGGAAACAGCUUGAGGAUAUAGUAGUGGCGGAUCUUUUCCUCACUAGUGAAUAGGAUGGCUAUAUCGUGCAGUUUGGUAAGAUGGGCUACAACCGUUUCAGACUCGUAACCGUGGAAAGGAUCAUACUCGACCAGAGUGAUUAACUAAGGGUCGACAGAGAAUUCAUAAUCCUUAUCGGUCACAAAGAUAGGCGAAGUAGCAAACUUCGGGUCGUAUUUCAUCCUAGCGUUCAGAGAUUUUUCUUUCCACUUGCGCAGAAGUUUCUCAACAUCAUAGCUAUCCUUACACGCAAGAAAAUCCUCAGCUAUCUCUUCCUCCAUAACAUAGCGCGUAUCAGGAAUAAUAGGCAAUUCAGUCAUAGUAGCAGGUUCUACUUCAACAGUAUCAGCAAUUUCAGAAGUAUCAACACAUCUAGCAGCAGCUCUAGCAAUAUGUGCAUCAAGGAAUGCACCAAGUGGCAAAGCAGUAUCAGGCCUGGCAGGCAUGGUAUCAAGGAUAGCAUCAUCAGGCANNNNNNNNNNNNNNNNNNNNNNNNNNNNNNNNNNNNNNNNNNNNNNNNNNNNNNNNNNNNNNNNNNNNNNNNNNNNNNNNNNNNNNNNNNNNNNNNNNNNNNNNNNNNNNNNNNNNNNNNNNNNNNNNNNNNNNNNNNNNNNNNNNNNNNNNNNNNNNNNNNNNNNNNNNNNNNNNNNNNNNNNNNNNNNNNNNNNNNNNNUCAAGCAUAGCAUCAUGGGCAGCAGAAGUAGCAUCAUCAAGCACACGCGACAUAUCAAGAUUUCUAGCAGAGGCGAGGUCGCAAACUUACUCAAAACUGAAGGUGAAUCAAGUGCAGAGCUAGAUGGCAGUUCCUUACCUCUCCUCGUAGUGGAAGGUAGGAUUUUAGUUCUUAGAUCUUUCGGAUUCCUCAUAGUUAUCAGCAGACGUCAAUCCCAAGUGACUCAGAGAAUAUAGCUGUGCCUCCCCAGCAACGGCGCCAGAAAAAGCCUUGAUGUCCCACAAGCGUAUGGGAUCGCGGCAGUUUUCGAGGGUAGAGUAUUCAACCCAAAUUUAUUGAUUCGACUCAAGGGGAAGCGAAAGAAUAUUCUCAAGUAUUAGUAGUUGAGUUGUCAAUCCAGCCACACCUGAAAGAUUAGUGUCUGCAAGCAAAGUAUCAGUAGCAAGGUAGUAUGAUAGCAACGGUGCUAGAAAAAGCCUUGUUGACGAGACGUCAGUGCCGCUCACCUAUCCCCGGCAACGACACCAGAAAAGAGCCUUGCAACAAAUAACAGCGGCGUAGUAAGGAACAUCAGUAGCAGCAGCAGCAAAGUAAUAGCAGUAUCAAUAGUAGCAGCAAAGUGAUAGCAGUAGUGACAUCAGCAAAGUGGCCCAAUCCCUCUUGUAGCAAGGGACAAGCCUAGGCAAAGUAACGUAGCGAGAAAUAGUAGUAAAAGACUCAUAGGCAGUGGAUCGGUGAUGGAUGAGUGUGACGGAUGUGAUUCAUCAUGUAACGGCUAUAACAUGGAGAGAUAUGUGGCUAGCUCCCGUUCAUCAAUCUAAUGUAGGCAUGUAUUCCGUACGUACUCAUACAUGCUUAGGGAAAAGAANNNNNNNNNNNNNNNNNNNNNNNNNNNNNNNNNNNNNNNNNNNNNNNNNNNNNNNNNNNNNNNNNNNNNNNNNNNNNNNNNNNNNNNNNNNNNNNNNNNNUGUCACUAUGGAAACUGUUCCUUUGAGGAAUUUGUUUGGGGUAUCUUCACCACGAACGGAAGAACGAGGAGUUGUUCCUCAACCUGAGGUACCUACUGAAAAUAUCUUUUAUGAAAUUCCUUCGGGUAUGCUNNNNNNNNNNNNNNNNNNNNNNNNNNNNNNNNNNNNNNNNNNNNNNNNNNNNNNNNNNNNNNNNNNNNNNNNNNNNNNNNNNNNNNNNNNNNNNNNNNNNNNNNNNNNNNNNNNNNNNNNNNNNNNNNNNNNNNNNNNNNNNNNNNNNNNNNNNNNNNNNNNNNNNNNNNNNNNNNNNNNNNNNNNNNNNNNNNNNNNNNNNNNNNNNNNNNNNNNNNNNNNNNNNNNNNNNNNNNNNNNNNNNNNNNNNNNNNNNNNNNNNNNNNNNNNNNNNNNNNNNNNNNNNNNNNNNNNNNNNNNNNNNNNNNNNNNNNNNNNNNNNNNNNNNNNNNNNNNNNNNNNNNNNNCGGUUGAAAUUGGAAUUUCAUCAAAAGUUUUAUCCUAUGCAUUUAGUACAUCGUGAUCGGAAUUAUAUUUAUAACUUUUGGCCUCAUGAUAGGGAAAGCAUAGCUCAAGCUUGGGGGAGGCUUAAAUCAAUGCUAUAUUCAUGCCCCAAUCAUGAGCUCUCGAGAGAAAUUAUCACUCAAAACUUUUAUGCUCGGCUUUCUCAUGAAGAUCGUACCAUGCUUGACACUUCUUGUGCCGGUUCUUUUAUGAAGAAGGAUAUUGAUCACAAGUGGAAUUUAUUGGAAAGAAUCAAACAUAACUCUGAAGACUGGGAGCUUUAAGAAGGUAAGGAGUUAGGUAUGAAUUUCCAGUUUGAUUGCGUUAAAUGUUUUGUUGAAACAAACACUUCUAGAGAUUUUAGCGCUAAGUAUGGACUUGACUCUGAGAUAGUAGCUUCUCUAUGUGAAUCUUUUGCUGCUCAUGUUGAUCUUCCCAAAGAGAAGUGGUUUAAGUAUCAUCCUCCUGUAUAAAUCAACAUAGUUAAACCCAAUCUAGUUGAAGAGAAAGUCAUUGCCUUUAGUGAUCCUAUUGUUCCUUGUGCCUACGUUGAGAAACCACCUUACCCUGCUAGGAAAAAGGAUUAUUCUAAAGCUCCAAAUGUGAUACGUAAGGGUUACAUUAGACCACUUGCACCUCUUGAGGAAAUUAGAGUUGAACCUAGUGUUGCUAUUAUCAAAGAUCUCUUAGCCGAAGACAUAGACGGGCAUGUUAUCAAAUUCUGUGAGGACUCCGCUAGAAUAGCUAAACCUCACGUGAAAGACAAAUACAAACAUGUAGUUGGCCUGCCCGUUGUUUGUGUCAAGAUAGGGGAUCACUAUUAUCAUGGUUUAUGUGAUAUGGGUGCUAGUGUUAGUGCAAUACCCCGGUCCCUAUAUGAUGAAAUCAAAUAUGAGAUUGCACCUGCUGAGUUAGAACCCAUUGAUGUCACUAUUAUGCUAGCUAAUAGAGACACUAUCUGUCCCCUGGGAAUUGUGAGACGUAGAAGUCCUGUGUGGUAAGACGAAGUAUCCUACUGAUUUCCUCGUCCUUGCUACUGCACAAGAUAGCUUUUGUCCCAUCAUAUUUGGUAGACCCUUUAUCAACACUGUCAAUGCUCACAUUGAUUGCAUUAAACAGACUGUCACUGUUAGUUUCGAGGGUGUGUCUCAUGAAUUUAACUUCUCCAAGUUUUUAAGACAACCCCAUGAAAAAGAGUCGUCUGGUAGGGAUGAAAUUAUUGCUUUGGCCUCUAUUGCCGUACCUCCUACGGAUCCUUUAGAGCAAUAUCUGCUAGAGCAUGAAAAUGAUAUGCAUAUGGAUGAAAGAGAUGAGAUAGAUAAAAUUGUCUUAGCACAAUAUCCUAUACUCUAGAAUAAUCUGCCUCUUGAACUGCUUGGGGAUCCUCCCCCACCAAAGGGUGAUCCUGUGUUCGAGCUAAAACAGUUACCAGAUACUCUUAAGUAUGCAUAUCUUGAUGAGAAGGAGAUAUAUCCUGUUAUUAUUAGUGCUCAUCUCUCGAAUCACGAAGAGAAAGAGUUAUUAAAAACUUUGAGGAAGCACCGUGCUGCUAUUGGAUAUACUCUUGAUGAUCUAAAAGGUAUUAGUCCCACUUUAUGUCAGCACAAGAUUAAAACCGAUCCUGAUUCUAAACCAGUUGCUGAUCAUCAACGGAGACUAAAUCCGAGGAUGAAAGAGGUCGUGAGAAAAGAAAUAUUAAAGCUUCUGGAAGCAAGAAUCAUCUAUCCUGUUGCUCAUAGUGAUUGGGUAAGUCCAGUACAUUGCGUACCUAAGAAGGGAGGUAUCACCGUUGUUCCUAAUGAUAAGAAUGAACUAAUCCCACACAGGAUUAUUACUGGCUAUAGGAUGGUGAUAGACUUCCGGAAACUGAACAGGGCAACCAGGAAAGACCAUUAUCCUUUGUCGUUUAUCGACCAUAUGCUAGAAAGGCUAUCUAAACACACACACUUCUGCUUUCUAGACGAUUAUUCAGGUUUCUCGCAAAUACCUGUUGCACAAUCUGAUCAAGAGAAAACCACCUUCACAUGCCCCUUCGGUACCUUUGCUUAUAGACGUAUGCCUUUUGGCUUNNNNNNNNNNNNNNNNNNNNNNNNNNNNNNNNNNNNNNNNNNNNNNNNNNNNNNNNNNNNNNNNNNNNNNNNNNNNNNNNNNNNNNNNNNNNNNNNNNNNNNNNNNNNNNNNNNNNNNNNNNNNNNNNNNNNNNNNNNNNNNNNNNNNNNACCUUUCAAAGAUGUAUGAUGGCUAUAUUCUCUGACUUUUGUGAAAAGAUUGUUGAGGUUUUCAUGGAUGAUUUCUCCGUCUACGGUUCUUCCUUUGACGAUUGCCUCAGCAACCUUGAUCGAGUCUUACAGAGAUGCAAAGAUACCAACCUCGUCUUGAACUGGGAAAAGUGCCACUUCAUGGUUAAUGAAGGCAUCGUCUUAGGACACAAAAUCUCUAAGAAAGGCAUUGAAGUUGAUAAAGCUAAGGUUGAUGCAAUUGAGAAAAUGCCUUGCCCCACAGAUAUCAGAGGUAUACGAAGUUUCCUAGGUCAUGCUGGUUUCUAUAGAAGGUUCAUUAAAGACUUCUCUAAGAUUUCUAGGCCUCUUACCAACCUCUUGCAGAAGGAUGUUCCUUUUGUUUUUGAUGAGGAUUUGUGAGGAAGCUUUCGAAAUACUUAAGAAGGCCUUGAUAACCGCACCUAUUGUUCAACCACCUGAUUGGAACUUGCCCUUUGAAAUCAUGUGCGAUGCUAGUGAUUAUGUUGUUGGUGCUAUUCUAGGACAAAGAGUUGACAAGAAGUUGAAUGUCAUUCACUACGCUAGUAAAACUCUAGACAGUGCCCAAAGAAACUACGCCACUACGGAGAAGGAGUUUUUAGCAGUCGUGUUUGCAUGUGAAAAGUUCAGAUCUUAUAUAGUUGACUCCAGAGUCACUAUUCACUCUGAUCAUGCUGCUAUUAAGUACCUUAUGGAGAAGAAGGACGCUAAGCCUAGACUAAUCAGAUGGGUUCUCCUGCUACAGGAAUUUGAUUUGCACGUUGUUGACCGAAAGGGUGCUGAUAACCCUGUAGCAGAUAACUUGUCUAGGCUAGAGAAUGUCCUUGAUGACCCAUGACCUAUUGAUGACAGCUUUCCUGAUGAGCAACUGAAUGUCAUCCGCACUUCACAUAGUGCACCGUGGUAUGCUGAUUACACAAACUAUAUCGUAGCCAAAUACAUACCACCCAGUUUCACCUACCAACAAAAGAAGAAAUUCUUUUUUGAUUUGAGACACUACUUUUGGGAUGAUCCUCACCUUUAUAAGGAAGGAGUAGAUGGUGUUAUUAGACAUUGUGUGCCUGAACAUGAACAGGGACAGAUCCUGCAGAAGUGUCAUUCCAAAGCCUAUGGAGGACACCAUGCUGGAGACAGAACUGCUCAUAAGGUAUUGCAAUCAGGUUUCUAUUGGCCCACUCUCUUCAAGGAUGCCCGUAAGUUUGUCUUGUCUUGUGACGAAUGCCAAAGAAUAGAGAAUAUCAGUAAGCAUCAGGAAAUGCCUAUGAACUAUUCACUUGUCAUUGAACCAUUUGAUGUCUGGGGCUUUGAUUAUAUGGGACCUUUCCCGAGUUCCAAUGGGUAUACUCACAUCUUAGUUGCUGUGGAUUAUGUCACUAAGUGGGUGGAAGCUAUCCCCACUAGAAAUGCUGAUCACCACACCUCUAUUAAGAUGCUUAAAGAGGUCAUUUUCCCAAGAUUUGGAGUCCCUAGAUAUCUGAUGACUGAUGGAGGUUCACACUUCAUUCAUGGUGUUUUCCGCAAGAUGCUCGCCAAGUACGAUGUCAACCAUAGAGUUGCAUCUCCUUAUCAUCCUCAAUCUAGUGGUCAAGUGGAGUUGAGUAUAGGGAAAUCAAAUUGAUCUUACAAAAGACCGUUAAUAGAUCUCGAAAGAAUUGGUCUAGCAAACUUGAUGAUGCACUAUGGGCUUAUAGGACUGCUUAUAAGAAUCCCAUGGGCAUGUCGCCGUAUAAAAUGGUUUACGGUAAGGCCUGUCAUUUACCCCUUGAGCUGGAACACAAAGCUUAUUGGGCAAUAAAAGAGCUCAACUUCAAUUUCAAACUUGCCGGUGAGAAGCGGUCGUUUGAUAUGAGUUCAUUAGAUGAAUGGAGGGCCCAGGCAUAUGAGAAUUACAAGUUGUUCAAGGAAAAGGUUAAGAGAUGGCACGAUAAAAGAAUACAAAAAUGAGAGUUCAAUGUAGGUGAUUAUGUCCUGCUAUACAAUUCUCAUUUAAGAUUCUUCGUAGGCAACCUUCUCUCUAAAUGGGAAGGUCCCUACGUUGUCGAGGAAGUAUAUCGUUCCGGUGCCAUCAAAAUCAAUAACACGGAAGGUAAUUUUCCUAGAGUGGUAAAUGGGCAAAGAAUCAAGCAUUACAUCUCUGGUACUCCCAUAAAUGUUGAGACCAAUAUCAUCAAUAUCAUAACUCCAGAGGAGUACAUAUGGGAUGUUUAUCAACCUGUUUCAGACCCUGAAAACGAAGAGGUAUCUGUUUCGGUAGGUAAUUGGACUCCGAAACUUUUCCAAUAGGAAAUUUUCUCCGUUUUGGAAUUUAUGGAAAAUUAGAAAAAUAAAAAGCAGUCCGGAGAGCGCACGAGGCGGCCACAAGCUUGGUUGCNNNNNNNNNNNNNNNNNNNNNNNNNNNNNNNNNNNNNNNNNNNNNNNNNNNNNNNNNNNNNNNNNNNNNNNNNNNNNNNNNNNNNNNNNNNNNNNNNNNNNNNNNNNNNNNNNNNNNNNNNNNNCCACAAGCUUGGUUGCCGCGGCCUGCUCCUUGGCCGCGGCAACAGGGCUUGUGGGCACCUCGUGUGCCUCCCGGACUCCGUUUUCUUGCGGAGCACUCCUUCUGGUCCAAAAAAAUCAUUAUAUAUACGCCCGAGGGUUUUGAUAUCCGUAUCACGCAGUUUUCCUCUGUUUUCGUUUCGAGCUUGUUUUUGUCGCAGAUCUAGACCAUCAUGACUUCCCCAAAAGCUCCUAAGGACAAGAUCUUCGAGAAGGUCAUCAAUCCCUACCUCACGGAAGUGCCGAAACACCCUCAAUCUAUUAAGAUGAGUGAGGGGUUGUUGCACAUCCGUGAUGUUGAGGAGCCUAAGAAGACUGGAAGCAUGGAGACGAGGCUCGAAGCAAUGGAGCAACAAGUCUUCAAGUGCCAAGGGAUGGUGGAGCAUGGACUCAACGCCAACCACAUGAUGAUCACGGAGUUCACCAACAAUCACAAGAUGGAUGCCAUUGACAUUGGGAAGCACCUCUCCAGGCUCUAUGACAGGGUUGAUCAACUCCAGGGCCAGAUCUAUGACCUGCAGAACCAAAACUGUGAGUAUGAGUAUAGAUUUAAAUCAAUACGGUUGGCUGCAGAUUUGAGGAUUCUGGCGACUCGUUCAUCCUGCCAUGAUGGAGCACCUAUGCCUUGGAAGACGGAGGAUCAGACUACUUCAACACCACCACCACCAUCACCACCAAAGGAAGACAACUAAGCAUUAGUAUGGGCAAUCCCCUUGGCUUAUGCCAAGCUUGGGGGAGUUGCCCUGGUAUCAUAUCACCUUUAUAUCUUUUGCUUUUACCUUUGUUUUAGUUCUUUCCUUUUCAGUUUUUAUUUCUUCUCUUAGUGGAAUAAGUCUUUAGUGUUUAGUUUGAGUCUUUUGCCUUGUGCCUCCCCCGAUGUAUUCGAGCUUACGAGCUAUAUAAUAAAGAGUAUCUUAGUCAAGGGCUUUGCUUUGUGCCGUGAUCAAAAGUAUGAAAAGAACGAUAGCAUGAAAGAUCGUGAGAUGAUCCUAUGAAAAGUAAUAGCUUCACAUAUAACAAGUAUGAUGGUUGAAACUUGUUGAGAAUAGACCAACAUAGACCCCAGUCAUUGUUGCAAUUAAUAAGAAGUAAUAAGGAAAGAGAGGUUCACAUAUAAAUAUAUCAUCUUAGACACUAUUUAUAAUUGUGAGCACUCAACAAACUAUUACAUGCUUAGAAGUAGAUGUUGGACAAGGAAGACAACAUAAUGAAUUGUGUUUGCUUGGUUCCAAACAAUGUUAUAUGAUUAGAGAUCCCUUGGCAUGUGACGAUUGCUUCCACCUCACAUUAGCCAAAACUCCCGCACCAAGUAGAGAUACUACUUGUGCAUCCAUAAACCUUCAACCCAGUUUUGCCAUGAGUGUCCACCAUAUCUACCUAUGGAUUGAAUAAGAUCCCUCAAGUAAGUUGUCAUUGGUGCAAGCAAUAAAAAUUGCUCUCUAAUAUGUAUGAUCUAUUAGUGUGUGGAAAAUAAGCUUUGUAUGAACCUGUGAUGAGGAAGAUAUAAAAGCGACAGACUGCAUAAUAAAGUUCUUUAUCACAGGAGGCAAUAUAAAGUGACGUUCCUCCGCACUAAGAGGACACACAUCCAAACCUCAAAAGCGCAUGACAACCUCUGCUUCCAUCUGCGAAGGGCAUAUCUUGUACCUUUACUUUUUGCCCUUGUAAGAGUCAUGGUGAUCUUCACCAAUUCCUUAUUUAGCCUUUUUCUUGGUGAACGUCAUAUGCUUGGGAAAGAUCUAUAUUCAUAUAUCAACUUGGAGCUGAGUACUUAUGCUUUAUUAUUGUUGACUUUACCCUUGAGGUAAAUGGUUGGGAGGCAAACUAUAAGCCCCUAUCUUUCUCUGUGUCCAACUGAAACUUCGAUACCAUGAGUACCACGUGAGUUGUAACAAUUCUAGAAAACAAAAGAGAUGAUUGAGUAUGUGGAUUUGCCUUACAAGCUCUUAUUGGACUCUUUCUGAUAAUAUGAUAAAUUGCAAUUGCUUCAAUGACCAUGGACUAUUGUUGGCUACUUCUCGGUAAUGUUUUUGUUUCAUACUUUGCUCUGUGAAGGAAUUGUUACUUUCUCAUAAGAAUCUCUAUGAUGUAUUUUUGUUCUAUGUGUGAUCAUGAUGCCCUCAUGUCCGUAUUUUUUUUAUCGACACCUUCAUCCCUAAACAUGUGGACAUGUUUUGGGUCUUGGUUUUCGCUUGAGGACAAGCGAGGUCUAAGCUUGGGGGAGUUGAUACGUCCAUUUUGUAUCAUGCUUUCAUGUUGAUAUUUAUCGUUUUAUGGACUGUUAUUAUACUUUGUGGAACCAUACUUAUGCCUUUUCUCUCUUAUUUUGCAAGGUUUAUUUGAAGAGGGAGAAUACCAACAAUUGGAAUUCUGGACUGGAAAAGGAGCAAGUCUGAGUCCUCUAUUCUGCGCAACUCCAAAUGCCCUGAAAAUCAACGUGGAUUUUUUUGGGAAUAUGUAAAAAAUACUGGGCGAAAGAAGUGUCAGAGGGGAGCAACCAGGGGCCCACAAUCCUGGUUGCCGCGGCCUAACCCCUUGGCCGCGACAACGGGGCUUGUGGGCACCCUGGUGGCCCACUGCCCCCCCUCUUUUGCUAUAUGAAGGGUUUCGUGCGGAAACAAUGAGGGUGGAGCUUUUUCGUGGAUUCUCCGCUGCCACGAGGCGGAACUUGAGCAGAUCCAAUCUAGAGCUCCGGCAGGACGAUCCUGCCGGGGAAACUUCCCUCCCGGAGGGGGAAAUCAUCGCCAUCGUCAUCAUCAACACUCCUCUCGUCGGAGGGGAGUCAUAUCCAUCAACAUCUUCAUCAGCACCAUCUCCUCUCCAAACCCUAGUUCAUCUCUUGUAACCAAUCUCCGUCUCGCGACUCCGAUUGGUACUUGUAAGGUUGCUAGUAGUGUUGAUUACUCUUUGUAGUUGAUGCUAGUUGGAUUACUUGGUGGAAGAGUUUAUGUUCAGAUCCUUGAUGCUAUUCAUUACACCUCUGAUCAUGAUUAUGAUUAUGCUUUGUGAGUAGUUACUUUUGUUCCUGAGGACAUGGGAUAAGUCAUGCUGAUAAUAGUCAUGUGAAUUUGGUAUUCGUUCGGUAUUUUGAUAUGCUGUAUGUUGUUUUUCCUCUAGUGGUGUUAUGUGAACGUCGACUACAUAACAUUUCACCAUAUUUGGGCCUAGAGGAAGGCAUCGGGGAGUAGUAAGUAGAUGAUGGGUUGCUAGAGUGACAGAAGCUUAAACCCCAGUCUAUGCGUUGCUUCGUAAGGGGCUGAUUUGGAUCCACUAGUUUAAUGCUAUGGUUAGACGUUGUCUUAAUUCUUCUUUCGUAGUUGUGGAUGCCUGCGAGAGGGGUUAAUCAUAAGUGGGAUGCUUGUCCAAGUAAGGGCAGUACCCAAGCGUCGGUCCACCCUGAUGUCAGCUGUGCUUCCCUUGCAACGGCGCAAGAAAUUGUCGUGUCGAUGGCACCAGGAAUCCUUCAGCUGCGGCUACGCCUUAAGGGACUUCCUAGGCAAGUAUGCAAAGGAUUUCCCCCGUGGCCUUGGAGCCUUGCGUUGGUGUUCCCUCGAAGCGGAAAGGGUGAUGUAGCACAACGGUGGUAAGUAUUUCCCUGAGUUUGAGAACCAAGGUAUCAAUCGAGUGGAGGAGUAUCUCAAGAUCCUGCACAAACACAAAAUCUUGCUCCCAACGCUAUGAAGGGGUUGUCAAUCCCUUAUAGAUUGUUUGCCAAGUGAGAACUGAAAGCAAUAAAGUAACAAAGCAAAGUAAAAGCGGAGGUGUAAACGAUGGAUGUGAAUAGACCUGGGGGCCUUAGUGUUUACUAGUGGCUUCUCUCAUGAAAGCAAGUAGACGGUGGGUGAACAAAUUACUGUCGAGCAAUUGAUAGAACCGCGCAAAGCCGUGACGAUAUCUAUGCAAUGAUUAUAUAUAUGGGCAUCACGUCCAAAACAAGUAGACCGAUACUUUAUGCAUCUACUACUAUUACUCCACANNNNNACCGCUAUCCAGCAUGCAUCUAGUGUAUUAAGUCCANNNNNNNNNNNNNNNNNNNNNNNNNNNNNNNNNNNNNNNNNNNNNNNNNNNNNNNNNNNNNNNNNNNNNNNNNNNNNNNNNNNNNNNNNNNNNNNNNNNNAUAGAGCCGCAUGCUAGUUGGGCCUUGCCCUCAUUGCUGCUACAUGACGUGCUAGUAUCAUUGUGUAUCCUUCUACACUGGCAGAGGCAUACAUUUGCAUACAUCAUGGUAGUUUUCACUUGUAUUUAUGUUGAGUACUUCUUAUAAAGUGUGAUGAUUUUUCUUUCUAUUCAUGUAAAAUAUAGAGUGUUGCCCUUAAGAGAGUAAAAGAUCCCAAAAUGGACAAACAAAAGAUCCCAAAGAGGACAAAUGAGAGAUAAAAAGAAAGAGCCAAAGAGGCCACAAAAAAUAAAAAAUAAAUAGAAAAAUAAAAAGGAAAAAAGAAAUAAAAAGAGAGAAGGGGGCAACACUACUAUUCCUUUUUGAAGAUCCACACUCAUACUCCAUUACUAUAUUGGUACUACAUAGAGAUUACCAUUCAUGCAUAACUAUGUGGGGAUCCUUACACUAUAGAACUUGGUUUGCAUAUUCUAAUGAUGAGCCUCCGCAAAUGAGCUCUAGGUCUUCAUGAGCAAAGAAGUUGGAUGCACCCCCACUAGUUCCAUUGCAGAGCUUACCUUAGCUCAUAUGUGCAUCCGUUACAUGGCAAUCCCUACUCCUCACAUCAUAUCUAUCAUUUGGCUUUCUCUCGCCUAUGAUUGUCCUCAUUGAUGUGAGCCUUUCACACCUUUUUGUCUUCCUUCCCCAUCAUUAUUCUAUUUGCCAUCCUAAGUGCCAACAUGUCUUGCUUACUCUCAUCCAUUGCAUGAGAGCUCAAAGUCGAAAGGGAGAGGAUCAUUUUGACUUGUGCCUGACAAGUGGUUUGGGGAUGAGUCAAAAUAAGAUUCCAAAGGAGACUAAGUGUGAGUUUUAGUAGAUUGAGUUCUCAAUUAAAAAAUAUUUUAUCUCUGAACCCAUCUCCCACUUCUUGCACGCAAACACCUUUUGGAGACAUUCGAGUCACGGACAGCGAGAGCUCUUGCACCUUUAUAUUCUUACUUUGUUAAAUUCAAUACUAGAUAUAGACUCUUGCUUGUUAUUUUCUUGACUUGAAUUGCAUAUCUCACUUGCUUUACUGUGAAGUUCUUAUAUGUGUGUUAGCAUGUCACCACAUAAAUUAUUGUGUUAUCAUUUAUCUACUCGAGGACGAGCAGAAAUAAAGCUUGGCGAUGUUGAUGCGUCCUAAACGUAUCUAUAAUUUCUGCUUGUUCCAUGAUCUUUUGGUGACAUUGUUACAUGUUUUGCUACACUUUUAUAUCAUUUUACCCAUAUUGGAACUAACAUACUAACUCAGUGCACCCAGUGCCAGUUUCUAUCUGCUGAUGUCUUUUUUUGCAGGGCUUUUACCCAAUUUUCCAAAGCCCGAAAAAAUGCAGAAAAUUAUAUAAAAAAAUCAGCGAAACAGAAGCUUCGGGACCACCGAAGGAGGGCCAGAGGGGGCCAGGGGCCUCCCAGGGUGCCUGCUCGCGCGGCCAGGCCCUAGGUCGCGCCAGGAGGUCGCCUGGGUGGGCCCCACCUCCUCUGGUUCCCUCCUUUGGCCUAUAUUUAGUGUUCCGUGAGGAAACCCUCGCAGACAAUCUGGAAUCACGAAUUUCUCCAUCAUUCCACCGUCGCAACGCUUCCGAGAUCGGGAGCGUCAGGCGACCUCUUCCCGCAUCCUGUCGGAGGGAGGAUUGACCUCCGGGAGCUUCUCCACCACCAUGUACGCCUCCCGUAUGUGUCGUGAGUAGUUUCCCUUGGACCAUGAGUCCAUGACCAGUAGCUAUGUCAUGUCUUCUCUCCAAUCUUGUGCUUCAAUGGUUAGUCCUUGUGAGCUGCCCUACAUGAUCAAGGCAUCUAUGUAAUUCUCUUGCUAUUGCUAUGCUCGGUUUGUUGGGAUCUGAUGGAUUAUGAGAUUAUGUUCAGAUUGUUAUGAGUUAUAUACUUGAUUAUCCUUUUAUAUUAUGUUCCUUAGUGAUUCAUGCAUGUUCUCCGUUGCUUUUUAUUGCUUUGUCCAAGUAGUAGAUCGUAACUCCAAAAGGGAGCGUUAUGCAUGAUUGUGGGUUCGGCCCCCUCGAUGUCUAGCUUGAGUGACAGAAACAUGAGACUAGGGGUUGUGCUUGUUGCCACCAGGGAGAAAACAACGGUGCUUGUGACCAAGGUUGCAAGGAUUGUUUACCUUACGCAUAGUUCGUUAAUGUGGUUGUCCGUUGCUUUGAGUUUACACUUCGGGUGGGGCUCGCAACUUAAUACCGGAGAGAUAUUCUGGAUAGAUAUCUCAAGGUGGAUGAUUAGUAAGUAGAUGUUGAUGAAUAAAUGGUCUACUUGUCUUGGCGUAUUGCCCAUUAAUAUUGAACCUCUAACUAUCAAGGAGCAUAAUUAACAUUGCGGUGCGAUCAUAAUUCUGUCAAUUGCCCAACUAUAAUUCGUUUACCCUAGCAUAGUUGUUUAUCGUCUUUUGGGAGAGACAUCACUAGUGAACAUCAUGUGACUCCGGUCCAUAUCACCAUCAUUGCUUACACCUCCACUAUUUACCGCUUUAUUUACUUUUCCGUUGCAAUCACUAUUACCUUCCCGCUUGUGCUUUGAUCCUUUGCAAACUACAAGGCGGAAGAGAUUAAUGCUACCUCUUGAGAUUGCGUUGGUUUUUCCCUUGAAGAGGAAAGGGUGAUGCAGCAAAGUAGCGAUAAGUAUUUCCCUCAGUUUGAGAACCAAGGUAUCAAUCCAGUAGGAGUAUCAAGAUGAGGCACCAAUGUACCUGCACAAAAACAAACAAACUUGCACCCAACGCUAUAAAGGGGUUGUCAAUCCCUUCACGAUUACUUGCAAGGUGAGAUCUGAAGGUGAAAAGUGCAACAAAGUAUUUUUGGUAUUUUUGUAGAUCUGAAUAUAUGAUGUGAAGUAGACCCGGGGGCCAUAGUGUUCACUAGAGGCUUCUCUCAUGAUAGCAAGUAUUACGGUGGCUGAACUAAUUACUGUCGAGCAAUUGAUAGAAUCUCGCAAAGUCAUGAUGAUAUAUAAGGCAAUGAUCAUACAUAUAGGCAUCACGUCCGAGACAAGUAGACUGAUACUGUCUGCAUAUACUACUAUUACUCCACACAUCGACCGCUAUCCAGNAUGCAUCUAGUGUAUUAAGUUCAUAACAAACGGAGUAACGUCUUAAGCAAGAUGACANNNNNNNNNNNNNNNNNNNNNNNNNNNNNNNNNNNNNNNNNNNNNNNNNNNNNNNNNNNNNNNNNNNNNNNNNNNNNNNNNNNNNNNNNNNNNNNNNNNNUAUUGUCACUCCGGGGUUGCCGAGUCAUAACACAUAGUAGGUGACUACAAAUUGCAAGAUAGGAUCUAAAACACACAUAUAUUGGCGACAACAUAAUAGGUUCAGAUCUGAAAUCAUGGCACUCGGGCCCUACUGUGAUGCACUCGGUUUAAUCGUACGCUAAUCAUACACGCAAAUGUGUACGAUCAAACCCAAGGACUCACGGGAAGAUAUCACAACACAACUCUAGACACAAAUAAAAAUAACAUCAGCUUCAUAUUACAAGCCAGGGGCGUCGAGGGCUAGAAUACGGAAGCUCGAUAACCACACGAGUCAGCGGAAGCAACAAAUAUCUGAGUACAGACAUAAAACAUGGGGUGCCUUAGAGAAGGCUAGCACAAAAGAUACAACGAUCGAACGAGGCGAGGCCUCCUGCCUGGGAACCUCCUAACUACUCCUCAUCAUCAGCGGCUUCCACGUAGUAGUAGGCACCGUCGGGGUAGCAGUCGUCGUCGGCGGGGACCUCCAUCUCCUGGGCUCCAUCAUCUGGUCGCAGCAAACGGAUCAAGGGGACAAGGGGGGAGCAAAGCAGCGGUGAGUACUCAUCCAAAGUACUCGCAAGUCUUACAUCAGAACUAUUCUAAAUAUGCAUCAGUAUCAAAGAAGGGGGGGGUUAUAUGUGGACUGACUGCAGCAAUGCGAGAAUAGAGAGAGACAAGGCCUAGUCCUAUCGAAGAGUAGCAUCUUCAGGGUCUUGCAGCAAUAGACGAGAGUAGAACAGGGGGUAAAACAUUAAUAGUCAUAUUGUUGCAGCAAUAUUAAAGUGAGGUCACGCCUAAAGAUCCUCCCUCGACUCCCUGCGAGGAAGCAAUCCCGAGGCAAACUAAUUCCAGUUAAGUAACCAUUGUAGUUGUAUAAGAUCGGGGCACAACUCCAAGUUGUCCUGUAACCAUGGACACGGCUAUUCGAAUAGUUAAUUUUCAUCCCUGCAGGGGUGCACCACAUGUCCCGUCACGCUCGAUUACACUCUGGCCGGACAUACUUUUCUGGGUCCUGCCCGGCCUCGGAAUAUCGACACGUCGCAGCCCCACCUAAGACUAAUCAAACAGGUCAGCCCGCCGGUCUAAAUCCUAAGCGCAAAGGGUUCAUGGGCCCAGUUCCCCUCCGUGCUCCUACAUGAUGCGAGGGCGGCCGACGUCAGUCCUAGCAUCCCUUAAUCACAAGCGCAAUGCAUCUCGGGACCACUCGGGCGCGCGCCACUAUGAUUGCUGACAUCUGAAAAGCUUCGGCUGAUACCGCGACUUCGAGUACCCAUAAUUCUUCCCGCGUAGCUGGUUAGUGCGAAAAGGUCUCCGACCAACCCUGAUCAAAUACCCAAAUCCAUUAACAUUUUAAUUAGGCCAGCAACACAGUCUCACGGGAACCCACCCAUCUUACAACUAAUCACCAAAGAUCCCAGUAACAUGGUCGAGUAACUGUGUGGUUGUAACAUCGGUGGGAAUCCGAGGUAUCACCCUCGUUGGAUUCCGAACGAUGUACCCAUCAAGGUGGGCUUAGAUGAAUCACCCUCGGGGGUCCCACACUUGAGGGGUUGCACGACAGAGGCGUCAUCGGGAAUGGUGAAAGAGGAAUCACCCUCGAUAACCAUGACCGACUAGCUAUACUACAAAGAUAUCAUCAGGAGUACUUAGCGAGGUGUCACCCUCGGUACCCGAUAGUAUCCCUGUAGCAUCGUACAACGAAUGGGGUGUAUGUGCUGUGUCGGGUCUGGCUCAUCGAUCAGAGAUCGAGAUUUGAAAACUAGUGGGGCAACUGAACUACGGGGUCAGAGGGGAUGACUGCUCCACCUAUACUAAGCAGAUUAAGUACAUGACUGAAAGUAGCAGUUAAUAAAAAAUAGGCUAUGCAUCAGAUAUAUGAGCUAACUACAACAGUAGCAAAAAACUAAUGCAAGCAGUAGGCAGAAAGACAUAGGCGAUAUAGGAAUGAUCAAGGGGGGGGGGGUUUGCUUGCCUUGCUGCUCUGCGACAAAGGACUGAUCGACAGGGUCGUAGAAGUACCCGGCAGCAGCGUCAGUCUCGGGGUCUACCGGUAAGAAGAGGGGGAAGAAACAAUAAAUAAUAGCAACGGUGUAACAUAAAGCAUGACAUGGCAAGAUGCAGGCUAGACAUGAGCUAACGCAGCAGCAUCCGUCAUAGACGGGUCGGAAUAAUAUCUGACGAUAUUUUCCGGGUCUCGGGCUACUACCGGUCAUACUGGAAAUGAUGGAAAUGUUCCAUGUUUGCUAUGCUAGGGACGCGUGACAGACGAACGGGUCGUGUAUCCGGGUUCGUCUCGUUCUGUUGAUCAACUUUCAUGUUGAAAAUAUUUUGAUCUGACUUACGGAUUAUUUUAUAUUAAAUUUCAAAGUUUUAUUAAUUAUUUAAGAAUUAAAAACUGAUUCAUUUAUUUUAAUAAGUCCUAUUAUGACCUCAUCGCGAUGUUAGUGCUCACAUCACAGUUGACCAGUCAACUGUGAUGUGANNNNNNNNNNNNNNNNNNNNNNNNNNNNNNNNNNNNNNNNNNNNNNNNNNNNNNNNNNNNNNNNNNNNNNNNNNNNNNNNNNNNNNNNNNNNNNNNNNNNNNNNNNNNNNNNNNNNNNNNNNNNNNNNNNNNNNNNNNNNNNNNNNNNNNNNNNNNNNNNNNNNNNNNNNNNNNNNNNNNNNNNNNNNNNNNNNNNNNNNNNNNNNNNNNNNNNNNNNNNNNNNNNNNNNNNNNNNNNNNNNNNNNNNNNNNNNNNNNNNNNNNNNNNNNNNNNNNNNNNNNNNNNNNNNNNNNNNNNNNNNNNNNNNNNNNNNNNNNNNNNNNNNNNNNNNNNNNNNNNNNNNNNNNNNNNNNNNNNNNNNNNNNNNNNNNNNNNNNNNNNNNNNNNNNNNNNNNNNNNNNNNNNNNNNNNNNNNNNNNNNNNNNNNNNNNNNNNNNNNNNNNNNNNNNNNNNNNNNNNNNNNNNNNNNNNNNNNNNNNNNNNNNNNNNNNNNNNNNNNNNNNNNNNNNNNNNNNNNNNNNNNNNNNNNNNNNNNNNNNNNNNNNNNNNNNNNNNNNNNNNNNNNNNNNNNNNNNNNNNNNNNNNNNNNNNNNNNNNNNNNNNNNNNNNNNNNNNNNNNNNNNNNNNNNNNNNNNNNNNNNNNNNNNNNNNNNNNNNNNNNNNNNNNNNNNNNNNNNNNNNNNNNNNNNNNNNNNNNNNNNNNNNNNNNNNNNNNNNNNNNNNNNNNNNNNNNNNNNNNNNNNNNNNNNNNNNNNNNNNNNNNNNNNNNNNNNNNNNNNNNNNNNNNNNNNNNNNNNNNNNNNNNNNNNNNNNNNNNNNNNNNNNNNNNNNNNNNNNNNNNNNNNNNNNNNNNNNNNNNAGUCGGCCAGGGGGGUGGGGGGUUUCCUUUUCUUCUUUUUCUUUUUUUUGUUUCGUUUUGUUCUGUUUUUCCUUUUCUAUUAUUUCUUCUUUCUAAUCUUUUCUUUUGUUUUCAAUUUCUGAAUCCGGAUAGAAAUUCAAUGCGGGUCAACGACGGUAAUUCUCGAUGAUGUGGCAUCAUUAGCGGGUGAUCACUGUAUCUUAAUUACAAUAUUUACUGUAGCAAAAGUCGAGGAUGUCACAAUUCUCCCCUACUAACAAGAAUUCUCGUCCCGAGAAUUAAGAGGUAGAGGGAAAGAGCCCGAGAUAUUCAUCACGAAGAUGAUCCUCGCGUUCCCAAGUGGCUUCAUCUUCAGAGUGAUUUGACCACUGCACUUUAAGGAACUUGGUGACCUUGCGACGAGUCUUACGUUCAGCUUGGUCGAGAUUGCGGACCGGACGCUCUUUAUAAGAGAGGUCUUGUUGUAGCUCAAGCAUAUCGUGAUCCACUGCUCGAAUAGGGUUCUUGAAGUAGCGACGGAGCUGAGAAACAUGGAAGACAUCGUGAACCUGAGAAAGGUUCCCCGACAGUUCCAAUUGGUAAGCCACUCUUCCACGCCUUUCGAGAAUAGUGAAAGGACCAAUAUAACGAGGAGCUAACUUGCCCUUGAUUCCGAAACGGUGUGCACCUCUCAUUGGUGUGACACGAAGAUAAGCCUUUUCGCCAGGUUGAUAGACCAUAUCUUGAUGAUGACGGUCAUACUGACUCUUCUGACGAGACUGAGCAGCCUUCAGAUUCUCAUGAAUAAUGCGGACUUGAUCUUCGGCAUGUUGAAUAAUAUCCGGACCGAAGAGUGAUCGUUCCCCAGUUUCUGACCAAUUCAGAGUAGUUCGACACCUUCGCCCAUACAAUACUUCGAAAGGGGCCAUCUUCAGACUACUUGAUAGCUAUUGUUGUAAGAGAACUCGGCAUACGGGAGAGAUUCCUCCCAUUUCUUACCGAAAGAAAUGACACAAGCUCGAAGCAUGUCCUCGAGAAUUUGGUUGACUCGUUCAACUUGUCCGUGGGAUUGAGGAUGAAAUGCAGUGCUGAAGGACAGAUGAGUCCCCAUAGCCUUCUGAAAACUUUCCCAAAAUUUUGAAGUGAACAAACUGCCACGGUUCGAACUGAUUACCAACGGAAUACCGUGAAGGGAAACAACUCUUGACAUAUAAAGAUCUGCCAGCUGACUAGCAUUAAUUGUUUCUUUGACGGCCAGGAAAUGUGCAACUUUGGACAGUCGAUCAAUGACGACAAGAAUAGCAUCAUUACCUUUCUGAGAUCUGGGAAAACCAGUGACAAAGUCCAUUUCAACAUGGUCCCAUUUCCACUCAGGAAUAGAGAUAGGUUGCAGAGUUCCAGCAGGCUUUUGGUGUUCUGCUUUGAUACGCCGGCAUAUAUCACAUUCUGCCACAUAGCAUGCAAUCUCUUGUUUCAUACUGGGCCACCAGAAUCUUUGUCGGAUGUCUUGGUACAUCUUGGUACUACCCGGGUGAAUAGACAAUGGUGUGUCAUGAGCUUCUACCAUCACCUUCCCAGUCAUCCUAAGAUUUUCCUUCUUAUUUGGGAUGAAUAGGCGACCCUUGAAAUGCAAGGCGCCAUCUUCAUCAACAGUGAAAAAGGAGGGUUUACCCUUCGCAAUAUAGCUCUUAAUCCUGUCAACAUCAUCGUCAAAGCCUUGCAGAUUCUUUAUGGAGCUCACAAGAUCUGGUUCAACCACUAGGUUACUCAGGGAACCCUGAUUAACAACACGAAGGUUCAUCUUUUGACACUCUUCAGGAGGGGGAACAAGGUAACCCUGAGGAACAAUGUGGAGGUUCAGCUUAUGGAAUUCCUCUUGCAAACGAUCGUGAACCUUAUGAACCUGGAGGUGGUUGCAGUAUGACUUGUGACUCAAGGCAUCAACCAUUACGUUAGCCUUUCUAGGGGUAUAUGAUAUGCUACAGUCAAAAUCUUCUAUACGCUCCAUCCAUCUUUGUUGAUGUAGGUUCAGCUCCGGUUGAGUGAACAUGUACUUCAGACUUUGAUGGUCGGUGUAGAUUUCACAAUGAUUACCGACAAGGUAUUGUCGCCAUUCCUUCAAUGCAUGAAUGACUGCGGCAAGCUCGAGAUCAUGAACUGGGUAGUUCUCUUCAUGAGCACGCAGUUGUCGUGAAGCAUAAGCGAUCACCUUGCGAUCCUGCAUCAGGACACAACCUAUUCCUUGACGAGAAGCAUCACAGUAUAUGACGAAAUCCCUUUUCGUAUCCGGAGGAGCAAGUACUGGAGCGGACGUCAGUUUGUCCUUGAGCGCCUGGAAACUUUCCUGACAUUUAUCAGUCCACUCAUACUUAACACCUUUGUGAAGCAGAUUGGUUAAGGGCUUCGCAAUCUUGGAGAAGUUCUCGACGAAUCGACGGCAAUAGCCGGCGAGUCCGAGAGAACUUCUGACUUGCUUGACAUUCUUCGGGGGAGUCCAGUCAAGAAUAGCUUGAAUUCGUUCGGGGUUGACUGCAAUACCAUCCUUGGAAUUCACAUGACCAAGGUAAGUCACUUCUUCUAGCCAGAACUCACAUUUGGAAUACUUCGCAUAGAGUUUAUGCUCCCGAGGCUUAUCCAGUACAAGACGAAGAUGUUCAACAUGCUCUUCUUUGUUCUUCGAAAAUAACAGAAUAUCAUCCAGAUAUACCACGACAAAUUUGUCGAGGUAGUCCAUGAAUAUAUAAUUCAUCAAUCGAGAGAAGGUUGCCGGUGCAUUGGUUACGCCGAAGGACAUGACGGUGUACUCGUAUGAUCCAUAACGAGUAACAAAGGCGGUCUUUGGAAUAUCCUCCUUGCGAACACGGAUCUGGUGGUACCCCAAUCUCAAGUAGAGCUUAGAGAAGAUGGUGGAACCAGCAAGUUGAUCAUACAAAUCAUUUAUCCGAGGGAGAGGAUAUUUGUUUUGAAUAGUGGCCUGGUUGAUAGGACGAUAGUCUUGAACCAAUCGAUUUGUCCCAUCCUUCUUCUUAACAAAGAGAGAAGGUGCUCCCCAAGUAGAGGAACUCGGACGGAUGAAACCCAGACGGAGCGAGUUGUCAAAUUCUUGCUUAAGUUCAAGGAGUUCAUGUGGUGGCAUUUUAUAAGGGCGCUUGGCAAUAGGAGUGGUACCGGGUACCAAGUCAAUGACAAACUCGACACCUCGAGCAGGGGGAAUCCCCGGAAGUUCUUCUGGGAUGACAUGUUGAAAUUCUCGGACCACUGGAAUGUUUUCAAUCCCUUCAAGAGGCGACGCAUUUAAUGCAUUCAAAGCAUACAACCGUGCCUCAGCAUUACGGACGAGAUGAACAUGGUAGCUUAUUAAUUCAUCUAAAGGGUGUAGGAUAUGGACGGUCUUGGUGGCACAAACGACCGAUGCCGUAUGAGCUUUCAACCAGUCCAUCCCCAUGGUAUACGAUUUAUCAUAGAGAUCAAACAGUACCUAUGUGUCACGGCCAGCUGAAAAUUUGAAUCUACGAACAAAGGAGGUAGUGAGAGGAACAUACUGUUCACAUUUAUCGGAGAUGAAUUCUUCAAGUGAGACGUUGUGAACAAGUGCAUCAAACUCAUCUUUGAAACCUGCCUCAAUCAUAAAUUCAUCAGAAGGCCAUUCACAUGGUUGUACCUGCGCGUCCCUUGGUUGGUAAGGAUCGGGCUCCCGAAUCACAAGACGGGGGCCUCUCUUGCUUGAGGAACCACCAUGAUAGUUUCUCCUGAACAUCUUCCUUUUCUGAAAUUUUCAGUGACUCUAAGGAAAAGUGAACAAGGCUCAACUAAACUCGUAGCAACUACUCCAACAAGUGCCUAGAGGGCAUAUUACGCAUCAAAACUACUUGGGACCAGCUAAAAUUAGCAUGCAAAGCUCAAGAACAUGGUUACCAAGGCAACAAAAAUACGCGAAGUAUAAGGCACUAGAGCAAAAACUAAUUGGACCAAUGGAGGAGUCACUUACCAAGGAGUAAUUUCCCGAAAACAGUUCGGAGAAUGGUGCUUUGAGCAAAGAGAUCGAAAAUCCCAGCAAGAGGAGCAAGAACACGGGUUUGAGCUGCGAAACGAUUUUUUCUAGAGGUGGGAGAAGCAGAUAUGAGCAAGAAUGAGUGGAGGGGGUGCCCGUGGGCCCCACAAGCCAGGGAGGCGCGGCCAGGGGGAUGCCCGCGCCUCAGGGGCUUGUGGCCCACUGGUGCAGCUCCCAGACAAGCUCUUUGUCUCAGAAUUUUCAAAAAAUCCAAAAAAAAUCAUACUUGAUUUUCAGGACGUUCGGAGAACUUUUAUUUUCGGGGUACUUUUCCACCGGGCACUAAAAGCAGAAAACAGGGAAAACUAAACUAAACCUAUAAUUUUUCUUCUAGGCAACCAAAGGUAAAAGCUUGGAACAGAGGUUGGUGACUCCUCGAUUCAUCCAUCUCACGGUCAUCGAGAGAAAUCCGUAAGUGAGGUUGAUCAAGUCUCCUCGACAAACCUUUUCGAAUUGCAAAAGAAGACAGAGAAUUUUCGAAUAGUCACUAGGUCACCUCAAUGGGGAUAUGUAUUUCCCCAACAAGCAAAUCAUACUUCAUCUUAACACGAGGUAUAUGGCAAUCAAAGCUCCCAAUAAAUAUCAAUGAAGUUUUUUUGAUAGCAUUGAUGCAAUGUACUCGAUAUUGUUUCUUUGGAAAGUGCACCGUAUGCUCAUUACCGUUGACAUGGAAAGUGACAUUGCCUUUGUUGCAAUCUAUAACAGCCCCUGCAGUGUUUAAAAAGGGUCUUCCGAGGAUGACUGCCAUGGCAUCGUCCUCGGGAAUAUCCAAGAUAACAAAUUCUGUUAAGAUAGUGACAUUAGCAACCACAACAGGCACAUCCUCGCAAAUGCCGAUAGGGAAAGCAGUUUAUUUGUCGGCCAUUUGCAGAGACAUUUUAGUGGGAGUCAACUUAUCCAGUUCAAGUCUAUGAUAAAGAGAGAGAGGCACAACACUAACAAUGGCUCCAAGGUCGCAUAAAGAAGUUCAAACAUAGUUACCUUUAAUGGAGCAAGGUAUAGUGGGCACCGGGAUCACCUAGUUUCUUAGGAGUUCCACCCUUGACGGUAUAAUUAGCCAGCAUGGUGGAAAUCUCAACCUCAGGUAUCCUCCUCUUAUUAGUCACAAUAUCCUUCGUGUACUUAGCAUACAAAGACAUUUUGAGCAUAUCUGUCAAACGCAUUUGUAGAAGGACAGGUCUAAUCAUUUCAACAAAUCGCUCAAAAUCCUCAUCAUCCUUUUUAUUGGAUGGUUUGGGAGGAAAGGGCAUUGGUUUCUGAACCCAUGGUUCCCUUUCUUUACCAUGCUUCCUAGUAGUGAAGUCAUUCUUAUCGUAACUUCUAUUCUUAGUCUAUGGGUUAUCAAGAUCAACAAGUUCAAUCUCCACAUCCUUUUCAUUGCUAGGUUGACCAUCUUCAUGAAGAUCACUAUUGAUAUUAUCAUUAGGCUCAUGUUCAUCACCAGAUUGUGUCUUAGCAUCAGAAACACAAACAUUGUUUGGACUCUCAGGUGUAUCAGCAUCUGGGUUGCUAGCGUGCAGGUUCCUAUCAUCUUUUUUUCUUCUUUCUAGGAUGACUAGGUGCAUCAGUGCUAACUCCUUGAGUAUCUUGUUCAAUUCUCUUCGGAUGACCCUCAGGAUACAAAGGUUCCCGGGUCAUUCUACCGCCUCUAGUGACGACUCUGACAGAGUUGUCAUUCAACUCAUUGAGCAAGUCAUUCUGAGCUUUAAGUACUUGUUCUACUUGAGUAGUAACCAUAGAGGCAUGUUUACUCAGAAGCUUAAGAUCAUUGACAUUUCUGUCUACACAAGCACUUAAAUAACUAAGCAUACGAGCAAUCUGUUCCAAUUGUCGGCUAAUAUAAUCAUUGAAAGUUUGUUGUUUGGCAACAAAGUUAUCAAAUUCAUACAUGCAUAGGCUAGCAGGUUUAUCAAAAGGAAUAUCACUCUCAUCAAACCUACGCAGAGAAUUUACUUCUACUACCUGUAUCGGGUUAUCGAGACCAUGGAUCUCCUCGAUAGGUGGUAGAUUUUUGACAUCUUCAGAUUUAAUGCCUUUCUCUCGCAUAGAUUUCUUAGCUUCUUGCAUAUCUUCAGGACUGAGGAAUAUAAUACCUCUUUUCUUCGGAGUUGGCUUAGGAGGUGGUUCGGGAAUAGUCCAAGCAUUCUCAUUGCACAAGAUGUUAUCCAGUAGAAUCUCAGCUUGUUCUACGGUUCGUUCCCUAAAAACACAACCAACACAACUAUCUAGGUGGUCUUUGGAAGCAUCGGUAAGUCCAUUAUAGAAGAUAUCAAGUAUUUCAUUCUUCUCAAGCGGGUGAUCAGGCAAAGCAUUCAGUGGCUAGACAAGCCUCCCCCAAGCUUGUGGGAGACUCUCUUCUCCAGCUUGAGCAAAGUUGUAUAUUUCCUGCAAGGCAGCUUGCUUCUUAUGGGCAGGGAAAUAUUUUUCAGAGAAGUAGUAGACCAUAUCCUGGGGGCUAUGCACACAACCAGGAGUAAGAGAAGUGAACCAAGUUUUAGCAUCAUCCUUUAGCGAGAAAGGAAACAACUUGAGGAUAUAGUAGUGGCGGAUCUUUUCCUCACUAGUGAAUAGGGUGGCUAUAUCGUGCAGUUUGGUAAGAUGGGCUACAACCGUUUCAGACUCAUAACCGUGAAAAGGAUCAGAUUCAACCAAAGUGAUUAACUCAGGGUUAACAUAUAAUUCAUAAUCCUUAUCGGUCACAAAGAUAGGCGAAGUAGCGAACUUCGGGUCGUAUUUCAUCCUAGCGUUCAGAGACUUUUCUUUCCACUUGAGCAGUAAUUUCUCAACAUCAUAGCUAUCCUUACACGCAAGAAAAUCCUCAGCUAUCUCUCCCUCCAUAACAUAGCGCUCAGGCAUAACAGGCAAUUCAGGCAUAGUAGCAGGUUCUACUUCAAUAGUAUCAGCAGUUUUAGAAGUAUCAUCACAUCUAGCAGCAACUCUAGCAAUUUGUGCAUAAAGGAAUGCACCUAGUGGCAAAGCAGUAUCAAGCAUAGCAUCAUUAGGCAAAGCAGUAUCAAGCAUGGCAUCAUCAUAGGCGUCAUGGCAGCAAAAGUAGCAUCAUCAAGCAUAUGCGACAUAUCAAGAUUUCUAGCAGGAGGUGAUGUCGCAAACUUACUCAUAACUGAAGGUGAAUCAAGUGCAGAGCUAGAUGGCAGUUCCUUACCUGUCCUCGUAGUUGAGGGCAAGAUUUCAGUUCUUGGAUCUUUCAGAUUCCUCAUAGUGACCAGCAUACGUCAAUCCCGAGUGACUCAGAGAAUAUAGAUGUGCUUCCUCGGCGACGGCGUGAGAAAAUUGUCUUGAUAACCCACAUGUAUAGGGGAUCGCAACAGUUUUCGAGGGUAGAGUAUUCAACACAAAUUUAUUGAUUCGACUCAAGGGGAAGAAAAAGAAUAUUCUCAAGUAUUAGCAGUUGAGUUGUCAAUUCAACCACACCUGAAAGAUUUAGUGUCUGCAGCAAAGUAUCAGUAGCAAGGUAGUAUGAUAGGAGCAGUAGCAACAGUAGCCAGUAGCAGCAAAGUAACAGCAGUAGCAACAGAGUAAUGGUAGCGACAGUGAUAGCAGUAGCGGCAAAGUAACGUAGCAAGGACCAGUAGUAAAAGACUCGUAGGCAUUGGAUCGGUGAUGGAUGAUUAUGCAGGCUGUGAUUCAUCAUGUAACAACUAUAACACGGAGAGAUAUGUAAAUAGCUCCCGUUCGUCAAUCUAAUGUAGGCAUGUAUUCCGUAUGUAGUCAUACGUGCCUAGGGAAAAUAACUUGCAUGACAUCUNNNNNNNNNNNNNNNNNNNNNNNNNNNNNNNNNNNNNNNNNNNNNNNNNNNNNNNNNNNNNNNNNNNNNNNNNNNNNNNNNNNNNNNNNNNNNNNNNNNNUGGACUUAAUACACUACAUGCAUGCUGGAUAGCGGUCGACAUGUGGAGUAAUAAUAGUAGAUGCAGAAAGUAUCGGUCUACUUGUUUUGGACGUGAUGCCUAUAGAUAUAAUCAUUGCAUAGAUAUCGUCGUGACUUUGCGCAGUUCUAUCAAUUGCUCGACAGUAAUUUGUUCACCCACCGCCUACUUGCUUUCAUGAGAGAAGCCACUAGUAAACACUACGGCCCAGGGGUCUAUUCACAUCCAUCGUUUACACCUCCGCUUUUACUUUGCUUUGUUACUUUGUUGCUUUCAGUUCUCACUUGGCAAACAAUCUAUAAGGGAUUGACAAACCCUUCAUAGCGUUGGGAGAAAGCUUUUGUGUUUGUGCAGGAUCCUUAGAUACUCCUCCACUUGAUUGAUACCUUGGUUCUCAAACUGAGGGAAAUACUUACCACCGCUGUGCUACAUCACCCUUUCCGCUUCGAGGGAACACCAACGCAAGGCUCCAAGGCCACGGGGGAACUCCUUUGCAUACUUGCCUAGGAAGUCCCUUAAGGUGUAGCCGCAGCUCAAGGAUUCCUGGUGCCGUCGACACGACAAUUUCUGGCGUCGUUGCAAGGGAAGCACAGCUGGGAUCAGAAGUAUUUCUGGCGCUGUUGCUGGGGAGGAGAAAUCAAGAUCUAUCCAAGUAGGUCUCACAAACUCUUCUCUUGCAUUUAGUUUUGUUGCCACUUGCCUCUCGUUUUCCUCUCCCCCACUUCACAUUUGCCGUUUUCAUUUGCCUUUCUCCUUCGCCGUUUUCUUUUGCCUUUGUCAUUUCCCUUUGCCGGUUUUCUCGCUUGCUUGUGUGCUUGUUUGUUUGUUGAAGUCAUCAUGGCUGAAAACACCAAACUUUGCUACUUCUCGAGCACUAAUAAUAAUGAUUUUAUUAGUACUCCGAUUGCUCCCACCACUAGUGCGGAAUCGUAUGAAAUCAACGCAGCUUUGCUGAAUCUUGUUAUGGAAGAGCAAUUCUCUGGCCUUCCUAGUGAAGAUGCCGCAUCCCAUCUCAAUACCUUCAUUGAGCUUUGUGAUAUGCAAAAGAAAAGAGAUGUGGAUAAUGACAUGAUUAAGUUGAAACUUUUUCCUUUCUCGUUGCGAGAUCGUGCAAAAACUUGGUUUUCUUCUUUGCCUAAAAAUAGUAUCGAUUCUUGGGAUAAGUGCAAAGAUGCUUACAUAUCCAAGUAUUUUCCGCCGGCUAAGAUCAUCUCCUUACGCAACGAUAUCAUGAAUUUCAAGCAACUUGACCAUGAACACGUUGCAUAAUCUUGGGAGAGGAUGAAGCUUAUGAUUAGAAAUUGUCCCGUUCAUGGCUUGAGUUUGUGGACGAUUAUACAAAUCUUUUACGCUGGCUUGAAUUUCGCUNNNNNNNNNNNNNNNNNNNNNNNNNNNNNNNNNNNNNNNNNNNNNNNNNNNNNNNNNNNNNNNNNNNNNNNNNNNNNNNNNNNNNNNNNNNNNNNNNNNNNNNNNNNNNNNNNNNNNNNNNNNNNNNNNNNNNNNGGCUUGAAUUUCGCUUUUCGCAAUAUCUUGGACUCUGCCUCAGGUGGAACGUUCAUGGAAAUCACGUUAGGAGACGCUACAAAACUCCUAGACAAUAUCAUGACCAACUACUCUCAGUGGCACACUGAAAGGUCGCCUGCUAGCAAAAAGGUGCACGCUAUAGAACAAAUUAACUUGCUUAGUGCUAAGAUGGACGAGUUGAUGAAUUUAGUUGCUAGUAGAAACGCUACCGUAGAUCCUAAUGACAUGCCACUAUCUUCUUUGAUUGAGAGUAGCAACGCUAGUUUGGACGUGAAUUUUGUUGGUAUGAACAAUUUUGGCAACAAUAAUGCUUUUAGAGGAAACUAUGUUCCUAGGCCUUUCCCUAGUAACUCCUCUAACAAUUAUGGAAAUUCCUACGGCAACACUUAUGUAAAUCACAACAAAUUACCCUCUGAUCUAGAGAGUAAUAUCAUAGAGUUCAUCAACUCUCAAAAGAUUUUCAAUGCGUCCAUAGAGGAAAAACUACUCAAAAUAGACGAUUUGGCUAAGAGCGUUGAUAGGAUGUCUUGUGAUAUUGAUGCUUUGAAAGUUAGAUGCGCUCCUCCCAAGGUCAACUUGGAUGAAACUUUGAAAGCUAUGCGUAUCUCCAUGAACGAGAGCAAAGAAAGAACCGCCCAAAUUCGCGCUAGGCAUGAAUGGUUUAAAAGGGUGCGUUCUAGUGAUGCAAAUCACGAAGAUCUUAAAGUGCUUGGUGUGUCUCCUCUUGAAUCUUUGUUUUCGCGUGUCAAACCUACUUAUGAAGGGGCUGGAUAUGAAUCUACUUUGGUUGAAAAACACCCAAUGAUUCGGAGACCACCUAUCUUGAUGACAAAGGUGUGGAGAGUGGAGUAGAAGAAGUCAAAAUUUUGGGUAGUAAUGAAACUCCCACUUUGGAUUUCAAGGAAUUCAAUUAUGAUAAUUGCUCCUUGUUUGAAUGCAUUUCUUUGAUGCAAUCCAUUGCAAACUCUCCACAUGCUUAUAGCCAAAGCAAAGCCUUUACCGUGCAUAUCGUAGAUGCUAUGAUGAAAUCUUUUCAAGAGAAGCUCGAACUAGAAGUCUCUAUACCUAGAAAACUUCAUUAUGAGUGGGAACCUACUAUCAAAAUCAAGAUCAAAAACUAUGAGUGCAAUUCUUUGUGUGAUUUGGGUGCUAGUGUUUCCGCGAUUCCAAAGUCUUUAUGUGAUAUUCUUGGUUUUCAUGAGAUUGAAGAGUGUUCUCUUAAUUUGCAUCUUGCGGAUUCUACUGUCAAGAAACCCAUGGGGAGGAUCGAUGAUGUUAUUAUUGUUGCAAAUAAGAACUAUGUACCCGUGGAUUUCAUUGUACUUGACAUAGAUUGCAAUCCUUCAUGUCCCAUUAUUCUUGGUAGACCUUUCCUAAGGACUAUUGGUGCUAUGAUCGAUAUGAAGGAAGGGAAUAUUAGAUUUCAAUUUCCUUUGAAGAAGGGCAUCGAGCACUUUCCUAGAAAGAAAAUAAGAUUGCCUUAUGAAUCUAUGAUGAGGGCUACUUAUGGUUUGAGCACCAAAGAUGACUAUACGUGAUUCCAUCAAUUUUCGCCUAGCUAAGGGCGUUAAACAAAAGCGCUUGUUGGGAGGNNNNNNNNNNNNNNNNNNNNNNNNNNNNNNNNNNNNNNNNNNNNNNNNNNNNNNNNNNNNNNNNNNNNNNNNNNNNNNNNNNNNNNNNNNNNNNNNNNNNNNNNNNNNNNNNNNNNNNNNNNNNNNNNNNNNNNNNNNNNNNNNNNNNNNNNNNNNNNNNAGGCAACCCAAUGAAUCUAUCCUUUUUCUUUCUGUUUUGUGUUUUCCACACUUUCAUAAUUUUGUUAUGAUUGUGUUUUUUGUGUUUCUUUUUGCGUUUGUGCCAGGCAAAACCGUUAUGAUUAGUCUUGGGGAUGAUCGUUUGGUCAUGCUGGAAAAGACAGAAACUUUCUGCUCACGAAAAGAAUUUUCUUUUUUUCUGUAAGAGCUUUUGAGUUUAUUCUUCUUGAUGCUGAUUGAUACGCAAAUUCUUCAGACUAUCGUAAUUUUUCAGAAUUUUUGGAGUACUAGAGGUACACGAAAUAUACAGAUUGCUACAGACUAGUCUGCUGUUAACAGAUUCUGUUUUUGUUGUGUUGGUUGCUUAUUUUGAUGAAACUAUGGAUAGUAUCGGGGGGUAUUAGCCAUGCAAGAUUGAAAUUACAGUAACCCGACAUCAUCACAAGUAGAAUUUAAGUUUGCUACAAUACCUAAGGAAGUGGUGGUUUGCUUUCUUGUACUAAUGUUAUCACGAGUUUCUGUUUAAGUUUUGUGUUGUGAAGUUUUCAAGUUUUGGGUGAAGUUCUUAUGGACAAAGAGAUAAAAGAGUGGCAAGAGCUCAAGCUUAGGGAUGCCCAAGGCACCCCAAGAGAUUCAAGGAUGCCGUAAAAUCCUAAGCUUGGGUAUGCCCCGGGAAGGCAUCCCCUCUCUCGUCUUCAAUCCAUCGGUAAGGUUACUUGGGGCUAUAUUUUUAUUCACCACAUGUUAUGUGUUUUGCUUGGAGCGUCUUGUAUCGUAGGAGUCUUUUAUUUUUGUUGUGUCAUAAUCAUACGUGCUUCACACCUAGAGAGAGAGACAUGCACUCACCGUGAUUUUGUCGAGCUUCACUUAUAUCUUUUGGUAGACAAUUCAGCUCACAUGUGCUUCACUUAUAUCUUUUGAGCUAGAUACUUUUGCUCUAUGUGCUUCACUUAUAUCUUUUAGAGCACAGUGGUGCGUGGCUUGGUAGUUGAUCUAUGCUUUGAAAGUAUUCUCAAAAUGGGUAGUUAUCCAAAGGGAUACGAAAACUUCCACCUUCAUGUGCAUUGAAUAGUUAGAGAAGUUUGAUUCAUCUCAAUUAGUUUUGAGUUGUGGUUAUGGUAAUAUUGAAGUUAUGCUAGUAAGGUGUUGUGGAUCUAGAAAUACUUGUGUUGAAGUUAGUGAUUCCCGUAGCAUGCACGUAUGGUGAACCGCUAUGUGAUGAAAUCUGAGCAUGAUUAGUUUAUUGAUUGUCAUCCUUUGCGUGGCGGUCGGGAUCGGGCGAUGGUUUAUACCUACCAACCCUUCCCCUAGGAGUAUGCGUUGAAUGCUUUGUUUCGAUUACUAAUAACACUUUUGCAACAAGUAUAUGAGUUCUUCAUGACUAAUGUUGAGUCCAUGGUUUAGAUGCACUUUCACCUUCCACCAUCACUAUCUUCUUAGUGUCGUGCAACUUUCGCCGGUGCACAAACCCACCAUUAGCCUCCCUCAAAACAGCCACCAUACCUACCUACUAUGGCUUUUUCAAAGUCAUUCCGAGAUAUAUUGCCAUGNNNNNNNNNNNNNNNNNNNNNNNNNNNNNNNNNNNNNNNNNNNNNNNNNNNNNNNNNNNNNNNNNNNNNNNNNNNNNNNNNNNNNNNNNNNNNNNNNNNNNNNNNNNNNNNNNNNNNNNNNNNNNNNNNNNNAUAUUGCCAUGCAACUACCACCAUGACAUGUGCCACCACGUCUACAUUGCCAUUGCAUGAUCGUAAGAUAGCUAGCAUGAUGUUUCCAUUGAUGUCUAUGCCAUGCUAGAUCAUUGCCAUGGUACACUACCGAAGGCAUUCCAUAUAGAGUCAUAGUUGCUCUAAGUUUUGAGUUGAAAGUGUGAUGAUCAUCAUUAAUGGAGCAUUGUCCCAUGUGAGGAAAUAAAAGAGGCCAAAGAAGCCCACCAAAAUAAAAAAAAAAGAGUCCAAAGAGCCCACCAAAAAAAGAGAGAAGGGANNNNNNNNNNNNNNNNNNNNNNNNNNNNNNNNNNNNNNNNNNNNNNNNNNNNNNNNNNNNNNNNNNNNNNNNNNNNNNNNNNNNNNNNNNNNNNNNNNNNNNNNNNNNNNNNNNNNNNNNNNNNNNNNNNNNNNNNNNNNNNGAAGGGACAAUGCUACCACUUUUUCCACAGUUGUGCACAUUAAGCACCAUGAUCUUCAUGAUUGAGAGUCUCUCGUUUUGUCACCACCAUAUAGCUAGUGGGAAAUUUUCAUUAUAUAACUUGGCUUGUAUAUUCCAAUGAUAGGCUUCCUCAAAAUUGCCUUAGGUCUUCGUGAGCAAGCAAGUUGGAUGCACACCCACUAGUUUCCUUUAAGAGCUUUCACAUACUCGUAACUCUAGUGCAUCAUUUGUAUGGCAAUCCCUACUCGUUCACAUUGAUAUCUAUUGAUGAGCAUCUCCACAGCUCAUUGAUAUGCCUAGUUAAUGUGACUAUCUUCUCCUUUUUUUGUCUUGCAACAUCCACCACACUCCACACCAUCUAUAGUGCUAUAACCAUGGCUCACGCUCAUGUAUUGCGUGAGAGUUGAAAAGGCUUGAGAAAGGAAAGUUGUGAAACAAUUACUUGGCCAAUACCAGGGUUGUGCAUGAUUUAAAUUCAUUGUGCAAUGAUGAUAGAGCAUAGCCGGACUAUAUGCUUUUAUAGGGAUAACUUUCUUUUGGCCUUGUUAUUUUGAAAGUUCAUGAUUACCUUGCUAGUUUGCUUGAAUUAUUAUUGUUUCCACGUCAAUAGCAAAGUAUUGUUUUGAAUCUAAUGGAUCUGAACAUUCACGUCACAUAAGAGGAAUUACAAAGGACACCUAUGCUAGGUAGCAUGAAAGCAUCAAAAAUUCAUUCUUUAUCACUUCCCUACUCGAGGACGAGCAGGAGUUAAGCUUGGGGAUGCUUGAUACGUCUCAAAUGUAUCUAUAAUUUUUGAUGGUUUCACGCUGUUAUAUUGUCUUCUUUGGAUGUUUUAUGUACCUUUUAUAUCUUUUUUGGGACUAACUUAUUAAUUCAGUGCCAAGUGCUAGUUCGUGUUUUUUUUGUGUUUUUGACUCUUUUCAGAUCUGAUUUUGGAACGGAGUCCAAACGGAAUAAAAACCCCGAAAUAAUUUUUUUCCCAAACGAAAGAAGAUGAGGGGCCUUUGGGCCAAGCCAGGUGGGCUCCAGGGAGCCCACAAGCCCCCACUCCGCCACCAGGGGGAGGCGGCGGUGUUAGGGCUUGUGGCCUCCCUGGCCGCCCCCUGACCUAGAUCCUUGGCCUAUAUAUUCCCAAAUAUUCAGCAAAAAAUCGGGGGAGCCUCGAAAAUACUUUUCCGCCACUGCAAGCUUCCGUUUCCGCGAGAUCUCAUCUGGAGACCCUUCCCGGCGCCCUGCUCUCUCUUGGAUCUUCAAUACAAAGUUCUCCAUGAUCUUCAUGGAGAUCUAUCCGAUGUAAUCUUCUUUGGCGGUGUGUUUGUCGAGAUCCGAUGAAUUGUGNNNNNNNNNNNNNNNNNNNNNNNNNNNNNNNNNNNNNNNNNNNNNNNNNNNNNNNNNNNNNNNNNNNNNNNNNNNNNNNNNNNNNNNNNNNNNNNNNNNNAGGCGGAAAGUGCAACGAAGUAAAAGAGUAAGGCAGAAAAUAUGGUGUGAAGUAGACUCGGGGGCCAUAGUGUUCACUAGAGGCUUCUCUCAAAAUAGCAAAUAAUACGGUGGGUGAACAAAUUACUGUCGAGCAAUUGAUAGAACCGCGCAAAGUCAUGACGAUAUCUAAGGCAAUGAUCAUACAUAUAGGCAUCACGUCCGAGACAAGUAGACUGAUACUUUCUGCAUCUACUACUAUUAGUCCACACAUCAACCGCUAUCCAGCAUGCAACUAGUGUAUUGAGUUCAUGAAGAACAGAGUAAUGCCUUAAGCAAGAUGACAUGAUGUAGAGGGAUAAACUCAAACUAAUGAUGAAAACCCCAUCUUUUUACCCUUGAUGGAAACAACACGAUGCAUGCCUCGCUACCCGUUCUAUCACUGGGUGAGGUCACCGCACGGUAUGAACCCAAAACCAAGCACUUCUCCCAUUGCAAGAAUCAUAGAUCAAGUUGGCCAAACAAAACCAACAACUCGAAGAGAAUUACAAGGAUAUGAAAUCAUGCAUAUAAGAGAUCAGAAGAAACUCGAAUAAGAUUCAUAGAUAAUCUGAUCAUAAAUCCACAAUUCAUCGGAUCUCGACAAACACACCGCAAAGAAGAUUACAUCGGAUAGAUCUCCAUGAAAAUCAUGGAGCACUUUGUAUUGCAGAUCCAAGAGAGAGAAGAAGCCAUCUAGCUACUAGCUAUGGACCCGUAGGUCUAUGGUGAACUACUCACACAUCAUCGGAGAGGUCAUGGUGUUGAUGAAGAAGCCCUCUUUAUCCGAAUCCCCCCUCCGGCAGGGCACCAGAACGUGCCUAGAUGGGAUCUUGUGGAGAGAGAAGCUUGUGGCGGCGGAAAAGUAUUUUCCUUGACCUCCUGAUUUUUUUCUGAGAUUUUAGGGAAUAUAUAGGCGAAAGACCUAGGGAGGGGAGGCCCAGGGAGCCUACAAGCCUGGGAGGCGCGGGCCCCCUGGCCGCGCCAUGAGGGCUUGUGGGAUCCCUGGUGACCCUCUGCCUUGGUUCUCAAGUCUCCCGAUCGUCUUCUGUUUCGGAAAAAAAUAUUUUCGGAAGUUUUAUUCCGUUUGGACUCCGUUUAAAAUCCUCCUCUGAAAAGGGUCAAAAACAUGGAAAAAAUAGGAACGGGCACUUGGCACUGAGUUAAUAGGUUAGUUCCAAAAAAUAUAUAAAAGGCAUACAAAACAUCCAAAGUUUGACAAGAUAAUAGCAUGAAACCAUCAAAAAUUAUAGAUACGUUGGAGAGGUAUCAAGCAUCCGCAAGCUUAACUCUUGCUUGUCCUCGAGCAGGGAAGUGAUAAAGACUGAAUUUUUGAUGUGGAAUGCUACCUAGCAUAGUUGUCCUUUGUAAAUUCUUUCAUGUGACAUGAAUGUUCAGAUCCGUAAGAUUCAAAACAAUAGUUUUCUAUUGACAUGAAAACAAUAAUACUUCAAGCAAACUAGCAAGGUAAUCAUGGACUUUUGAAAUAACAAGGCCAAAGAAAGUUAUCCCUACAAAAUCAUAUAGUCUGGCUAUGAUCCAUCAUCCUCACACAACUGAUUUAAAUCAUGCACAACCCUGGUAUUGGCCAAGUUAUUGUUUUUGCGCUCUUACUUUCUCAAACCUUUUAUAACUAUCACGCAAUACAUGAGCCUGAGCCAUGGAUAUAGCACUAUAGGUGGAAUAGAGUGUGGUGGUGGUUGUGAGACAAAAAAGGAGAAGAUGAUCACAUUGACUCGGCGUAUCAAAGAGCUAUGGAGAUGCCCCUUAAUAGAUAUCAAUGUGAAUGAGUAGGGAUUGCCAUACAAAGGAUGCACUAGAGCUAUAAGUAUAUGAAAGCUCAAAAGGAGAGAUAGUGGGUGUGCAUCCAACUUGCUUGCUCACGAAGACUUAGGGAAAUUUGAGGAAGCCCAUCAUUGGAAUAUACAAGCCAAGUUAUAUAAUGAAGAUUCCCACUAGCAUAUGGUGGUGAUGAAAUGAGAGGCUCUCAAUCAUGAAGAACAUGGUGCUAUUAUGAAGCACAAGUGUGGAAAAAGAUAGUAGCAUUGUCCCUUCUCUCUUUUUCUCUCCUUUUUUUUAUUUGGGCUCUUGGCCUCUUUUUUAUUUGGGCUCUUGGCCUCUUUUUUUAUAUGGGCUCUUUGGCCUCUCUUUUUUAUUUCCUCACAUGGGACAAUGCUCUAAUAAUCAUGAUCAUCACACUUUUAUUUACUCACAGGUCAAAGCUUAGAACGAUGAUGACUCUAUAGGAAAUGCCUGCGGCAGUGUACCGGGAUGUGCAACGAUCUAGCUUGGCGUAUGACGUUGAAACAUCUCGCUAGCUAUCUUACGAUCAUGCAAUGGCAAUAUGAGAGUGACGUCACAAGUCAUGAGACAGAACAGUGGGAUUUGCAUGGCAAUAUAUCUUGGAAUGGCUAUGAAAAUGCCAUAGUAGGUAGGUAUGGUGGCUGUUUUGAGGAAGGUAUAUGGUGGGUUUGUGCACCGGCGAAAAUUGUGCGGUACUAGAGAUGCUAGCAAUGGUGGAAGGUGAAAGUGCAUCUAUACCAUGGACUCACAUUAGUCAUGAAGAACUCACAUACUUGUUGCGAAAGUUUUUAUUAGUAAUCGAAACAAGGUGCUAAACGCAUACUCCUAGGGGAAGGGUUGGUAGGUGUAAACCAUCACGCGAUCCCGACCGCAACACAAAGGAUGAAAAUCAAUAGAUCAAUUAUGAUCCGACUUCCUAACAUAGCGGCUCACCACACGUGCAUGUUACGGGAAUCACUAACUUCAACACAAGUAUUUCUAGAUUCACAACACCCUACUAACAUAACUCUUAAUAUUACCAAAUCCACGUCUCAAAACUAAUUGAGAGGAAUCAAACUUUUCUUUCUACUCAAUGCACAUGAAGAUGGAAGUUUUUGUAUCCUCUUUGGGUACCUAUCACCUUUGGGACUACUUUCAUAGCACAAUCCAACUACCAAGUAACGCACCGUCGUGCUCUAAAAGAUCUAAGUGAAGCACACAGAGCAAAACUGUGUAGCUCAAAAGAUAUAAGUGAAGCACGAUGAUCAUUCUAGCAAAAUCACGAUGAGUGCACGUCUCUCUCAAAAGGUGUGCAGCAAGGAUGAUUGUGACACAACAAAAAGAAAAUACUCCUAUGAUACAAGACGCUCCAAGCAAAACUCAUAUCAUGUGGUGAAUAAAAAUAUAGCUCCAAGUAAUGUUAUCGAUGGAUUGAAGACGAAAGAGGGGAUGCCUUCCCGGGGCAUCCCCAAGCUUAGGCUUUUUGGUGUCCUUGAAUUUGGCUUGGGAUGUCUUGGGUAUCCCCAAGCUUAAGCUCUUUCCACUCUUUGUUCCAUUGUCCAUAAGGACAUCGCCCAAAACUUGAAAACUUCACAACACAAAACUUAAACAGAAACUCGUGAUAUCAUUAGCAUAAGAAAACAAAUCACCAACUCUUUAGGUACUAUAGUAAACUUGAAUUCCAUUUAGAUUGAUGUUAUAUUACUGUAUUCUUACUUUUCCAUGGCUAGUACCCCCCGAUACUAACCAUAGUUUCAUCAAAAUAAGCAAUCAACACAACAAAAACAGAAUCUGUCAAAAACAGACCAGUCUGUAGCAAUCUGUAUACUUCGUAUACUUCUGGUACCUCAAAAAUUCUGAAAAUUGCGACUGCCUGGGAAAAAGGCAUAUCAACCAGCAUCAAAAAGAAUCAACUCAAAAUCACUUUCUGAAUAAAAAUGAAAAAUAAUCUCGUGAGCGAAAAGUUUCUGUCUUUUUCCAGCAGGAUCAAACAACCAUCACCAAGACUAGUCGUAAAGGUUUUGCUUGGCUCAAACGCAAAAAGAAUCACAAAAGACACAAUCAUAACAGAAUUAUGAUGGUGUGGACGCAACAAAAGAUAAAGAAAAAGAUAAAUUCAUUGNNNNNNNNNNNNNNNNNNNNNNNNNNNNNNNNNNNNNNNNNNNNNNNNNNNNNNNNNNNNNNNNNNNNNNNNNNNNNNNNNNNNNNNNNNNNNNNNNNNNAUGGCUUUAUUAAUAUGAUGGAGUGUUACAAUACUGUUGCUUACAACAAUAUUACAUGACUCCAGGGCUAGCUAAAUGGCAGCAAAGGUCUUGAUACAGUGGCAUCGACGUCCCUGGCUGGGCUCCAUAACUCGCAGGACUGGCUUGGUUACGAUCUAGCACGACGAGUCUUCUCCUGCAACUGGCCACGUGCAAGUCCAUGUGAGUACUUUGAAUGUACUCGCAAGACAACCAAAUACAUAGCAUCCAAACAAUGGAUAACAAAGCAAGCACUAUGACUGUAUAACAACUGUUCUAAGCAUGGCAUGGAGUCAACAGGAAGAAUAUAAAUCAAGCAUAUCAUGUCAUGGACUAAACAUGUAAUCUAUCUCACUAGCAUGGCAAACAUCACAACGAUUACUUACUAGCUUACCCUCAUCGAAUAUCGACUUACUCUCUUCUAGGUUGUACCACAACCUUUGACAUACUCGCAAUCCAUCCUGAAUGGAUCACCUCACACGAUCAUAUGACUGAUCAUCAUGUAGCCUUCUCUUGGCUAACUCAUCAUGUUAUCAACAUCCCCUGAUGUUCACAUGAGACGAGUUCUUCCAUCAUUACUAUCAUAGAUACGGUUGACCAUGUACUGAGGUCUGAUCGGGCUGUCCAUUACUGUGGGCACGGCUAUUCGAAUAGUUUUACACUCUGCAGAGGUUGCACACUUGACCCACACUCUGGAGCACUGACCUCGUAAUCCCAUGCGGGUGGACCAGCAUUGCUCCAACGAAACUUGCCUGAACUGUGACUCUCUCAACGUACCACCGGCAACCACUCCCUUCCGGAUUCCUGCCUUGGGUGGCCCUGUGUCCUCAUGACACCUGUGUCCUCAUGACACCUGCCACCAUCGUGGCCAAACAAACUGUCCCAAAUGGGGACGCUGACACAAAAAAAACACAACUGGCUCACAUGAUUAUCACAGCCUACCUGAUCAGGGUCAGCGCGCGUGCAUAAUCCUCCCUCUUUGGAGGUACCGGUGAGAGAUCACGCAAUCAGCUCAAGUCAAGGGCGUCCCAUAUCGGGAAGAGGUGGUUGUGCGGGUGGGCCUGGACAAGUGACUUCGAUCAACCAACUAGGUAUCUUAUCCUGAGUAUUAUUUCUGUCAUAGCUGACACUCCGAUGUCACCACAAUCCGAUAAUUAAUAGGAUUAAGCCACUACUGCUAAGCUACAUUCAUGAACUGUCGGAUAAAGCACAAAGUAAUCAUAGACAGUAAUCUCAACAGUAUAAUAACAAGCUAUCACUUUACCGAUUAUAACUGCAGGUGGGACCUUCGGAACCCUCACAUAGAAUCAGCAAAUAAAUCGGUAGCCACCAGAACGGUCAUUACAACACAGAUCUGGGACGUUACUGGAGUAACUCAACUCCGACUCAAGACGGUUGGAAAGCAGCUCAGAGCAUGAGGCAGUGUUGAUAAGAAGAAUGUAGCAGUUCCCUAAGACGGCCGAAGCACAACUCAGAGCAUAGGGUCACCGCUAUGGAAAGAAUUUCAAUAGUUGUCCGUGACGGCCGACAAGCAGCUCAGAACACGGGACAACUGCUGACAAAAGAAAUAUAAACUUGGCAUCCACCCCGGACGGCCGAAAACAGCACAGACUCAUGCAUGGUGCCAUUACUGAAGGAAAUGCGAGCAAGGGUUGUUCAGCGUCACACACAUCACCUCACUAUGUACUCAAAUCUGAGCAUUAUAAAUUAAAUAUGCAAGAGCAACAUCUGAGGGUGUAUGUUGGAUGAAAAUUAGAACUAAGAACUACUAUUAAUAUCAUCGCGGUUAUAUGCCAAUGCAGGCUAACAGGAAGUACAGAUAAACACACAAAAUGCAAGCAAUGUUACCACACAAGUCCGGAGCUCAUAGUAAGAGGUUAGCUUGCCUGGGGGUCGAUGAAUACUCCGAGGAGAAGCGCAAUAACACACCGGGGAGACUUGCCGGAGAGGGUUUCCCUCUCGGAAGGCUCAAACAAAGGCAAGGGCAAAAUGGUCAUUUUGACUGAGCGAACAUCUCAUGAAAGUAACUUAGUCGAGACGGGCUCGACGAGACGAAGACGUGGGCGCUGGUUUUGCCUCAAUCGGAGUUACGGUCGCGAAGUUAUGGCCGUUCAUUCGUUAAGCGGUGAAACAAACAGAAUCUGUUCAUUUCAGUCCUUAGUCAGUGAACGUUCACAACCUAAGCGGUUCGGCCGGCUGAGCUGAAACAGAAAGCGCCUUUCGGGGAAAUACGCUUUCGUUAAACCGAAAGCGUAUUCUGCUGUUUACUUCUCCACUUAUGCGCGCGGGCCCAAGGGGGGUUGACUUCCUUCUCUCUUACGGGUGGGGCCACCCUAUCCACUCCUCCUAUCUCUCACCUACACGUGAGGCCCACCCCAUCUCUCUCCUCUCUCUCUGCGGCUGGGCCCGCCCUACCUCUCUCCUCUCCUCUCUCUCCCCGAGCCUUCUCCUUCCUCUCGGCCACGACAUGGCAAGGAGAGCUCCGGUCGGCGCUGCUGCUGCUACUCUCCGGCGCGGGAGAUGUAGCUGGUGGCUGGGGCAGGUGCCCCGCGCCCCACCGCGCCCGGGGAAAGGGGCCUGAGCCGCAGGGGAGGCCGGAGCAAGGCACGGCGGCUGCGGCCAUGGCAGGGGGAGGUCGAGCUCGGCUCGGCAAGCAGGGGGGCGGGGGGCAAGGAGACUAGGGGAAAGGGGGAAGGUGUGGAGCUCUGCUGCUCCCCAGGAGGGGCUCGAAGACUCCAUUUAUAGCCAAGGGAAGGUGGAGUUAUCGCGACAUCGGAGAAGCUCCAAUGGCAGGCACCCCUAGAGACAAGAAGACAAGGGGGAGAGGGCUCUAGAGCGCACAUGAAGGCUAGGGGAACCUCCUAGACAUCCAUGGACAGGCUGGAACCAGCUGGAGCGAAGCUCCCAUCGCCUCAAAUGCACAGAGCACCGUUUUUGCAGGCUCUGCCCAUAGUCACCACAUGGUCAUGGACAUGACAUGUCCUAUGAGCUGUCAAACCAUGUCUAGGGUGUUCACCAAGGAACACUGAGCUGCACUGUGACUUUGGAUAAGCAUGGGGAGCAAUGAUGUGACCACACUAGGGCCAAAUAGUUUGCAACAACAAGGUGUUUGAUCUGUAGUGUCACCACCAUAGUGCACCUCUUGGCAUGAUACUUGGCUUAGGUUGACCACUCACUAAGGUCACUAUGCUGGCCAAAAAUCAGCUCAAUCCAACAAGUGUAUGGCGCACUUCCUUUGUAACCUGGCAUACUGACCAGAAAUGAAGAAGUUGAUGCUGGGGUCAAAUGGCUAGAUGGAAAUGGCUGAAAUUUGGAGGCGACUUCUUAUUUAGGCAUAUGAAGAUGCUGGCGAAGAUUCAUACCAUUUGCACACAUAUAAAUGGUACUUCCUUCACAAUGCUUCAUUCUGGACAGAAUCUUAAAUAAUUUACAGGGGAAGGAUGGAAUGAUUAAAUGGGCUAAUUUUGGUGGACGAAGAUGACUUAACAUGAUAAACAACUCUGAGAAAUCUCAACUCAAGGGGAACAAGGAGUCAAGCACUUCCUUUGCAAACACAAGAUCUGGACAGAAUUUGCAAAGGGAUAUUGUGCUCAAUUAUUGAAUUGGGGAACUUGAUCUUUUGAUGGAAAUGAUGAUCACAUGGAUAUGAGAAGCUCCACAAAUUAAUUGGGAUUUUUCCUAGCUACCAAAAUGGUAGUUCCUUUGGAAAGGCCCCAAAAUACUAUAUUGGCAUAAAAUAGGAAAAUGCAAUUUUCCUUUAUUCUAUGAUGUCCAAUAUUUUAUGAGAGCUUCGUAGGAUCACAAAGAAUACCUCUGCAAGAUUUCAUGAGCAUUGGGGAUGUAUAACUAUUUUCCAAGAUUUAAUCCCUCAGACAAGCAGAAGCAGGAAUUAAUUCUAGAGGGGAAAUAUUGCAUAUGACUUUGCAAUAUUUUUGCACAUCUGGGGUCUAUGAGGGGAUGAUGAUCUCUGGGAAGACUUGGAGGAGCAAUAGAACAAUGGAAAUGAUGGCUCCUUUGAAAACACAAAGAUAGGAUUCCCAGUUCCAAUACUUCGGAGCUAGGGUUUCAAAAAGGGGUUCGGGGUUUACUCAGCAAGGACAAGAGGGCACAAGGAUAUGGGAAAANNNNNNNNNNNNNNNNNNNNNNNNNNNNNNNNNNNNNNNNNNNNNNNNNNNNNNNNNNNNNNNNNNNNNNNNNNNNNNNNNNNNNNNNNNNNNNNNNNNNUUACUGUAUUCUAACUUUUCCAUGGCUAGUACCCCCGAUACUAUCCAUAGUUUCAUCAAAAUAAGCAAUCAACACAACAAAAAAGAAUCUGUCAAAAAACAGACGAGUCUGUAGCAAUCUGUAUACUUCGUAUACUUAUGGUAUCUCAAAAAUUCUGAAAAAUUAUGACAAUUGGGGCAAUUGGCAUAUCAACCAGUAGAAAAAAUAAUCAACUUGAAAGCUCUUUUUGGAUAGGAAUUAAAAAUAAUUUCGUGAGCGCAAAGUUUCUGUCUUUUUCAGCAAGAUCAAACAACCAUCACCAAAACUAGUCAUAAAGGUUUUACUUGUCACAAACACAAAAAGAAACACAAAGAACACAAUCAUAACAAAAUUAUGAUGGUGUGGACACAACAAAACAGAAAGCAAAAAGCAAAGAUAAAUUCAUUGGGUUGCCUCCCAACAAGCGUUAUUGUUUAACGCCCUUAGCUAGGCAUAAGGCGAUAGAAUCACGUAUCGUCGUCUUUGGUGCUCAAACCAUAAGUAGCCCUCAUCAUGGAUUCAUAAGGCAAUCUUAUUUUCUUUCUAGGAAAAUGUUCCAUGCCCUUCUUUAAUGGAAAUUGAAAUCUAAUAUUCCCUUCCUUCAUAUCGAUGACAUCACCAAUAGUCCUUAGGAAAGGUCUACCAAGAAUGAUAGGACAUGUCGGAUUGCAAUCAAUAUCAAGCACAAUGAAAUCUACGGGUACAUAGUUCCUAUUUGCAAUAAUAAGAACAUCAUUGAUCCUUCCCAUAGUUUUCUUAAUAGUAGAAUCCGCAAGAUGCAAAUUAAGAGAGCACUCGUCAAUCUCAUUGAAGCCUAGAACAUCACAUAAAGACUUUGGAAUAGCGGAAACACUAGCACCCAAAUCACACAAAGCAUUGAAUUCAUAGUUUUUAAUCUUGAUUUUGAUAGUAGGUUCCCACUCAUCAUGAAGUUUUCUAGGAAUAGAAACUUCCAACUCAAGUUUCUCUUCAAGAGAUUUCAUCAUAACAUCGACGAUAUGAUCGGUAAAGGCCUUGUUUUGGCUAUAAACGUGUGGAGAGUUUAGCAUGGAUUGCAUCAAGGAAAUACAUUCAAUCAGAGAGCAACUAUAAUAAUUGAAUUCCUUGAAAUCCAAAGUAGUAGUUUCAUUACUACUCAUAGUUAUGAUAUCCUCUACUCCACUUUCAAUGCUUUUAGCAUCAAGAUAGAUAGACUCCGAAUCAUUGGGGCGUCUCUCAACCAAAGUGAAUUCAUAUCGAGCCCCAUCAUCAUUAGGUUUGACAUUAGAAAACAAGGAUUCAAUAGGAGUCACACCAGGCACUUUAAGAUCUUCGUGAUUCUCAUCACGAGAACACACCUUUUAAGCCAUUCAUGUCUAGCACGAAUUUGGGCGGUUCUUUCUUUACUCUCAUUCAUGGAAACACGCAUAGCUUUCAAAGUUUCAUCCAUAUUGAUCUUGGGAGGAGCACAUCUCAAUUUCAAAGCAUCAAUAUCAAGAGACAUUCUAUCAACGGUCCUAGCCAAUUCAUCAAUUUUGAGCAGUUUUUCUUCUAUGGACGCAUUGAAAAUCUUUUGCGAGUUGAUAAACUCUUUAAUAUUACUCUCUACAUCAGAGGGUAAUUUACUGUAAUUUCCAUGAGCAUUAUUGUAGGAAUUGCCAAAGUUAUUAGAGGAAUUACUAGGAAAAGGCCUAGGAAUAAAGUUUCCUCUAUAAGCAUUGUUGUUGCCAAAAUUAUUCCUACCAACAAAAUUAACAUCCAAGCUCUCAUUGCUACUCUCAAUCAAGGAAGACAAGGGCAUAUCAUUUGGAUCUAAAGGAGCACCUUUACUAGCAAACAAUUUCAUUAACUCACCCAUCUUAGCACUCAGAGAGUUAAUUUCUUCUAUAGCAUGCACUUUUUUACUAGUAGGUGACCUUUCAGUGUGCCAUUGAUAAUAGUUUGUCAUGAUAUUGUCUAGGAGUUUUGUGGCUUCUCCUAAUGUGAUUUCCAUGAAAGUUCCACCGGAGGCGGAAUCCAAGAUAUUUCUAGAAGCAAAAUUCAAACCAGCAUAGAAGAUUUGUAUAAUCAUCCAAAGACUCAAGCCAUGAGCGGGACAAUUUCUAAUCAUCAAUUUCAUUCUCUCCCAAGAUUGUGCAACAUGUUCAUGAUCUAGUUGCUUAAAAUUCAUGAUAUCAUUACGGAGAGAGAUAAUCUUAGCCGGUGGAAAAUACUUGGAUAUAUAAGCAUCUUUACACUUGUUCCAAGAAUCAAUGCUAUUUUUGGCUAAAGAUGAAAACCAAGUUUUUGCUCGAUCUCGCAAUAAGAACGGAAAUAACUUCAAUUUAAUCACAUCAUUAUCCACAUCUUUCUUCUUUUGCAUAUCACAUAACUCAAUGAAGGUAUUAAGAUGGGAUGCGACAUCUUCACUAGGAAGGCCGGAAAAUUGCUCUUUCAUAUCAAGAUUCAGCAAAGCAGCAUUGAUUUCAUAUGAUUCCACACUAGUGGUGGGAGCAAUCGGAGUACUACAAAAAUCAUUAUUAUUAGUAUUCGAGAAGUCACAAAGUUUGGUGUUUUCAGUCAUGGUGACUUCAACAAGCAGACAAGCACACAAGCGAACAGAAAGAAGCGAAAGAAAAGGGAGAACAAAAAAGGCAAAUAUUUUUGUAAAUUUUUGUUUUUCAGAAGUUGGGGAGAGGAAAACGAGAGGCAAAAAAAGUAAAUGCAAGAGAUGAGUUUGCGACAGUUACUUGGAUAAGCUUCACUCAGAAUAGUCGCCGGCGCUAGAAAUUGACACGUUGAAGGAAGACUAUUCUUGACUUGAUCCUCCCCGGCAACGGCGCCAGAAAUUGGCACGUUGACGGGAGACUAUUCUUGACUUGAUCCUCCCCGGCAACGACGCCAGCAAUUCUUCUUGCUACCUCUUGAGCUUGCGUUGAUUUUUCCCUUGAAGAGGAAAGGGUGAUGCAGCACAAUAGCAGUAAGUAUUUCCCUCAAUUUGAGAACCAAGGUAUCAAUCCAGUAGGAGUAUCAAGGAUAGUCUCCAAAGUACCUGCGCAAAAACAAACAAACUUGCACCCAACGCUAUAAAGGGGUUGUCAAUCCCUUCACGAUUGAUUGCAAGGUGAGAUCUGAAGGCGGAAAGUGCAACAAAGUGAAAGUGUAGAGCUAAAAAUAUGAAGUGAAGUAGACCCGGGGGCCAUAGUGUUCACUAGAGGCUUCUCUCAUGAUAGCAAAUAUUACGGUGGGUGAACGAAUUACUGCCGAGCAAUUGAUAGAAUCACGCAAAGUCAUGAUGAUAUCUAAGACAAUGAUCAUACAUAUAGGCAUCACGUCCGAGACAAGUAGAUCGAUACUGUCUGCAUCUACUACUAUUACUCCACACAUCGACCGCUAUCCAGNAUGCAUCUAGUGUAUUGAGUUCAUAACAAACAGAGUAACGCCUUAAGCAAGAUGACAUGAUGUAGAGGGAUAAAUUCAUGCAAUAGAUAUAAACCCCAUCUUUUUNNNNNNNNNNNNNNNNNNNNNNNNNNNNNNNNNNNNNNNNNNNNNNNNNNNNNNNNNNNNNNNNNNNNNNNNNNNNNNNNNNNNNNNNNNNNNNNNNNNNGUGUGUUUGUCGAGAUCCGAUGAAUUGUGGAUUUAUGAUCAGAUUAUCUAUGAAUAUUAUUUGAGUUUCCUCUGAUCUCUUGUAUGCAUGACUUUGUAUCCUUGUAAUUCUCUUCGAGUUGUGGGUUUCGUUUGGCCAACUUGAUCUAUAAUUCUUGCAACGGGAGAAGUGCUUGGUUUUGGGUUCAUUCCGUGCGGUGUCCUCAACCAGUGACAGAAGGGGUAGCGAGGCACGCAUCGUGUUGUUGCCAUCAAGGGUAAAAAGAUGGGGUUUAUAUCUAUUGCAUGAAUUUAUCCCUCUACAUCGUGUCAUCUUGCUUAAGGCGUUACUCUGUUUGUUAUGAACUCGAUACACUAGAUGCAUGCUGGAUAGCGGUCGAUGUGUGGAGUAAUAGUAGUAGAUGCAGACAGUAUCGGUCUACUUGUCUCGAACGUGAUGUCUAUAUGUAUGAUCAUUGCCUUAGAUAUCAUCAUGACUUUGCGUGAUUCUAUCAAUUGCUCGGCAGUAAUUCGUUCACCCACCGUAAUAUUUGCUACGAUGAGAGAAGCCUCUAGUGAACACUAUGGCCCCCGGGUCUACUUCACUUAAUAUUUUCAGCUCUACACUUUCACUUUGUUGCACUUUCCGCCUUCAGAUCUCACCUUGCAAUCAAUCAUGAAGGGAUUGACAACCCCUUUAUAGCGUUGGGUGCAAGUUUGUUUGUUUUUGCGCAGGUACUUUGGAGACUUGCCUUGAUACUCCUACUGGAUUGAUACCUUGGUUCUCAAACUGAGGGAAAUACUUACUGCUACUGUGCUGCAUCACCCUUUCCUUUUCAAGGUAAAAACCAACGCAAGCUCAAGAGGUAGCACAACUCGCCGUCGCGGCCCAACCCAGCAUGGAUGUAACAAUUUUGAUCAUUGGUUACAGCAAAUCCAGGUGCAGGUUACAGCAAAAACAACAUGUCACCGUCAUUGCUCCCAUCGCUUGUAGCAAAAAAGACGGGCAGUUCGAGCAUCUGGUAUGGUCGGUUGUAGCAAGAAAAAUUGUUGGUUGUAGCUCCAACCCUGACCAGCUCCAGCAUCGGCGCUGAGCAGCUUGUAGCAUCCCCCAUGGCUCGGCAUCAUCGUCAAUGAUGGCCGAAUCUAGUGCCGGUGGUGGCAGCAGCGUAGCGUAUCCCAAGUGACACGCUUGCUAGGACAACCCGUGGCCAUGUCACAACGGCGGCCUGGACAUGAACCGACAGCAAGGAGAAAGGAGAUCUCGUCUGUUGUGGUGGAGUGAAGGAGAGUAAGCGUGAAGAGAUAAGGAUGACUCGGUGCACGGACCCACCCGCCUACGUGCGUCUAAGCUAUUCGAUCAGUUUUGAUCAUGUGAUGUGCGUGAGUCCUUCCGAAGAUUCGGUCGGACUGUAGUCGGAAAACAUUUUUUUUAAAUAAUCCAGAUCAAAGUUCACCAACAUAUAAAGCACCUCAAAUAUAAUAAUAAUAAAUUAUGGAUGAUAUGAACGAACUAUUACAUCGGGAAGAAAUGCUUUGACUCCUAAGAUCGUGCAUUGCUUGGCUGGAGGAGGGCGACCGGAACACUAUUUUUUUCCACAAUAAGGUUGCCUGGAGAGCUCGUAAAAAUAACAUUAACGAGUUGUUUGAUGAUGAUGAUGAUACAUGGCAUACAAAGCGACAUGAACUUAUGGGCUUGGGAAAGAGUUACUUUGAGCAGCUUUUCAUGAAAGACGCUAGCCUCGUUCCGGUGCCAGUUGUCAAUAUUUUUAGCAGUGUAUAUCAUAGGAUAUGAGUAGUAAACUUUGCACCGUGUUCAUAGAUAAGGAAAUAAGCAACGCUAUGUUUCAGGCCGGUCCUCUAAAGUCGUCGCGACCAAAUGGCUUCCCGGCUAGGUUUUUUCAAGGGCAAUUGGCAUCUUUAAGGAGGAGAUCAUUAAUUGCUUCGGUUCGGUUAUCCUUUGAGACCGGUUAUAUGCGAAAGGGAGUGGAUGAUACUACCAUUGUACUUAUUCCAAAGGUAGGUGACCCUAAACACCUUACCGAGCUCAUACAAAUUAGUCUGUGCAAUGUUAUCUAUAAAGUGAUUGUUAAAUGUUGAUAAAUCAUUUUCGACCUCUUCUUGAUGGCAUUAUUCCUUCUAAUCAAAGUGUUUUCAUCUCUCAUGGAUUAUCACACAUAAUGCUUUGAUUGCUUUUGAGUGCAAUCACAUUAUUAAGCAAGAGAAAGAUCCAUGUAGGAGUUAAUGUGCGUACAAAUUACAAAUUGAGUUUAUCAAAAGCUUAUGACAUUAUGGAUUGGAAAAUCUUGAAGCGAGUGAUGUAAAUGAUGGAUUUCUCUCACUAGUGUGGUACAGUGGAUCAUGUGUUCUGUUACCUGAUACGUCCAUUUUGCAUCAUGCUUUCAUGUUGAUAUUUAUUGCUUUAUGGACUAUUAUUAUACUUUGUGGAACCAUACUUAUGCCUUUUCUCUCUUAUUUUGUAAGAUUUAUUUGAAGAGGGAGAAUACCGGCAGCUGGAAUUCUGGACUGCAAAAGGAGCAAGUAUGAGUCCUCUAUUCUGCGCAACUCCAAAUGCCCUGAAAAUCAACGUGGAUUUUUUUGGGAAUAUAUAAAAAAUAUUGGGCGAAAGAAGUGUCAGAGGGGAGCAACCAGGGGCCCACAAGCCUGGUUGCCGCGGCCUACCCCCCUGGCCGCGGCAACAGGGCUUGUGGGCACCCUGGUGGCCCACUGCCCCCCUCUUUUGCUACAUGAAGGGUUUCGUCUGGAAAAAAAAUGAGGGUGGAGCUUUUUCGUGGAUUCUCCGUCGCCACGAGGCGAAACUUGAGCAGAUCCAAUCUAGAGCUCCGGCAGGACGAUCCUCCGGGGAAACUUCCCUCCCGGAGGGGGAAAUCGUCGCCAUCGUCAUCACCAACACUCCUCUCGUCGGAGGGGAGUCAUCUCCAUCAACAUCUUCAUCAUCACCAUCUCCUCUCCAAACCCUAGUUCAUCUCUUGUAACCAGUCUCCGUCUCGCGACUCCGAUUGGUACUUGUAAGGUUGCUAGUAGUGUUGAUUACUCUUUGUAGUUGAUGCUAGUUGGAUUACUUGGUGGAAGAGUUUAUGUUCAGAUCCUUGAUGCUAUUCAUUACACCUCUGAUCAUGAUUAUGAUUAUGCUUUUGUGAGUAGUUACUUUUGUUCCUCAGGACAUGGGAUAAGUCAUGCUGAUAAUAGUCAUGUGAAUUUGGUANNNNUUCGGUAUUUUGAUAUCCUGUAUGUUGUUUUUCCUCUAGUGGUGUUAUGUGAACGUCGACUACAUAACAAUUCAUCAUAUUUGGGCCUAGAGUAAGGCAUUGGGGAGUAGUAAGUAGAUGAUGGGUUGCUAGAGUGACAGAAGCUUAAACCCCAGUCUAUGNNNNNNNNNNNNNNNNNNNNNNNNNNNNNNNNNNNNNNNNNNNNNNNNNNNNNNNNNNNNNNNNNNNNNNNNNNNNNNNNNNNNNNNNNNNNNNNNNNNNAAUCUUUCGCCCUAUGCUCUCGCCAAACCCUAGUUCUGACCCUGCGUGCCCGUGGCCUUGCAGGUGAACUCGAAGCAGCGUGUCGAGGACCCGGCGAGGGAGACCUCGUAAGUUGCUUCCUCUCCUGUGGGCUUCAAAUCGGGUCGGAUUUCGUGCGUAGUACAGUAUUGUUUGGUUGAGGUGGUAUGAUAGAUGAUAUGGGAUUAUGUUUGUGCCGCUAUUUGUUUUAUUAUUACUGCACAUGGCGUUAGCUGAGCGAAUGAAGAUUAUACCUUCUUCAGUUCCAUAUUAUGCUGACAAUUUUGAAGUAGCUCGUGCAACCCUGGUGUGGUAGCUGUCUUUCUUGUACAUUGUCUUAUAGCACCUGUCCUGUACUCUGACCAUGCGGAUUAUUCAGGAACAAGCUGCAGAAGAGAGUGUCUGCUCAUACCAGAGAUCUGCCUCCCCGCGACGAGCAGUUCAUUUCAGAUUUUGAGGAGCUGUGCAUGCCGUUUCCAGUAAGCAGAAGCAUUACACGAAUAUUCAUUUUGACCACAGGGCAAAAACAGAAGUAAUUGAUUAUAUUUCCCUUUUUCUUAGGACCAGGAGCAGUUACAGGCUGUCACGGAAUCAGUUCUCAUCUCAUUUGUUCUGCAAUGCAGUAGCCACGCUCCACAAUCUCAGUUCCUGCUCUUUGCUACGCAGUGCCUCUGCGCUCGUGGCCACCUUAGAUGGGACAGCCUCAUUCCAUCUCUACUUAGUGCANNNNNNNNNNNNNNNNNNNNNNNNNNNNNNNNNNNNNNNNNNNNNNNNNNNNNNNNNNNNNNNNNNNNNNNNNNNNNNNNNNNNNNNNNNNNNNNNNNNNNNNNNNNNNNNNNNNNNNNNNNNNNUCUCUACUUAGUGCAGUUUCCUCCGCCGAGGCACCAAUGGGCCAAGGCGGUUCUGUGAGUGUUGGUGGCCCUGUGUCUUCUUCAUCAGCUAUUGCAGUGCCAAAUGCUCCAAGCUUUCACGCUUCAAAUCCUACGUCUCCCUUGUCAGCAAUGAACACUAUAGGAUCUCCAACUCAAUCUGGUAUUGAUCAACCUGUAGGGGCAAAUGUGUCACCCAUGAAGGCAGCUGAAUUCUCUACUCUUGGGCAGCCUGGUACAACAUCAAGAGGUGAUCAGUCCCGCAGAGGAGCACAAGUUAGCUACCUGCAUCAUUUAUCCUGUAGGAUUAUUUUAGCUGGUCUGGAGUCCAAUUUGAAACCAGCUACUCAUGCUGUGAUAUUCCAUCAUAUGGUAAAUUGGCUAGUCAAUUGGGACCAGAGACCCCAUGGUGUGGAUGAAGCUGAUACAAUGCAAACUUCUAGGAUUGGAAGGCCCGUGCAUGAAUGGAUGCAUCUAUGCUUAGACGUGAUCUGGAUUUUAGUUGAUGAAGAGAAAUGUCGCAUUCCAUUCUAUGAGCUUGUUCGCAGCAACUUGCAGUUUCUGGAGAACAUUCCUGAUGAUGAUGCACUAAUUUGCAUUAUUAUGGAGAUCCAUAGGAGGAGGGACAUGGUGUGUAUGCACAUGCAAAUGUUGGAUCAACACCUUCACUGCCCAACAUUUGGAACUCAUCGGUUCUUGUCACAAUCCUACCCAAGCAUAGCUGGUGAAUCUGUUGCUAAUUUGCGUUAUUCUCCUAUUACUUAUCCUAGUGUUCUGGGAGAGCCACUGCAUGGAGA